GGCAUUAGUUAAGAUUCAUAUAUAGCACAGCACCCACAUAUAUACCAACAAGCUCAAUACACCAUAGCAUCAAACACUUUCUACCCUUGAGAAUUCAUUAGUUGCCCUGACCACCAAAUUCAAAUCAUGACUCGCAAUCCACCAGCUACGGGAGGUAGGAAUACUUCUUCUGGAGGGGUGAAGAACUGUCCUGCAAUUGCAGAACCCUCUGUGAUUAAAAUUAUAGAAGAAAUUAGAGAUCAAUUCUAAUCAACUAGCUCUUGAAUUUGAUUAGGAUCAUCCUAUCCGUUCAAUAACUAAUUAUAUGAAGAUUGACUAUGUAUUAGGUAGUGGACCAAGCAAUAAGUAACUCUAUAACCCUUGUGGGACCAGAAGAGUCCAAUGCCCUUGGUACGGGUGAUGAAACCAUUACAGACCUAGUGAAUAACUAGGCAUGAAUAGAAAAUAGAAAUCUUAUGGGAAUAAUAAGACCACGUCAAUAAAGUUUAUUUCCUUGCUAGAUUUUUUAUCUUAUUUUUGUGUGGUGAUAAUUACUUGUUGCCCUCUAAAGUAUCGCAAGUCCUUUCUCUUGCAAGUAAGAAACUUUUAAUUUAACAUUAUGUAGUUUGCAAGUAGUUACACAGAGAUAUGAAUUUUUUGUGAGAUAAUAAGACUACAUCAUUUAAGCCGCCCCUUUUCCAACUAUAGAGCUGCUUUCAAUUUUAUUUUGUUGGUUAGCUGUCAGCAUUCCAAGUAGUAUGAAAAGCCUUUCGUAAUUAAUCAACUCUUUAAGUUCUUAUACUUUCUAUUUACAAGAGUUACGUAUGCAUGUUGUACUCUUAUUGGCCUGUUUUGAAUUCUCCAACUGUGUUGGUUGUAUUUAAGGUGAGAAACCUUAUUAGUCGUUGGUUAGGAAUUGGUCACUAAAAUAAACCUAAAAGGCAAAUAACUUGUGCGAGGGAAAAAUGUAUUUGCGAUAGAAACAAGGUAUUUAUGUUGAAAACUGGGAAAAACAAUUGGAGGAAAACCAAUGAUAGUCUUUGAAACUAAUAAUGUCUGGAAACUUAAGAAUGAGUGGAAUAAUGUAGAAUUCCACAAUGUUGGAUGUUGUUAAGCACAUACUCCAUGCCAGCUAAUUAAUUGAAUUCGUGCUGAACUACAAACGAUUUCUGGUUCUUGUUUUUUUGACAAGCACAGCUCACUGUGAGUCAUACCUGACAAAUCUACAAGGAUUAGAGGGCCAGGGAAAAAUCUUGAGAGUCUAUACAGAAAAAAUGGUGUCUCAACUCUCAAACAAUCCUUCAGUUUGUAUUCAUUGUACGAAACCAAAAUAGAUGGAUACAACUCUUUAAAAGGGAGUUAAAAGAAAAUCUGGGAGACUUCCCUAAUUGGUUGGGGGAGCCCCAAGGGAAGCAGAAUUUGCUCAUUCCAUGAUCAGUUUAUUACCUUUUCUAUUGUUUGAAAAGUAGAUAUCCACUUUGAUUAGUUGAGCUGGCAAGUGGAUCUAUGGUCGAUCAAUUUUUACAAACAUUUAACCCAAUAAAUUAACAUAUUUAAAUAUGAAAAAGAAAUAUAUCAAUACGACACUACACUCCAUAACAGGGGAAUCUUAUUACGGGUACCCUUAUGGGGUUCUUUUUAUCAAGUGGUGCAAGUCAUGGGAAUUUCAUAAGGGGAUGUAAUUGUUAGAAAGAACCAAUAUAUUGAUGGAACAGCUAUUGUUCAUUGGGUUUGGACAUUGGAUGUUGCCCGAUCUCCUUUGAGUUCAAAUACUAGAUGUUAACUUAUGUUUAUCAGUCAUCUAUUAGUGUAGCUACUUUUUUUUUAGUUUAGACAUUGGAUGUUGCUUGAACUUAUGUUCUUUGAUCACUUACAUAUUGUACAAACCUUUUUCUCCUAGGCGGUUUUACUAUUGAGUACUGUGAUAACUUUAAUUAGGUUGAUUUGGACAUUAGUGUAUUUAUCGAAGCUCCACUCUAAUGUUGUUCCACUCAGUUGCUAAGGAUAACCUAUCACACAAGAAAGAUCCAAGGAGACCUCAAAAAUUUCCCACCAGUGAUCAAGUUAAACUUUAAGCAAAGAGAAUGAACAAGAAUAUGUAAGGAGAGAAUCAUUUUAAAGAGGGGAGGUGGUCCUCAUCUUCCUCAUUUUUUAGUCCACUAUAUAGUAUCUCAUAAGGGGUAGAUUAGGAAUACUACAUGGGCUUAAUAAAGGUCAUCCUAGGUCAAAAUGAAUUUCCCAUUAAGUGUUAGGAUACUCAUUGCCCCUGUAAUCCCCAAUUGUCAAAUUUGAUGGCCUCGUUGAGCUUAACAUCUCAUCUAUUUGUUCAAAAUGACUUUCCCAUUAAGUAUUUGAGAUACCCAUUGAGACCCUAUAAUCGCCAUUUGUCAAAUAUUGAGAUAUGGUGCUUUCUAGCAAAUAAGAAGGAAUCAAUUAACAAGCUACUUUGAAUUAUGAAUACAUUAUGAGCAUAGUCAUUCCAAUGGAGGGAAGGAAAGUCCUAGAGCACCCUUUCCCUAACCUGAAUAACUACUCAAUAGAUACUGAAUGAAAAUUAACUUGAAGAAAUAAAAUAAAAAGCAAGAAAUUGAACGUCAUACAUUAAAUCAAAUGUGAAAUUACAAUGAUUAGUGAUGUUAAAAAAAUUAAUUAUGCAUUAAAUAAAAACCAAUUUAAGAUAAAUAAAAUAAAUGAAAGCAACAACAAGAAAAUAAAAAAUAAAUAAAUAACCUAAAAAUAAAAGUUUAUCCAAGAUCCCAUCUUCCUAAGGUUGACCAUAAGAAAUAAGGAAGAAUGUGCAAGAACUCACCCUUAAGGCAAAAGAUUUGAACUCACUUAAUAAUUGCUCAUUUCCUCUUUUAUGUCUUUCCUAAGCAAGCCUUGAGUUACUUAUUCCUAGAGGUCUUUCCCAAAGUCAAGGGCUCAAUAUUGGUUGAAAUUAGUCACCCACUUUGGCCCAACCCAUCCCUUCAUUUUAAAACAAUUAAAAUAGCUCUCAUGUAUUGCAAUCACGUGAGUUUUGAUACCAAAAUGGUGAUUGUAGGUGGUGAGGCCCUUUGUGGUGCAUUGGAACAUCCCUAGUCUUUCUCUAUAUAGUUUCACAAACAAUCUCCAAAGUUUCUAAAAUUUAGUUAGAUUUAAGUUUGAAAAGUGGAGAACUUAACAAAAUUUGUUUUACAUCAAUUGAACAUGUUUAACCCCUUUAAUCACCUCAAAACAUUUUAUUGAUCAUAUAGAUACUUGAUAAUUCCUUGCAAAUUCUCUUCAUAUAUGGAAUGUCGGAGAAGGAUUUUGAGAUCUUCUUUAUUUGCGAAGUAUGAUCAUAAACAUAAAAGACUCAAAAAAAAAAAAAAACAUGAGAAAAUUGAACAUAGACAUAAUUACUUAAUUGUAAGGUAAUUUUAAUAUUGAAAUUAAGUAAAAGAUGUGAUCAUCAUCCCAGCUUUUAUACCCAAUAAUCACCCCUUGUGGAGGAGUUGGAGGUCAGUUGUAGGCGCCUUGUACUUUAAUACAAGUCAAUUCACCAGACAACUGUGACUAGCUUUGACUGAUGAUGCCCAAUCAUGCUGUCCGAUCAAGGAAUAAGGUUCAAAAGUCUGCAAAUUAUCCGGGAGACGUUAAGUGACCGACCCCCUCAUAGCUGCCCGAAAUACGUGGGUGGCCGACUCCCCCACCUAUCAAGUGCAGAUUUCGGGCAUAGAGACCUUGACAGCUGCCCUAAUCUAAUGAAAUUCUAGCAAACACUUGUAUUUUCUUUAAAUUUAUAAAUACCCUAAUUGUCUUGUCAAAGUCUGAUCAACACAAUAUAUAGACUUUGGUGCCUUCUUGAACCCCGUUCAUAUUUUCUCCGGGUUAUGAUCGAACUACACAUUCAAGAGUUCUCACUACUGUUAUUUAAUUAUGCCAUAGAAGACAGAUGAAUACGUGGAUUCCACUUGGCGUUAAGUUCCAGUCAUGAGCAUACUUUUGGCAUUACACGCAAUCCCCAUAGUCAAAACUCCGAUAUUUUCCGAGCCAGAUUUACUUAGUCAAAACUCGUCACCAUCAGAAAUGAGACUUCUUUCAUCUUAAUUCAUCUCCUUCAUUCUCCCCUCAAAUAUCUCCUCAGACCCCUACCAAGUUUUCAUGAGUUUACACUUUGUUUCAAGUUGUUUGUGUAGAUGCAUGCGUACUAGUUAAGUCAUCAUCUCUAAUUUCCAAAAAAAUAGACAAAGAAAGAAAGACGAUUGGAGACAGAGUCCAUGAGUAGGUGCUGCCAUCGAUUGUUAACUAGCAAGACCAAUGGGGUACGGAUGAGAGCCUAAUCGUAAUGAACUUUUGGCGGGUUCGUGGUUGAGUGCCUUGGGACAUGUAGUUAAUUAUAAGUUCCAUGUCCUGUUGUUUCUUGUUAAAUCAUUUCAUUCCAAGGAAAAUUCUAUGAGUCUGUUGUUUGAAUUAAUUUUAAGAACAUUUUUUCCUUCUUUUGUUUUCCUUAAAAGUAUAAAAUCAUUCUUUGGAGUAGAAAACAUUUUGAGAAUUUGUUCUAAAAGUAGGGUAUAUUUUGAUAAUUUUCACUUAUUUUUAUCGAAAUUAUUUUAAAAAAAUAAUUAUAUAAAUAAAAAGAAUAAUUAAAAAUAAAGUAUUAUAGAUAAAAAUUACUUUUUUAGUAAAAUUUAAAAAUAUAAAACAUAGGUUAAAUAAUAUUCUAAAUUCUUAAUUCUACUUUUAUUUUAGAAACUUCAUUAACCUAUUUUAAAAUAUUGUUCUUAAAACUUGUUUUUUGAAAACUGUUUCGAAAUGCCCCCAAGAGACUAUAAGUUGAGAUAUACUUAUCAAACUUCUCUUUUUUAUCAAAGGUGUAAAAAAAUCUAAACCCUUGAAUAAAGAUAUAAAUAAUAACAUCAAUAAAUAAUAUAUAUAUAUAUAGUAGGAUUAAAUUAAUGACACUAUUAGGUAUGUCUUUUGUUUGUUUUUAUUUUUUAUAUAAUAAAGAUAUACAUAUUUGGAAGUAUUCAUAAUUUUUAAAAAAAAUACUAAUUUAAUAUAUUUUCAAGUGUAUCAAAAUUCCAAAUUUAAUUAAAUUAUUAUUUUAUAUAAUUAAAAUAAAAUAUGUGAAAACAUAGGAAAUUAGUAAGUAAAUAAUAAUUAAGGUUUAUGUUUGAUUAUUAAGAAAAUGGAAGAAAAUUUCUUAUGUUUUAUUAACUACUAAUUUAUUUAUAUGUGGUAUAUCUUUUUGGAUUUAUAGAUUUGUUAUUCAUAUGUGAAGUUAAUUAACAAAACUAAUUUAUAAAUUUUUUUAAAUUUGGAGAAGAAUAUUAAAUCCUAUUUUUUAUUUUUUUUAAGUAAAUUUAGUUAUAUUUUGAGCAGAGAGAAAAACAAGAUUUGGGUAUUAUAGAAAUUAAAGUUAAAAAGAUGAGAAACGAGAGAACAGACUUUCUAUUUUUUAUAUUAAGAUGAAAAUCAAUAAAUACUUAGAAGCUGGGAGAGAAAGGAACAGGCAAAGGAGGAGAAAUUGUCAUUUCCCUGACUUUUGACUUGUACAUGAAUCAUGAUAAAUUUUAUGAGUUUCCGGCACUUCAUUUAUAGGCUGUUGGGUUUGUUGACCAAGUGCCGAUCGAAAAUGAAUUAAAUAUUGGAUUUGCGUACAGGGCAAACCACUUAGCGAUAGAUUGUUUACAUUAGACUCGGUCAGUUACAUUGCCACCCACCGGCUCCCAUUACAUUCCAACAGAAGCUUCUUUUCCUUGGAAAAAGCUUCACAAGUCUCCAAAUCUUUUCAAAGAUCCACCGUUUAAUUUUAUUUUCAUGAUUGAGAAAGGAAAUUAAUUUCAUCUCAUCUCCAUCUCCAUAUCCAUAUCCAUAUCCAUAUCCUUCUGAAUCAUUCCAAAUCGCUCUCUCUUGCAAAAUGCAUCUCCAUCUUUUUCCACUUUUCCUUAUCCUCCUGUUCAUGUUCAUGGUCCCUGUUCCGAGGGUUGUGUGCGAGGCCAAUCAACAAUUCGUCAGCUGCGGCGCACAGUAUGAGUGCGGGAAUAUGAAUAUUAGUUAUCCUUUCUGGGGAGGGAGCCGCCCUCCUUACUGUGGCCAUCCAGGGUUCGAGCUGACUUGUAAUGGUGAAGCCCCGGUGUUUACGAUGAAGGAGGCGAGUUACCGAAUCCUGGAUAUCAAUAACUCAUUCCAUACUCUCACCGUUGCUAGGGCGGAUUACUGGGAUAGUUACUGCCCUCCUACAUAUGUUAACACCACUCUGAAUGAAUCCAUUUUUAGUUAUAAUGCCACCUAUACAGACGUGACCCUCUACUAUGAUUGUCCCCAACUUACUAUCGCGCCUUCCAACCAGUUCAAUUGCACCAAUAUCACUGGUUACUAUACAACACUGGAUUUUAACCUUGGCGUAAGCAUAGGGAGUUGCAGUGUGUAUGUGACGGUUCCGAUUUUCAAGUCAGCAGCUACCGCUAUAGUGAGCGGUGGAGGUACACUGACUCUUCUUACUGAAGCUCUUAAGGGUGGUUUCGGGUUGGAGUGGAAUGCCAGUAAUAGUUUGUGUACAGAAUGUGUUGAAUCCGGUGGGCAGUGCGGCUAUACCUCCAACCAAUUCACAUGCUAUUGUCGGAAUGGGUAUUCUCCCUCCACUUGCCAAAACACAACAAGCGCAUCAGGUAUGUAUAGAAACAACUUCAUCAUAUAUAUAGCUUUCGACUCACAAACAUGCAUGCCACCCAUCAUCACUUUCCUCAUUAUUGUGUUUUCUGGAGGCACCUUAGAUUUAAUUUGUUUUGGGAAGAGCCAGUUUAAGGGAGAGUAGCUUUCCUUUGGAAUUUGAGGGAAAUAUGGUUUGCUUGUUCCCGAGCCACACUGAAUCCUCAAUUUUUCCACACCCUGGAACAUCCCCAAUUAACACCACUUUUAUCAUUUUUUUUUCCACCAUUCUUUUAGAUUAAUUGCAUAUUGAUUGAAGGAGGAACCUUUCUCUGAGUCUAUAUUCAAAGGUCCUGUCCCUUGAGGUUGCAGAAUAUGAAUCCUUCCAUUUUAAAAUUAGAAUUUGACAAGUCGCAAUCUGCUCAGAGCAAGAGACAUAUAUAUCUAAGGUUGGUGUUUUAUUCUUUUCGUUGCCAUCAGAUGAUGGAAUAUUGAGAUGGGAUCGAAAACUGAUUAUGCCCAACAGUAGUCUGCAGUCUGCCUCAUAUUCUCUUUCACCAUGCUCUUUCACCUUAAGAAUACAAACCACCUAGCAGAAAUUAGAGCUGGUGACAACCCAGGCCUAAACUAACUUCCCAGGGAGCCUUUCACUCUUCUGGACUUGAAAUCAAGUAUUCUGAGUCCUUGAUCGAGCUCUUAAGGGGUUGUCUGAAUCCCUUUUUUUCUCACCUAAGAUUUUGGGCUCCAACUUUAUAAGGGUCUUCCAUCCAUGUUUUUCCUCCACCCAGAUCCCAUGUUUAGCGCGCCAGUCAACUUAGAGGUGCCAACUGCACUAAAUUAAUCGUUCUAUUUUUAAUCAUUAUGCUUCCCAAUAAGACUGGGUUGGUAAAGAUAGUCACCGCAUGCCAAGCCUACCUAGUAAAUAUCUAUCAUAUCUUGCGCAUCAUCCACUGUGUAAUCCCUUCUUUAGUGGCUACCAAGUCCAAGGAACCUGCAAUUGGUUUUUGUUUAACAUGAAAGCUUCUGGAAAUAAAAAAUUUGGUUACCUGCUCUGCCUAAACUAUGGGUUAGGUUUUAAGUUUUAGAAGUAGGUCUUGUUUGGGUGAAGUUGAAUUUUCCGACUACACCUACUAACUAACAGUAAUCGACUUUUCUGACCCACCAGUUUAUGCGUCUUUCCGCUUUUACAUACAGACCCAAUUCAAUUCAUGGUAGUCGUGUUUUUAAAAUUGUAAAUUUAGUCAAAUGAAGUGGCCGGGCUUCAACUUCAUGUUGUCUAGACUCUCUAGAAUUGCAAUUUAGUUAAAAUAAAAUAAAUAAACAUAGCCAAGAAGGCUCAAUGAUGACUCAAAUAAAAAUUGGCAAUUUCCCACAAAACAAAUAUUAGAAAGAGGAGUUGAAGAAAUCCAUACGACUUCUGGAAAAUGUUGUAGGGUUAGGUAGCUUUCUUCAAGUUGCAGAUUGGACCUUCCAUUGAGAAGGUGAGCAAACUAAGGUGGUGUUUGUUUUUUUACUUAAUUCUAAAUAGAACCUUAAUACUUAAUAGUAUUAAAUAUUAGGUUGUUUAUUUUUAUAGUAUUUUAUUUCUAUUAAGUAUUAAAAAGUAAGAAAAACCAUUGUGUUAUUUUUUCUAUUUAGAAAAAGUCACAUAUUUUGAUUUUUUCUAUUUAGUAAAAAGUUUAUAAUAAGUCAUAAAAAAGUAAAAAAACAAACAACUUAAAUUCUAAAACUAAAUGAUUUUCAGCAGAAAAUAAAAAAAACAAACACCACCUACGUCUCCCAUGUGAUAUUGAGGUAAAUAUUAUUAUUAUUAUGGAGUGGUUGUAGGUUUUGUACCUAAUACACCCAAGUCUUCCAGUUUUUCAGUAGGCAUUAGAAAUACGUUUUCCAUUUUUACUUGUAUUAAUCAAUUUUGGAUAACAAGGAUGAGAUCAUUCGUGGGCAAUUUGGUAAUCACACUCCUUCGAACGCUACAAUAAGUCGAUAGAAAUGCCGACGUGGCGACUUGAAUAUGACAAGAUUUCCAGAGAAUGGUAGCAGCAAUCGUGGAAUGGUCCGUGGCAGACCCCCACCACAUGGGCUCCACCACCAUCAACGUUAAAUACUUUACAGUCCAAUUUCAAAGGUCAACCAAAGCCACCGCCGACCUCCAAUCCUCCGACAAAUCCCCUCACCCUGUUACCAAAUGCCAUCUCACUCCACACUCCACCCCCUCCCCUCUCUUCUCCAUCCUCAAUGUCGCCGCCGCCGCCGCCGCCGCCGCCGCUACUCCUCCUCCUCCUUCCGGCCGUCCUUCUCAUCUGCUCCGGCCACCUCCCGGCCACUCUCUCCGCUGGUGUCACCUUCUUCCCCAACUGCAACCGCACUUUCAGCUGCGGCUCCCUCCAGAACAUCACCUACCCUUUCACUGGAGGCGACCGUCCGGAGCACUGCGGGCCACCGGGGUUCAGGCUAAUUUGCCGGGACGGGUACGCCGAGUUGAAGAUGAAGUCUCUGAUAUACCGAGUUCUUCGAAUCGACCAGACCGGUGAAAACCUAACCCUGACCAGGUUGGAUCUCUGGAAUAACACUUGCCCCUCCCAGUUCGCUAAUUCCACUCUCAAUUUCACUAUCUUCAAUUACGGCAUGGGUAACGAAGACCUAAACUUGUUCUAUGGCUGCGAUAGUGUGAAGCUAAUUACGCCUUACAAACAGUUUAAUUGCAAUGCGAGUGGCAGUGCAAGUGGCAAUUCAAGCUAUGCUUAUUAUUUAAUUGGUCCCGUUCCCGAUCCGAUUCUGAAAAUUAUUCGUUGUAAUACUAGCCUUAGGAUUCCGGUUCUUCAAUCAGCGGCGAAUAGUCUCACUGCCAAUAACAUCACCCUCGGCGAAGUUUUGACGGUGGGUUUCAAUGUGAAUUAUAGUAACCCCUGUGAAGCCAAGUGUUCAGCAUGUAUUGCCUAUGGUGCGCAAUGUGGAUAUGACUAUGAUAAGGAAGAACCCAUCUGUAUUUGCAGUGAUCGGAUUUGUCAUGUACGAGGUAUUCGAGCUUGCUCCAUGUUACUCAUUUUUCUUUGUAAGUGAUUUUAAUUGUGGUAUAGGUUAUGGAGAAUGGUUGGGAGACGAUUAGGAUGAUUAGUCCAGUCCUGAUAGCUUUUCCUUAAUGGAAUGAACUCAUUUUUGGUCUAUAGAUGGUUUAGGAUUGAUGCUUUGCAAUGGUCCGGGUUUUGCUGCAGACCCUGUUUUCACCAUUCUUUCACUCAAAAUGCACAUACGUCAUUCCAUUUUAGACAACUUGGCCUGGACAACCUACAUGCUAAGAUCCUGGAUUGCAACCAAACUUGAUCUAAUUCUGCCCCAAAGCAUGCUCUUAAAGUCUGAUUAGAGGAAAGGUUGUAAAAGCAAAUAAUGUAAUCAACCCUAAUCCCGGAAUUGUAAGUGAAUUGUUUAUCCUUGAAAAGAAAUUACUAAAUACAUGUCCUAACCCAUAUAGAUGUAGGCAGUAUAGGAUUCCAGUUCUGCAACCCAACUCAAUCUUGACCUCGUUUGUUCUGUUUGAUGGAUGUUGAAUUCUCUGAACAGAGUGAAAUUUGGCAAACUUGGGUCAACCCAAUUUUGCAUUUUAUGUCUCAGAAUUAUAAUGCACACAUUCUCUUCUCGACCUUGAAAUAAAGGAGAUGAAAGAAAAAAGGUUUAUAUGUUCUUUGUCUACGUACUUGUCAGUGAACUCAUUCUUUUUUGCUUUGUUCAAAAGCUAGAGAACUUCUUCCAACUCUGCUCUCAAGUGUCUAGCUUAUUAGAUUAAUAGAUGCUAACACAGUGCUUGAACAUCUUUCUGGCUCAUGAUUUCUACCCUUGUUAAUAGCACAAACUUCCUUAGUUAAACAUACAUCUAUAUUUCUGGCCCAAGAUAAAAUAAAGUAUGUAAUUCCUUGGUAGAUGAGAAACUGCUAUUUCAGUCUGAAUUUUCAAUCUUUCUACAGGUGUUUGGUACUCAAUUCUACAUCAUGUUUGAUUUCAGUGAGGGCUGACUUUCUUUUGGUAUCUUAAUUUGGUACAGAAGAAGAAGAGGAAAACUAUGUUAAGAUUUGGUCACUUAAGUUCUGCUAAUUCCUGUUUGCUUUUGCAUUCUGAAUUCUGUUUAUUGUUUUUUAUGAAUGUUUUUUGAUCUAUUACUUAACUUUUUCCUGUGUCGUGCUCUUAGUGCUGCUAUCUUUCUAAUUGAUUUCAAGCCAGCAAUCUUACUGGUGAAGGUGUCUGGCUGCCGAGUCUGCUAAAUCUAGAUUGUAUGAGACUGUGUCAGACAGACCAUCAAACCUCCCUAGUUUGCGAGAAAAUGGAGCCCCCACAACAACACUAUCACAUAUCCUUCCUUUAGUUCACUGCCAAGGGAAAAAUAAAAAUAAAAACACCCUACUUAACAGUAUGUCUUUAACAAUGGCAUCUCAAUUUGCAAAGAGAUUCUGGUCAACAAAUGUAUAUAAUGUUUUAUAAUUGUUUCUGUAUCGACACUUUCUACAUCCAUCACCUGCUUCCAUUUCAGUGAAUAGCCUAGUAGGCUAUGAUUUUAGUGGCUUUGUUGAUUGGAAGGGUUAUGAGGAAAAUCUUAGUUUCUAACAAAUAUUAAUUAGGAUGAUCAAUAAGGGCCUGAUUGGUUAGUUUGUAUUACCAUUGUGUUAUAUAUGUUCCUUUUUUCUAUCUGCAUACAAAAUAAAUUUCCCAUUAGUUACUUUGACACAGUCAUUCAUGUUUCAACUGACAUUGGCUGUAUUUCAUGAAUGUUGCAGGGACAGGCGGUAAUAAUGUACCAAAAACAGUAGGUAAUACCUCUUAUUUCAAACAGAUUUGAACGCCUUCAAAAUGGUUCUUGUCUUGAAGCAGAUUUAGAAUCCUUUUCUUCCAUUUUCAGGCUAUUCCGUAUUAGGUGCAGUCCUUUUGGGCAUUUUCCUUGGAUGUCUCUUCUAUUUUCUUGCCCAACGGCGAAGACGUGCAUCCAAAGCUAAAAGCAAGGACCUCCCUACUCCUCCUUCAAGCAAAGGCAUUGCACCAUCCUUAACUGGUUUCUCUGAGAGCAUCCCCUCUUAUCCCUAUACAAAGUCUGACAUUGAAAAGGGGAGCACCUACUUUGGAGUUCAGGUCUUCAGUUACAUGGAACUUGAAGAAGCCACUAACAAUUUCGACCCAUCUAGAGAACUUGGAGAUGGAGGAUUUGGCACUGUUUACUACGGUUAGAGGACCAUAACUUUUAAUAUCUCUUGCAAUUAGCGACUUAACUCACCGUCAAAUAUUUGGUUUUCCUUUUUCUGAACUUCUAUUUCAAUUCUUUGUUCAGGUAAACUACAAGAUGGGCGUGUAGUUGCAGUUAAGCGCCUAUAUGAGAAUAAUUUCAAACGUGUUGAACAGUUCAUGAACGAAGUUCAGAUCCUAACUCGUUUACAACAUCAAAACCUCGUGAAGUUGUAUGGGUGCACCUCAAGGCGAAGCCGAGAACUCCUCCUUGUUUACGAAUAUAUUCCUAAUGGAACUGUGGCAGAUCAUCUUCACGGUAAGCAAGCAAACUCUGGCUCGAUCACUUGGCCCGUAAGGUUGAGCAUCGCCAUAGAGACAGCCAAUGCACUGGCUUACCUCCAUGAGUCAGAAAUCAUACACCGUGAUGUCAAAACAAACAAUAUUCUCCUGGAUAACAAUUUCCAGGUAAAAGUUGCUGAUUUUGGGCUUUCUCGAUUGUUCCCGACUGAUGUCACCCAUGUGUCAACUGCACCACAAGGGACGCCUGGCUAUGUUGAUCCCGAGUACCAUCAGUGCUACCAACUGACGAGCAAGAGCGAUGUUUAUAGCUUUGGGGUGGUUUUGAUGGAACUUAUAUCAUCAAAACAAGCUGUGGACACCAAUAGGCACCGGCAUGAUAUUAAUUUGGCCAACAUGGCUGUGAACAAAAUUCUAAAUCAUACGUUGCAUGAGUUGGUGGAUCCAUCCCUUGGGUUUGAAAGUGAUUCUCUUGUAAGGAGGAAAAUAACGUUGGUGGCAGAGUUGGCUUUUCGGUGUCUGCAACAUGAGAGGGAUAUGAGGCCUACCAUGGGAGAAGUGCUCAAGGCUCUGAGACGAAUUGAGAAUGAAGAGAGCGACGUGCAGAAAGCAGAGGAGGUGGAUAUAAACUCAGAGGACAUCGGGCUUUUAAAGAGUAACCCUCCCCCGGUCUCUCCAGAUUCAGUGGUGGCUGAUAAAGGGGUCAACCCUACUACACCUUAUUCUUUCUAGUAGGUUGAGAUUUCAUUUUUGCUUAAAUUUGAGACUAGAAUGGUUUAAGUAUUACUCACACUCGUGAUAGGAUGUCACCGAGUGUAUUAGAAUUUCAUUGUCUUGGGAACCACCUGGCUUUGUCAUGAUGUUCAUAGAAGAUAAAUGCAAGCAAACAUACCUAAUAUGUGCAAGUUUCAGGGAAUGUACAUAGUAAAAUGAAGAUAGCAGCACAAGUAUGCUGAUCUUCUUUUAUUGGAUACACCUGUUCGCAUGCUUUCAUUGCUUUGUUUACUUUUCAAGUUUUCUCAGAGAAUUUUGCUUGUACUGCACAUAGAGUUCUGCGUUCACAAUUAAACCACCGCUUACAUCAUCAUCUCAUACUCCAUAUUUAGCGGCAGCUUCUCUUUGGAUUUUUUGUUUCCGAAUUACUUCGGAAAGGCAUAUUCUAUUUUUUUUUUUUUAAUUUUUUUAUGUGAUUGAAAUACAAAAUGAUUGGAUGUGACACAUCAUCCCAAUCAAGCAUCGUUUCGAAGCAAAUCCCAUAUUUCUUAAUAUAAAAAAAUGGUACUCGUCAUUCUUUAAAACAUAAGUGAAAUAAAAAUGAAUAAUUAACUUAAAAUAAUAAUGAAAUUAAUUAUUUUCGAAAUCCUGAGAAGCUGCCACGUGCAAGCGGGAAGCUCAUCCACCAGAUUCACUCCCACGAUGCUAACACCCAAAACGGACCCCAAAAAGAACCCAUCCGUCCUUAUUUUUCAUUAUUAUUAUUAUUAUUAUUACUGUAAGGAGGAAAAAAAAUUAAAAAAGAAAGAAAGGAAAAAAAAACAAAAAGGUAGAAAAGACUAAAGAGUAAAGAAGGAUGGAAGAAUCAAAAUAGCGAAUGCACUCACCUUAUUCACGCUCUCCUCUCUCAAGCAAUCAUCACUCACAGAACAGAUCCUCCAAGACCCUCCAUCAGCAUUCAUUCCAAUUCCAUCUUUUUCUACAGAGGCAAAGUAGAGACACAAACUGCUAGAUUUUGAUCUCCAAUGGCUACUCUCCAGAAAUUCAAGCUCCUGGCCACUCAGUGCGCCGUCGCCGGAAGUCCGACGCGGAGCCCGACCACCAGCCCCGUCGUUCAUCUCCGUCGCCGCAAAACUCUGCGAAUGCUCCUCAGCCGCAACGCCGGCCGCCGGAUGUCGCGGCGGGAUAGCUCGCCGGAUCCACCAGGGAUCAGCGAGGAUCCACCUCGGAGGCCGAAGGAGUUGUCCGCCAGUCACAAGCUGAAGGAUUUGUUCAUCUCCUCGCCUCCACUUGAAGAUAGGGUUUCCGAGAAGGUGAGGAGUUCCGUCGAUGAGCUGCCGACGGCGGAGUCCACUGAGAACAGCGGCUCCGGUGGCCGCCGAGGCGGGCCCAGUUACAUCAGGCCGUUAUCAGCGGCGUUUCGGCAGCGGUUGCUGAGAAGGGCUUGGCGACCCGUGCUGGUAACCAUACCAGAAUAGUCGCUGGGAAAUGUACGGAUAAUUCCAUUUUUUAAUUUUUGGAAAUUGUAUUUUAUUUUAAUUUUCACUUUUUUUCUUUAAUUUAUUGUGCGUGGAUAACCCCAAAUUAUUCCGUGCCGCAUAGUUCUAACGGGCACCGCAUGGUGCUAACAUGAACAUACAUGCGACACCGACAACCAUUAUGAUGGCAAGAUCGGAUGGGCGCAGAGAAGCGGGGUGCAACCCAGGUGGCGCAUUUUAGCAAGAGAAUGUGCCACCAGCAUCAUAAAUAUGGACCAGAGGAAACUUCAGUGUGUUUGCCACAAAACUAAAAAAAAAUAUAAACUUAGGCUUAGAUUGAUUUGUGGGGGCGUAGGUCUUAGGAAGUGGGAUACAUAAUGAGGACAAGACAGAAGGUGAUUAGUAAUGUAAUUGAAAGUUGUGUCUCUUGCAGUUCCAUGUGUGAUGUGUAGUGAGAUGCUAACAUAAUUGUGGUUGGGGCGGUGACCCAUCUUGUCCUUUCGAGGUCCCAAACCCCUCCUGCCCCAUCUGAUAAGUACAUUGAUCUUGAUUGGACGAUCUUGGUGUGGGGGGCACUCUGCCUUUAUUGUCUCUAUUGCUAGCGAACCCUCAUUCGCUUUUAAGCCGUUGCUCUUGGAUUUUUCCACCCUCCCUUUGGUAAUUCUCUUUACCUUACAUGGGUAAUAACUAUGUAAAACAAGAUUGCUACAAUCUUAUAUAAAUUUGAAGAUGGAGGCUGUGCUAUUACAAUAUGGAUGUGAGAUGAUGAAAUUGGGUAGUACUAGGCUAGCCUAAAAUGUUGUCCUGUUUUUAAUGAUGAUGGGGGUCUAGUGUGAUCAAUCAAUUGAUGGUUAGAUUAGCCUUUGCCUCUUUAUGGGGAAAAUUGCCAUGCCUCCCUCUUACCGCUUCACAUGAUUAAAGUUGUACGGUAUAUAUAUAUAUAUAUAUAUAUGUAGUAGUGGGCUUCAUUCCCAUGCAUUACCAUUCAUCAACCAACAUCAUAAUUCAUAUUUACAAGCUCCAAGGGCUUUCAAUCCUCUGUUCUACAAGUGUUUUUAAACUGCAUGUUUUGUCGGUCACACCUUUUACUUUUAUGGUGUGUCAAUAUAAUAAACAUUAUUAUUAUUAUUAUAAUAAUAAUAUGUGGGCUAAGGUAAACAUCAGCAAAAGAAAAAAAGAAAAGUUACCUUUUAAAGAAACAUCAAUUAGAUGCUAUUCCAAAUAUCACUUUCAAUGAUUUUUUAUAUUUUUGAAAAAUGAUUAAUCUUAUCAAAAACCUAAAUUUCAUAAGAAAAAUAUUUCUAAACAUUAAAAUUUUUUUAAACCUAAGAGUUUGAUUUCUUUGACUUUUUUUUUAGUAUAUAUGUAUAUAAAUGAAAAGUUUUUAAGAAAUAGUUUUUUUAUAAAAUUUAAUAUUUACUAUUUAAUUUUUAUUUUAAAUAUUAAAAUUAUUUAAUAAAAUUUAUUCUAAAUUAUCAAAUUAAUAUAUUUAUUUUUAUAAAUUAUAAUUAGGGAAAAAGAGGUAAAAUAACAAUAAAGAUAUCGUAAAGCAGUAAAAGAAUUAUAAAAAUAAUUAACUCAAAUGAUGGAAAAAAAAUGUAAAAUAAAAAUUAAAUUUAAGAAUAAAUUAAUCAUUUUUAUUUAUUAUUUAAAAUUAUUUUUUAUUUUAAGUUAUACUAUUAUAUUAUUUUAUUAAAUAUACUUAAUUUAUUUAAUGAGUUCAAUUAAAUUAUUAAAUCAUUUAAAUGGUUUAUUAAGUUAUUAAAAUUAGACCAAAUAUGCGCCGGACAACUUACACCAGAUGAGCAAUUGAGGUGGCAAAAAGAAAAAACAAUGGCCUAAUUCCCCACCUUUCACGUGCUUUGUCUCAUUUCCGUCAGAGUGCGGCCAUCCUACGCUCAGUUUUUAAAGGACAAAUUACUCAUUUACUUCAGAUGUCAACCCAAAAGGAUUAAAAUCAGACCUAGAUUCCUUUCGUUCUUUUCAUUUUUUCCCCCCUCUUUUGCCAAAUAAUAUUAAAAUUACAUUUCCAAACUAAAAAAGUAGACUUGUUUCGCACCUACACGAAGAAGAAGGCAUAGAUGCUCAGCCCAACCUAACCAUCCUACUAUUUCACAAAAUAAAAAUGGUUCAAUUGGAGUUGAAAAGGUCUAAAAGACCCUAAACGUAAGGGUUGGAAAGGAGAAGAAGAGAGGAGGAUGUGAAUUAGUAGAUAUUGGUUCCAUCAGCCAUGUCAUAGUUGGAAUUGUACCCUACCUAUAUCUACCCUACUAAUAUCUACAUUUGAUUCACGGGUGUAAUUGUGCCAUACAAACCAAUGUCAAUGCCACACCCACUCAUGCAAAUUGAAUAUUUUUAAUAAUAUUUUUUCAAAAAAAUAUAAUUCUAUUUAUAAAUUAAAAUUAGUUAAAUUCUAAUUAAAUGGAAUUAAACAUAUUGGAUUCAAGUUACAAAAAGCACUCCUGCAACAAAAAUUGUAAUCCGGCUGAGGGAGAUAUCUAUCUAAUCCUUUGACUUUUGUUUUCUCACUCAAACUGUAUAAUUUAAAAAAAUAAAAUAAAAAUAAAAAUUCUAUUAAAAAAAUUAACUAAUAUGUUUUAAAAAUAUCUUAAUUCAAGCAAAUACUGAUUCAUUGGGCCUGGGCAGUUGAGUGUGGAUGAUGAUUCAAUAAGCUUAACCAAAACCCAACCCAUUUAUAAUUGGUUGGGUUUACAAUUGGAUCUAUGAAUGGGCUAAGCCCAAGAGCGGGUGCAACUUGAUGGGCUGAUCUUAUCCAACCUCAGUCCAGUCAAGUUAAGUAACUAGAAUUAGUGAUCAGAUUAAAAUAAACUUGGAAAUAAGUACUUGGGUUGGGCUUUUCUUAAUUGAGGCGGGUUGGAUUGGAGUUGGAAGCCUAGAAAGAUUUGGUAGCCGGAAGAUUUGAAUACCAAUUUGACAUAGGCAACCAGAAAGCACAGAUCCUAUUAAGCCCAUGGGAUUGGGAUUUGUUUCAGACUUUUUUUUUUUCCUUUCGCUUUUUCUUUUAUUUCCAUUUUUUAUUCUUUUAUUUCCUUUCUACCCAAUUAUCUAGAAAUUUAUGUGUUGAAAUUCUUUAUUUUUUUUUAAUGUAAAACAAGUUUAAAAAAUAGAAAGUAUAUGAGAAAAAUAUAUUAAAUUCAAUAUAUAUUUUUAUUUUCUUCCAAUUUUUUUUUUCAAUUUUCUCACUAUUUUCUUAUUUUAAUUUUUUCCUCACACUUUUGGUAAGGAAGUAAAUAAUCAAAAUAUUAGGCCUUUUUGUUUAGAUCGCUUUGUAUUUCCAUUUUUAAGAAAAACAAAAGUCAAGCCUUUUGUAUUUUAAUUUUCUAGAAAAUUGAGUUUAGAAAAUAGAAAAAAUGAAAAUGCUAAUUUGGCAUUUUCAAAAUUUUCUUACAAAAAAUAAAAAUAAAUUAAAAAAUAGCUUUAUAGUUUUAAAAAAUAGAAAAAUGUUUUUAAAAAUUCAUUACAUUGUUUGACCGUUGUUCUUUAUUUUAAAUUUUAAAAAAUAAAGUAAAAUAGAGAAUAGUUUUUAAAGAAUAAGUAAAAAUUAUUUUCAUUAAUUUUUAAAAAUAAAAGAAAAAUUAAAAAUCAUAAAAAAAUAAGUAAAAUUGAAUAUGAUAUCAUUUCUUCUCUCUCCGUGAUCCAAUAUCAACAAGAAAAAUAUUUAAAUAUGGUAUUUUUUUAAAAUUACAAGUAUUUUUCUAAAUCUCUUUUAAAUUUUUAAAAAUUUUUCAUUAAGCAAGUGAAUUCAAAAUCAAACUAUACUUGAUAGAUAAAUUUAUUAUGUUUUAAAAAUAAUUUAAAUUUUAAAAUAUAUUUUAUUAGUACUAAAUAGUCAUAGAACUUAAUAACAUUAAGAAAUCAUUUACCAAAAUUUAUUUUAAAUAACUUUGAUAGUUUAUUCGUUGCAUAUAUCAUAUUUUUGCAAAUAAUUUUCACUUAAACUUCAAAUUAGGUAAGAUUUAAUGAGUUGGACUCAUUAUCAAGUCUAGUAAUUUUUAAAAAUAACUUAAGAAUAAAAUAAUAAUCAAAUUAAUACAAGAAAUUUAUGAGCAAAAAUUAGCCUAUAAUGAUUAUUGUUUCUCACAUAUAUAUUUUUAUUUUUAUUUUACUAGACAAAAAAAUUUCAAAUCAAAUAAAACUUAACGUGUUAGAUUCAUUAACUUAAUAGAAUUUGUGGAUAAAAAGUAGUUAACAAUUACUUUAUUAUUUCCUUUUUUCACAUAAUUAUAUUUUUAUAAAUUUUCUCAUAAACUUCAAAUUAAUUGACACUUUGUAUUUAAUUUGUUAAUGAAUUUAACAAAUUUUAAAAAUAAAUCAAAACUCAAAAAAUGAAUCUAAUUACUACCAAAAAUAAUAAAUCAAAAUUGAUAUAUCAUAAGUAAUGACUUCAUUGUUUCUCCUUCACAUAUAACUAUAUUUUCAAAAUUAAGUGAGAUAUGAUCAAUAAUUAAUUUUUUUUAAUGAAUCUUUUAAUUUCUAAGGAUGAUUUGGAAUUCAAAAAAUCGAUCCAAUUAAUUAUAAAUUAAAUAAAAGCAUUCCAAAAAUACUAUUUUAGCACUAAACAUGUGCAUAUGUAAUAAAAAUUUUUAAAAUAUUACUAACAAUUAUUAUUAUUCAUUAAAAAAUAUAAUUAUACUUUUAUGCGGAUGUUAAUGUCCAUAUUUUUCUGACAUAUACUAAACUAGUAAUUUUUUUUUAUAAAAAAAAAUAUAUAAUUUAUGAUUUUAUUGUGGUAUUUUUCAUAUUUUACUAAAAACUAUUUAUUCUUCAAUGUAUUUAUAAUUACAAAAGUAAUUUUCAUUUUUUUUUAAUAAAACUUGAAUUAAUUUUAAUUAAUAUUAUAUAAAUUAAAUUUAUAAAGUCUUUACAAAAUAAAAAUAGAAAAAAUACUUUUAAAAAUAAUUUAUUUAAACAAAUUUUAAAAUAAAUUACCAAACAUCCUUUUUUUUUUAUAAAAUACUAAAACAAUUAUUUUUUUCUUUAAUUUAAAAACAAUUUCUAAAAAUAAACAUAAUGAAAUAUGAUGAAAUGGACCCAAGCAUCUUAUAACACCUACUUGUAGACCCCAAAAUUUGCCCCAAACUCUUUUAUUUUUUACUUUUGUUUUUAUUUAUUUAUUUAUUUUUACUUUUGUUUAUUUUAUUUAUUUUAGGACUUUUGGUUAGUAUUUAUUAGGCUUAUUUUUUUAUUUUUUUAUUUAUAACUUUUAACCCAAGUUUUAUUGGAAAAUUAAUCUUAACCCUUCAUUUUAUUUAUUAUUUUUUUCAUCAAAUCCACACCACUCAUUUCAAACAAAACCCUUAUCUUCUCAAUUUUCUCUCCAUCUCAUCCUACGAUCGUCAGCCUCUUCACUCACAUUUUUCUCCAUAUUCUCUUCCUUCUUUGUUUACUUUUUUUUAUUUACUUUUCCUUCUUCUCCAUCUCAUUUUUUUCUCAUCUAAUGGCGACGCCAUUGUCGACAACAUCUAGGGAUGGCAAUUUUGUGGGCUAACCGAGUAACCCGCCCCGCCCCUAUUGGGAUGGGUGUGAAAUAUAAAAAACGGGUAUAGGUCGGGUUUGAGAAUAUUUUAAUAGGUACGGAAUUUGUUCCAACCUACCCCACCCCGCCUCGGAUAUAAAUUUACAAAAUUAUCCUUUAACUACUAGUAAAAUGUCAAAAAACUCUCCGUAUAUAUAUACUUCAUUAUUUCCCAUUUGCCCUAAUUCUGACAGCUACUCCUUCUUCUUCUUCCUUUGAUACACCGUCUUUCAUUCUUCCCAUUUGCCAUAAUUCCAAUAGCCGCUUCUUCUUCUUCUUCCUCUGAUGUGCUGCUUGAAACUCUAUCUCCAAGAUCAAUUCCAUUUUUUCUUCCUCUCUUACACCAACUAAAAUACUCCAAAAUCAAUUCCAUUUUGCUCUUGGUUUAGCCUAAGAGCCCAAAACUCCUAUAUCGUGACAUCAAACUAGUCAUAGACUUCGAUCUCCUUGCCCUAAAUUUGUGCAACACAAUCAUCUAGAGCAUCACCUUGAAGUCUUUGUCCAAGAGCACAACUUAAAAGGAAUGCGACAACCUUUGAAGUAGUGGAUUUGAUGAAGUCUUGGUUCAAAGAUUGGCUUGAAGAGGGAUUCACAUCCAUGGCUGAUAUUGACCCAUUUUCCUAUUUGGUUCAUUGUUCAUUCUGUUUUCUUGUAAAUUGUUUAGAUGAUUUUUUUUUUUUUUUGUAUUUUGUAUUUUGCAUUAAUUUUGAAUCAUUUAAGCUAACUAUGAACUUAAAAAUAUUGAUUGUUGUGGUGUUAAUUUCAACUUUGAUAUUAUUUUUUCAUAUUUGGUAUGUUAUCAUAAUCUCAUUAUUUUGCGAUGAAAGGAAAGUGCAUUUAGGUAUAAGAUCUACUCAUCACCAAUUAGGGUUAGAGCUCACAUUCGGGACGAGACGGGACGGGACGGGGAUAGGGUUAUUAAUGCUUUUGUUAAUGGGGAUGGGGACCAAUCAACCUGCCCCAACACAGGUUUGUGUCGGGGAUGAGAAAUAACUAUAUAAUCGGGUGUGGGAAUGAGAUGGGAAUGACCCAUCCCAAACCCGCCCUGUUACCAUUCCUAACAGCAUCACUAUCACCUCCAUCUUUCUCUCUUUCUCAUUUCCCACCCAUUUCAUCCACCAUCUCCAUCACCCCAAACCUCCCAAUCGUCACCCUAACAAUCAUGGUUGUGCCACUCAACCCCAUAAAAUUCUACAACAAUAGUCUUCCCUACCCCCACAUCUACAUUGAUGUCAAGUUGAACCCUUCUCGAGUUGAUUUGCCUGCACGGAUUCUUCAAAGGGAGAUAAGUUUUCUCUGCAUUGAUUUGUACAGUAAUGGUUUGUGGGAUUUGGGUAUUUUCUUUGGAUGAUUGGAUGUGGGUUAUUGGAUUUCCUAUUAGGCCUUUGAUUUAUCCCUUUACGUCUGUUUUGGGUUGAUUUUUGUUUCCUAUUUAUUGGUAUUGGACUUUGGCUUGUAAGAUUGUUGUUUGGUUUGAUUUGGGCCUAAUUGCAUUUACUUUAUUAUUCCUUUGGGUCCCUUGUGUUCGAGUUGGUAUCUUGACAUGGCAUUGAGGACGAGAAGAGGCAAAUUUGCGGCACAAUGUUUUAGUUGGAGUAGUUGAAGCGAGGUAUAGGCAAAAGCAAAUUAGAUUGGACGGAAGAGACUUGUUACAUAUAUUUUCAAUUUUAUUUUUUAUUUUUUAUUUUAAGGUAAGAAACUGGAGAAUGAGGUUUGGGUGUAUUUUCUAUGAGUAUUUUGGAGAGUUGAGUGUUUGAUACAUUUGAGCUUCAUUUUGGAAGCUGUGGGAGACCUACUACUAGGCACUAUAGAGGUUACUCUUUCAUCCGUGUCCUCCAAGUUUUGUUGUAUAUAUUCAUUUCAAUUUUCUUCUUGUAUACAUGUAAAUGGAUUAUUAGUGUUUAGAUUUUUUAUUUUAUAUGUAUGUUUAAUUUGUUAUUCAUAGAUAUAUUUUUGUUUCCAUUUAUUUGUUAUUCUUAUUUAAUAUGCUCUGUUAGCCUUUGUUUUGAGAAAAUGUAAUUUAUUUAUUUGUGUUUUAUUUUUCUAUUGAGAGAAUAAUCCAAUAAUGGGAUACUAUUUUUGUUUGAAAAAUAUUUUAUUUUAUUUUAUUUUAUUUUUUUCUUCUUGCCUUUAAUGAAUGAAAAUUCUUUUUAGAAUAACUAUUUACUCCUUUUUAAUAAAUGUUUGUUCAAUAAUCUGGAUUUUUUUAAAGAUUUCUUUUUAUAUUAAUAAAUAUAAAAACCAUUUUCUUAAAAUCAUAUCAGAAACCUUUUUUUUUAAAUAAAAAUAAAAAUAAUACUCUUCAAAAAUUGAAAAACGAUUUUUUUUAUUUAUAAAAAUAAGGAAAAAGAAACAUUUUUAGAAUAAAAUUGAAAAGGAAAAAGAAUGUAUUUUUUAUUUAAUAAAAUUGAAUUUCCCUUUUAAAUAUAUUGAGAAUUUUUUUAAAUAAAUCUUUUUUAUUUUAGAAUAUGAUAUCACGUUAUUUUAAUAAAUUUGAACUUUUUUUUCUUUCUUAUUUUUUAUAUAAUCAUAUAUAUAUAUAUAUAUAUAUAUAUAUAUAUUACAAAAAAAUGUGGAUAACUUUUUAAAAAAAAAAUAAAAAAAAUAAAUUGUAAAGCUUUUCUAAAUAAAUUUGAAAGUUAUUAUUUUUUUUUGUAAAGUAUAAUUUUUUUUUCUAAUUCAAAUAAAAAUUGGUUUUUGUCAAUAAAUAUUUUGUAAAUAUUUGAAAAUAUAUAUUUAAAACUAUUUUGAAUGUAAUUCUUUUAUAAAUAAAAUUGUAAAAAGUCUUGUUUAUUUAAUUGAAGUGUCUUUGCUAGAUAAAUGUAUAAAAAGUAUCUUUUUCUAAAUAACUUGUAAUUUAUUUAUUUAUUUUUAAAUAAAAGUUGAACUGAAAUGCUUUUGCAAAUAAGAUUAUAAAAAUUCAUCUUUUUUUAAAAAAAAAAUGUAAAAUAAAAAAUAUUUUUUAUUGCAAAAAAAAAAAAACCAAAUUGAUUUUUUUUAAAAAUAAAAUAAAAUUAAAGUUUCAUUUUAAUAAAUUCUUUUGACAAUAAUAAGUGUAAAUAACUUUAUUGAAAAUUGAAUACAAAUGAAAUUGAAUCAAAUCACUUGAAGAAAAUAUAUUGAAAUCAUUUUGUUUUUUUGUAAAUAAAUAAAUCAAAAUCACUAAUUCAAAAUUUUUUUUUAAUAAAAUCAUUUGAAAUUUCUUGAAAACUAAUUCUUUCAAAUAACUUUUUUCUAAUUAGUUCAAUAAAUCAAUUUGCAUAAUUCUAUGGUCAUUUGUUUUGUAUAUUCUUGUAAUUUUAUUUUGUCAUCAUCUUUAUGUUUAUUGUUUCGUUUUUUUAAUCUUGGUAUCCAUGAUUAAUUAAUUAAUUACCAUAAUUCCUUAAUUCGUUUAUUAGAGACCAUAUGAAUACGAGUUUAGAGGGGUGCUACGGCUUACCACCGUACUUUCCCAAUAGGUAACCUGACCCUUGGACCAGACUUGGUUUUUCACUGACUAGUUUUUGUUUUAGGAGUCACACUUAGGGUUUUUCUUUCUUAUUUUAUUUUUCCAUUUAAAAAUAAAACAAAAGUAAGUGGCGACUUCAAGUCUUUUUAAAAAUCAAAUUUUCACCAAAUAAAAAGCGAAUCUCACAAUCAACUGGAGACGCAUGUGAAAAACGCAGAUCUACAAAAUAACGACUCCACUGGGGAUAUUUAGAGGGUCAAACUUAAACUCGAGUUGAGAGAAAUGUGGCGUUUGAUUGGUCGAUCAAUGGAUACCCCUCUCUACAUGUCUUUGUAUGAUUGGGUAUUGAUUACACGUUGAGAACUUUGAUAUGUUUAUCUGUGAUGCAUGUUUGGUUAUUAUUGUUCAUUGGAGAUGUUCACAUGUUGAUUAUAUCGAUUGAUUCUCUUACCUACUUUUGCGUAGUGACUUUUCUUGUUGUAUGAUUAUCUUGCUAUCCUUGACAUGUAUGUUCUCAUUUUUGUAUAUCUCAUUCAUCUUGGCAUGAUUGAUUCUCUUUGUUGUAUAAUAUCUUGUUUGUCUCAACAUAUUGUCUAUUUUGUGAUAUACCUAUCUUGCUUAUCAUAUUCCCAUCUAGCUUGUGUGUAGAUAUGAGUGAUAUACCUAUUAUUUUCAUAACUGCUUGGUGCAUGACUGUUCUUCUUCUAUGUGAUGCAUUUAUUGCUUGUCUGUGUGGGACACACAUCUAUCCCAUUUCCUCCAACUCUCUGGUCUCGAUCGACCUUGUUUCCCUUGAUCUUGUAUUUGAUAUGAGACUUGUUUCUUUGUUUGCUCUUCGAUCGAGCUAGUGAUUCGGAGUAGGGUUUAGUAAUGGGCUAUAUCUAUGUUUGAGAGCAUUCUAGAGAAAGUUAACACAUUGAUGCUGAUUGGAGUCCGAUCUUUGAAGACUUUUAUAACCUAAAACUAGAUUUCAGGAUAUUUGUGUGACCAAUGUGUUUUCUUUCCGCUUAAUUUGAUAAGAUUUUCAAAUGCACCCACACUGUUCACUGUGCACCUUAGAUUAUUACUAAGUGCUGAGAGAUAUGAGAGUCUUCACCAUUAGGAAACCUUCCAGGAUAUGAGAUAGUGCAUGUGUGGAGGUGAUAACCAACUUGCAUGGAAACAACCCCGUUUUUUCGAAGGUAUGUAAGAGGUUGUGUACUAUCAGAGGGUACGAUCAUUUUUUCUCUACUAGUUAUUCUUUAAAGUCCACCUUUUUUUGUUUCUAGAGUUGCCUUGACCUCGUAGGUUGAGUCUUAGAUCAUUCGAUUAGGAUUCCUUUCCUAUACACGGGUGCAUUUGAGAGCCUUUGGGACCUCCUUAGUCACGGUCUGGAUCCAAUACUCCCCAUUUUGGUCUCUGGUAGAGAGUGCUUAGAGAUUAGUGCGAAUUUGAGUAUCAGUUGAACCACCCCUUGUUGUAUGGUGUUGGCUUCUUCUUGUUGCUCAUUGAGUUUAACACAUUUUUCUCUAAGGCUUUAGACAUAUUUCCUUUCGUGAGCCAGUACACUCUUUUGGUUUAUUGUCAUUAUAUUUGAUACUUUAGGGUAUGCUCAUCAAUCAUGUUCACCUUUCUACACUUAUCAUGUGCUUGAUAUUUCAUUAUUUGAUUGAUUCAUUUGAUUCCAUUUUCAACCCAAUGGUUAUCAUUUUGACUACGAAAAGGUGAAAGACUCGUUUUCACAUUCAUACAUUUUUUAGAAAUCUACCUUGAUCACCUUAUCAUUUUUCUUUAUGAAGCUGGGUUGAAAGUGAAUUAAGGAUAUUUUGUUGUAGAUUGAGUAUCGAUCUCGUGAUAGCAUUAUUCUUCACACCUCAUUUAUUUUCUAGAUUAUUAAUAGAAAUUUUUUAGUCAUAUUUGUAGCCAUCUCACACUGGACACUCCUGUGACUCUAGAGUUUCUAUCAUAUAUCCAAAUUUUGAUUGUCACCAUAGGAUCGUGUAUCACACCUUAUCAUGUAUUGAGUUGUGUUGUAUCAUGCAUUGGUCAUUGUUCGUUGCAUCCUAAGCCAUUGCAUGAGUCAUGUUUGAGUCGUUUUGUUUUUUUCUUUUCUAGGAGUCUAUUUGUAGUCCUAGUCUUGGUUCAAUGCCCUGAGUUGAGUUGGAAAGAGGCUGAUUCAUAUCACAUAGCUAUUAUAGAUGGAUUCACAAUCAGUUUCUGUUGAUCAACUUACCACUUCUAUGGCUUUGAUUCAAGAGGCAUUGACCAAUUUGAGUCAGAGAAUGGAUACUCAACAGAGUGGGCAUGUAGUGCCCAAUAACACACUAUCUGAUUUAGUACCACCACCACCUCAACUCGUUUAGAUACCAGCUAUACAAGCCUUGCAUACCACUUCAUGGGAUUAGGUUGCUGUCGUUCCACCCAUUGUCACACCGACUACUGUUAUUAAGUAUCCCCACUCUCGCAUAGACAAACUUGAGCAAAUGAUUACAUGGAUGAGAGAUCCUAAGGGGACAAUUUAUUAGGAUGACACUGAUGAUAUGCCAGUGGCCACUUUGCCAACCGAUUUCAGGAUGCCUAAGAUAGAGAGAUAUAUUGGUGUUGGAUGUCCCCGUAUUCAAACUUUACAGCACAAUUAUGUGGGCUCUUGGUCUAGAUGAGGCACAAUUGCUCACUUUGUUCCCAUUGUCAUUGAGCGGUACAACACAGAGAUGGUAUGCUUCAUUAGAGUAAUCUUGUAAAGGACUUGGGAUGACUUAGCACAGGAUUUUCUAAGACAAUAUUCAUUCAGUAGUGAUAUGGGUGUUGCACGUAGAGAGCUUGAGUCUCUUAGACAUAGAUCAAAUGAGCCUGUUUUUUCUUUUAGAUGUGCAUGUUUUUUAGGAGUUUGCAACCUAGAUUUGCUCAACGUCUAACGAGGGUCUCUUUCUAGGAUUUCAUAUCAUUGGUUCGGGCUUUGUUCGAUGUGGAUGAGAGUAUAUUUAAAGGAUUAUGGUCAUGUAUUACUCUUUUCCCAGAUAUGAAGAGGAAGAGAGUUAUUAGAUCAUCUGACAACUAUGGAGUUGUAUGUUUUAUGAGCUUUCAACAUUGAUGACCUGGUUAUCAUCAUACGCCAGAUCAUUGCAGAUACCUAGAAGUGAUUUCUCUCCCUCACAACAUCGUCAUCCUUAGUUGGUUCAAUAGUAUCCUUCUACGCAUCCUCAUACUGCCAUAGUACGACCUUUAUUUUAGUUUCAACGUCCACAAACUAGUAUCCCAUGACAUGAGCAAUCUUGUCCCCAUCAGCGACUUUGGAGAACUUAUUUUGAUUUGGGGAUACCCUUGGAUAGAGCUUUUGAGUGACUCAGAGCUAUUGGUUUUUUAGUACCAUUGGCCCCCUAGAUCAUCCUCGAGUACUUUGUCUCCACAUUUUCAUGCUCAUAAGUUCUGUGCAUUUCACUAAAUAGCAGGUCACCGUACCGAUUAUUGUGUUUCUUUGCGUCAUAACAUACAGGAUCUUAUUGAUAGUGGUACAGUUAGUUUUUCUAUAUCGACCACAGAUUACUGAUCUUGGUCCAGAUAUGACUAUUGAUUCCUUUCCAACCUAUUCCACACAUGCAUUUCCUCAUCUUUCAGGCUUAUAUCAUCAUGUUUUAGAUACUUUGAUAUCAAUCGUAGACCUUUGUUGAUGUAUUUUUUGAGCGACUCAAAGCUAUUGGUUUUUUAGUACCAUUGGCCCCUAGAUCAUCCUCGAGUACUUUGUCUCCGCGUUUUCAUGCUCACGAGUUCUGUGCAUUUCACCAAAUAGCAGGCCACCGUACCGAUUAUUGUGCUUCUUUGCGUCAUAACAUAUAGGAUCUUAUUGACAGUGGUGCAGUUAGUUUUUAUAUAUCGACCACAAAUUACUGAUCUUGGUCCAGAUAUGACUGUUGAUUCCUUUCUAACCUAUUCCACACAUGCAUUUCCUCAUCUUUCAGGCUUAUAUCAUCAUGUUUUGGAUACUUUGAUAUCAAUCGUAGACCUUUGUCGAUGUAUUUUGGGACUACGGUUUUAGUUGGUCAUUUGAGUUUUUGUUAUUUUUCGUUUUAUAUUUGAGUUUUGUUUUACAGUUAGUGAUUUGAUUUUGUACCCCAUGUUUUGAGAGUGGACCUUAUUGUCCUAUUAUUUGGUAUGAUGUACUCUCGUUUAACUUUGUGACAUUGUUUUUUUCUUGAGUAUGUGUUUCUGUCUUCUUUUUUUUAUUGUUUCAUAUCAUGCAUCUUAUCUGUUGUUAUCUUGAGUAGCCUUAUGUGUUGCUUUAUUUUAUCUAUAGCAUGUGUUUGCUUUAGAGUCUUGGAUAGUUUGAGUACUAUGAUUGGUUCCCAAGCAGAGAUUAAUGGCAUUUUAGUUAUGGUACAAAGUACAUUGAGAUUAGACUUCUUGAGUUGUGGUUCAUCAUGUCAAAUGAGAUCGCACUAAUUACUCUUACUACUCUUUAUGAGAUGAUGAUGGAUUUGAUAGGAAGAAUUGAACUCAUUUUGUUAGAGUAUUCAUCAUCGUCGAGAAGAGCUCUAAGAUUAGUGACGUCUUCAUGGCCACAUUUGACUUUUCCAGCAUCUAUUACUCAGGGUGCCUCACAUCCAUGACCUCACCCAUAUUUAGGGUCCUAACAACAUUCUUCACCCACUACACUGGCUAAAUUGACAUGACCUCCAUUCUAGCUUUGGGACCCUCUGUUCAUUAUAGUUCCAUGCCCGGGAGUGGCUUCACCCUCAUCGAUGAUGUCGAAUACACUUUUCAGACUUAGGCAUACCCCUGAGUAGAGUUUUUGAGAUGUUCCAGGCCAUGGGGUUUUUAGCCCCUUUGGCUUUUAGGCCACUUCCAAAUCUUGUGUCUUCAUAGUUUCGACUUGAUUUAUAUUGUGCAUACCAUUAGUCGACAGAGCAUUACAUUGAUCGUUGCACUACUCUACAUCAUGUAGUACAAGACAUUGUUGAUUUUGGGACGUUUGGUUAUCCUUAGUCUGAUAUGAUUUAUAUUCCUACCUCAACUCAGGUCAUCCAUGCAAACACCCCUUCCCUAGUAGUCCCUAAUCUUAUUGACUUGGGUGAUUGACUCAUGAUUGACUUACUUUGGUGCAAUGAUGCUCAUAUUUUCCCUCCUAUGGAUAGACAUUAGGACCAAUUAGUGUUUUUUAGUCUCAUUUUAUUUUUGGCAUUUGGAAUCUAUAACUCGAUUUUCGAGUAUUGUCUUUGUUAUCCUUAUUUUUGCAUGAUGUACUCAUUAUUCCUUUUAUUGGAUGCAUUUUCCUUUAUAAGUAUAUGCUUGUGUUUUGUGAUAUGAUGUAUUAUCUUUUAAGGCAUCUAUUCACCUAUAUUUUGUAAUUUUGAGCCUGACCUAUCAUGGAUGAUAUUGAGCCUUUUGACCUUGCACCAGAGACUUGACCCAGGGAGUUCAAGAUUGUUACUCAUCUAUUUGAUGAUCAGAGCAGUACCUACCCACUUUCGCACAUUUUACCUUUGUGUGCCUAUCUACUUUGAGCCUUGUGAAACAUCAUCCCUCAUCCCGUUAUCGCUUGACCUUUCCAUUCCUACAUAUUCUAGUUUUGCAUAGUAUUGUCACUUAUUCUUUUUAUCAUUCUCUGAUUAGUCCAGGUGGAGUUUUAAGGGAUUGAGUCUGAGAUGAGUUCAACAUGAUGAGAGAAUAACUUGGUUGUUUGAAAAGUUUGUUGAUUGUUCUACCAUUUAGAGGAACAUCUUUUAAUCUAUUAUAGAGUAUUCAUGUUGAGAUAUUUAUAUAUGACUUCAGAGAGUUUCCAUGAGUAUAGAAAUUGAUCUUGCAUGAUGAGAGUUGGCUUGUGAUGAACAAUUAUGCUCAAUGAGAUCGUCAUCUAUUUUACUUUGAGGUGAUCAACUUUGAGAUUAUUACGGAGCAUUUGGAGUAGGGUCUGACGCAUGAUUCCAGAGAGUUGAAACAAUUAUAUUAGAUGGACAUCGAUCUUUAGUAUCGAUCAUUUAAGAGUUUGAGAACACGAUGUUGGAGAUCGUGAUCACAAGAUGGCUGACCUUAAUUUCGGUUAGCUUAUACCUUAUUUUCUUUAUUGACAUCUGGACCGUUGCUAGCCUUUUAAGCCUCACAUGAGCAUCAUAACCUUUUCUUUCUUAUAGCCUUGCUCACUUUUUACUCAAGGAUAAAGGCCCUUUGGUGUAUAUUUGCUUUAUUUGGGAGUUUCAUAAGCCAUGGACUUAUUAGCUCACCUUAUUCAUUAUUUUCUUUGUUGUCCUACCAUCAUUUUUCAUCAUACCUCAUUGUUUAUAUCAUUCGUUCCAUUCUUUGUCUUUGUUAUCACAUUUCUUUCCAUGCCUUUAGUGAUGAUUUUUCACAUUUUAGUGCAUGGAGGAUGGACAUUUCCCUUUCUACUCCCAUCUCAUGGACAUUGGUUUAGAGAUCCUUAAUUAAGAAGGUUAUCUUGUCAGAAAGAGUUCAUGUACAUUAUUAUUUAAGAGUACAACCAUUUCAUUAUGUAUUCUCAGUGAAGCUCAUUUGUUGAUAUUUAGAGUAUGUGCAAGUGAAAAAAAAAAAAGCACAUGUAUGUAUGCAUAUAAUGUCCUUCUCCAUUAAGUAUGUAUAUUGGCCAUUGAGAGCUGCAUUUUUUUUUAGUCAGUUUCUUAUGAGAGUUCGUAUGUGAGCUUUCAAACCCUUCUUUUCCUUGUGUCUAUCUCAUUAUGUAUUUUGUGUGUGAGAGACGGGUGACCCUUCCCUAAGGGCUCUGGAUCAUUGUCUUCUCUGUCCAUUCAUCAGUGAUUUGAUUGUUCUCCAUGACUUGAUUUGAGUAAAUCAAUGCUCAUUCAUUUUCCUUCGAUUUAUUUUUUCUUCUAAUGGUAGCUCUUUCGUCUUGCCUACAUUGGUCUUUGUUCAUAUCAAUUUACAUUCCAUGUUCAAUAUUUUCUACACAUCAUUCUUAUACAUCUCACCAACAAUUCGUUAUUCUUCCUUUCUUUUUUUUUCCAUCACUGAUAUAGCCAUUUUAGAUUCUUUCUUUUCAUCAUCGAUAUAUUUGUAUUGGACAACCUUAGGCCCAUGUUUUAUGAGAUUCUUUGUACAUAUUGUAUUCUACACAUAAGGGUAUGAAUUUUGAUCAUUGGGUAUUUGAGCCUAGUUUUCUUUUGUUUCUUUCACCCUAUUACCUUAGCCUACGUUACGUAUCGGGUCUUAAGACCAUCCAGAGGCCAUGAUAUCAUGCAUUGUGUUUUGAUUGUGAUGGACCAAGAGUUGUGGUAUGACCCUACACUUGGGGCAUAACCAUCUCUAAGAGUUUUUAUCGAGGUAUGCAGCCAUUCUGCUUAAUACAUUGCAUUAGGGCGCACACCUUUCUUGGUUGAGGGUUAAUUUUUUAGAUGACUAUUACACAGGAGCAUACCCCUCUUAGUUGAUGAUGGUUUUUGCGGCAUAACAGUUCCUAGGAGGUGAUCAGAUUCUUCUUUACAUUUGAGUAUCAGAUAUGAUUGUGUGAUUUGAUUAGAUGUGUUUAUACGGGAGCAUAACCCUCUUAUUGGUAUUGAUAGAUUUUUGAGUGAUUGGAUCAUGGCACAGACACUUGUGAGAGCUAUAUUGGUUCUUGAGCAUUUUAGAGAGCAUAACCCUCUCAUUAGUGAUUGAUCUUAGAGACACCAACUUACAUGAUCACAUCAAAAAGCAUUUUUUUAUUCAGACAUACCACUUUACUUGACUUUCCACAUUGGGAUUUGCUCAUUCCUUGGAGGAGAUCAGAUACUCCCAUCAUGUUACAAUAUGAGAAGACUUUAAAGGGUAGAGAUUUACUUUGACCCGAUGAUGUAUCAUGGAUUAUACUCCUCCUAUGAUGGUUGAUUUGGAAAUUCUUAUAUUGGGGCAUACCUUACUCAUCGAUCAGUGAUAGAUUCUGUGAGAUGACAAUUUAUACCAGACAUAUACUUUCUAGAGAUUAUCUUAUAUUGAGGGCUUACCCAUUUUGAGAGGAUGUAUUCAUAUUGGGGCAUAGCCACCUUGCUGAUUUUUUACAUUGAGACUUGAGUUUCUGUUUAUGAUUGUUAUUUUCGAUGGAUCAUAGUGUUAUUGACACCCUAGGUUCAAUCUUCUCCGCAUACUUAGUUUGAUUCAAAUAUAAGUACCUUUGUUACACACUCGACAUUUUGCCUUUGACAUUGUUACGCCUACAUUGAUCAUUUCAGAGCCUAAUAGAUAUUGAGCCUACUUAUCUUACUAUUGAGCAUGACCUUAUCCCAUUAUCUUGAUCAGGAGAGGAUGUAGACCGGUCUUGAGUUUUCUAAUCGAGUUUUCACAUGCCUUUGGACGUUAGGUUCAACAUCUUCCAUGAUCGCAAGACUUAUUAGAUUGUUGAUGUAUUUGUGAUGAUGUUUUCACAUUAACAAUUGAUAUGUUGUGUGUUGUUUUGCUUACAUUUCAAACUUGGAGUCUUGGUCAGCAUUUGUCUAGUCCGUUAUUUUAGUUUAUUUUGUCAACAUAGUUUUUGUGAUGUAUGGUUUUGUUUAAUCAAUUAUUUAUUGAUGUUAGAUUUUUUCAUUGCAUCAUCGUUGAGCAUAUCUAAUAGUGUUUUGUAUGGUGACAUUCUGUGUCGUAUGUUGGUUACUAUCUUACAAUGGGGCAUACCCCUAUCCUUGAGUUCAUUAGAUCUUUUGCAAAUUUUCACACUACUAGAUCUAUUUCUUGAUCUUUGCGAGUUGUCAUAUUGGGGCAUACCCUCUUUUAGCAUUCUUUUACUAGGGCAUACACCCUCUUUGGGUUCAUCAUAUUUCCUGUUGAUUUCAUGAUCGUUUAACCUGUUUGUUGACCCUUAUGAGUUAUUACCUUGGGCAUUUCCCUUUUCAAAGCUCUUUUAUUGGGGCAUGCCCCCUUUCUCAUUAAGUUUAUUAUCCCAUCCACAUUUUUUUUUUAUUUUUUUUAGUUUAUUUAGGGUGUCUUUGGUUGCAGACCACAUUUCUUGGUUCUUGUUUUGCUUUAGGUGUUCUUGAUUGUAGAUCACAUUUCAUAUCCAUUUCUUCAGUUUGUUUAGGACACUUCUCAUUUUCUUCAGUUUGUUUAGGGUAUCCCCCUACCAUCAGUUUGUUUAGGACAUUCUCUUACCGUCAAUUUGUUUAGGGCAUCCCCAUUUCAUCAAUUUGUUUAGGACAUCCCCUUAUCAUCAGUUUGUUUAGGGCAUACCUCUUUCUUUCAACUUGUUUAAGGCAUCCCCUUUCCUUCAGCUUGUUUAGGGCAUCCUCUCAUUGUUAGUUUGUUUAAGGCAUCCGCAUUCCUUCAGUUUAGACCCACCACCAUAGAUUGGAUAUCUAUAGGUCUUUGAGUUUAUCACCACCAUGGAUCAAACAUCUAUGGACAUUUCAGAUUCACCACCAUAGAUUAGACAUCUAUGGGCAUUUCAGAUUCACCACCAUAGAUUUUCAUCUAUUGGUCUUGAUCAGUUUUCACCACCAUAAAUCAUAAAUCUGUGGGCAUUUUUUAGACCCUCCAUUUUGUCAUACUAGCAUAUGUCCUAUUACGUGUUCAUUUGGUACAUUACAAUAGUUCCCGGGUGGCCCAUUACUACUCAUAAAACUUAUAUUUUUUUGAGCUACCUCGGAGACUUUGGUUGAGGGAUUUAUCUAACCCCUUAUUAUGAGUCUUGGCAGUGCUAAUUUAGACUUAGGUCCAUUAGGCACCACCUUAGGUCCACUUAGGCACCCUAAGCCCAUUUAGGUACACUUGGCCCAUUGGGCACCACUUUAGGCACCCUAGGCCAAUUUAGAUACACUUGGCCCAUUAAGCACCACCUUAGGCCCACUUAGGCUCCCUAGGCCCAUUUAGAUGCACUUGACCCAUUAGGAACCUCCUUAGGCCCAUUUAGGCACUUUAGGCCCAUUUAGAUACACUUGGCUCAUUUGGCACACCUUGGCCCGCUUAGGUUUACCUAGUCUUGCUUAGGUCACCUUUUUGGCAUAUCUUGCAUGUCUCUCAUGGCUUGCAUGGCUCGUUUUUAUAAAGUUGCAUGAGUUGAAUUUUUAUUAUUUUAUUUUUGUUUAUUUUAUUUAUUAUCUUGUCUAUUUCCUAAUUUAUUUUAUUUUCCUAUUAUUUUGUCACUUUUACAUAAUACUUGUCUUUAUCUAUUUUAAUUUAAUAAUUUUGUUUAAAUGUUUUUAUUUAUUUAUUAUUAUUAUUAUUACUCAUUUUUAUCAUUAUUAUUAUUAUUUUAUUUAAUCCAUUAACUUUGAAAUUUUGUAGGGAAAUCCACCAAUGGAAAGAUAAGAAGGUGCUGAAGCUUGGAGAGGGUAGCUGCCAUAUUGAUUCCAAUAGUAGACAUAUGGAAGAAAUGAAUGGAGUCAUGUUAUGAGGAAGAUUCGGCUUAUGUAUGAAAAAAGAAAUGAUGAGCAAAAAAGAAAGAAUGUAAGUCGUCUUUUGGAAAAAGAAUCGCAUGAUGGUGGAAGGAAGCUUGAAAAGUGUUCUAAGGUCAAUGCAGACUUUAAACGGAAAAGGAAAAGAGAUGUGAUUUUUUUUCAAAAGAAUUGAGGUGGUAGUAUAGAGGCAACCGACUGAUGAGAGCAGAGGGGGUGGUGGAGAAGAAUCCCAAAAAAAAAAAAAAAAAAAAAAAAAGAUUACAUGAGAAAUUGUUAGCACGAGAUGGAACCAAGCGGAAUCGGUCGAGAGGAGCAAGAUCAUUUUCUAGAGCGUGAAAAGGUGCAGCCAAACCAUUGAAAGGAGAAUAUCUAGAGAAGUCGCACCAUUAAAAGACAAGAAAAGGUGUAGCCGCGUCAUUAAGAAGAGGAUCUCCAGAGGAACGGGCACCAUUCUAGAACGUGAAAAGGCGUAACCACACCAUUGAGAGAAGGAUUUCCGAAUGAUUCGCACAUUGAAAGGCAAGAAAAGGUGUAGUUGCACCAUUAAGAAGAUGGUCUUUAGAGGAACGGGCACAAUUUUGGAGCGUGAAAAUGUGCAGCCGCACCAUUGAGAGGAAAAUCUUCGGAGGAGCUGCACCAUUGAGAGGCAAGAAAAGGUGCAGCAGCACCAUUGAGAGAAGGAAAGAUCUUCAGCUGGCUGCACCGUUCUUCAAGCAAGGGAGGAGAAUCCACUCCGUCUUGUGUUUCUAGAGUCACAAGAGGCACUAUCCUCAUCUGGAAAGAAAACAUACCAGCAGCGUCGCAUCACACUUUCAUUUCCACCGCUCCUCUGCAUGAUCAUGGUCGUCUCCAUGACCACCAUUAGCCAUCCAUGAUAGCACUCAUCAGGAUCAAUGACUUCUACUACUAAAAAUCUCAUGCCGCCUACUACAACUACUCAUUUGUAACAACCCAUCUGCUGCUAGUUUGCACGAGGAGUUGUUGCUGACACAUGCUACAACCUAGAACACGCAUAGCCAGCUGAUUCACACAACUGCCACUUUGGGAAGCCUACCGCCCACACGCCUAUCCGGUUGGGUAAGCUGUUCUUCUCUCAUAUUUUUAAUUAGUCAAUGCAAUUAAUACAAUAUGUUAAAGGUUCUUUAUGAAUUUACUGUUAUACCUUUAUAAGUCAUCAUUAAAUUUGAGAUAUAUUUAUUUAUUUAUGUAUUAUCUAUUUAUCAAUUUGCUAAUAAGAUUGAUUUUAUAGGUUAGAGAUUGAGUUUUAGAAUUUGUUUUGGAUAGUUUCUAAUUUAAUUUUAGGUUUAGGUGCUCUUAUAAAGUUUUAGUUUGUUAAAAUAAUUAUCAUAUGUGUUAAGGAUUUGAUUUUAGAUUUGCCUUAAUUAGUGUUUAAUUCAUUUUAAGCUUAGAUUUCAUUUUAGUAAUAUAAGUUUAUUUAGAAAAUUGAUUCCAUGAGUUCAUAUUAAGUUAUAUUUAUUUAUUUAUGUGUUAUCUAUUUAUCCAUUUGUUAAUAAGAUUGAUUUUAUAGGUUAGAAAUUUAGUUUUAAAAUUUGUUUUGGAUAGUUUUCAAUUUAAUUUUAGGUUUAGGUGUUCUUAUAAAGUUUUAGUUCGUUAAAAUAAUUAUUAUAUGUGUUGAGGAUUUGAUUUUAGAUUUGCCUUAAUUAGUGUUUAAUUCAUUUUAAGCUUAGAUUUCAUUUUAGUAAUGUAAGUUUAUUUAGAAAAUUGAUUCCAUGAGUUCAUAUUUUGUUUAAGUUAUAUUUAUUUAUUUAUGUGUUAUCUAUUUAUCCAUUUGUUAAUAAGAUUGAUUUUAUAGGUUAGAAAUUUCGUUUUAAAAUUUGUUUUGGAUAGUUUUCAAUUUAAUUUUAGGUUUAGGUGCUCUUAUAAAGUUUUAGUUCGUUAAAAUAAUUAGCAUCUAUGUUGAGGAUUUGAUUUUAGAUUUGCCUUAAUUAGUGUUUAAUUCAUUUUAAGCUUAGAUUUCAUUUUAGUAAUGUAAGUUUAUUUAGAAAAUUGAUUCCAUGAGUUCAUAUUUUGUUUUAGUUAUAUUUAUUUAUUUAUGUGUUAUCUAUUUAUCCAUUUGUUAAUAAGAUUGAUUUUAUAGGUUAGAGAUUUAGUUUUUAAAUUUGUUUUGGAUAGUUUUUAAUUUAAUUUUAGGUUUAGGUGCUCUCAUGAAGUUUUAGUUCGUUAUAAUAAUUAUCAUAUGUGUUGAGGAUUUGAUUUUAGAUUUGCCUUAAUUAGUGUUUAAUUCAUUUUAAGCUUAGAUUUCAUUUUAGUAAUGUAAGUUUAUUUAGAAAAUUGAUUCCAUGAAUUCAUAUUUUGUUUUAGUUAUAUUUAUUUAUUUAUGUGUUAUCUAUUUAUCCAUUUGUUAAUAAGAUUGAUUUUAUUGGUUAGAUAUUUAGUUUUUAAAUUUGUUUUGGAUAGUUUUUAAUUUAAUUUUAGGUUUAGGUGCUCUCAUGAAGUUUUAGUUCGUUAAAAUAAUUAUCAUGUGUUGAGGAUUUGAUUUUAGAUUUGCCUUAAUUAGUGUUUAAUUCAUUUUAAGCUUAGAUUUCCUUUUAGUAAUGUAAGUUUAUUUAGAAAAUUGAUUCCAUGAGUUCAUAUUUUGUUUAAGUUAUAUUUAUUUAUUUAUGUGUUAUCUAUUUAUCCAUUUGUUAAUAAGAUUGAUUCUAUAGGUUAGAGAUUUAGUUUUAAAAUUUGUUUUGGUUAGUUUUUAAUUUAAUUUUAGGUGUGGGUGCUCUUAUAAAACUUUAGUUCGUUAAAAUAAUUGAUCAUAUGUGUUAAGGAUUUGAUUUUAGAUUUGCCUUAAUUAGUGUUUAAUUCAUUCAUCUAUUUAGUUUAGGUAUUUUCUAUAAUAUUGGUUCAUUAAUAAAAUUAAUUCUAUGAUUGAAAAUUCAUUUCGAUUGUUAUUAUUAAUUGAUGUGUUUCUUGAAAAUUAGUCAUUAAUUCUUGGUGAGUAUCUUAUUAGCUUAUUUGAUCUGAGUUUGAAUAGUUUAUUGCUUUGAUAGUCUCUAGUAAAAUUUACUUUUCGGAGGUCAUCGGAAAAUAGUGAAGAUUGGCCUCCAUUCUCACUACUUUAGUUUGCUCAGUUGUCAAAAAUUUCACUUUAUGAAUUCGUUUUCUUCUGUUUUGCUCGGUAUUUUAUUUCUAAUGUUUUGUUGUUUUCAUAUUAAUUCCCUUUAUUUUAAAAUCAAAUGCUUUUCUCAAAAGAUACCUUUGAAAAAUUUUAUGUUAAAAAUAAUUCAUUUAGUGUCCUUAGAAUCAAAAUCUCGUUUUUUAAUUAAUAUGCAACCAUGUCUUGAUCGGUUUGCAUCUUACUCAAUUUUCAAUAAAAACUACGAUUUUGAAUAAAAUACGAAUCUAAGCUGGUGGUCCUAAAUAAAUGGGAUAAUUCUAGGCUAGAUUUGUGUAUAUCAAUUGGGGAAUUGGUGAAACCCCUAUAUAAAAUCUUUUUUUUUUUUUUUUAUAAAAAAAAUAUCAUUCUUGCUACCAUCUUCGGUACUUGUUGUAAUCAUAUCUAUGUAUUUUUUUAGGAAUUAUAUACAAGAUGUAUGUGAUAAUUGAUGAUUUCGUAUACUUUGAUCAUUUUUGCUAUGCUAAUUAGAUAACAAACAUGUUAGGAUUUCUUUAUUUUAUUAUUUAUAAUCUAACCCCUCAUGUCUUAUGGAAGCACAUUACAAGUUACUUAUGCUAUUCAGGUACGCUUCUUACCUUCAUAUCUUAAUUCCAUAAAUUAUGUAUUACUUUAUAUAUGAUCGUUAUGUAUUGCUUCGUAUGCGAUUGUCAACCUAUUCAAAAUAUCUUUUUGAUUGUUUGUUUAGCUAGUCAUGUUUGAUUAAGAGACUAGGGUAAAAUAUAUGUGUGUUUUAUUUUCCAAACUAACCAUUGAUGUCUUGUGAUGACACUUAAGAAGUAGUCUAGGUACACACCGUAAAUCUUCUUUAUGAUUUGUGAUUGGUUCUCUUGUUUAGUAUGCCAUUUUUUGAAAUCACCUUAACCUACCUAGGAAUCUAUGAUCAACCAAAUUAAUUGUCACAUUCCCAUCAACUUAGUCAGUAGAGACCUAUUUAGGUCUUAGAGGGGUUCUAUCUUUUAAAGAUAGCUUCCCAAUAGGUAACCUGAUCCCCGAAUCUAGACUCGGGUUUUCAAAGACAUGUUUUUUCAAAAACUAUGGAGUCACUUCUUUAGGGUUUUCUUUCUUGUUUUAUUUUUCCUUUUAAAAUAAAAUAAAAUAAGUGGCGACUCAGAAUUUUUUCCAAAAAUAAAAGCGAGUCUCACCAUUGAGUGGGGACGCACAUGAAAAAUGCGAGUCCACAAUUUCAGAUUCAUAACCAUGGAUUUUCAUCUAUGAGUCUUGUUCAAUUUUCACCACCAUAAAUUAGACAUCUAUGGACAUUUCAGAUUCACCACCAUAGAUUUUCAUCUAUGAGCCUUGAUCUGUUUUUACAACCAUAGAUCAAACAUCUAUGGGCAGUUCAAAUCCACUUUCAUAGAUUGGAUAUCUAUGGGCCUUUGAGAUUUUCACCAUAGACUUUCAUUUAUGAGCCUUUGUCUCAAUCUUCUUACCACCAUAGAUUAUGUAUCUAUGGACAUUUGUUUCAGUCUUCACCACCAUAUAUCAAAUAUCUAUGGGUAUUUUAGUUUUCACCACCAUAGAUUUUCAUCUAUGGGUAUUUCAAAUUCACCACCAUAGAUUUUCAUCUAUGGGCAUUUUAGAUUCACUACCAUAAAUUAGACAUCUAUGGGUAUUUAAGAUUCACCGCCAUAGAUUGGAUAUCUAGGGGCCUUUAAGAUUUUCACCAUAGAUUUUCAUUUAUGGGCAUUUCAGUCUUCACCACCAUAUAUUUUCAUUUAUGAGUCUUUGUUUCAGUCUUCUCACCACCAUAGAUUGUGUAUCUAUGGGCAUUUGUUUCAAUCUUCACUACCAUAGAUUAGACAUCUAUGAGCAUUUUUGUUUUCACUACUAUAAAUUUUCAUCUACAAGAAUCUCAAAUUCGCCAUCAUAGAUUUUCAUCUAUGGGCAUCUCAGAUUCACCAUCAUAGAUUUUCAUAUAUGGGUCUUGAUUAGUUUUCACCACCAUAGAUCAUACAUCUAUGGGCAUUUCAGAUUCACCAUCAUAGAUUUUCAUCUAUAGGCCUUGAUCAGUUUUCACCACCAUAGAUCAAACAUCUACGGGCAUUUCAGAUUCACUGUCAUAGAUCAUACAUCUAUGUUCAUUUUAGAUUCACCACCAUAAAUCAAACAUCUAUGGGCAUUUUAGAUCCACCAUCAUAGAUUUACAUCUAUGGGCCUUGAUCAGUUUUCACCACCAAAGAUUUUCAUCUGUGGGCCUUGAUCAAUUUUCACCACCAUAGAUCGGACAUUUAUGGGCAUUUCAGAUUCACCACCAUAGAUUUUCAUCUAUGGGCCUUAAUCAAUUUUCACUACCAUAGAUUGGAUAUCUAUGGGCCUUUGAGUUUAUCACCACCAUAGAUUGUGUAUUUAUAGGCAUUUGAUACAAUUAUCUCACCAUCAUAGAUUUUCAUAUAUGAGCGUUUGUUCCAGUUGUAUCACCACCGUAGGUGUUCACCUAUGGGCAUUCAAGUUUAGUGUUUAAAGUUAUAUUUUCAAUUUGACUUCUAGAGCCAUUCUUUUCUCAAUUUAGCUCUAAGAGUUGGUCUUAUCAUUCAUAGCCACAACUCUUGACAUUCAUGAUCACUAGAAUUGCACACCUUGUCAUCACAGUUUCAUAUUCGAUCAUACAUCUCACUUCAUUGCAUAAGUGCUUCUCACUUUGUCAUCAUAUUGCUAUGGAGUUUCUCCUCUUCCAUUGCGCAUGGUAUAACCCUUUGAGCUUAUAGGGCCAUUUCUAUCGUAUUGUUGGAUCCUUAUGCUUUAUGUUCCCAUAUAGUACACAUACGGUUUUUCCCUUUGCAUACCUUCAUUCAUGUGUUCCUUGGUAGUCUAAUUACUUCUCAACUUUGACAUUUAUUUUUAAGUCUUUUUUUUAGACUUUUUGGAGGGAGUCUGGAUCCAGAGUGUAACUUUAAGAGUUUCCAUUCUUACUCUUUUUGUGGGGUUUUAGAGUCCCUUUGUUCUUAUUUUAGUUUAAGAGAGUCCAUGUCAUAUUAUGACAAAUUUCAUGGUCUUUCUUAUUCUUCGGCAGAGCCCACUUCAUUUCGCUUGUGUAUACACUUACUUUACUCGUGAACUCUAUCGUGGAAGAGCAUAUUUGUAGACCCCAAAAUUUGUCCCAAACUCUUUUUUUUUUUUGUUUUUUUGUUUUUAUUUAUUUAUUUUAGGACUUUUGAUUAAUAUUUAUUAGGUUUAUUUUAAUUUUAUUUUUUAUAACUUUUAACCUAAGUUUUAUUGAAAAAUUAAUCUUAACCCUUCAUUUUAUUUAUUUAUUUAUUUCAUCAAAUCCUUACCACUCAUUUCAAACAAAACCCUUAUCUUCUCAAUUUUCUCUCAAUCUCAUCCCACAACCGUCGUCCCUCUUUACUCACAUUCUUCUCUUUCUUAUAUUCUACUCCCCUAUUUCUUUUUUUCCACAUUUUCUUCCUUCUUUAUUUUCUUUUCUUCCUUUUCUUUUCUUCAUUUUCCUUUCUUUCUUCUCCAUAUUUUUUUUCCUCACUUGUCAGCAGCAACGUUGCCGACUGACAAUCCCUUUUGGCAUCGAUAGUCACCCCCUUCUUCGCUUGCAUUUUUUUUUCUCUCUCUCAUUUCCUACCCUCUCACCCACCAUCUCUGCCACCCUAAACCUCCCAAUCGUCGUCCUAACAAUCAUGGUUGUGUCGCUCGGCCUUAGAAAAUUCUACAGCAAUAGCCUUUCCUACCCCCAUAUCUACACGGACAUCAAGUUGAACCCUUCUCGGGUUAAUUCACUUACACGUGUUCUUCAAAGGGAGAUAAGUUCUCUCUCCAUUGAUUUGUACAGUAAUGGUUUGUGGGAUUUGGGUAUUUGCUUUGGAUAAUUGGAUUUCCUAUUGGGCCUUUGAUUUAUCCCUUUGGGUUGUUUUAGGUUGAUUUUUGUUUCCUAUUUAUUGGUAUUGAACCUUGGCUUGUAAGAUUGUUGUUUGGUUUGAUUUGAGCCUAAUUGCAUUUGCUUUAUUAUUCCUUUGGGUUCAUUGUGUUUGAGUUGGUAUCUUAACAUGGCAUUGAGGAUGAGAAGAGGCAAAUUUGGGGCACAGUGUUUUAGUUGGAGCAGAUGAAGCAAGGUAUGGACAAGAGCAAAUUGGAGUGGACGAGGGAGAAGGCUUGUUGUAUAUAUUUUUUUUAAGGUAAGAAAGAGGAAGACAAGCUCUCUCGGUUUUGGGUGUAUUUUUUAUGAGUGUUUUGGAGAGUUGAGAGUUUGAUACAUUUGAGCUUCAUUUUGGAAGCUAUUCGAGACCCACUACUACUAGGCAUUGAAAAGGUUACUCCUUCAUCCUUGUCCUCCAAGUUUUGUUAUAUAUAUUCAUUUCAAUUUUUUUCUUGUAUACAUGUGAAUGGAUUAUCAGUGUUUAGAUUUUUAUUGUAUAUGUAUGUUUAAUUUGUUAUUCAUGGAUUUAUUUUUGUUUCCAUUUAUUUAUUAUCCUUAUUUAAUAUACUUUUUUAGCCUUUGUUUUGAGAAUGUGUAGUUUAUUUAUUUGUGUUUUAUUCUUCUAUUGAGGGAAUAAUCCAAUAAUGGGAUUAUGUUUUUGUUUGAUUUUAAUAAAUGUUUGUUUAAUAAUCUGAACUUUUUUUUAAGAUUUCUUUUUAUAUUAGCAAAUAUGAAAACCAUUUUCUUAAAAUGAUUUCAUAAACCUUUUUUAAAAAUAAAAAUGAAACUCUUCAAAAAUUGAAAAACGGUUUUUUUUAUUUAUUUAUAAAAAUAAGAAAAAAUAAACAUUUUUAGAAUAAAAUUGAAAAGGAAAAGAAUGUAUUUUUUAUUUAAUAAAAUCGAAUUUCCCUUUUAAAUAAAUUGAGAUUUUUUUAAUAUUUAAAAAAAAAUAAUCUGAUAUCACGUUAUUUUAAUCAAUUUGAAGUUUUUUUUCUUCUUAUUUUUUAUAUAAUCAAUUUAAAAUAUAUUUUUUUAGAAUAAAUUGUGGAUAGCUUUUAAAAAAAAAAAAUUGUAAAGCUUUCCUAAAUAAAUUUGAGAUUUUUUUUGGUAAAGUAUAUUUUUUUUUCUAAUUCAAAUAGAAAUUGGUUUUUGUCAAUAAACAUUUGAAAAAAAACUAUUAAAAAAUGUUUUGAAUGAAAUUAUUUUGUAAAUAAAAUGGUAAAAAGUCUUGUUUAUUUAAUUGAAGUAUUUUUGCAGAACUUGUAAUUUUAUUUUUUAUUUUUAAAAUUUUUUUAUUUUUUAUUUUUUUUUUCAAAUAAAAGUGACAGUGAAAUGCUUUUGUAAAUAAGAUUAUAAAAAUUCUUCUUUUUUUUUUUACAAAAAAAAAUGUAAAAUAAAAAAUAUUUUUUAUUGCAAACAAAACCAAAUUGAAUUUUUUUAUAAAAAAAAUUAAAGUUUCAUUUUAAUAAAUUCUUUUGACAAUAAUAAGUGUAAAUAACUUUCUUGAAAUUGAAUACAAAUGAAAUUGAAUCAAAUGAAAAUAUUUUCAAUUUUUUUUUGUAAAUAAAUAAAUCGAAAUCACUAACUCAAAAUUGUUUUUAAUAAAAUCAUUUGAAAUUUCUUGAAAACUAAUUUUUUUCAAAUAUCUUUUUUCUAAUUAGUUCAAUAAAUCAAUUUGCAUAAUUCUAUUGUCCUUUGUUUUGUACAUUCUUGUAAUUUUAUUUUGUCAUAAUCUUUGUGUAUAUUAUUUCGUUUAUUUAAUCUUGGUAUCUCCGAUUAAUUAAUUAAUUGUCGUAAUUCUUUUAAUUCGUUUAGUAGAGACAGUAUGUAUACAAGUUUAGAGGGGUGCUACGACUCACCACCGUACCUUCUAAAUAAGUAACCUAACUCUCAAACCAGAUUCGAUUUUUCACAGACCGGUUUUUCCUUCAUGAGUCACACUUAGGGUUUUUCUUUUUUAUUUUGUUUUUCCCUUUAAAAAUAAAACAAAAAUAAGUGAUAAUUUUAAGUAUUUUUUAAAAAAAAAUCAAAUUUUCAACAAAUAAAAAACGAAUCUCGCCAUCGAGUAGAAACACACCUAAAAAAUGAAUACUAUAAAUAUCAAAAGAAAUAUUAAUAUGAAUUUAUAAGUAUUUUUUUAUUUAUUAAACUGUAUAUUUUAUUAUCAAUAAAUAUAUUUUAAUGUUAGAAAUUAACUAUUUUUCGUUGAUCUAUUAUAAAAAUAUUAUAAUAUAUAAAUAUAGUAUUUUUUUUAAAAAAAAAGAGAAAAAAUGUGAAUAAAUCUGGAAAAUUACGAAGAAAACAAAUAUAAUCAACAUCAUUUAAAUUCUUUUAUAUUUUCAAAACUUCUAUUCUCUAUCUAUUUCUUUUUUUUCUUUUCCUUUUCCUUUUGCAUGGACAAGAAACUAUCCAGUUCAGCAUGCCGAUAUGGGAACAUUUUUCCUUUUCAAACCUAGAAAAUAAGUAAAAAGAGAAAUUUCUUUUAAUUUAGAAAAUAAUUAAAGAAAAAUUUUAAUUAUUUGAAAAAUAAAUUUUAAAGUUUCCUUAUAAUGAAAUAACUUAACAUUUUAAUUAUUUCUAUAAUAAAUCAAUUAUUCAUUCAAAAUGUAGAAUACAAAUAGAUAGAUGUACACAUUAAUAUUCUACAUACAAUAUUAAUAUAUGGACAUAUCUGAUUUUGAUUUUGCUUUACCUUUUCCUCCCUUCCUCACCAAAAUCUUUCAACAUUCUAUUUGCAUCUUGCUUUUAAUCUCACAAGGUGGGAGAGAAAAUGGUCGGUUUGGACUUUAGAAUUGUUUCUUCUCAAUAUGAAAUGUAGUCCCAUCACAUCACAUGAACUCAAGGUUGAUCUCACAAAUGCAUCUUGCUUUUAAUCUUCACAGAAUUUAAGUAUUCUCUCUCCAUCAUUUCUUCGUAAGUCUUCGAUUAUUUCUCCACAUGCCAACUUGGUCUGACUCGACACCUCGUGGCUUCCCAAAAAUGUUGUCAACUCAUCAAUAAUUACUCUUGCUUCCAUUCCUAAUAUCCUGCAAAAUGCAAUGACCAAAGCAAAACUUAACCCAUAAGAUAUGUAUCAUAAAAAACAAGAUAUCAUGGUCCAUGAAUCACGUGGCAAUGUUUUUCCUUGUGGGCCCUCUAGAGUAAGGUCACUGUGACCACUUUUAGGCCAAAAAAAAAUAAUUAUGGAACUCGAUAUUCUAAUAUAAAGUAUGUUAUUAUAUUUGUAUAAUUGUAUAAAGGGCAAAGACCGUUUGAUGAAAGCUACUGGCCUCAUGCAAGGUAGGAAAAAACUGUGCAAUUACUAUGGGCAGGGUCUAUGGAAUGACUGGUGGGUAGAGAUGAGCAUGUGAUGGUGGUGGUGGAGGUGGGGGUGGUGGUAGUGGUAGUGGUGGGUCAUACCUCACGCCUCAUGGUGGGUUGUCAGGUCAUUGUCCUUAUCUCAAAUCUCAAUAUGGAUAGAUUUUAAUUACCCGUUGAGCUUGCAAGCUAUGUUUGACUCCACAAAUUGCUCUGUGCUUCUCAGGCUCAAGCUUUCACACACCCUGUAACUCUUCUGCAAAUAAUACUUCUGAUGUAGGUUCUCCGCCACGAAAAACUCUGAAUCCAAUGCUAUGAUUUUUGUUACUAUCCUCCUAUUAAGCUUCAUCUGCCUCCUGAUCUUUGACUCCUGUGCUUGCUUCUUUUGUUCCUCAUUCACGUAAAAUAUGGCAGAUCUGUGGUGUGUGCUUAGCCCAAAAUUCUGCCACAGUCAGCUCUCAUUUGAUCAGACCGAAGACAUGUGAUAUAUGGUGGUAUAUAGAAGUUCAAGUGAUGAAUGAGAAGCAGAGGAAAUUACGAGAAAUUCUUUGUUGGUGGGAUCAUGGGCUUCCCAGAAAGCAUCACAUAGAGAUUUGUAUGAAAUUUUUCUCUUAUCAUACAUGACUUUUACUGCUUCAGUGUGGCCUGUUCUUCCUUCACAUACCUGUAAAUCAAUGUGAAUAUGAAUAUAGUUUGUGCAGUGAGAAUAUGUAAAAGGGUUAAUGAGAUUUUUCUUUCUUCCUUUGGCACCUCUUUGUACGAAGGCUUCUUCAGGGUUCCUCCACAAUAGCCAGUAGCAGUUUUCACAACUCCAUCUACACGCCCAAAUGCAGCUUCAAGACCCCAGAAACCAUCUGCAAAAACCAUGCAUCAAUAAUACAGAAACAAGCCAGUUCAUGAGAGAGAGGUAGACUCAGAGAAAGAGGGAGAGACACCUCCUGCAAACACAGCCUCACAGAGGAACUCCAAUGGAAUAGUAGCCCUAGAUGUGCUUUCAGAGAUGGGAAAUUCAGAACCAUCGGUAUGGGUUUUUGGAAGGAUUUUAUACAUAUUCGGUGCUAUAAAACUCAGAACUGCUGCUUCAGAAACGAAAGAAAUAGGUUUAAAUGGUGACCUCUGUGACAUCUGAUAAAUAAUCUCUUAUAUGGUAUGAAAGAGAAGAAAAGGUAUGAACACGCUUGGACUUUCCUCACAAGCCGUGUUGAAUAAAAUACCUUUUUGCGGAUUUUGUGGGGCAAUGACAACUUGGGUGUGAACAUAUUUAAGUAAUUUUCUUGUCUUGCUUCUUAUCUGUUGAUUUUAUGCAUUUUAGUUUAUACUAGGGAAAAGUGAGAACUAUUUAAAUGGCUGCUGCUUAUCUGCUUAUGCAAGCAAGGGCUUGCGGCUUUAAAUUUUGAUGCCUACUUAGGGUUGCUCCUUAUCUCUUCACAUGUAAGAACUAAGAACAGUACGCGAUUCAUCGAUGUAGUGCAGUUUUAUCAAUGAGUUUGAUGCUUUGCAUCUACAUUUUUUGCUUCUUUAACACAAUAAAUGUAUGCCUUGGGCCCAGAAGGGCUGUGCUUCUGCAGAAGAUCCUCUUAAUAUUCAAACUAAAGAAGACUUUUAUAUAGAAUUGUGAUUGGAGGUUGACAGGCUGGAGCCAUGGAUGAGUGUAUUUAUGAUUCCAUGUCUGUGUCACAUUAACAGGAUAAUAAACAUUAAACAACUAUUGCAUCAGUACUGGCCUAAACAUUAAACAUAUUUCUAAACCAUAUAUUUUCAGAAUACCAUUGACUUUUGAAAGCUAAACUUUCCCUAGACUUUUUAAGCUAUGUUUUUGAAAAAAAUUACCGGAAAAAUGUAGAACAAAGAAAAUAAAGAGAAAAAAUUUAAGGAAAAAAUGAAAAAAAAUAAAAAAUAAUUUUCAAGUUAAUAAAUUAUUUUUAUAUGUUAUUUCCUUCUCUUAUAUAAAGACUACCUAAUUUAAAAAUAUGUAAUUUUUUAAUUAUAUUUGAUCUUUUUUUUUUUCUCAAAAUCAAAUAUAAAAAAACUAUUUUCCUUAACAUACUCUUUUCUUACCUUAAUAUUUUUUAGAACCAAAUGUAGCCAUAGGUUCAUACAUGGAAGAGUUUAGACUUGAGAUCUUUGUAUUCGGAGUUAGGUGGUUAUAUAAUUGGUGACAUAAUGCACUUUUAACCUAAGGUUUAUUUAGAAGUGAUUUUAAUUAAACAUGACAAUUUUAUUAACAAUACUUUCAUUAGAAAUGCUUUUAAAGAAAGUAAUUAGUGCUUAGAUAUAAACUAAAGAAAAUGCUUGAUAUUGUUUUUUUACAUAUACAAUAUGUUAUAUAAAAAUAAUAAUUUUAAAAAAAAUUACAUAUCAAUUAAUUUUUCAUAAAUCACUUCAAAUGAUUCAUUAUUUAAAAAAAAAAAAUUGUCUCAUAACAAUAUUUUUUUAGAAAAAUAUUUCCAAAUAUAAAGAUGUCUUUUUUAAACAUUUUUAAAAAUUACUCUCCGUUCAACUCUCAAUAUCUGUUUAACAAUUGUUUUUUAAAACAGUUUUUUAUUUUUCAAAACAAAAAGUUUAGAAAAUUGAUUUGGCAAUCAAAUGCAGUUUUUUGUUUUAUAAUUUUUAAGAAAAAAAAUAUUUUUAGAAAAUAUCUUUUAAUUUUUUUUCGCUUAUUUUAUAAGGGUUAUUUUAUAUAAUAAUUAUACAAAUAUUUAAAAUAAUUAAAAAUAAAAUACUAUACUUUAAAAUUAUUUUUAAAACAUGAUAAAAAAAAAUACUAAAAAUGGAUUAAAAGCAUUUUAAAUUUUUAAAUAAAUUUUUGUUUUACAAAACAUAAAAGAACAGUUUUGUAAAACUGAUGUUCAAACGGUUACCCAACAAACCCUUAUUUAGUGUGAAGUGUGGCUAAAUUUAGGUAGUUACCCGUCAAGAGGUUCCCGCCCAUGUGAUCUCUUCCUGUAUUCUUCCUUUAUUCCCUGAACAACAGGCAAAGUGAAUUUUCAUUGUUGGUUUAUAACAUGAGAUACAAAAUAUUGUGUCAAGAAUGAGAGGAAAAAAAAUCCAACUCAAACCGUAGUACUUUCCUUGUUGAAAAAGACAAAAGGUGUGAACAUUUGAAAGAACUCAUGGCGUCCAGUCAAUACCAAAAAAUCCUUAGGAGUCCAGUCAAUGAAAUUUGGUUCACUUCACCAAAGAAACAACCAAGCAAGUACCAAAAAAUCCUUGGGAGUCUAGUCAAUACCUCACAGACGUUCCAAAUGGUAGGAUGGCGCGUCUUGCUUGGUUCAAGGAAACUGAACCAAUCUGAACUGGGUUACACUCAAUUUGGAAGACACAGAUAUUGUUGCUUAAAAUUUGUCUUAUUUAAGUAAUCAAGUGGAUUAAAAUGAUAGGAGGGUCAAAAAGGGCCUCUUGUGAAUGCAAGGGGGGAAUAACGACUUUCGCUUCAAGCUUUCUAGUAUGAAUAUCAAAUGGAGAUCUUAAUUUGACAAUUAAGCUUUUCUCCACCUUUGGACAAUGAGGGUUGGAAACUUGGAACCACUUUCCAUAUUGCGACGAAUAAAACUUGGAUUUGACACUUGGAAUUGACUUGAAAGGAUAAUUAUGAAUGGGUUUUCUCAAAGUAGGGUCCGUCAUCCUCAAUUUUUAAAUAACCAAAAUGAUGAUUUUGGGUUAUGCUCCAAUAUCAACCCUCACAUAUAAUGCUAUCUACUAUUUUCCCUUUUUUUGUUUUUUCUUUCUUAAUUUAUUAUUAUUAUUAGUCCAAAAAUGAUCAUAAAAAAUAUUCUUAAUUUAUUUCCAAAUAAUGAUAGAUUCUUUCUAAAAAUGUUUCUAAUGAAAGUAUUGUGAUAAAUUACUACAAGAUAAAAAUGCUGUCAUAAUUACUAUAUAACAAAUAUUUAAUCUACUGAAUUUUGUUAAUUUCUACUCAGACAUUUAAAUUGAUCUUAAUGAACAAUUCUCAUACUUUUUGUACAAAAUAAAAGCAUUUAUAAGUCAAUAGAUAUGGGCAUAAAACAUCAGCAUGUGUUGUUAAUUAUGCUCUUUUCAUUGGGUUUUGGCUGCACAGCUGCCUGGCUGAAAUAGUUCCUCCAAAGCCAUCUCACCAUUAUUCAAUUUAAGGCCUACAGGAACUUUAUCUCUUUAUUGCUGACCAAUGUGGGAGAUCCUUUUCAUGAUAAUAACUGCCUGCCAUGUAAGAAUAUAUACGCACUGUACUAAGGUCAAAACCAUCAUUAGUUAAACAGAAUAGCUUCAGCCUGAUAAGUUUAAUUUGUUAUUUGUGGAAUAUGUGUCAUGGACUUCAAACCACAUUUUGAAAACUUAACUACUUCUUUUUAAUGCCUUUUUACAUAAUCAAUAUUGUCUGACCUUCAAGAUUUAUGGUCAUUGGAGGCAUUGGGCCAUAUGCGGGACCCGACUCGCCUGUACCACCUGAAUCGAUAGAUUAGGUCGAGCCUAAUAGGAGCCUGAGUCAAAAUGUCUUCCAUGCUCGAUGAUUAUACGAGGAUCUUGACUAGACAUGGGAAACUAAUAUUUAGUUAAUCUCAAUUUUAAUAAUAAAAAAAAUAAGAUUUGAAAUUCAUAAUUUAUCGUAAGUGUGUUUAAAUAAGAAGAUUUAAAAAAAAAAUACAAUCAAAGUUAUAUUAAGUCAAAAAGAAAUUAAGAAGGAGACCUCAAAGAUAUGACAUUCUAAGUUAAAUUUAUUAGCAUAUCUUUGUAAGGUUAUUGAUAUGCUAGAUUUAUAUUGCAUUACAUUCUCGUUAAAGCACUUAAAAUCUUCCAAGUAUCUAAAUCGAUGCUUUUUGUUAAUAUAUAUGCACUUUAGUAAGGUCAAAACCAUCAUUAGUUAAACAAAAAAGAUUUUGCCGGUUAAGUUUUGUCAUAUGUUGCAUACACAUAUAGAUGCAACGCCUCAUAGACUUCAAACCAUAUGCAACACCUCAUAAACUUAAAACCAUAUUAUGAAAAUUAAACUACUUUUUUUAUGAUCUUUUCACUCAAUCAAUAUUGUAUGAAGUAAUGAUGUAAAAAGAAUUUUAGAAAUUAUGACAUGUCAUGCAUUAUUAAUGAUUAUAAUGAAUAUUUCUGUAUAAAUACAUUUGAGUUAUACUGUAAUUCAAACUCUAUCUUUUACUUUAAUUCAAACUUUAUAUUCUAUUUUAAUUUAAAUUAAUAAUUAAUUAGAUAAAUCUUAAUAUUUAAAUUAAGAAUAAAUAUUUAAAUUAUUUGUUUUAUCUAUUAUGCCUCGCAAGAUGGAGCUUUGGGAGGAAAGUCCAAUCUUGACUUAAAGAGUGAGAAAUUGUGCACACGCAAGAGGUUUGAUGAGGUCAACGGCUGAUUGAUUUUCAGAGGAGACAUAGGCCACAUGAAGAAAACCACUUUGAACUUGUUAACAAAUGAAAUGAUAAUCUAAUGUAAAAUGUUUCAUGUGGGAAUGAAAGAUUGGAUUGGAGUAGAGAUUAGUAGCCCAACAUUAUCAUUGUAGAUCACAGGCAUUUGGGGAACAUAGACACAAAGUUUAAUAAGUGAACAUACCUAAACACAAUUCAACAAACAUACAAGCAACAUAACGAUAUUCUGUUUUAGUAGAAGAGCAUGCCAUAAUUUUUUGCUUCUUGGAACUCCAUGAAAUAGGGUUGCAUGCGACCAAGAUAGACAAUGUAAACACUUUUAGAAGUGAAGUCUUCUUUAUUACCAACCUAAUUUGCAAUAGAAAAGCCAUGAAAAGAGAGAGAGGAUUUGCAAUAAAGAACCAGACCGAUUAGAUGUGCCACAAAGAUACUGAAGCAAGCGUUUGACAAUAGUCCAAUGAUCACUAGUAGGGCGAUGCAUAAAAUAUGAGAGUUUAUUCACUACAAAAGCGAUAUAAGGUUGAGUGAGAGAUAGAUACUAAAGACUACCAUAAUAGUCCAAUACUUUAUUAGAUCAAAGAGGGUAGUACCAGUGUGAAAUUCAAGAAUUGGAGAUGUAGCAAGUAGUUUGGUGACUAGUUUGACAUCUGACAUGUGAGUGUGAGUUAAAAGUUCUCUAAUACAUUGAUGUUGAGAGAAAAAUGACCCAUGACGAUGGUGUGCUGCUUCAUCAACGCCAAGGAAAUAAAAAAGAGGUCCGAGAUCAAUCCUUAAGGGAGAAUCGUUAGGAUGAACUUCUGUAUGACACCCUCAUUGUCACCAAUAAUGAUAAUGUCAUCAACAUAAAUAAAUUAUUAAUAUCAACCAAUAUGACUAAAGUGAACUUGUUAUUAAUAAAAUUUAAAAUAUUUGGAUAUAUCACUCAUAUAUCCUCGAUAUAUUCAAUAUCUAUGGAUCCCAAUAUGAAAUUCAAGAAGAUAUAUCCAUCAACCAAUAUUUUUGGAUAUUUUACCCAUAUUUCAUCAUUUUUUUCAAUUUUUUCAUAUUUUAACUGAUAUUUCUGGACAUUUUGUUAUUAAAUAAAUUAAUUAUAAUUAUUUUAAUUUUACAUUUGAUUUAAUUUAUUACCAAAAAUAUAAAAACUUAAUUUUCUUAACAGGUCUUUUUUAUAUAAUCUAUAUAUUUAUUAAAUAUAAAAAAUAUAAAUCUUAAAAAAUUAUACAUAUAUUAUCAUUUAUUUGAUAUCAUUGAAUACAUUUAAAUUAAAAUGGAUCAUAAUUUUAAUAUUAAAUAUAUUUUAAAAUUAGACAUGUUAUCAUAAUAUUAUUGUAAAAUAAUAUAUAAUGCAACUUAAUAAAAAUGUAUACUUAUAAAAUUUAUAUUUUUUAUCAACAAAGAAGAUAUUAUUAUUAAAUAUGAAAAAUUAUAUAUAUAUCAAUUUUUUUAAAUAACUUUACAAUGUAUCUUUUUACUUCUUAUAUAACUUUUUAGAGUUUUUUUUAAAAAUAUUUUUAAAAUUUUCAUUAAUUUUUACGUUAUCAAUAUUCUGUGUCAAAACAUCCACCGAUAUAUAUAAUAUAUUUGUAAAAUUAAAAUAUCAAUAUAUCCAUGAUUGCUAAUAUUUUCAUCUUUGAUUAUUAAUUGGUUUAAUUUAGUUAGGUUGAUUGAUAUCCACAUGUUACUUUUAGUUGAAAAGAAAAAGUCAAAUAUUUAGUUUUUUCUAUUUAGCUAAAAAACAAAUACCAAAUUAGUAUUUACAUUUCUUUCUUCCUUAUUUCUCUAUUCAUUUGCAAUUGUUCUUAUAUUGAUUUUUAUCAUAUUAUUACCUAUAUUAAUUAUGACUUGCAUUCAUAAUUUUUAAAUUUGUAAAAAAUGACCAUCAUCUUAUUCCUCCAUUUCCACUAAGGUGAUUACCUUAUGUUAGUAUAACUAGAAUCCUAACAAUUGAUAUUAAAGCAAAGUCUCUUGUCUCUACUUAUCAUCCAAAGUUUUUCAAUUUCUAAACGCCCACUUUUUUUGGAAAUAAUUAUAGGAAUUAGAAAACAAAAGGACUUGAUUUUUAAAGUUUACUGAUUUUGAUUUACAACAAGUUAUUCAAAAUGGAUAUCAUAUUCCAACUCAAAUUGAAAAUGAGGUGUGUUUUCCAAAGUAUAUCCAUGGGUGGAAUGAGAAAGAAAAGAAAAAUACUCAAUUGAAUGUUAAAACUACAUGUUACCUCUAUUAUGUCUUAGAAAUGAAAACAAUAGGAUCUCCUAAUAUAAAUCAACUAAUUAUGAAGACUUUUAAAAAUUACUCAUGAAGGCACUAACCAAGUGAAAAAAUCUAAAAUCAACAUUCUUGUGCAUGAUUAUGAAUCAUUUUCUAUGAAGGAAUUUGAAAUGAUUGUUUAGAUGUUCACUAGUUUUAUAGAUAUCAUCAAUGGAUUUAAGCUUUGAAAAAGACUUACGUCAAAACAAAGUCACAAAGAUUCUAAGUCUCUUCCAAAGCAAUUGGAAGCAAAGGUGAUGACAAUCCAACAAGCUAAAGAUCUCACUAAGUUUCCUUUUGAAGAACUCAUUGAGUCACUUAUGACUUAUGAGAUAAAUAUGAAAGUCAUUAAAAAGUUAAAGACAAGAAGAAAAAUUGAAAUGACAUUCAAAGCUUCAACAAUUAAUGAUGAAGAGGAAGAAAGUGAAGGUGAAAACUUGAUCUCAUAACAAAGAAUUCAUGAGGUAUAUCAAGUUUGAGAAGAUUAAGGGAAUAAGAUCUCAAUCAAAGGAGUCCUCAAGUUCUAAAAACAAAAAAAAAAAAAGACAAAAAAACAAAAGCAAUGGUGGCAACAUAGAAUGAAAGUAAUAAAGAUUCCAUGGAAGAAGAAUGCAUAAAUGAGAAGACUAACAUGUAUUUCAUGGAUUUUGAAUGUGAUGAAAAUAAGGGAAAUUCUUCAACUAUAAAUGAUGAAUUAUAAAAUGCCUUCGAAUAAUUAUAUUUUGAUUUUAAAAAGUUUUCUUUGAAAAAAAUUCCUAUCUCAAAAAUAAUUUCUUUUCUUGAAAAUGAGCUUAAAAAAAUUAUAAAUAUUGAAAAGGCAAAAAUAUCUUUUGAAAAAUAAAAUAAGGAGUUGAAAAAAGAAAGAGUGGUUAACAUUCUCUCUAGAAAAUUUCUUAAAUGGUCAAAAGGUUUUUGCGAGGUUGGAAGCUAUAUUUGGAUUGACCUGGUGCUCCUCGUUAAGCUCAUGUCUAUCACAAAGUGUCUUCCCUCCUCUUCCUCUUGUGUUCAGCAAAUGAGCAUUUGUUAGGUCUUAGCACCAUCCAAUUGUUCAACUUCAUAGUAAUCAAAGUCCUUGAGGAAAAGUGCUCCUUGGGAACUAAGUAUUCUAGAGAGAUUCGAGAAAAGAUCUAAGGGACGAAAAGAUCUACAUGAGCUAUUCUCUCCAUUUGGUUUGGCUUUAAAAGUAGCAAAGUAUGCUUUUUUUAAGCAAUAUUGAUCAUGUGUAAGUGGUUCAGGUGCUCUCAUGACGCUUUCUUUACCCACUCAACUAGGUAUUUUUGCUUCUUAUUUGUAAGAUGAAUCAUUCGAAUUAGGUAAGAAACCGGAGAAACAUUGAUAUUGAAAAAUAUGACAGUGCAUACUCGAGAAGUUUAGAGUGUGGUUCAAAUAGAACUUCCCAUGGGCCUCAUCCUCUAUACCAUCCCAAAAGUUAUAGACAAUAACAUUGUCCUUUGCUCAAACUUUACUAAAGUCGGGGCAAAUUAAUCACUAGCUAUAAUGAAUGAGUAUGGGCUAAAAGAAGGAACUUUUUCUACCAAUUCAGCUUGAUGGUAUGUAUGAGCAUAACCUCCCACAACGAUAAGUCAAGGUUGUAAAGGGUGUUCAAAACACUGCACCCCAUCAAUAUCUGAAUUACAUUUGAAUGGACGUGGACUAGAGAGAUGUAAGAAUGGUAAAAAAAAACUACCUCACCAUUAAGGGUAGCAAUAGCCAAAGCCUGACUUUAAAUUAUUCUUUAAUAAAGUACAUAAAGUUUAGGAGUUAGUUAGUUGUUGAUUGUGCAUUCACGCAUGUGGUAAGCCAAAUACCUGUUGUAUUUAAAAUAAAAAAUUUGGCUCUAAAUUUCUCCUCAAAGAAGUCAUCUACAAGCUGUAUAACACUCCUAUAGGGAAACUUUUGUACCAUACCUGUAAGAUUUCCCACUCUUUAAAGUUGCACCCUAUUUGUCCAUUUGCAUGAAGUAAGUAAUAGGGUUUUACUCAAACAAACAAUGUUAUAAACAAAGUCCAAACACAUUAAGUCAUUCCCUAACCAUUUAUUCUACACGAAAAUGGUCAUGUGUCUAAAAAGUUGGCAUGCUAACUUGGCAAAUCAUUCCAAUAGAUUAAACAAAGAAGGUACGCUUGACCCUAAACCAAAUCCUAUUCGGCAGCUACAAGCAUGUCAUCCCAUCUAACAAAGACACUUGAUUCAUGAUCAAGGUUUUCUAUAAGCCAUGAGGAAGGCAUCUUAGACUAUGUAGGACUCUAAGGGCCUAAAGUGCCUUGUGCAAAAAUAGAAUGGAGACUAAAUCUCUAAAACAUAAGUAGAAGGCUUAACCCACAAGGACAACUCAUAUUUAACACAACAACAAAGAAAUUAGAAAUGUAAACUAACAUGUUCAAUAAAGGUUAAGGUAAAAGAAGAAAACUCUAAUGGUGUUGUCAAUGGUGAACCAACACUCUUAAAGACAAAGUAACAAUAAGUCUUACUGCAACAAUACCUAAGUGAGAGGAUUAACAAGAUAGAAGAAAAAGUAACAUAAGAAAGGAAAGACAACACUAUACACCCCCAAAACAAGCAUUGGGAAGGUAGAGAGUCAAUCAUCGUGUUAUUUAAAUGAUUGAGGUGAUUUAUGUGGGUGCAAAGUCUUAUAAACUACGACACAUUCUGUCAUUGUGUCACAAACUAAAAUAACAUUAAUUUAGAUUUAAAAAUUAAAGUAAAAUAAGUUUUCUAGAAGUCCUUAUUGCUUCACGAAUUUUUGUGACUCACCAUCCUUAGAUUUGCACCUAAAAGGAAAAGUUGCAAGAAAGUGUAGUUAUAGAAGGUUGUAGCUCUGUCAGUGCAAGGAUUUAUUGAACAGGCUUGAAUAAAAAUAUCUAAGCAUCUGCUUUAAAACAUGCAACCAAGUUUGAGGUGCCCAUAUGAGUUUUCACAAGGAAAAAUAUCAAGCGAGCAUUGUUCCUUAAACCAUAGAUGCUUGCCUAGCUAAUGACAACAUUGUUUCUAUGACAAAAUGCAAUAGAUCAGAGUAACCAACAUCCACUAACGACCUUGGGAGGUUUUUGUAAGAAUUGCAUGUCACUCUCUCUACUCCUUUCCUUUACUUGCAAGCUAAUGACAAACGAGAAGGCACAUAUCAAACCAUUAUUGUCUCACAAGUCAUCUAAGUAGAGAGUGAGACAACAUAAGCAAGUGUUAUAAAAGAUGUGCAACCAACCAUUAGUGAAGGCACACAAGUUCAUGGUCUAAUUUAGUAAUUAAAGGGGAUUCCCUGAGGUAGACCUAGAGUAUCCUUUUGUGCAAACCUUUCGGAUCAUGCAUCAAUGUCGCACGAAACCGGGUACAAACAAAUAGGAGCCUUGAACCAUGAGGAAGAAUGACAAUGGUUCAAAUAUUUUAUAAAACCUAUUUGUAGUAUCCAUAUAUAUUUUUCUUUUCUUUCUUAAUUUGAUCUAAUCCCAUUUUUUUCACACAAAUUAUUAAUCAUCAUAAGAUUAAUUUUUAUAUAAAUCUUAAUAUCAUCAUAAAAUAAAUUUCAAUAAAUUAAUUUUUUGUAAUUUUAUAUCUAAUAUUUGAUUAAAUAUCCUUUUAGUAGUGGGUUGUAUUCAUUUUGAUCUUGAGAUUUUUUAAAUUUAAAUUUUUUAGAUCUAAUUAAGUAAUUAAUAAUUUGCAACUAACUACAUAAUUAUUUAAAUUAUAUAUAUUAUUUAACCGUUGGCAAAAUUUAAUUUUAUUGAAUGAUUCAUAUGAAGUUUAUGUUUAAUUUAUAUUAUAAAAGAUUAUAUAACUUAAUAGGAUCCAUUGAAUUAUAAACAAUAAUUUUUAAUUUUUAUAUCCUCAAUUAUAUUUUAUUUGAGAAGAUUUAUGAUUCUACUAAAUCUCUAAUUAUCAAAGCACUUGUGUUUUUAUAAUGGCACAAUACUUGUAUCAUCAUAUUAUAGAUAACUAUUAAAUAAAAAUCUUAUAACUAUUAAAUGAUUUACAUUUAAUUAUUUGAAAAAAAAAAUCAAACUUUUUAUGGGUGAAAUUAUAGAACUUUUCUAAAAUUUUGUAGCAAAAGAUUACAAAAAUUAUUUUUAAAAAAUUUAGUGACAUUUUUUGCUAUUUUCAAAUUAUUUUGAAAAAAUCCUUUUAAUUUUUAAUAAAUUUUAAUAAAAUAUCAAACUUUUUUACAAAUGUUUUUAUUAUUUUUUAUUAGUUUAAUAUAUUAUAUAUUUUUCUUUCCUUUCAUAAUUAAUGAUAAUAAUGACUUAUUUUAUUAAAUUAUAUUGAGGGUCCUAUUUCUAAUAUAUAUAUAUAUAUAUAUAUAUUAUCCAUAUUUAUUAAUCCACAAAUUUUCUACUCACUUCCCUUAACCAAAUUUUUUACACCACCUUGAAGGAGGAAUUGAUGAUAGUGGUGGGAGAGCUUUAAGCAAAAGAGGAAAUUGAAAAGGGAUUUCAAAUGCUUCAAAUUUGCAAGGAAAAUGUUUGGGGAGAGGUGCAUUCGUCAUAGUUAAUGAUGUCUUUCCUUUGAUUGAUAGGCACAACUAUAGCUAACAUAUUGAUGCUUCCCCAAUGCAACAUGUAUCCAUGAAUGACUCUUGAAUUAAAAUUUGAACCAAAGUUGAGACAGCUUAUCAUGUUCACCACUUUUCGAUUGGGUCAUCAAGCUAGAACAUGGGGUUAAUUGAAGGGACUAAAUGUUAUCUAAGAAAUCAACUCACACAUACUACUUGAAUCAACUAAUUAGGUUGAGCCUGGUAAAAGCCUAACUCAUAAUUAAUAUCCUAUUAGCUCAAUUGUAUGGGGAUCCUAGACUAAUCCCCUAACCUGACCAUGCAUGAGUUACCUAUAGUCUCAUUUGACAUCUACCUGCAAAGUCAUAAUUAAUUCAGUCCUUCCUAUGGUGCAAAGUUUGUCUUCUCUAAUGCUACUCAAACCAUUUUUGGUCAUCUCCUGUCAACAUUGGAUUAACAAUCUAACUAGGAAGAAGCAUAUAUAAAUACUCUUAAUUAUACCUUUCCAAUCAAACCUUACGAGGUGAUAUAAAGAAUAACUAAGUAAUAUACUAAGUAUGUAACUUCAUUUCUUACUCUUACUUUUCCUUCAUGUAAGAAGUGAUCAUAACUUAGCCAUCGAAAUAGAAUUCCUAAGACUCUCAUUAGUUUUCUUUGUUAUUUCAAGAGUGUAGUACAACAAAGUAAUUGAUUGGCUAGUUAUACCCAAGGAUGAAAAUAUAGGUAAUCAUAGAUAUAUUGAUACUUCAAUUUUACAGAUAUAUUUGAAAUAUUGGAGACAUAUUGACGAAUAUUUUUUUAAAAAAAUUUUGAUUGGCAUAAAAUUUAUCAAAACUCAUAGAAAUAUAAAAAAAAAAAUUCAUACAAAUGUAAUUAAAAGUAUAAAAGACAUUUUAAAGUUGUUUUGUUGAAUAAUUUGAUAUAUAUAUGAAUAAUUUAUCAUAUUUGAUAAUAAUAUUGUAUGAGUUGAUAAAAAAUAUAAAUUUUAUAAGUGUACAUUCAUUAUUAAAUUACAUCAUAUAUUAUUAGAUAAUAAUAUUAUGAUAUUUGAUUAUAAUAUGUCUAAUUUUAAAAUAUAUUUAAUAUUAAAAUUAUGAUAUAUUUAAUUCAAUGGUAUUAAAUAAUAUAAAAUAAAUGAUAAUAUAUGUCUAAUUUUUUAAUAUUUAGUUAAUAUAUUAAUGAUAUUUAAAACACUAUGAAGAAAAUUAUCAUGAUAAUUUUUAUAUUUUUGGUAAUCAAUUAAAUGAAAAAUUUUCAAUUAAUUAUAAAAUAAUUAUAAUUAAUUUAUUCUUUAAAAUAUUCUUUCAAUAUUUUGUUUAUAUGAUACCUUUUACUAUAUAUAUAUAUAUAUAUAUAUAAUAUGUGGUGCAACAUAUUUACCAAGGGGCUAGUUUGCUCCAAUGGUGGGUCAUGACAAUUUUUCAUCAAAAAAUUAGCAAAAAAAAUGUUGCAAAUGGGGAUUUAUUCUACACUUCAUCGAUUAAUCAUCAAAUACCAAAAUUUCGGAAAAACAUUGCAAUUUUUUUGGAUAUUUCUGCUCUCUGACAUUAUGAGCCCCUGUUUUUCCACGACUCCCAAAACGUGAUAUUUCAAUGAAAUUUCAUCGAAAUUUAUGGAAAUUUUCAUCUAUGAUCAUACCCUUAUUGGAAGUUCAAGUAAUUUCAAGUGUUUAGAUCAAGCUUUGAAGAGUUACACUAAUAAUAAUCAAGAAGUUCUUUGUUCGCUAUGUAUUUCUAAAACUUGGAAACAUAUCAUAUUACACUUUUUAAUAACACUAGGCUUGUUCAAUAUGCAAGACACAUGAAUUGCUAGCUAAUAGUGUAUUUCUUAUCUAAAAAUACAUAAAUAAACCAUAUUUGUAAUAUAAGUCUCUUAUAACAAUAAAUAAAAUAAAAUUUAAUAAAUCAAUUCCAUAUCAUUAAAAGUUUAAAAGUGAAUUUUCUAAAAUACAACCAAAAAAAAAAAAACAUAUGUAAUUUGUGAAAGAGUACUUAUUUUACAAUAAUUUUGAAAUUCUAUUUAAUUUUAAAUUUUAUAUUUUUAAAAAAUAAAUGCAAUUAAAUUAAUAAUCAUAUUUAUUAACAUUUAAUUGUUAUUUAACUUAAAAAAAUAUUUUUUUCAUGUUUAUUUUUUUAUUAAAAUUAUAAAUAGUCAUGUUCUCUUUAAUUUUAAUUCCUUUAUAUUUUUUAUUUUUUUUAUUUUUUUAUUUAUCGUUUUUUAUUAUUUAUUUUCUAAUUUAGUUACUAAAAUGAAAUUUAUUAUAAACUAAUGUUAAAUAUAAAAAAUGUCAUUUAUAUCUUAUAAUUUUUUUUCUUUAUUCUUUACACUUGAAAUUAAGUCUUAUAAUAAAUUAAUAAAUUUUAUAUAUAAUAUUAUUAUUUUUAUUGAAGUAACUAAUAGAAUAAUUAUCUUUCAUUAUAUACUAAUUUUAAUGAUAACAUAUUAAACCUAAAUAUAUAAAUAUUUUUAAUGUAGCACUAUAUAUUUUCAUUUCAUCCAUAAAUUUAAUUAUAUACUUAAGUUCUCUUAUCAUAGAAUAAAAUAGAGUCAUUAUCAAAUAUACUACAAGAGACAUUAUAAAUAUACUACAAAUAUCAUAAAAAGCUAGAUAAAAAAAUUACUUUAAAAGAAAUAAAAUAUAAUAUAUAAUGCUUACUUACUAGAUGUAAGUAAGUAAAAUAUAAAAAAAAAAAAACCACUUUUCUUAAUACAAUUGUAUUUGGGAAUUUGUUUUAAAGACUCAUUUUCUAAAAUAAAAACUGGAUUAAAAAUAAAAGUUGAAAUAAAAAUUUUUCUAAAACAAAAAUUGGAUUGGAAAUAGAAGUUGUACAUGAAAAAAAAAAAAAUCUUUAAUAAUAAUUGGAUUAGGAAUAGAAGUUGUAAUAAAAACUCUUUUCUUAAAUAAAAAUUGGAUUUGAAAAUAAUUUUUGUAAAUAGAAGUUGAAAAAAAAAAUCUUUCUAAAUGGAAUCUUUGGAAUGGAAUAUCUUUUUGUGAAUAAAUAAAUAAAAUCGUAAAAUUAUUUUUCUAAAUAAAUUUGUAAAGAUCACUUUUCAAAAAAAAAAAUGUCAAUAUCUAUAUAUAUUACUUUGUAGGAAAGACGCUUAUUCUUGAACAAAAGAUAUUUUUAAUAAAUUUUCUAAGAAACCUUUUUCUAGAUAAAAUAUGAAAAAAAAAAUCUUUAUUGGGGCUGAUUUUUUUUUUUUUUUGUAGAUAAUUUUUAAAUGCUUUUUUUUAAUUCAAUUUUGUAGUCAAUCACUUCUCUUAAAUAAAAUUUGAAUUGAAAUAUUUCUUAAAAAUUUGUAAAAAUUUAUUCUUUUAGAAAAAGUAAAUAAAAGAAAAAAAAAACUCUCUUUUGUGAGUAAAAUCAAAUCUACACAUUUAAUUUCAAUAAUAAAAUUGAAUUCAAAACAUGUGCUUUAUAAAACUAAGAAAAGUCACUUUUGGAAAUAAAUUUUAACAUGAAUAAGACUCGAAUCUUUUACAAAUAAAUUGAAACUUUGUUAAUAAGUAAAUUAAAAUCAUUAAUAUGAAAUUGUUUCUAAUGUAAAUAGAUUCUUUCGAAAUUCCUUUAAAUUAUGUUGUAAUUUUUGGAAUAAUAGAACUCAUAUUUUCUAAUUAAUCUAAUAAAUUACUCAAUGCAAUUCUCUCAUUAUUUAUGUUGUAUAUUCUUGUAAUUUGUUAUUAUUUUAUCUUGUUGUAUAUUUAUACGUAUCGGUAUUCCAUGAUUAAUUAAUUAAUUGUCAUAAUUCUCUUUAUUUACUUAAUAAAGACCGUAUAUAUAUGAGUUUAAAGGAGAGUUAUAGUUUGUCGCUUUAUCAUCUUAUUAUAUAACUUGAUGCCCGAAUCCAUUUUUUGGUUCACUUUUCCAAAAAAGGAAUCACAUAAAAUUUUAUUUUUUAUUUUGUUUUCCUUUUAAAAAUAAAUUAAAAUAAAUGACGAUUCCAAUUUUUCAAAAAUUAGUUUGUACUAAUAAAAAUACAGUUCCACAACAAAAUAUUGUACCCGAGUUUCGCCAAACUCGUGAUGUUGCAUCCAUGCCUGUGUGGUAGCAAGGCUUACCAUGCAUUAUACCUUACUCAUGUCUUUAAGUGUAGUAUGUCUACUACCACUCAAGUUCUAUUACCACUCCUAGAGCCACCCUCCUCCUUUACAAAGCAUUUUAAGCCUUUUCCAUUCUAAAUGGUAGGAGAUAUCAUGGGCACUUCCACAUUCAAUUAUAGAGUUAUCCUUAAAAACUACUUUACUUGGAAACCCCCUGUUAGGGUGUAUCCUAUUUAAUAGUAGGAAAUGCCCUCCUAGGGCAUAUGCUUUAAAAGGAAAAUCCUAAUACAAUAAAUCUUACACUUGAAUUUUUACCGAAUCAUUGAAAAUAUAAAAAAUAAGUUGACAACAUUAAAAAUUAUUCAAACAAGCUUCUAGAAAAUAUAAAAGAACUGCUCUUAAAAAUUAUUAUUUUUAAAAACUAUUUUUUGGAAAACUAUUUCCAAAUAGGCGUUGAAUCUCCCACAUACCUCUAAUUUUUCAUCUUGUCUUUGUUAUGAUUUGUCAACCCUAUAUGCCAUAAACACUCAUGGAUGAAAGGUAUGAUUAACCAUAUGAGGCCCACAUUCUUAUGGUCAAGGUGCUCACUCUUGCACAUCGAAAACUUUGCCCAAUACCUCUCAAUGUUUUUUGCACUUUUGUGGGCACCUAUACCAAACUUUUUGCUUUCUUUUCCUUAGAGUGAGAUCUCAAGGAAAAUUUAAGAAAAAUUGGAGGUAGUUUUAUAUUGAAGCAAUUAAUCCUAGUAUAGUAGUAAAGAAAUCUUUAUGAAUAGAUGAGAUUGAAGUUGAUCUCUUAUUAUAAUUUAACACAAUAAAAUCUGAACAUCCUUGCUGAUUGCAGCAGUGGGCUGAAGUGCACUUUGGGAGUUUAGACAUCAAAUGGCACUCUUUGAGUUGUAUUUUUUAAAAUUUAAAGUUGGACUACAAAGGCCAACUUAAGGUGGGUCAUUCUCAUUCAUCAUAAAGCACCGAUCCCCCCACCCCACCAUGUUAGCAAAAGGCAGACCCCCCCAUCUGCAAAACCUACCACUCAUUAUGGUUUCAAAUAAAGGACAAAAAUUAAAGAUUAUCCAGGCAUCAAUAUACCAAUUCAAAUGACUGCAAGUGGGAUUUUUAAAUUGAAUGUUAUGCUUCAAAUUCCCUGGGGCAUAUCACUCCUUAAUCCUCAAGGAAAAUCACAUCCCACCCAAAGGACUUUUCUCUCCAAUCUGUGAAUGUAAAUUUCGUAAAACACUAAGAAAAACCGUGGCCCGUACAUUCCAAACAUCAUAUCAUUUCCCCUAGUGAAAGUCAGGGUUUUUUUUUUUCUUUUCUUUUUUCUUCUGUGGGGGUGGGGGCUAAGAAAAUAGAACUUUUGUGAGUUGUAAAAGCAGAUUGGCGUAUUGCAUUUGGUGUCUUCCCCUUGUCAAUAUGCUUCAUUUGCGCUUCCAAAGGGGACAGACCUUUCCCACCCAUUCUAUCAUUAUAAGUGCGGGUGGUCCAUCUCCCCAUUUUCAUUGUGUGAAUGCAAAUUAUACACUCAUCUUUCUUCCACCAUUGUGGUUUAAAGUUGCUUCUAAAUUGUAUUAAAUUGCUUUGUGACAGAUCUGAAGAAUAAUUGCUGAAUUUAUCUUCUUAAUUAAUUAAACAUAUUGAAUGGGGUUUAUAUAGAUCAUAAACAUCCCAAUCAGUUACAGUAAAUAUCCCACAAAACGUGGGCAAGUCAAAUACAAUUUGUUACAACAAAAAACUAACAGCAAAGGAAUAGCUCCAGCAAAGGAAUAGCUCCUAUGAGUGAGCUUCAAUACGCCCCCGCAAGAUGGCAGUUCCAUCUGAAAUGCCAAUCUUGGAUCGAAGAAAAAUGAACCGACUUUUGGAAAGAGGUUUGGUAAGAACAUCAGCCAGCUGGGAUUGAGUGUUAACGUGAGAAACUUUAAGAGAACCAUCAGCAACUUUUUCCCUAACAAAAUGGUAAUCCAAUGCGACAUGCUUCAUUCGACUGUGGAAGAGCGGAUUAACACACAAAUAUGUNNNNNNNNNNNNNNNNNNNNNNNNNNNNNNNNNNNNNNNNNNNNNNNNNNNNNNNNNNNNNNNNNNNNNNNNNNNNNNNNNNNNNNNNNNNNNNNNNNNNNNNNNNNNNNNNNNNNNNNNNNNNNNNNNNNNNNNNNNNNNNNNNNNNNNNNNNNNNNNNNNNNNNNNNNNNNNNNNNNNNNNNNNNNNNNNNNNNNNNNNNNNNNNNNNNNNNNNNNNNNNNNNNNNNNNNNNNNNNNNNNNNNNNNNNNNNNNNNNNNNNNNNNNNNNNNNNNNNNNNNNNNNNNNNNNNNNNNNNNNNNNNNNNNNNNNNNNNNNNNNNNNNNNNNNNNNNNNNNNNNNNNNNNNNNNNNNNNNNNNNNNNNNNNNNNNNNNNNNNNNNNNNNNNNNNNNNNNNNNNNNNNNNNNNNNNNNNNNNNNNNNNNNNNNNNNNNNNNNNNNNNNNNNNNNNNNNNNNNNNNNNNNNNNNNNNNNNNNNNNNNNNNNNNNNNNNNNNNNNNNNNNNNNNNNNNNNNNNNNNNNNNNNNNNNNNNNNNNNNNNNNNNNNNNNNNNNNNNNNNNNNNNNNNNNNNNNNNNNNNNNNNNNNNNNNNNNNNNNNNNNNNNNNNNNNNNNNNNNNNNNNNNNNNNNNNNNNNNNNNNNNNNNNNNNNNNNNNNNNNNNNNNNNNNNNNNNNNNNNNNNNNNNNNNNNNNNNNNNNNNNNNNNNNNNNNNNNNNNNNNNNNNNNNNNNNNNNNNNNNNNNNNNNNNNNNNNNNNNNNNNNNNNNNNNNNNNNNNNNNNNNNNNNNNNNNNNNNNNNNNNNNNNNNNNNNNNNNNNNNNNNNNNNNNNNNNNNNNNNNNNNNNNNNNNNNNNNNNNNNNNNNNNNNNNNNNNNNNNNNNNNNNNNNNNNNNNNNNNNNNNNNNNNNNNNNNNNNNNNNNNNNNNNNNNNNNNNNNNNNNNNNNNNNNNNNNNNNNNNNNNNNNNNNNNNNNNNNNNNNNNNNNNNNNNNNNNNNNNNNNNNNNNNNNNNNNNNNNNNNNNNNNNNNNNNNNNNNNNNNNNNNNNNNNNNNNNNNNNNNNNNNNNNNNNNNNNNNNNNNNNNNNNNNNNNNNNNNNNNNNNNNNNNNNNNNNNNNNNNNNNNNNNNNNNNNNNNNNNNNNNNNNNNNNNNNNNNNNNNNNNNNNNNNNNNNNNNNNNNNNNNNNNNNNNNNNNNNNNNNNNNNNNNNNNNNNNNNNNNNNNNNNNNNNNNNNNNNNNNNNNNNNNNNNNNNNNNNNNNNNNNNNNNNNNNNNNNNNNNNNNNNNNNNNNNNNNNNNNNNNNNNNNNNNNNNNNNNNNNNNNNNNNNNNNNNNNNNNNNNNNNNNNNNNNNNNNNNNNNNNNNNNNNNNNNNNNNNNNNNNNNNNNNNNNNNNNNNNNNNNNNNNNNNNNNNNNNNNNNNNNNNNNNNNNNNNNNNNNNNNNNNNNNNNNNNNNNNNNNNNNNNNNNNNNNNNNNNNNNNNNNNNNNNNNNNNNNNNNNNNNNNNNNNNNNNNNNNNNNNNNNNNNNNNNNNNNNNNNNNNNNNNNNNNNNNNNNNNNNNNNNNNNNNNNNNNNNNNNNNNNNNNNNNNNNNNNNNNNNNNNNNNNNNNNNNNNNNNNNNNNNNNNNNNNNNNNNNNNNNNNNNNNNNNNNNNNNNNNNNNNNNNNNNNNNNNNNNNNNNNNNNNNNNNNNNNNNNNNNNNNNNNNNNNNNNNNNNNNNNNNNNNNNNNNNNNNNNNNNNNNNNNNNNNNNNNNNNNNNNNNNNNNNNNNNNNNNNNNNNNNNNNNNNNNNNNNNNNNNNNNNNNNNNNNNNNNNNNNNNNNNNNNNNNNNNNNNNNNNNNNNNNNNNNNNNNNNNNNNNNNNNNNNNNNNNNNNNNNNNNNNNNNNNNNNNNNNNNNNNNNNNNNNNNNNNNNNNNNNNNNNNNNNNNNNNNNNNNNNNNNNNNNNNNNNNNNNNNNNNNNNNNNNNNNNNNNNNNNNNNNNNNNNNNNNNNNNNNNNNNNNNNNNNNNNNNNNNNNNNNNNNNNNNNNNNNNNNNNNNNNNNNNNNNNNNNNNNNNNNNNNNNNNNNNNNNNNNNNNNNNNNNNNNNNNNNNNNNNNNNNNNNNNNNNNNNNNNNNNNNNNNNNNNNNNNNNNNNNNNNNNNNNNNNNNNNNNNNNNNNNNNNNNNNNNNNNNNNNNNNNNNNNNNNNNNNNNNNNNNNNNNNNNNNNNNNNNNNNNNNNNNNNNNNNNNNNNNNNNNNNNNNNNNNNNNNNNNNNNNNNNNNNNNNNNNNNNNNNNNNNNNNNNNNNNNNNNNNNNNNNNNNNNNNNNNNNNNNNNNNNNNNNNNNNNNNNNNNNNNNNNNNNNNNNNNNNNNNNNNNNNNNNNNNNNNNNNNNNNNNNNNNNNNNNNNNNNNNNNNNNNNNNNNNNNNNNNNNNNNNNNNNNNNNNNNNNNNNNNNNNNNNNNNNNNNNNNNNNNNNNNNNNNNNNNNNNNNNNNNNNNNNNNNNNNNNNNNNNNNNNNNNNNNNNNNNNNNNNNNNNNNNNNNNNNNNNNNNNNNNNNNNNNNNNNNNNNNNNNNNNNNNNNNNNNNNNNNNNNNNNNNNNNNNNNNNNNNNNNNNNNNNNNNNNNNNNNNNNNNNNNNNNNNNNNNNNNNNNNNNNNNNNNNNNNNNNNNNNNNNNNNNNNNNNNNNNNNNNNNNNNNNNNNNNNNNNNNNNNNNNNNNNNNNNNNNNNNNNNNNNNNNNNNNNNNNNNNNNNNNNNNNNNNNNNNNNNNNNNNNNNNNNNNNNNNNNNNNNNNNNNNNNNNNNNNNNNNNNNNNNNNNNNNNNNNNNNNNNNNNNNNNNNNNNNNNNNNNNNNNNNNNNNNNNNNNNNNNNNNNNNNNNNNNNNNNNNNNNNNNNNNNNNNNNNNNNNNNNNNNNNNNNNNNNNNNNNNNNNNNNNNNNNNNNNNNNNNNNNNNNNNNNNNNNNNNNNNNNNNNNNNNNNNNNNNNNNNNNNNNNNNNNNNNNNNNNNNNNNNNNNNNNNNNNNNNNNNNNNNNNNNNNNNNNNNNNNNNNNNNNNNNNNNNNNNNNNNNNNNNNNNNNNNNNNNNNNNNNNNNNNNNNNNNNNNNNNNNNNNNNNNNNNNNNNNNNNNNNNNNNNNNNNNNNNNNNNNNNNNNNNNNNNNNNNNNNNNNNNNNNNNNNNNNNNNNNNNNNNNNNNNNNNNNNNNNNNNNNNNNNNNNNNNNNNNNNNNNNNNNNNNNNNNNNNNNNNNNNNNNNNNNNNNNNNNNNNNNNNNNNNNNNNNNNNNNNNNNNNNNNNNNNNNNNNNNNNNNNNNNNNNNNNNNNNNNNNNNNNNNNNNNNNNNNNNNNNNNNNNNNNNNNNNNNNNNNNNNNNNNNNNNNNNNNNNNNNNNNNNNNNNNNNNNNNNNNNNNNNNNNNNNNNNNNNNNNNNNNNNNNNNNNNNNNNNNNNNNNNNNNNNNNNNNNNNNNNNNNNNNNNNNNNNNNNNNNNNNNNNNNNNNNNNNNNNNNNNNNNNNNNNNNNNNNNNNNNNNNNNNNNNNNNNNNNNNNNNNNNNNNNNNNNNNNNNNNNNNNNNNNNNNNNNNNNNNNNNNNNNNNNNNNNNNNNNNNNNNNNNNNNNNNNNNNNNNNNNNNNNNNNNNNNNNNNNNNNNNNNNNNNNNNNNNNNNNNNNNNNNNNNNNNNNNNNNNNNNNNNNNNNNNNNNNNNNNNNNNNNNNNNNNNNNNNNNNNNNNNNNNNNNNNNNNNNNNNNNNNNNNNNNNNNNNNNNNNNNNNNNNNNNNNNNNNNNNNNNNNNNNNNNNNNNNNNNNNNNNNNNNNNNNNNNNNNNNNNNNNNNNNNNNNNNNNNNNNNNNNNNNNNNNNNNNNNNNNNNNNNNNNNNNNNNNNNNNNNNNNNNNNNNNNNNNNNNNNNNNNNNNNNNNNNNNNNNNNNNNNNNNNNNNNNNNNNNNNNNNNNNNNNNNNNNNNNNNNNNNNNNNNNNNNNNNNNNNNNNNNNNNNNNNNNNNNNNNNNNNNNNNNNNNNNNNNNNNNNNNNNNNNNNNNNNNNNNNNNNNNNNNNNNNNNNNNNNNNNNNNNNNNNNNNNNNNNNNNNNNNNNNNNNNNNNNNNNNNNNNNNNNNNNNNNNNNNNNNNNNNNNNNNNNNNNNNNNNNNNNNNNNNNNNNNNNNNNNNNNNNNNNNNNNNNNNNNNNNNNNNNNNNNNNNNNNNNNNNNNNNNNNNNNNNNNNNNNNNNNNNNNNNNNNNNNNNNNNNNNNNNNNNNNNNNNNNNNNNNNNNNNNNNNNNNNNNNNNNNNNNNNNNNNNNNNNNNNNNNNNNNNNNNNNNNNNNNNNNNNNNNNNNNNNNNNNNNNNNNNNNNNNNNNNNNNNNNNNNNNNNNNNNNNNNNNNNNNNNNNNNNNNNNNNNNNNNNNNNNNNNNNNNNNNNNNNNNNNNNNNNNNNNNNNNNNNNNNNNNNNNNNNNNNNNNNNNNNNNNNNNNNNNNNNNNNNNNNNNNNNNNNNNNNNNNNNNNNNNNNNNNNNNNNNNNNNNNNNNNNNNNNNNNNNNNNNNNNNNNNNNNNNNNNNNNNNNNNNNNNNNNNNNNNNNNNNNNNNNNNNNNNNNNNNNNNNNNNNNNNNNNNNNNNNNNNNNNNNNNNNNNNNNNNNNNNNNNNNNNNNNNNNNNNNNNNNNNNNNNNNNNNNNNNNNNNNNNNNNNNNNNNNNNNNNNNNNNNNNNNNNNNNNNNNNNNNNNNNNNNNNNNNNNNNNNNNNNNNNNNNNNNNNNNNNNNNNNNNNNNNNNNNNNNNNNNNNNNNNNNNNNNNNNNNNNNNNNNNNNNNNNNNNNNNNNNNNNNNNNNNNNNNNNNNNNNNNNNNNNNNNNNNNNNNNNNNNNNNNNNNNNNNNNNNNNNNNNNNNNNNNNNNNNNNNNNNNNNNNNNNNNNNNNNNNNNNNNNNNNNNNNNNNNNNNNNNNNNNNNNNNNNNNNNNNNNNNNNNNNNNNNNNNNNNNNNNNNNNNNNNNNNNNNNNNNNNNNNNNNNNNNNNNNNNNNNNNNNNNNNNNNNNNNNNNNNNNNNNNNNNNNNNNNNNNNNNNNNNNNNNNNNNNNNNNNNNNNNNNNNNNNNNNNNNNNNNNNNNNNNNNNNNNNNNNNNNNNNNNNNNNNNNNNNNNNNNNNNNNNNNNNNNNNNNNNNNNNNNNNNNNNNNNNNNNNNNNNNNNNNNNNNNNNNNNNNNNNNNNNNNNNNNNNNNNNNNNNNNNNNNNNNNNNNNNNNNNNNNNNNNNNNNNNNNNNNNNNNNNNNNNNNNNNNNNNNNNNNNNNNNNNNNNNNNNNNNNNNNNNNNNNNNNNNNNNNNNNNNNNNNNNNNNNNNNNNNNNNNNNNNNNNNNNNNNNNNNNNNNNNNNNNNNNNNNNNNNNNNNNNNNNNNNNNNNNNNNNNNNNNNNNNNNNNNNNNNNNNNNNNNNNNNNNNNNNNNNNNNNNNNNNNNNNNNNNNNNNNNNNNNNNNNNNNNNNNNNNNNNNNNNNNNNNNNNNNNNNNNNNNNNNNNNNNNNNNNNNNNNNNNNNNNNNNNNNNNNNNNNNNNNNNNNNNNNNNNNNNNNNNNNNNNNNNNNNNNNNNNNNNNNNNNNNNNNNNNNNNNNNNNNNNNNNNNNNNNNNNNNNNNNNNNNNNNNNNNNNNNNNNNNNNNNNNNNNNNNNNNNNNNNNNNNNNNNNNNNNNNNNNNNNNNNNNNNNNNNNNNNNNNNNNNNNNNNNNNNNNNNNNNNNNNNNNNNNNNNNNNNNNNNNNNNNNNNNNNNNNNNNNNNNNNNNNNNNNNNNNNNNNNNNNNNNNNNNNNNNNNNNNNNNNNNNNNNNNNNNNNNNNNNNNNNNNNNNNNNNNNNNNNNNNNNNNNNNNNNNNNNNNNNNNNNNNNNNNNNNNNNNNNNNNNNNNNNNNNNNNNNNNNNNNNNNNNNNNNNNNNNNNNNNNNNNNNNNNNNNNNNNNNNNNNNNNNNNNNNNNNNNNNNNNNNNNNNNNNNNNNNNNNNNNNNNNNNNNNNNNNNNNNNNNNNNNNNNNNNNNNNNNNNNNNNNNNNNNNNNNNNNNNNNNNNNNNNNNNNNNNNNNNNNNNNNNNNNNNNNNNNNNNNNNNNNNNNNNNNNNNNNNNNNNNNNNNNNNNNNNNNNNNNNNNNNNNNNNNNNNNNNNNNNNNNNNNNNNNNNNNNNNNNNNNNNNNNNNNNNNNNNNNNNNNNNNNNNNNNNNNNNNNNNNNNNNNNNNNNNNNNNNNNNNNNNNNNNNNNNNNNNNNNNNNNNNNNNNNNNNNNNNNNNNNNNNNNNNNNNNNNNNNNNNNNNNNNNNNNNNNNNNNNNNNNNNNNNNNNNNNNNNNNNNNNNNNNNNNNNNNNNNNNNNNNNNNNNNNNNNNNNNNNNNNNNNNNNNNNNNNNNNNNNNNNNNNNNNNNNNNNNNNNNNNNNNNNNNNNNNNNNNNNNNNNNNNNNNNNNNNNNNNNNNNNNNNNNNNNNNNNNNNNNNNNNNNNNNNNNNNNNNNNNNNNNNNNNNNNNNNNNNNNNNNNNNNNNNNNNNNNNNNNNNNNNNNNNNNNNNNNNNNNNNNNNNNNNNNNNNNNNNNNNNNNNNNNNNNNNNNNNNNNNNNNNNNNNNNNNNNNNNNNNNNNNNNNNNNNNNNNNNNNNNNNNNNNNNNNNNNNNNNNNNNNNNNNNNNNNNNNNNNNNNNNNNNNNNNNNNNNNNNNNNNNNNNNNNNNNNNNNNNNNNNNNNNNNNNNNNNNNNNNNNNNNNNNNNNNNNNNNNNNNNNNNNNNNNNNNNNNNNNNNNNNNNNNNNNNNNNNNNNNNNNNNNNNNNNNNNNNNNNNNNNNNNNNNNNNNNNNNNNNNNNNNNNNNNNNNNNNNNNNNNNNNNNNNNNNNNNNNNNNNNNNNNNNNNNNNNNNNNNNNNNNNNNNNNNNNNNNNNNNNNNNNNNNNNNNNNNNNNNNNNNNNNNNNNNNNNNNNNNNNNNNNNNNNNNNNNNNNNNNNNNNNNNNNNNNNNNNNNNNNNNNNNNNNNNNNNNNNNNNNNNNNNNNNNNNNNNNNNNNNNNNNNNNNNNNNNNNNNNNNNNNNNNNNNNNNNNNNNNNNNNNNNNNNNNNNNNNNNNNNNNNNNNNNNNNNNNNNNNNNNNNNNNNNNNNNNNNNNNNNNNNNNNNNNNNNNNNNNNNNNNNNNNNNNNNNNNNNNNNNNNNNNNNNNNNNNNNNNNNNNNNNNNNNNNNNNNNNNNNNNNNNNNNNNNNNNNNNNNNNNNNNNNNNNNNNNNNNNNNNNNNNNNNNNNNNNNNNNNNNNNNNNNNNNNNNNNNNNNNNNNNNNNNNNNNNNNNNNNNNNNNNNNNNNNNNNNNNNNNNNNNNNNNNNNNNNNNNNNNNNNNNNNNNNNNNNNNNNNNNNNNNNNNNNNNNNNNNNNNNNNNNNNNNNNNNNNNNNNNNNNNNNNNNNNNNNNNNNNNNNNNNNNNNNNNNNNNNNNNNNNNNNNNNNNNNNNNNNNNNNNNNNNNNNNNNNNNNNNNNNNNNNNNNNNNNNNNNNNNNNNNNNNNNNNNNNNNNNNNNNNNNNNNNNNNNNNNNNNNNNNNNNNNNNNNNNNNNNNNNNNNNNNNNNNNNNNNNNNNNNNNNNNNNNNNNNNNNNNNNNNNNNNNNNNNNNNNNNNNNNNNNNNNNNNNNNNNNNNNNNNNNNNNNNNNNNNNNNNNNNNNNNNNNNNNNNNNNNNNNNNNNNNNNNNNNNNNNNNNNNNNNNNNNNNNNNNNNNNNNNNNNNNNNNNNNNNNNNNNNNNNNNNNNNNNNNNNNNNNNNNNNNNNNNNNNNNNNNNNNNNNNNNNNNNNNNNNNNNNNNNNNNNNNNNNNNNNNNNNNNNNNNNNNNNNNNNNNNNNNNNNNNNNNNNNNNNNNNNNNNNNNNNNNNNNNNNNNNNNNNNNNNNNNNNNNNNNNNNNNNNNNNNNNNNNNNNNNNUGAGAGCUAGCUCAUCAGCAAUUCCUUUAAUGGUUUGAAGAUACUCUGCAACAGAACGAGUAUUGCAAGUGAUGUUGGUAAGUUUCUCCUUGAGAUUCAUUACUCGUGAUCUGGACUUGUUAGCAUAAAGCUUGUGAAGCUUUACCCAAGCAUCACGAGAAGAAGUAGCAGCAGCAAUCAAAGGCACAACUCCUUCUGAAAGAGAUGCAAGGAUUGCGUGAAGGAGCAAUUUAUCUUGCCUAGUCCAAAUAACAAAAUCUGGAUUUGAAACAGUUGUUCCAUCUUCAGCAAUAAUUUCCUUGGAUGGGCAUGUUUUAUUCCCAUCAAGAAAUCCCAUGAGAUCAUAACCAUAUAGGAGGGCGUCAAAUUGUGCUUUCCAAGAGGGAAAGUUGUUGUUGUUCAAUUUUAUGGGUAGUUGGGCAGUAGCAUUAAUGGAGAUAAUUCCAUCAAAGCAAGACGUGGAAGAGAUGAGUGAUACAUUGGUUCUACUGGUUGUGUUUAGGGCCAUGGUGCAGGAUAUUUUCAAAGAGAGGUUUGGAUCAAGGAAAAAAAAAACUCGUUGGAGUCUUUACUGCUCUGAUACCAUGACAGAUCUGAAGAAUAAUUGCUGAAUUUAUCUUCUUAAUUAAUUAAACAUAUUGAAUGGGGUUUAUAUAGAUCAUAAACAUCCCAAUCAGUUACAGUAAAUAUCCCACAAAACGUGGGCAAGUCAAAUACAAUUUGUUACAACAAAAAACUAACAGCAAAGGAAUAGCUCCAGCAAAGGAAUAGCUCCUAUGAGUGAGCUUCAAUACUUUGUCAAAAAAGGGAAGGAAAAAAAAAAAAAAGGGUCCCUAAGGAAUAGGGGUCAAGCUGUGAUAAUUUUAUGUGUCACAACUGCAGGCCCCACAAAAAUUAGGCCACUGAUAGUGGAACAUGUCCUUUGUGGUUCUUGCUGUAUUUGCACUCCAUUCUUCUGUCAUAGUUUAUAUGUAACGUACCCAUAGUUGGGCUAUAUUGUAUUAUGAUUUAAAAUAUUGGGGAUGAAGCAUAUUGGCUUUUCUAUUCCAAAAAGCCUUUGUCUCUCUCUCCCAAAACUGCAACAUGCUUUAAUCAUAAGUAAUCUAACCAUAUUUUUUUACUAAUUUACUAAUUUAAGGAUGUGUUUGGCAUGUGAGGAAUAAAAAUGGAACUAAAGUGAACCUCAAUACUAUUGGGGGGGUGUUGGGGGAGUUCUUAGUUUUCAGUUCCAAACUUGUCAUAAACAUAUUAUUUUUAGUGAUUUAAUUAUCUUUCUGGGUUGUUAGGAUGAAAGGUAUGGGAGUGGCAUGAGGGCCCCCUCUGGUCGAAUGUGAGUGAGUAUGUAUGUACCAAAGGUGCCUCAAGUGUCAUGCUUUUUGCUUUUUGUUGGCAUAAUUAUCAACACAAAUCUGAACUUUAUGGAUUGAUUUUCUCAUAUAUUCUCUUUUCUUAUCAGUCUCAUUGAAAGAAAAUUGGUAACUAAUCAAGAUCCUUUCAUGGAAGAAAAUUGGGGUCAGAUGAAGAUCCAUUCUUGACUUUAUAGAUUAGUAUAAGCACUAAGCAGUAAAUGUCUAUAAUCAUUAAAUUAAUCAAUAUGCUAAUUGGCUUUCACAAAGUUGGUCUAGAUGCAUGGAGGGUAUGAGUGGACAUAAGCCAGUCAACCCACUUGCCCAGUCAAGAGGGCUCACAGAAUUUCAGGCCUUGAGGAUUGACAAGACUUUAAUUUUAUAGAGCAUUACAUCCUUGGAAAUAAAUUUUGAUUUAAUAAGCUGCUGUUUCUCUAGGAAUUGAACCACCCAAAUCAUGAAUUAACAUGGCCUUAUUUGGGAACAUUUAAUAUAUAUUUAUAUAAAUAAAUAAAUAAAAAACAGUUCACGUAGUAUCAAAUAUUUUUUUAAAAUAGGUUUUUUUAUCAGACGUGUUUUCGAGUUUGAAAAAUAAUUUCCAAAUAAACUCGGAGAUUUCUUUGGUCAUGUUUAAUUAGAAUUAAGAAUUUAUUAAAAUAAUAAGAGUAGGAAUUAAUCAAUUAAUCAUGGUGAGAUGUGACUAGUGAUUGACUAAUGUUAGGCACUAAGGUGGUUGGGCUUGUUUGGAAUAAUUCUAAUCCAUCUCAAGUUGGCCUUGGAAAAAAUCGUUGAGGUUGAUCACUUCAGAUAAUUGUGAUUGUAUUGAAAGUAACAUAAUUAAUGAUCAAUGAAAUUAUCAUCAUAUAAGACUCAUUAUAAUCUGUCGCAUAGGUAUUAUUAUAGUACUUGGAUAUCUAACAUAUAGUCUGUAGUCCUUAUAAAUACGGAUAAUGAAUAAAAGAAUUAAAAUAACAAAAAAAUAAUAAUAAUUAGUGAUUUGGAUUUUAUUUUUUUUUUACAUGAUUUAUGGAACAGUCCUCUCCUUGACAGGUGGUGCCCAAUGCCAGGUAAGAUAAAAGAAAUAAUUUAAUUUUUUUUUCUUUAUAAAACUUUUUCUCUCACUUUUGACCAACUUAAGCAUGAGAUAGUACUAAUUCUUAGGUUCUUGUCACCCUUGGAGAUUUCUUCAUAAUCCAAGCUCAACUGGAAAGAGCCUGACAGCAGUUGAAUUCUCAAAAAAUUAAAAUAUAUAUAUAUGAGAAAAAAAAAAGUAAAAAAUAGGACGAAUUUAAAAAAUAGAUUUAAAGUUAAUAAAUUAUUUUUAUUUAUUUUUAAAUAUUUAUUUAACUUAUUUUUUUCAUUUAUAUAAAAAUUAAAUGAUUUUAAAAUAUAUAACUUUCUAACUAUUUUUAAUUAUAUUUUUUAAUUUUUUAUAUUUAUUUUUUUUCAAGAUAAAUCAUGCAAAUAUGAAAAAAGUCAUUUUGCUUCACAUUUUCUUCUUAUAUUUUGCAAAACCAAACAUGGUAUAAUUUUUUUUUUUUCCAACAAUUAACAUUAGCUAUAAGGGAAAUUCAAAAGUUAUCAUUAAAAGUCAUUAUAGCAUCUGAGUGGCAUUGAAACAAAAAUUAAUUUAAUUCCUAAGAAGAUAUUUAGUGAAUGAUCUUAAAAUUAUCUUAUGUAACACUUAAAAUUAAAAAACAACUCUAAAUAUUAAGUCUAGAUAAUUAAUUAUUCAUGAUUUCACAUUCACAAUUUAUUUUUUAUAGUGAAUAUGAAUGUUUAUAAAUAAAUUUAUUGUUUAAGAUUAAUGAAGGUAAAUAGUAGUUAAAAUUAAUAAAAAUAAAUAUUUAUUAAAAUUAAUAAGGGUAAACAUAUCAUUUUGACAAUUUUUUUAAAAAAAAUAACUUAAUUUUUGCCAAACAACCUAUAUGUAUAGUAUGAAAAAAUUAAUAAUAAGUUUUAACUCCACAACUUAAUAAUUAUUUAAAUUAAAAUGAAUUUAAAUUAUUAAAUAAUUAGUAAUAAGUCUUAUCAAAUACUUUCUAAUUAACUUCAAAGAUGAAUUUUUAGAAGAAAUAUUAUUCACAAGACUCUCAUGACUCUCAUGAUUUUUUAAAAUUUUACUAAAUAUUUAUUUAUUUUUCUUUUCUUUUUUCUUAUUCUAUUAUGAAUCUAUAUAACUACCCAUGGUAUCACCACCACCCUUAUAAAUGACACCAAGCCCAACAAUGCAUGCAACUUGUGUUCUCAGGAGAAAGUUGAAUCCAUAAUAUCAUCAAAACCAACUUACAAUAAUUAGAAGAAAUGGUGACUUCCUUAAUAUACUUUUCGAAUUUCAAAAUCAAAUUUUCAUGUAAUAAAAAUGGCAUAUAAAAAUCGAUUGUUUAUGUUUAUGUUUUUCUUGUUAUAAUAAGUUAAUAUCUGGGCUAGAAAUUUGUUACAAGUUAGUUACGGGUUACAAACCAUUACCAUGCUCUUGAUAUAUAGCUUUCUUAUAUUUCCCCGAUUAAGAUCAGAAAUUGAGAAAGUUCUUUUUAAAGUUUUUUUUUUCCCUGAUAUGGUAUCAGAGCUAUUCUCUUCUCCGUUAUCUCAUUUUCUUCCAUUUCUUCUCUUUUCUCUUAUCUAAUGGCUUGAGAAGGCAACCAAAAUGUCAAAAAUGACAAUCACCGAGUUAUGGGUUCAUCAAAUAUGUCAUCAAUGGAAGAUUAUGGAAGUCCUUUUUAUCUGCAUAAUGGUGAUCAUCCAAGUUUGGUUUGGGUUUCACACCAUUUGAUUGGGUCUAAUUACAACACUUGGAGUCGUUUGACGCUCAUGGCUAGUGCUGCAAAGAACAAAGUCAGUUUCAUUGAUGGAAGUAUCACUCAACCAACCUUUGAUCAUCUUCUCUUUUGCAUUUGGGCUUGUUGCAAUAGCAUGGUAAUUUUUUGGAUUCUUAAUGUUGUUUAUAAAGAAAUAACAAGUAGUCUAUUAUGCAUAGAUAAUGCUUCAAAAAUCUAGAUGUGGUUGUUUUCAUCAAAGUAAUGAUCAUCGAAUUUUCCAAAUCAAGAAGCAGUUUAUUUCCUUUAACCAAGGAUCCCUUAAUGUCAAUGAGUAUUUCACCAAAUUAAAAAUUCUUUGGGAUAAACUCAGAAUAUCAAUUUGUGUCUAUUUAUCAUUGUAGAGGAAAAAAAACUAUGGAUGGAUUUACAACAACAGGAGUAUGCUAUGCAAUUCCUCAUGGGGCUCAAUGAGUCCUAUGCUCAAAUUCGUGCUCAAAUUUUGAUGAUGACUCAUUUACCUUCUCUGUUAAAAGUCUUUUCUCUAGUUAUUCAAGGAGAACAAAAACACUCUAUUAGCUCUAGUCUCAAUUCAGAUCCCCUAAAUCUUAAUGAUCCCAAUGCAUCUACAUCAACAUUUUCUCUGAUUUAGAGUUCUAAUUCUUCUACAAUAGCUUUGGCAAGUAAUUUAUGUUCUAAACCAAAAGGAGAUAGGCCUUUCUAUUCUCAUUGUGGUGUAUAGGGCCACACCAUUGAUAAGUGCUAUAAGCUUCAUAGGUGCCUACUUGGGUAUAAACCAAAAUCCAAGUCAACGUUGACCAAAGCUCAAGUGAAUCAAAUGGUUUCUAUAAUGAAUGAAGAAUUUGGAUCAACUCUCUUUGAAACCUUUUUGAGUCUAUUAACUCCUUCAUAAUGUCAACAACUCAUUUCAAUUUUGAGCUCGUAGCUGCAAGUCAAUCCUUAUGCUUCUCUAAAAGUGCAACGGUCCAAAUCCUCAAUUUGUAGCUUCAAUAGUAUAAUUUCUUCUUCUUGGUCUUUUUCCAAUUCUUCCAUUUCCUUAAAAUCAUAGGUUUUGGAAACAAGAGAUACUCAUCAUGUGUGUUGCUCCUUGAGUUCUUUUACUUUCUUAAUUCCAACAGCUAAUUUGUUUAUUGCAUUACCAAAUGGUUAUUCAAUUCCUAUUAAAUGCAUAGGUUCAGUUCAAUUGCAUGAUAAUUUGCUUCUAUCAAAAGUUUUGUAUGUUCCUGAUUUUCAUUUCAAUCUUAUUUCCAUUAAUGUUCUUACUAAAAAUCAUCAAUUCUCAGUCAAUUUCCUCAUCGACUCUUGUAUUAUCCAGGACCAUACUCAAGGCAAAGUGAUUGGGAUGGGUAGAAGACAAGACAAUCUCUAUGUUUUUUAUUCCUCAAGUUCUCCUAAGUUUUUAGAUAUUUUGACAAAUUGUAAUAAGGUUUCUGUCACAAAAUGAUCUUUGACACUUUUGUUUGGGUCAUCCCUUACAUGUUAGACUUCAUACCUUGAAAAAUGAAUUGAAUAUUUCAAAUUUUUAUGCUAAUUUUAAUCAUUGCUCGAUAUGUCAUUUAGCAAAAACAAUGACAUUUUCCCUUUACCUUUUCAAAUAAUUGGUCUAAAUCAUCAUUUUUAUUGAUUCACUAUGAUGUUUGGGGUCUUUUUCAUACCCCCACUAUUGAAGGAUAUCGUUAUUUUUUUACAAUUUUCGAUGACUGCACUUGUUUACAUGAGUCUAUCUUUUGCAUAAAAAAAUUUAAAGUGAUAAAAGUCCUUUUUACUUUCUUUUUUUUCUUUUUUCUUUUUUUAAUUUUUAACUCAAACUCAGUUUGAAGUCAAAAAUAAAAUUUGUUUGCUCAAAUAAUGCACCUAAACUUUCUUUUUCUGAUUUCUUUUGUAAAGACCAAGUCAUUUCAGUUCAUCCUUGUAUUGACACAUCACAACAAAAUUCAAUGGUUGAAAGAAAGCAUCAACACAUCCUUAAUGUUGCUAGGACUCUACAUUUCCAAUCACAUAUUCCCUUAAGACAUUGGGGAGAUUGCAUACUCACCUCAAUUUACCUAAUAAAUAGAAUGUCAUCGCCAAUCUUGACUAACAAAACACCAUUUGAAUUACUUUGGAACAAAAAGCCUUCCUGCAAUCAUCAUCGGGAAUUUGGUUGUUUGUGUUAUGUUUUCACCCUUCUUCGUCAUUGCAUAAAGUUUUCUUCUCGGUCCAUGCAAGCAGUUUUCCUUGGAUGUCCUGUUAGAUACAAAAGAUACAAGUUGUUUGAUUUGGCCACUAACACCACAUUCAUAUCCAAAGAUGUUGUCUUUUCACAAAGAAAAUUUUCCCUUCCAGGCAGUGUCCUAAGAUCUUCCUCAUUUUGAUUUCUUUUUCGAUCGAGUUUUACCAUCUUUCUCAUCUAUUGAUCCUAACCAUUUCCCCAUUAAUAUGGCUCUAAGUCCUAAUACAAAUUCUAGUCCACCAUCUAACUCUAACUCACGUCCUUCAAGUGUCACAAAACCACCUUCUUACCUUAAGGAUCACCACUGCUCUUCUAUUUCCAAUGUCACUUUCUCCACCUAUCAUCCUUUAUCAAAUGCCCUCAAUUAUGAAAAACUAACUCCUAACCAUUGGACCUUUGUUCAUUCCAUAUCUUCUCAUGUUAAACCAACAACCUAUUCUCAGGUAGUUGUAAUUCCAAAAUGGCAAGAGGCUAUGCCAGCUAAGUUAUAGGCCUUAGAGGGCAAUGACACUUGGACAUUGGCUACUUUGCCACCUAAUAACAUCAUGUUGGUUGUAAAUGGGUUUAUCAAAUUAAAUACAAAGUAGAUGGUACCAUAGAGUGUUAUAAAGCUCAUUUGGUGGUGAAAGGGUAUACUCAACAAGCAUUGACUAUUUUGAUACUUUCUCCCUAGUAGAUAAGCUUGUCAUUGUAAAAAUGCUACUUGCCUUAGCUUCCAUAUAUGGCUGGAGUUUAACUCAAUUAGAUGUCAACAAUGCUUUUUUACAUGGUAAUCUUAUUGAAGAAGUAUACAUGUCUUUGCCACUUGGAUUUCACCAUGAGGAGAAGCCUUUUUUGCCUGCAAAUACUAUUUGUAAACUCCAUAAAUCCCAUUAUGGACUCAAGCAAGCCUCAAGACAAUGGUUUUCCAAAUUCUCAAGUGUGCUCAUCAGCAAAGGUUUCAAGCAAUCUACUAUUGAUAGUUCUCUUUUUACCAUAAUAACUUGUAAUUCUUUCAUGAUGCCACUUGUAUAUGUUCAUGAUAUUGUCAUAGCAAGCAACAAUCAAAAGGACUUGGUUGAAUUGAAACAAUUUCUUGAUGGAUGUUUUAAGCUCAAAGACUUAGGACCCUUAAAAUAUUUUCUUAGAUUAGAAGUUGCUAGAUCUCCCAAAGGCAUUUCUCUCAGUUAAAGACACUAUGCCUUACAACUUCUAUCAGACUCAGAGUUACUUGGAUGCAAGCUAAGUAAAAUUCCAAUGGAUCCUAACACCAAGCUCUUGCAAGAAGAAGAUGACUUACUUGAUGACCUUAUUGUAUAUAGAAGAAUGAUUGGAAAAAUGUUAUAUAUCACCAUAACAAGACUAGACUUGUCUUAUGCUAUUGAUCGUUUGAGUUAAUUUCUUGCCAAACCAAGAAUUCCACACUUGCAGGCAGCUCAUAGAUUACUCCAAUAUGUAAAGUCCACUAUAGGCUAAGGAUUAUUUUUUCUUCAUCAUCAUCAAUUCAAUUAAAGGGAUUUGCAGAUUCUGACUAGGCCUUUUUCCCAAACACUAGAAAAUGUAUCAACAAUUUUUGCAUCUUCAUUGGAGACUCUUUGGUUUCAUGGAAAUCAAAGAAACAACAAAUUGUAUCAAAAUCUCCAGUUAAAGCAGAAUAUCGAUCUCUAGCCAAUGCAACUUGUGAAAUAAUGUGACUUUUCUCUUUACUUAAGGGCUUGCACAUUCAACAUCCACAACUUCACUAGUUAUUUUGUAACAACUGAGCUGCUUUAUAUAUUAUAACUAAUCUUGUUUUUCAUGAGCACGCUAAACACAUUGAAAUUGAUUGACAUCUAGUAAGAAAGAAAGUACAAGUUGGUCACUCAAAGAUGUUGCAUGUUUCUUCACAACAUCAUAUUGUAGACUUGCUAGCUAAACCUCUUCAUCCAACCUAGUUUGCUUAUCUUCUUAGUAAGAUGAGAGUUCACAACAUUCAUUCUCCAUCUUGAGAGGGAGUAUUAAAUUGAUUGUUUCUAUCUCUAAUUUUCUUGUUAUAAUACGCUAAUAUUUGAGUUGGAAAUUUGUUACAAAUUAGUUACAAGUUACAAACCAUUACCAUGCUCUUGAUAUAUAGCCUUAUUGCAUCUUCCUCGAUUAAGAUUAGAAAUUGAGAAAGUUCUUCUUGAAGUUCAUUUUUUUCUAUUAUAGGCAUUAAUUAUUCUUAGCAUUUAAGUAACUAAGAAUUCAAAGAUGCAUUAAUCGAAGUUCAUUUUUUUCUAUUAUAGGCAUUAAUUAUUCUUAGCAUUUAAGUAACUAAGAAUUCAAAGAUGCAUUAAUCUUUAAUUCUUGUAUGAUUUCCUAAAAUAUUUUAGUUUAAUUGAACAUGGAAAGAUAACCCUAAAACAAGUAUUCUUUCAAUAUAUAUUACCAAAAGUUAAUUUAAGAAUAAUGUGAUAAGUUUGCAUCUUCUAAAGAAAAACCAUAUAGGAAACAUAAAAGUUAUGUUUUAUUUGGAAAAUAUGAAGAAAAAUUAAAUAUAAUUAAAAUUAAUUUAAGACAUAUAUAUUUGAAUUAUUUAAUAUUUAUAUUAAAAAGAGAAAUAAAUGAAAUGAAAUGAAAUAAAAUUGAAUUAGUAUAUAAAAAUAAUUUAUUCACAUUAAAUAUAUCUUUUAUCUUUUCUUCGUGUUUUUUCUUUUCUUUUUUAUUUUUUUUCCUUGUAAUUUCUCUCAAAAUUUUUAAGAAUCCAACAUAAAAAGGAAACACCAAUUUCAAAAUCUAAAUUUUCUCAUUAUUUUAAAAAUUGGAAACUAAGGUUAUAUCCUUAUGAUAUAAUUUAUCUUUUUCUAUCAAUAAAAUAACCCAAGUAUUAAAGAUUACUAAUUUUGCAUGCAAACCCUAAAAAUGUUUUGUUAUAAGGAAAAUGGAGAAAAUGAAUUUUUAAAAUUUAGAAGAAAAAGAUAAUUUUGUAAUUUAUAUAUAUUAAGUGUGGACUUAGUAGAUAAUAAAUCGAAUCAAUAGAUUUAAUUCGAAUCUUAAAGUAGAUCAAGUACAUUUAGGGAUAUCGUGUAAGACUUACUUCCUAUUUAUUGGUGCUCAAGGGCAGCGGCUAAAUGCUUUUUACUUUGUGACCAGGAUGACAGCUAAGCGUCCACGUAGCAACAUGGCAUAUCAUCUCUCCACUUUCAGGAUCUCUAAGGUAUAAACCUCACGUACACGGCAUCACCUCCUCCAACAUCACGUAUCUCAAUGCGAAACCCACCUCCCUCCACGUGGGCCCUACCGCCCCUACCGUACAACCCAACGUAGGUGCCACGUGCAACUACGAUCAGGCAUACUUCUCCUAUACACCCUUGUUUUGCCAUACUCUUCCUAUAAAGUUGCCGUCAGGCGACAAUAUCCACUCAACAGUCCCUCUCUCUCUCCUCUCUAUUUCUCUCUGAAAAAAAAACUCAAAAAGCUGUGUCCUGUAACGUUCAAAACCUCAUAGAUUCCUCGGAAAAGUCUCCACCACCACCUCCGCCAUCGUCACCAACACCGCCCCGCCGCCGCCGCCGACGCCACUUGGGAUCUAAAGGGCUGAGGGGUGGGGGAAGCUUUAUGAGUGAGCAUGCUGUGAUGAGAAGAAGAUGGGCGGAGUGACGUCGUCGAUCGCCGCGAAAUUCGCCUUCUUUCCGCCGACCCCGGCGUCCUACGUAGUAGUGGCCGACGAAUCAUGCGGUGGCAGAUUGUACAUACCGGAGGUGCCCAGGAGGGAUGACGUGGACGUGUUGAAGCUCAGGACCAGAAGGGGGAACGAAAUCGUGGCCGUACACGUCAAGCAUCCCAAGGCGACCGCCACUCUCCUCUAUUCUCACGGUAAUGCCGCCGAUUUGGGUCAGAUGUUUGAGCUCUUUGUGGAAUUGAGCCUUCGUCUUCGAAUCAAUCUCAUGGGGUAAUUUUAUUUAUUUAUCUAUUUUCAUUAUUGUUGGUUUCUUUUAAUCAAUAUAAUAAUUUUCUAUUGGGUUAGCUUUGUGUUCAAAGCUCUAAUUGAAGUUCUGCUUCUGGAUUAUGAUUUUUUCUAAUUUUAUUUCCCUGAUUGGGUUGAGGCAUUUAAUUAUGAUGUUAAUAAAGUUGAGGUUGCUUAAUUUUGUGAAAUGUUUAUACAAGGCAAAAGAGUUCUUUCCUUUUAAUUUUGGGAAUUUGAUGGGUUAAGAUGUUGGAGAUGCUUUCCAUAUAUACCUCAGAAAGAUAAGGAUUUGGGUUUUUUCUUUUCUUUCUUCUUUUGCUUUUGUCUGCCUGUUUGUAAUGACGUUAUUCCAUGGCCUUAUGAUGAUCCGGGUCAGUUUGCAAUAUCAGGGAUGAACAUUCUGAGUAUCAUUCUUAUUAUAACCUGGUAAAUGAGAGUAAGCAUUAAAGGCUAAUCUCGUUUCAGGUAUAUGCAAAGAAGAGAGAAGAUUGGUCUGUCACAGAAAAUUAUUGUUUCUUAAAGUAUAGCCUUUUAUUUUUGGACAUAGAUGUUAGUGAAUCUCUGGUUAGCGGACAAACUGAUUUUUCUUGCUUUAUGGAUUGAGGCAAUGAUUAUCAAAACCAGUGAAGGAAAAGGUUGUUAACAGAAGGAUUUUCCUUCAUGUUAGCUUACUAGCAAUUUAAAUAUUGGUGUUCUUUUGGGGAUGUAAGGUUUUCCUUGUCCCACGGGAAGAAUGAAAUUCAGGUUAAAAAAGUGUUAAUGCUGAUUAACUGGAAAUACUUGUCAAGUGGACUUUGACUGCUACUAAUCAUUAAGGCUGUCUAACCUUUUGAUUAUAAUGUUAAGAUAUUUCAGUGUUCUUUAUUUUAUGAGAUGGUAUUUCUUCUAUUGGAUGUGUCUAGCUAGACAUCCCAAAUUUAUUUGUUGUAAUCUAAUUUCUGUUAAAUCAUAAUCAGAGGGGAAAAGCAAUUGUAUGUCAAAAUGCAAAUUUUCCAUUUCUAGCAUUGCCAAUGUGCAGAUAAGGUUAAUUAGUGUGGUCAGGAAGACUAAGAAACAUGUUAAAAAAUUAAGAUAUUUGAGUUUGUUUCCUGAAGAGGAUAUGAUCUACAAUCUUUUCUGGUCAAACAAUGACUGCUACCUAGGAGAUUCCUGCUUAUUUAUUUAUUUGUUUAUUUUAUAUGAAAAUUGGAAAUAAAACUUCCAGCUUCUUGAAGAUUAAUGGAUAGAUUGCUUAUAUGUCGGAAGUGUAAAGGAAUUUGCUAAUGACUACACCACAAUAGGCAUGUGGAUCUGCUUAAGUAGUUUCUACAAAGUAAAUUCAAUUUGUGUACCGAAUGUUUGUUGCAUGGAGAUGCAUUCAUGUUAGAUGAAUGUAAAAUUCUAGAUAUUUGAAAAGAAUUUUAGAUGGGAGAUAUUGCCUUUCUUUGAUAUGCAAAAGAUUAAAUCAAUUAAAAGUGCAAGGAAAAAAAAAAUGAAGGCACACAUAAGUAUACAUGGUGUAUACAAGAACUAUAAAAGGCCAUAUGAAGCAAAGAAAGAUGCGCCCAAAAAAAAAAAAAAAAAAAAACCCAAAAAAAUCUCUCUCCCAACUUAGAGCUUAGCUAGUUAAUGAAGUCUAAAAUGGACAUAGAGUAAUCACCCAUAUACACUCUUAACUAACUCUAAGAAGUUAUACAUAAAGGACUGUUUGAUUGCUUAAUUCACAUUGUCAAUGUUUUAAAAAGCUUUUCUAUUCCUCAUGGUCUAAAAUAAAUAUAAAGGAGCUACUCUCCAAGCUUUUUUCUUCUUUUUCCAAAUAAAGGAUCAUGCCAACUCAAAAGAAUGUUUCUACCUGAGGACUUUGUUUCCCACUUUAUUCCAAAUAGGGAAUAAAUGAGUUGCCUUAAGAUGAACACCUUUGUGCAAUGGAGAAAGAUAUGAUUACUUGUUUCUUCUUUUUCUUUGCAAAGAUAACAUCUAAUUGGAAACUUCCAUCCCUUUCUUUUGAGUUGGUCCAAUCUUAAGAUCUUUCCCCAUGCUGCUUCUUGAACAAGAAAAAACCUCCCUCAAUGGAGUAUUAGAAUUCUUAACUGUGCUCGAAGGGAAAACCUCCAUUCUUCCAUUAGCUAGAAGAAGAAAAUAUUGUCCUCUACUUCCCUACUAAUAGAAAGAGGAGUAGAGAGAUUUAAUUGAGAAAUUGCUAUUUUUUGAUCUUAACCACAAAAUAUUGUCCUCUACUUCUCUACUAAUAGUCUAACCUUGCAGUCUCCUAAAGAAAACCUCCCGUUCUUCAAGCUCCCAAUCAUGGAUUUGUCUUAAGAAUCAAUGGUUCGAGCAGCCCCCCUCCCCUUCCUGCUCCCACAUCUCAGCUACCCAUGCAUCUUUAACAAUAAUUAUAGAAAACAAUUUAGGGAAAGGCUCUCUCAAUAAAGAGUUGUCACAUCACCUAGUCUUCCUCCUUUUGAUAUAUACUCUCUUCUAUAUAGUAACGUUUUUGAAAUUUUUCUUCCACUGCAUCCAAACCUUGAGGCGAAACUUUGCUCCUAAUUGAAGGCCCAAAUAAACAUGGGGGAGGGAACUCGCCCAAUAGCACAAAAUGCCAACUAGCUCUUCCACAUUUUGUUAACUCCCCUAGGACCGGGAUCAAUUCACUUUUCUCUAAAUUGAUUUUUAAACCCAAGAUUGCCUUAAACCGCAUGAAAGACAAGGUUAAGUGCUCCAAUUGGUCCUUGUUGGCAUCACAAAGGAUAGGAGUAUUAUUAACAAACUAAAAAUUGGAAAUUUUCAAUACCACACCUCUUCUCCCAUUGACUAUUAAACCCUUGAUGAAGCCCCCUUCUUUUUCCCUAUUUGGAAUGCUGGAGAGUUCCUCCAUAGUCAACAUAAAAAGGUACAGGGAAAGAGGGUUACUUGUCUCAAGUCCCUAGAACUUUGGAAAUAACCUAAUGGGGUGCCAUCAACUAGAUAGAGAAGCAAGCUAUAGAGAUGCAUCAUUUACUCCAUCUAAUCCACUUAGAUCCAAAAUCGCCAUAGAAAAACCUAAUUGAUAUGGUCAUGUGCUUUUUUGAUAUCUAACUUACAAACAAUCCUAUAGAUGGAACUCUUCAACCUUGAGUCAAUGACUUCAUUUGGUAUAGGAACUACUUCCAAGAUUUGAUGACCCUCAACAAAUGCAUAUUGAAAAUCUAAAACCACUUUUCCCACCACUCUUUUGAGAUCUUUAGCCAAGACAUUUUUUAGAAGUUUGUAUAGUCCCCUCACUAAGCUAAUUUGGUCUGAAGUUUUUUAAAUCUUCUGCCACCCUUUCUCUGGUAUUAGCACAAGUAUGGCAUUUAGGCUUCUUUCAAAGGACCCAUGCUCAUAGAACUCCUUAAAAUAUCCCAUUACAUCACUUUUCAUGACCCUAACAAAAUUGUCAAAAAGCCAUGGAUACACCAUCCAAUGCUGGCGCUUUAUCUUCACACAAGCAAGGAAGGGCGGCAUAAACCUUCUCCUUCAGUAGUCCUAAAUCUAUUAUGUCCAAAGAUUCAAAGGCCAACCCUUUGAUACUCGGCCUCCACUUUCUUAGUUUUGAAAGAAUAUUGUGGAAGGCAUUAGCCACCCCUUCCAUGAUAUUUGCUUCUUUCAAUAGAUUCUCCCACUCUUUGGAUACAAGAAAAUGAUGAAGUUUUGAAGCAAUUUGAUCAUCCAAACCUCCACUCUAAGUAAAUGGGCCACCAAUGAAAGGAAGGUCCUUCAAUCGAAACUUCUCUAAGAUCUUUGAAAAAUGCCUCAUUGCUUAUGAGAGUUUUGAGCAGUUCCUCCUUUUCAUAGUACAUCUAACGAUUUGAAAUCUCCUCCUAUACAACAAGGAUGAUUUUAAAGCUUGUAGCAGCCAACUUUUCUCAAAAAUCCUCCUUCCCCUCACUUUGGACCAGCCUAUACACCCCAAUGAAUAUACACACAAAAUCCUCCUCACAACUUCCGAAAUGACAAGAGAUUGAGAAAUCCUCCUUCUCCAUAUCAAUUAACUCCAACACCCUAUUGUCCAAAAAAGGCCAAAAUCCCCCCUGCUUGUCCCUUUGCUUUCACAACUUCCAACUCCAAAAACCUGCCCACACCUAGACUCUCCUCUCCUUCUACAAUGACAUAUGUUGAACCUUUUUUUUUUGUAAACGUACAAGAUCAACCAUCUAAGAUCUAAUAAGAGAUUUUAUCGUUUUUCGCUUUUCUAUCUCAUUGAUCCCUUUGACAUUCAAAGAUAAAAUUUGCAACUUCAUUAGUCGACCUUUGCUAGUUCCCAACUAUUAUUCUUGUUCCUCCUACCCUUCCUUGAUGCAGAACUAUAGUUAAUGGAACACUCUAGCUUCCUCAAUUCCUUCUCAAAUUUGGAUCCAACACUUGGUUUUCUUUUUAAUUCCCUGACUUAAGGUUUUAUCUCCUUUUCUCAGCUCCAUUCUCAGAAGGGCUAAAUUUUUUCUUCAAACCCUUUUAUUGGCAUCCCCAUGAAUUUGCUAAAAGAAACAAGCUUGUUGAAAUAGUCCCUAGAGAAGUAGGCCUCCCUAUUAGACAAGUGGGGAUGCUUUCCCUCUACACCAAUUGUCCCCCCCUUUCACUCUCUUUGUUUCUUUGUUUGUGGACACUACCAACAUGCCAUCAUUCAAAACUAUAUGCAAAGGCCCACUUGUUACGCCAUUGAGCACAUUGAAAGGCUCACCUCUUGGCUCCCUCUAGCUAGACAAGCAACUGCCCACCUGUUCACUGAAUGAGAGCCCAUAGAGAGAGAAGAAGGAAAGAAAGCCCAAUGCCUUAAGUAAGAAGAAGAAGGAGGGCAUGUACUUGGGAAAUGGUAGGCUUUGACCAAAAGAGCCUUGUUGCUAAGAGUAGAUCUCUUCAAGGGCACCAAAGCAAGAGCUGACUCCUUUGAAGCACAAAGAUGGCCAUCCCUAUCCUUCACUGAAGCGUUUUCGACCAUCGAAGGAAUGAGCACACCAUGCUUUGUAAUUCUGUAGUCACACGUAUGCUUUAUCAUUCUCUAGUGAAUGUAUCACCCAUGCAGUGUCCUCUACUAAUGGUAUAAUAUGUAUUGAUUUUUUCUUUCCAGCUGCAUUCAUUGAUUGUAACUUUCCUGUUAUCCCUUAUUUCUUUUGUAUGUUUACACAAAUAAUAAUAAUAAAAAAUUUCUUUAACAUGUUAAAAUUUUUAUCCCAAAACUAUGUAAUUGACAAGUCUUUUCAGAAAGCUUUGAUUUACUUUAUAGUUGAGUUGUUGUUUCAUGCAUUUGAUCUUAUAGUCCACCGACAUAUGGAGAUUGAAGUGUGCGUCAUGGAUUGCUUCAUUUGUCUUUGAAUGAGGUAUUAGGUGUAUUUUGAUAGUUGGGAUUAGUUUUAUGCGUUAAAAUUCAUGAAAGAUGUUUUUAUUAAUUUUACGUGUUUUCUUUUUUAUUUUUUAUUUUUAAUAGUUUUUAAAAAAGAUGAUAUAUAUUUUUGAAAUAGUUAUAUCAAAGAUGAUAUCUAUAUAUAUAUAUAUAUAUAAAUAGUUUCUAUUUUGUGAAAGAAGAUUUUCUAUUUUAAUUGGAAGACUUUUUGGAAUAGGAAAUUUUUUUAAAUAAAUUGAUUUUAGAAACUUUUCAGUCACAAGGAAACCCAUAAUUUUUUAAAAGUUUAUUUAAAAUUGAAAUGAUUUAAAUUGGUUGAAUUGUAUUUAGAAACAAAUUUCUUUCGGAAAGAAAAUUCCUAGCUAACUUAUUAUAGGAUCAUUCAUUUUUCAAAUUCUUAAAAUUAAGAGCUUCAGAGAAGAGAAAUAAGAGAUUUCUCCUUGCAUAAGGUUUCAUACUCUAUUGUAGGAUUUCUGCUUGUUCAAGAUCAAGUCCUUAUAUGGAUAUCAUUCUUUGAUUUUGAAUCCGUGUCCAAACUCUCAUAUCCUAUAAUUUCUUAGGUUCUUGUUAGACGAAGAGUGUGCCUUAGAGGAGUUCGAAGGUGUGCUUUGGGAGACAUAAAGUGUACUUCAGUGGGCUUCGGAAGUCCACUUUGAUAGACUUUCAUAGGGGUUUUUGACUAAAAGGUGAACAAGGGCAUAGGUGGCAUUUUCAUGAUUUUGAAACAUGGAAGAAGUAAGGUGAGAGUUCAAGGUUACUUCUCGAAUUGGUAGCCUCAACACUUGAAUUGUUGGUAAAACCUUGCAAUUUUGUUUUAACUUUUAGUUUGAGAUUUAGCAAGUGAGAGCUUGUGGUUUUUCCCCUUGGUAAAAAACUUUUAAGAUUUCCGUGCAUAUACCAUACAUCCAUUCUUCUUUAUUUUUCUUGCAAUUUGUGAUCGGAUUAGUCACUACAUGCUUGGUGUAGUUGGAUGGAUGAAUUAAUUGGAAAAAUUAGAAAGGUUCUAAAUUUGGAAACAUGGGUCAUCCUCCUCUCAGUCUACUUGAGUUACCAACAUCUUUUUCAUAUGGAAUAAGCCAAACUUGAACAAUAGAUAUUUGGAGGGUUGGGCUUGAUACAAAUGAUUUCAUACCUGUGUUCUACCUGUAAAAUAUCCAAAACCAUUGAGAGAAAAAUAUUAGGGUUUAGCAUGGAUACACCGACCUAGCCUGUUGAGGUCCCUACUUGCGACUCAAUUUCAUUUUUGAGGCAUUUAUUUCAUGAACCAAGAAUAGGAUUUUUAUCAAAACCAAAUGAAAAAGGUAUCCACUUUUUGUUUUCCAUUUUCAUUUUUUUCCCUGAUAAAAAUUUGUUCUCAUUGAUGUUAGAAUACUAGACACUAUCCACAUCAAUAAUUACUCUAAUGGAUGUUUAAAUCAAGUUUGAACCUGAUUUGUUGCAAUCCAAAUCCGAAAUACUCACACACUUUGUUCUUGCUAUUAAUUUUAUUUUUAAUACAAAAUUGUAACUCAAAAAUUAUUGUGUAAUGUUUGAUACUAUCAAUUGCAUUGUGGUUAAAUAAAAAAGAUAUGAUUGAAAAUAACAAAUUCACGUUAAUAAUGUUUUAUAUAAAAUUUAUUUAUUUGUGGUAGGCCUUGCAAAGCAUUACUAUUUUCCUUUUGUCAUUGAAUUAAUUAUUUUGAUUAAACUUAAUUAAUUUAAUAGUGUAAAGAUGAAGUUUGUCUAUAUUUCUCUCCUUUGUAUUUUUUUCCCCAAGUGGGAUUUGACACUUGGUUAGUUUUUAACCUUUUUGUACAUCUUUGAAGGAUUGCACAUACUUGUAUUUAUCUUUUUAAGAUAAAUGAAGAUGCUUGUUUCUUUUCCAAAAAAAAGAAAAAAAGAAAAAGCAGAUGGAGUUUCUCUAUCUUUUUUUUUUUUUUUUUUAAUAGUGUCAAGAAAUCAAUUUCCAAAUAAAAAUAGUUCUUUAAAUAUUUGAGUCUUUAUGUGAAUAUCAUAUUUGAAGAACAUUGAAAAGGGCUUAGGCCUCAUGCCUCUAGAGAGUGAGACACGUUUUGUCACAUUUUUUAUUCUUUUUUUCUACUUUUUCUGAUAAGCAAUUGACACCUUGUGUCAUUUUUUUUACGGGUAAUAAGAAUAUAUAUAUAUAUACAAAAAAUAUGUGAAGUGCCUAAACCAAAGGCACAACAAAGUACACAUAAUGCAUACAUGGUCACUUGAAAAUAUGCAAGAAGAAGAACGAGGAGAGGAACAAAAAACAAACCCCUCUCAGCCUCUCUCGUUAUUUUGAACUAAUCCAAACUACGAAACCCAUCAUGGUCAGAAGAUAAUCAUUUAUUAUUUAUAAAAGAUAGUUUAAUUGCUUGUUCUUUUUGUUUUGAAUCUUUAAAGUCUCUUUUGUUUCUUUCCAUCCAUUGUGUCUAGAACAGACACACAAAAGUGACCCUCCAAGCUUUUUUUUCCAGUUCUUGCCCAUGGUGGAACCAUGUUAGGUUAAUGAAUAUCUUUAUAUUUUCGAAUGCAUCACCCAAACCACACAAAAUAGAGAGAAAAUCAAUUGCCACGGGAUACAUGCUAUAGGCAAUGGAGUAGCAAAUGAUUAGCCAAUUCCUCGUCCAAUUUACACAUAUAGGAUCUGUUUGGCAUACUCCAUCCCCUUCUUCUAAGUUGAUUGAUAUCAAAAUUUUGCCCCACAAUGCCCCCCCAAGCAAAAAAAGUCACCUUUCUAGAAUCCAGCGAUUCCAAACACAGUUUGCGGGAAAUGACUUACUUGUUCCUUGGACUAAUGAAAGGAGAGGGAUUUGAUGGAGAACUUGUCACCCUUGGAAUACUUCUACUCCAAACAAUCCUCCUCACUCCUAACUAAUAAGCAAGCUUGGAGUUUUUAGAGAAAGUCCAUCACUCCUUCAAGCUUUCAAGAAAAGUGAGGGCUCUACCAACCACUUUCCCCAUACUGCUCCCCAAUAUCUGCUACCCAUGCAUCUUUGUUUGUGGCUAAAAACAAAAAGACAAAAAAGAUUCUUCGAAAGAUGAACCAUCACUCCAUCCAUCUUUCCAACGUUUGUUGCUUCUUCCAUUGCCAAUAAAGAAGCGAACUUUGCCUUGGAUUGAGUCUCAUGCUUUUCUGAUUGUUUUCCACACACCCAUCCCAUAACCAUUUCUCGCACCAUUUGAGAAUAGGUUCUCAAUAAACAUGAACAAUGUGACAUUUUCCUUGUUAAUCAUCUUGACUCAACCAAGCCUUUGGUACCUGCUACUUAUGGUUACUAAAGACAUUUUUGCCAUUCUGCCGUAGAAUGGCAAGUACCGCAUGAAAUCAUAGGUCAUCUCACUCUUAGUAAUGACUUUGGCAUUCAUUUUAGGCAUUAUGAAUGGAAUUUAUUGUUGCAUGGUUUACAAUUGGUUCCUAUAAGAAGAUAACCACCUUAUUGAAAAUUUUUAGUAUAUCAAAAUGAUACCCCCAUCUCCCCCCCCUGGAACCAUGUCUUUGUGAUAGUUGAAAGGCACCUCCAAUUAAGAAACACAACCAUUACAAUAAUAAAUGAGAGAAAAUUUAUUUUUGCUAAAAUUGUUUAGUAAGGGUUUUGUAUUGAAAAAGCUUUAUUAGUAACUUGGACUCCGGGGGAGUGAAUUAUCAUGAAUAAGUUUAUAUUCUAGAUCUAGUAAUUUUUUUUUUCUUAGAUUUUAUGUUGAUAUCAUGCACCCUACCCCACUAAGAAAGCAAUCACCUUUGCAGGAAAAGUAAAAGAAUGGACACAUGAUACGUACGUAGAGACUUGUAAGUAUUUCUACCAAAAGGGCAAAACAACAGGUUUUCACAUAGCAAAUCUCCUCUAAAAGUUAAAAAUAAGAUACAAGGUGAGGCAGGAGCAUUUGAGAAUUUUGUUAAGUUCCAACCACCUUAGUGCUAUAAAAAUAGAAUUGUUUUACAAUUAGGAAUUCACUAGUUUAUAUAGAUUUAGGUUUCAUGAACUGAUUAGGCUUUUGUUAGUUUUCUGUUUUAUAUAGGCUUCUAUUUUAUGUUUUCUUAUUAGAAUAAUUCAAUCAUGAUAAGUGCUGUUUUACUAUCAUACUGAGGAUUAGGAUUAACUUUCUUAAUACCUAGGACCUAGACAAUGAUGUGGUUCAACAUAUUGAAGUUGUGUCUGCUGUAACAGGGUUAGUAUUAAAUUUGUGAUGGAGGUAGCUUGUGUAUAUCAAAGUGCUCCUAUCUCAUUUAAAGUUGAGGAACCACCAUUUAUUUAUCCUAAUUUAUGAGAAGAUUCUUAUAGAAAAACCUAGUAUAGUUACUUCUAGUUAAGCUUCUUAAAUGGUCCUUUUUUUACGUUGUUGCUCUUUGUAGGCCAGUUUUGUUGGAGCAUUAGAAGAUUACAACUUACCAUUGCAAUCAAUUGUAUCGGUUAGUUAGAUAUAUGUGUGCUACAUGCUAAAAUACAUAUUUCAAGUCCUGGGCUAUCAAAUAAUGUAUCACAUACUUUAUGUGGCAAGAAUUAUUUUUUCCCUACAUAUAUUCUUAGUCCUUUUUUUAUAUGCAAUUAAGUAGUAUGCAUUGAAAGAUGCCUAACAAAAAGGGGGCGUGAGCCUAGUACAUAAGAGGUACAUGGCAUGCACCAAGGCCUUUGUCAGUCAAUUUGGAACUUUGCUUAUUUUACAUGUGUUUUGCUUAAUGACAAACUCUUCAAUGAGAGCUUGAGAUCUGGAAUCCAAGCUGGGUUGCACAGAUACAAAUUUCCUUACAUGAGAUUUAGCAAUAUUCUUAGAGCCAUAUACAGAUUCUUGUAAACAGAAUCUGAUUUUUAUUAGAAAUGUUAGAGAUGAAAUAGAACCAUUUUUUAUGUUGUUGACAGUUUUAUCUCAAUGCCUGAGUCUGGUAUAUAUAUGAUUUUUCCAGGUAUGACUAUUCUGGCUAUGGACAAUCAACUGGAAAGGUUAGAUGCUCUGCUUCUCCAUUUGUAAUUUUUCUGUGGGGGAAAAAAGGGUCUCUGCUUAUGUUGCCUUCAGCACUUCUCUAUUUAAUUUAAUUAAAUAGUCACUCAGCAUUGCUUUUAUUGCCUUUUUAUUUUUCAUUUUUACGUUUGGAGGACCUACAUUAUAUGCAUUUCUGUUUGCCUAGAAUGGAAAACUAUGAUCUCAUAAAAGUAUAACUAUAGACUUGUAUGGACUCUGACAUAUGAACAUUUAUUUGCUAUGCUCAAAGUUCUAUUCUUCUAAGUUUCAUCUUCAUCCUCCUAAAAGGCAAAAAACCUCAAAAUAUGACAACAAAAAGAUAUAUUAAGCAAAAGUCAUCAUUCUUUUUUUAUUACAGCAUUGCAGUUAGUAUUCGUAUCAUUAGAAUAACAUAUGUUACGCUCAGAUAACACCUCACUGAUAUUCCUUGGCACAAUAGUUGCACUUAAGCUUUGAUUUUCCAUGAACCACAUGAGUACUGUGCUUCCACAUAAGAUCACUUAAGCUUCAAUAAUCCAUGUGUGGCAUUAACCACACAAGUGCAGAAUUUCACAUAAGAUCAUUUUCAAUUUCUUCUUUUGGUCAUCCAUUUUAGCCAUUUAAAUAUUAAUCUGCUGAUCUUUUUAAGGGGAAAAAACAAUUGAAAAACUUAAUUAUGUUAAUAAUGAUCAAAAUAGUCAGAUGUGUUCAUAAUGUAUUAAUCAUCUACUGUUGAUAUGUAUCAUUUUAUGUGAAAAUAUAUAAAUUGUACCAUAUCCUAUGUAUUGCAUUGUUUAUAUAAGUUUUGUACAACUGUGUGAUUAUUAUUAGUGAUAUGAGCAGUUCAAUGUUUCUAAGAUUUAACAUUAAAUAUCUAAACUGAAACUGGUAGGCAGUGAUUGGCAUCCCUCUGAAUGACAUAUCAACUAUUUUGCCUCAUCAAUCUCACCAAGAAAAAGGGAUAUUGAAUUAUAAAGGAGCAUGAAUUUUUGUCUCUGAUACUGCUUCUCUUUAGGCUUUUUGUUCCAAGGUUUUUAGGAGAUUCCCCCUAAUGUGUUACAACUUGAUUGGCUAGCAGUGUGUAACUCCAAUGGGUCGGUCUAACCUAGAGAGUUUGUUUAUUUUUACAUUGUAUAUUCUUGUUUUUGUAUUCUUGUAGUUUAGAUUUUCUUUGGUGGGAGGAUUCCUCAUCCUUCUCUUGUACUUCUUUUUUCUAUCAAUAUAUCUCUUUGUCGUUUCCUAUAAUUUUUUAUUUUUUAUUUUAUUUUAUUUUAUUUUUGUCUUUGAUACUGUCGUUUGGGAUAAUCAUUUUAUUUUAUUAUUUUUUUUUCUUGUGUAAACAUUUGGAACAAUAAUCUCAUCCCUCAGAAAACUCAAUAAGAAACCUAGGGCAGCAUUUACUCACUACCUUUUUGCUAUACAAUGUUGAGUCACUUUGUCUGCCUUUAUUUAUGGUUACUUGAUCUACUUGAAUGAUUCUCUCCCACAUAAUUUUAAAAGGUGCAAAAGUCUCCUACAGCUUAGGCACAAGGCACAACACAAGGUGUGGGUUUGAGUGAAGUGAAAUCGACCUAGGAUGCAUAUCGAUUUUAUAACAUAUGAUUCAAAAUCUUAUCCAAUCAAUAAAAAACUUAGGAUUCAAAAUAUUUAAAAGAAGCAUUCAAUAAAAAAGUAAUGAAAUUGAUCUAUAAAAAAAAUAAAAAAGUAAUGAAAUUAUAUACAUUUCAAUACAUAAUUAGAAAUUUCAAGAAUAAAAGUGUUUAAAAAGAAAGAAUAAAGUCGACAAGGUGUGCCUCUUCAUGAAGGCGCAUGUCUGGGCAAGUGAUGCGCUAUAACUAGGGAGCGGUUGUGCUUUAAGCGUGCCUUUUAGAACUAUGCUCUCCCAUCCUCAAUUCCAAUAAGUUCAAGCAAAUUGUGAAAGACUUAUUUCUUUUUUGAUAGAUAAGAAGCAAUUGUAUUGAAAAGCGCCAAAAAAGGUGCACCAAGGUACAUAUGAUGUAUACAAUGGCUGCCACAAAGAGCCCAAAAAAGGUGGGAAAACAAAAAAAUACUCCCUCAAACCGAACCUAACCAAUCAAUGAAAUCAAAUAUGGACAUCGAUCCAUUGCCUAUAAGCAACUUGGACCAAGAAUACAAACUACAUAGAAAUAGGACUUUUAGUUUAUGAUAAGAGAGGUCCUCAUUGUCAAAUGAUCUUCUAUUUCUCUCCUACCAAAUUAUCCAAAAAAGGCGUAAAGGAGUAGCUCCCUAAACUUUUUUCCACUUCUUCCUCGCAAAAGAGCCAUUCCAACCUAACAAGGUGUUUUUGAUGGAGGAGUGAAUCACCUAUGAGAUACCAAAAAGAGAGAACAAAAGCUACCACAACUCCCUCGCCUUGCUACAAUGCAAAAGAAUGUGAUAAAUUGAAUCUUCAUGAGUGUGAUGAAGAAAACAUCUAUUGGCCAAAGAUCAACCUCUUUGUUGUAAUUAAUCAAGAGUCAAAGCUUUUUCCUAGGUCAUCUCGCAAGCAAAGAAACUCACUUUAAGUGGAGUCCAAGCAUUCCACAUAAUAACAGAUGGGAACGAUUCAAAUCUCCCUUCUUCUAGGCUAGAUUAAAGUGACCCUAACAAAGAAAGAUUUACUCUUUGCCUCUAACCAACACACCUUGUCUUUUACUGCCUCAACUACCCCCUUAACAAGUAGUUUUGCAAAGAAAGCUCUGCAUCCUCAAUCUCCCAAUUGUUUGGAUGCCUAGAGAAUCUACGAGUCCACCCACCUCCACCAUUAGAGUGAGAUCACAAGUCCGCCACCCAAGCCUCCUCAUGGUUCAAAGUAUUGGCCGACUUGUAUCUGCCUUGAACCUUUCUAUGUUGAGUCUGAUACCCGAUAUCAUCUUCAAUACAAACCCAACUAAGAACCGGUUAAACUCGGUUGACUCGGUCGAGAUUUUGAGCGGACUUGAUUGAAAUUACGAGUUGAAGGAGAAGAAGCAAUCAAAAAAUAUAUUUUUUUUUCCCUUUCAAAUCACACAAAAAGCAACCAAAAUUGAGAAAUCUCUAAAAAAAAAAAAUAUGAGAGUUCUCUUCAAAAGAAAAAAACUUUCAAGACCAUGACGGUGAAGGAGAAGAGAAGAAGAAAGCUUCAUGUCGGUGAUGUAGUUGUGCUGAUUGUCUGAUGAGAAACAUCACAUUCUUCCAUCGAUGACGAUCUUUGCAUUUUGGUGUUGCCUCUCCUUGCUCGAUCUCCGUUGUGUUUGCGGUGUUGUUUGGGUGUGCAUUGUAGAGAGGCAAAACUGCAAAUUGGGUAUCUUGUGGUGUGAAUAAGUGAUGUUUGGGAUUGGGAAUUGAAGAAAAGGGCUUAAUGUAUUGUUUUAUAUAAAAAUGAUUUAUUAUUUCGGAUGUUCAUAUAUUUGCAUCAAUUUACUUUAUAUGCCAAUGAUAUUUGGAAUUGAUUUGAAAAUUAUUAUUUUAUAUAUUAAAUAUGGUAUGAAUGACUUUAAUUUAGGUAAUGUACUAUUUUACAUGGUAAUGUUAUUAUAUAAGGUGUAUUAUUUUAUAUGCUAAUUUAUUGUUAAUAAUUUAUGAAAUCAUUUCGUUUAUUAUUAUGUUAAUAUAUUUUUAAGUUGAUUAAUUUCUUAAUUCAUUUAAUUAUAUUAAAAUAAUUUUUAUAAUUUUUUGAACUUCUUAAGUAUCUUAUUUUGCUUAUCAUCCGAUAUCGAACCGAGAUGCCGAUACCAAUGUGCCUUGGAACCCUCCAAGUUGAUGACCAAUACCGUGAUUUUGAAAUAUGAGUCUCCUUGGAAGUAGCUAAGGCAAAUAAAGAAGGAAAAAAAAUACUUAAGAUUCAUUGCCAUGCCAUUUAUCCUUCCAAAACUUUACUCUUCUCCCAUUGCCCACCGAGAAGGAAAUCCUGCAAUUAACUUGUCUCCCACAAAUUUCUUAUAACCUUCCAUAACCCAACACCAUAACCCUCGUUUACUUCCUUCGAACACCAACCCCUUCAACUUCCCCAUGCUUACCACUUAUAAUUUGUCAAAUGCCUAUUUCUUGAGGUUUCCUUAGUGCAGUGCUGCUGAAAUUGCACGUUCUGUUGAGGCUUACAUGGGUGCAUGCUCAUGCUUCAAGCUUGCCAGACACCAAAUGUGCAUACACGUACAUAAACAGAUGCACGCAUCAUAGAGUGGGAGAGAAAGAAGAAAUAGAAGGGGGUGGGAUGGGGAAAAGGCUGGGGCUUACAUUUUGAACCUUGUGAUGCAUGUGCACACACUGAGAAGCAGUACAAUGCUUAGAAAUUGGAAUGAGUAUUGAUCUAGAAAAAUAUUUAUUUUGCAAGAUCACAUUGAUGUGGUGCAGCACAAUAUUAUGAUAUAGUCAUUUUUGUGUCAUCUAUCUUUUAGCUCAUGCUGGACUGCAAAAUCAUUCAUCAUGCUCUCUGGUUCAUGAAUAGGUCUUCUAACUGGAACUGUUUCAAUCCAUGGUUUAAGAUUUCAAACCCAUCACCAUUUAGUAGGUUUAUAUUUUAGUUGAAUUGGAAAUAGAACUUCAUACCAGAUUGGAAUCUGAUGAUACUUCAUAGAAGAUAAUGUAAUUGUUUAUAAAAAUUAUAAUUUUUGAAAAGAUUUUGGAUAAUGCUUCUUAAGUAUUGAAAAUUUCGAAAGGCCUAAGAAAAUAGUGAAUGUUUUGACUUCACGUGCCGUGCAUCAGAAGCAACUACCUUAUGGUUUUUUACGAAUCUUAGAAAAAAAUGAGUAUGCACACAUGUAUAGAUGAUAUACAUGCUCUUUAUCUAUGUCCCAAAAUCUCUUUAUUAUUAUUUUUCAGAGAAACUCUUUAUUUUCCCAUUCUCAUUUGCCAGUUUUGCUCCUGUUUGUGUUUGUGUCUAUUGUUUUCUUUUUUCUUUUAACCUAAUGGAACACAAAUAACUAUAAUAAUAAUAAUGAUGAUGAUGAUGAUGGUAAUAGUAAUAUCACUCCUAGAAUCAUUCGUACCCCUAUAAAUUCUAAAUUUCUUUGGAAAAUCUGAUUUUUUCAGAUACUUGAAUUCCAUAUUGUUUGUUGCUUUAUCCACUUGGGUGAGUAAAGAAAAUUUUACGGUGCAAAGGUUGUGGGUUCAGGCUGUAUGGCAUGUCAAGAGUGAGGCAUGCUAACACACAGAAAAUUCACUGUUGUUUCCAACAUCUGGCUAUGUAACACAUAACUUUUAUCAUACUUAUCUUCCUACCUUCAUUCUUAUUUCAUGCAGCAGAUUGCAUUAACAUAAUUAUCAUUUGAAACUAUAAAUUAUUUUAGCAUAUAGAAUCAUAUGAUCAUGCAUUGCUUCCUUGAAAUCUUUAAUUUUGCUAUCAAAAUAAAUAAAUAAAAAAGAACAGAAAAGAAAAAUCUUUCUACAUUGCGCUUUUGUUUGGUCAGUGAGGAUGAUGCUUGGCCACAUGCUUCGUAACCAAAACAUACCUGGUCUAAGUGCAUAACUAGGAUUGUUGGAUGACUUUGGAUUUGGAUGCACGGAUAUCUCUUAGUCCAAUAAAUAAGAUGUAUCAUGGAACAUUAAUAAUCAGGAAUUUAUACUGGGUUCUCAUUAGGUAGAAUAUUUCACCAGUGAACUCUUUUAUUGUCUAGAAGAAUCCUAUACUUGGAGGCCUUGUAUACCACCCAUAAACUAUCGUUGUGCCUCCUACUUUUCUUAGGUGCCUUUAAUGAAUUUCUUUCUUGUUUGCCUAUCAAAAGAGAGAAAAAAAAAAGAUUGCUGUACUUGGGAUGAACUUUGACAUGUUUAGUUGCUUAGGGAUAUAAUCAUUUCUAUUAUGUACCAUUUGCACAUAAUAUAACAUUCAUCCAUCCCUUUUUCUUUGGAACAGCCAUCAGAAUGUAAUACAUAUGCAGACAUUGAUGCAGUAUAUAAAUGCCUUAAGGAGCAGUACGGGGUUAAAGAUGAGCAAUUAAUAUUAUAUGGUCAGUCUGUUGGUAGUGGUCCUACAAUUGAUCUUGCUUCACGUGUAUCAAACUUGAGAGGUGUGGUCUUACAUAGCCCAAUUUUGUCUGGGUUGAGGGUCUUGUACCCUGUCAAACGGACAUACUGGUUUGAUAUUUACAAGGUAUUUCCAUCAUACUAUCGUGGCUAGAUUAGUCAGAUAGUGGAGUCAUAUUUUUAUUUUUAUUUUUAAUUCUUUUCUCUUUACUUUUGUUUUUAUUUUUUAUGGGUGAUUGGGGCUCACUUCUUUGCUUUGUUCUUUUCAGAAUAUUGACAAAAUUGGUAUGGUGAGAUGUCCUGUUCUUGUAAUUCAUGUAAGUAUUGCUUGUUGUUUUCAUUCAAUCUCUCCUUUUUGGUUUCAUUUCAAAUUUGUUUUUUGUAUUCCCCUCAUUCUUAUUCUAUGACUAUAUGCAUUGUCAGAUAUGGGAUUACUGUUACUUGGCAUGGAAAUUCUUUCUUAACUUGAGAUAUCAUUGAUAGCAGCUUUGCUACUAUAAAUUGGGAAAGAAAUUAUAUUUGUUGAGAUAAUCAUAUUUGAACUUUCAUCUAUCAAAAAGAAAAGGAAAAAACAAAAAGAAGGCUUUCAGUUUUCAUGUGUUUCCUAUAUCAAUAACUUCAAAGACAAGCCCCUUUGCUUCAGAAGGAUAAAAAAUGAAAAAAGUUGGUCACUUGUAACAGGUUAAGAUGCACUCUAUUGUAUUAUUCCAAAAUUUAUGUGACCGUAUGUUUUGCUUUCCAUAGUGGUGGAUCACAGCAGAAAGUAGUUAAACUCCAAUUCAGAGAGUUUUCUUUGAAGCAAAUUCAGUGAUAAAGCUAGUAUUUUAUCUUCAGGGGACGGCUGAUGAAGUUGUUGAUUGUUCCCAUGGGAAGCAGCUUUGGGAGCUUUGCCAGGAAAAGUAUGAACCAUUAUGGUUAAGUGGAGGUGGACAUUGCAAUCUUGAGCUUUAUCCAGAAUUCAUUAAACAUCUGAAAAAAUUUGUGCUGACUAUUGGCAAAUCGAAGGCGGCCACAAAUGGUUCUAAAAAAACAGCAGUAGACUCUGACAGUCAGAGCAAGACAUCUGAAAGUGGAACUUCAGAUGCGUUUGAAUUGAGCACUGACCUUCCAGAAGCAUCUAGAAACAGUUUAGAUAGUCGACUUGAGAAGUCAAAGAAGACGAACAAGCCUGAAAAAUCUCGGAUGAGCACUGACCAUGUUGACAGGUUUAGGAGAAGAAAAGGCUUAGUCUGGUGACUCCUACACGAAGAGUGUUCUAAAUAAGUUUUUGUGCUAAUAACCACUUGAGAAGGUAUUUAUUCUUUGCUUGUGCUCCUGUAUGAUGCAUCAACUCUAAACAACAAGUGUUGUCAAAUUGAGUGUGACUCUUCAUAUGAAAUGUUCCAAGUCAUGUGUAUUGCUCAGAGGAUAAAUUGAUAAUGGGAAGGAGCUUGCAUCUGUAUUUCUUCUGUAAAAUUAAUAGUUUUGAACAUGGAAUAUCUUGCAGUUCCAUCAAUCAUGUUACUUCAAAUUUGUUGGUUCAAUCCUUCGAUGUUUCUUGCAUUCUGUGAUGGAAAACAUCAGACAAAUCCAUGAGAUCUUUACAUCAAUGGCCUCUAUUGGUUGUGAAGUCCUUCUCCGGUUCUGUAAAAUCCUACUUUUUCUUUAAUUUUAGCUAGUGAAGUAGAUAUAAUCAUUUUUAAUCACUUUAGAAGAUAUUAUCCAUAUUACCCAGGCACUUAAAUCUGAUUUGGUUAAUUGUCACUCAAGCUGUAUUCAGGCGAUAAGAUUUUCACCUUGCUUCCAGUCAUUGGUUGUUUUUGUCUGUUUCUAGUUCAUCUUUUUAACUUUAUUUAUUCAAAGUCCUCCAAUUUUAGUUUUAUUAUGAUUUAUUUUACUAUGGGUGCAUUAAAAAAUGUGCUAUUUGUUUAGAUGUAUUUUUAUUUUUCAAAACAAAAAUAGUGAAUAAGUUAUUUUUUAAUUAUAUAGAUAUUUUUAUUUUUAAUCUUAAAAAAUGUAAAGAAUAAUGUUGUAAAUUUUUUUAAAAAUAAUCCAAUUAUUUUUAAAUUGAGUUACAAAAUAUGUUUUUAAAAUAAAGAAUAUUCAUUCGUAGAACCCCAAGUUCACUUGGGGAUGUUAAAGAGCAUCAAAGCAAGUAUAUUUGAUUGGAAAACUGGUCUGGUUAACCAGGACUAGGGAUGGCAAUAUGGCGGGUUUGGGAUAGGUUGUUCUCAUUCCUUUCACAUCCAAUUUAUUGAAAAUAAUUCCCAUCCCCGUCUCAUUUAAAAAAUAAAACGGGGUGGGAUGGGUAUGAUAAAUUCUCAUACUCGUCCCGUCUUGUUCUGUUUAACUUUUUUUGAAUUUUAAUUUUUUUUAAAAAAUUAUUUUUAAAAUUUUUAGUUAUAUUAAAAUAAAUAUAUUUUAUAAAUAAUUAAAUUAUUAUAUUUUUUAUAAUUUAUUUUAUUAAAAAUAUUUUAUUAUUAUCUAUAUAUUAAAAAUAGUAAAAUAAAAAUUAAAUUAAAUUAAUUUUAAAAAUUAAUUUUAUAUAUAAUGAAGGCAGGAUGGGGUAGGAUAAGACAAUACCCAAACCAGCCCCGAGUUUUAAAAAAAUUUUCAAACCCAUUUAUUAAAAUUGAAUCCCCUCCCAUUCCCAUUGUCAUCCUUACUCGGACGGCACUAGCCUGCUGUUGUGGACGGCACUAGCCUGCUGUUGUGGAAGAAGAUGCCGUUUAGGUUUUGCUAAACCUCACGUACACGAAUGCACACGAAUUUUCCUCAUAAUCUUAUUUUAUCCUCCCAGUCUUGCCUUCUAGCAACGACCCGAGUCGUUGAAAGCGGAAUGGAAGAAGUUUGGUAAAUGUCAGUGUCCACCCAAAAUCAAAACAAAAUUGUGUAUUUUUUUUACCUAGUCAGCUAGUUUGACCAUGAUCGGCAUUGAAUGGAAUAGAUAAGGUUUAUCUCCUUCCUCUUUUGAACCACCCCAAAUUUACAUCUGUCUCUCCGAAAAUGCCUCCCAAUUUCUUCCCAGCUUAUUCUGUUUUCUUGAUGAUCAUGCUGAUCCCUGUUCCGAGGGUUGUGUGCGAGGACAAUCAACAAUUCGUCAGCUGCGGCGCACAGUAUGAGUGCGGGAAUAUGGUUAUUAGUUAUCCUUUCUGGGGAGGGAGUCGCCCUCCUUACUGUGGCCAUCCAGGGUUCGAGCUGACUUGUGAUGGUGAAGCCCCGGAGUUUACAAUGAAGGAGGCGAGUUACCGAAUCCUGGAUAUCAAUAACUCAUUCCAUACUCUCACCGUUGCUAGGGCGGAUUACUGGGAUAGUUACUGCCCUCCUACAUAUGUUAACACCACUCUGAAUGAAUCCAUUUUUAGUUAUAAUGCCACCUAUACAGACGUGACCCUCUACUAUGAUUGUCCCCAACUUACUAUCGCGCCUUCCAACCAGUUCAAUUGCACCAAUAUCACUGGUUACUAUACAACACUGGAUCUUAACCUUAGCGUAAGCCCCGGGAGUUGCGGUGUGUAUGUGACGGUUCCCAUUUUUCAGUCAGCAGCUACCGCUAUAGUGAGCGGUGGAGGUACACUGACUCUUCUUACAGAAGCUCUUAAGGGUGGUUUCGGGUUGGAGUGGAAUGCCAGUAAUAGUUUGUGUACAGAAUGUGUUGAAUCCGGUGGGCAGUGCGGCUAUACCUCCAACCAAUUCACAUGCUAUUGUCGGAAUGGGUAUCCUCUCUCCAGUUGCCAAACCACAAGAUCAGGUAUGUAUAGAAACAACUUCAUCAGAUAUAUAGCUUUCGUCUCACAAACAUGCAUGCUACCGUUCAUUCACCGAUCUCUUAAUCUGUGUUUGGUUUCCAAAAAUUUUAGGCAAAAUACAAGGAGAAAAGACUAGAAGGGAAGAAAAAUAAAACAUAAUAGAUUUUAAAUUAAUAAAUUAAUUUGUUACUUCAAAACCUUUAUACUUAUUUAACUCAUAUAUAAAGAUAAAUUAAAUAAUUUAAAUUUUAAUUAUAUUUGAUUUUUUAUUUUAUAGUAAUAUCAAACAUGGUAAAAUGAUUUUCCUUACACGUUGGGUUUUAUUAUAAAAGAAAAUAAAAUAUAAUUAAUAUUAAUUAAAAACUUAUAUAAUUUUAAAUUAUUUGUUAUUUAUAUAAAAAAAUUAAAAUAAGUUAAAUAAGUUUGAAAUAGUGUACAAAAUCAUUGAGUUUAAAUUUAUUUUUAAAUUUUUUUUCUUUUUACUUUCUCUUUAGUCCCUCAUUCCCUCGAAUUUUCAAGAGCCAAACUAUUUUUUUUUAUUUUUUUUUUCUUUUUACUUUUUCUCUUUAUUCCCCAUUCCCUCAAAAUUUUCAAGAUCCACACAUUAGCAAGAAAUUUGCAUAGUUAAAUAGAUUAGAAGUUAAGUCUUUAUCACUUUCCUCCUUAUAAUUGUGUUAUUUGUAGGCACCUUAGAUGCAGGUUGAUUUUGUUUUGAUAGGGAUGAUAGUUUUGUUAGUUUCUCGGGUGUCCCACCCCACCCCACCUCUAGUAGGAUGGGUAUGAGAAAGCGAUAAUCAGGGAUGAGAUGAAUUUGACAAGAAUUUCGAAACCUAAAUCAAGUUUAGAGCAAGUAUGGGUUUUAUACUAUUCUACCUCACCUUGCCCCCAAAUAUGAAUUUACAGAAUUACCCUUCAUAUAUUAGAAAAUUCCCAAAAUAUCGAUCAUAUAAAUAUUGUAUCUUUAGAAAUUUGCCCCUCUCCCCACAUAGCUCCUCUCCUAUUUUUUGCUUGGAUCUAUCAUUUUUUUGCCCUAAUCUUAGGUCACAUGGGAGAAUGUGAAAGGCCUAUAGGACUAGCAGAGGAGGCAUCUAUAAAAGUUCCCUUAGAAAAGCAUCCUAUUGAAGCACCCCAAUAGUGAGUUGUUGCUUGUGGUAGCGAGAUCGAUGGUAUUUUAGCUAUUGUACAAUGAAGAUGUUGACAUCAAUGGGAAUUACCACUUCAGAGCAUCUAAGAAGGUGAUGAGUUGCAAGAUCGAUUUGUGGGAGCCUCAAUGGUAGAUGAUGGAGGAUCUUUGGGAUUUGUAAGCAAUGUAGAGAGAAAAUGUGUUGAUGAUGUGAUUAAGAAUAUGUCCUCUUUUAAGUUUGGUUGGGUAAUGCUUGUGAUUAAUUUAGGAGAUGUAAAGUUGUUGGUGAAGGAGGAUUGGAGGGUUUGGAUCCUGCCAUUAGCAAGGUUAUAGAAUAGUAGAUCUUGGAAAGUAAAGGCAAUUUUCUUGCUUUUCCAUUGAUUUGGUUGGUUUCCGCGAGACCAAAGGCUCAGUUUGGUUGUUGGAAGAGGACAUGAAAGGGAAAUGCUAAUUGAAAAAGGCUCUCUUUCUUUAGUAUUUCAAUGGAGAAAUAUCGAUCCGACGAUAUUUCGGGAUUUAUCGCAAGAAAUCGCCGAUUUUUUUUCCCGAUAUAUUGUAUGGUCAAUGCGGGUCAAACGAAAGUGCGCUACUGUGCCCUCCCAUUUGCUUGCUGCCGAGAGGAUUUGAACCCCAAACCAAGAGGUUUGGGGUUCACCCGCGUACCACUUGGGCUAACUUGAAUUAUAUGCAACAAAUAUAUAUAUACUUAAACUCAUUAUAUAAAAAAAAUAUAAGAAUAUUUUAAAGAGCAAAUUAUUUAUAAUUAUUUUAUAAUUAAAUGCAAAGUCUUUUAAUUAAUUACCAAAAAUAUAAAAAUUAUAUAAUUUUCUUCAUAAUGUUUUUAAUAUCAUUAAUAAUUAAUUAAAUAUUAAAAAAUUAUAUAUAUAUCAUUAUUUAUUUUAUAUUGUUUAAUACAAUUGAAUUAAAUGGAUCAUAUUUUAAUACUAAUAUAUAUUUUAAAAUUAGACAUAUUAUAAUCAAAUAUCAUAAUAUUAGGUGUAAUUUAAUAAUAAAUGUACACUUAUAAAAUUCAUAUUUUUAUCGAUGCAUAUGAUAUUAUUAAAUCGUGUUAUACAUAUAUCAAAAUUUUUAAUAAAAUAACUUUAAAAUGUCUAUUAUACUUCUAAUUAUAUUAUUAUGAGGUUUUCCUAACAUUUUUAUGAGUUUUUAAUAAUUUUAAGCUUACCGAUAUUUUUUUCCAAAAUAUCCGCCGAUAUAUCCGUAAAAUCGAAGUACCGAUAUAUCCGUGAUUACUGAUAUUUUCAUCAUUGGUUGGUACUUACAACCUUUGAACAUUUGCAUACCCAUGUGUUCUAGGACUUCCUUAAUGGAACCUUUUUGUUUAUUUAUUUUGUAGAAGCAUGCAAAUAAGAAAAAUAAGAAAAUAAAUAAUGAAGCAAUCAUAAAAGCAUAUAAGAUUUAACAAGGUUUGUUAUAUGCUUAUGUCCAUAGAGAAAGAGGAUCAAUUUGCAAUACUCAAGUGAGUAGUUACAAUUUUGAAGCACUAAAUUACCAACAAAUUGGAAUAUUAAUUAAAACAAAAUUGCUAAAAUAUAAACAAGAUUUAAUGUCUUAACAGUUAUAACUUACUAUAAGUUCUGUUUAAUGUGUAACCAUAACAUUAAUUUUCUUUGAUAGUUAUAAUCAUAACUCUUUUUUUUUUGUUUGCAUAUCAAGGUUGUCAUUUCUAUUGAAUCCAUAUGCUAUAUGCAAUACACUCCUCUCCUUUCAGUAUGAUCCUUCCCAGUUUAGUUGCAGUUUUCCUUCUACAAGAUCUCAAAUAUUUUGGAAAACUUUUUAUAGCACAAGUUCUCCUUCUUGAAAUCGCCUUUCUUGUAACUUUUGGUUAUAUGAUGAUGUUAUUCCUUGCUGAUAGUCUUCAACUUUUAAAGUAGUUGCUUUGCUCUUCAAGUAAGUCUAGAUCUAGUUCCAAGGUCAUCGGGGUUUGCUAAUCGUCAAGCAUUAGUGUACCCAAUUGGUAUUAUAGCUUCGGGCCCAUAAGCUAGUGCGAAUGGAGUCUCCCAUGUGGCUGAUCUUGUUUGGUCCUGCAGCAUGCCCAUAGGACAAUCGACAACAUGUUUCCUUUGGCUUAACCUUUUCUUAAGAUAGUUCAACAAGGUCUAAUUGGUGGCUUCUUCUUGGCUAUUGCCUUGCGGGUGUAGGGGAAUACCUUAGAGGUCGACUAUUUUAAGGUCAUUGCAAAAUUUUUUGAAUUCUUUGAAAUUAAACUAGGCGUCAUGGUUAAUUAUGAGGAUUCGAGGUUUAUUGAAUAGAAAUACUAUAUUUUGCCAUACAAAUCUCCAUACAUCCCCCUUUUUUGUUUUUGAAUAUGCCUUUGCUUCCUCCCACUUGGUGUAAUAUAGUAGGUAGCUACAAGAACAAAUCCUUUUCAUUAAACCGCAACAAGUAGGGGUCCAAUCAUGUCUAGCCCCCAUUGAGUGAAUGGUCAAGGUACACUAAAUUGAUGAAGGUCCUAAUUCAUCUUCACUUCAAUUAGAACCUUCAUUAAUUUCUUAUAGGAUGUAUAUUUCUUCAAAAGCUUAUGUUUUUUUUGAAAUAAGAAUGGCAAACAUUUAGUGCCUUUUGAAUACAAUUUUGGUUUUAUUAAUUUAAAAAAUCAAUGAAUUUUCAGUUGUAAUUUUUUUAAAAGUACUUGAAGAUAUAAAACAUGUUUACUAAUUCAUUUUUUUUUUGUUAAAAAAAAAAAACACAUUUGAUAGUUAUAUGGCAACAAGUAGAAAACAAUCAUUUUUCUAUUUUAAAAUUUGUUUACAAAAAUGGUAAUAAAAUUUUUUGAUGACUUUAUUAUUAUUAUUAUUAUUUUAAAAAUUUGUUCUAUCAAAAUUUGAAAACAAGAGGUAAAAAUGGGUCACCAAACAUGUUUCCAAAUUUUGUUUUUACAUAUUUUAAUUAAAAAAAGAUUUGAAAAAUAAAAGUGAAGCCAAAUAUACCCUUGUUGGUCAAUUUCAAUUUUACGAUGGUUUUAUGCUUAAAAUUCAGAAAACAAUAUUUCAUUGUACUUGAAAUGGUUCAAUUUUUAGGAAAUUUAAUGUAAUUUUCAAUGCUUUUAUACGAUUUUCUAUGUAAUUUUCAUUUUUUUAAAAUUUAAUUGCGAGAGUUGAAAAUACCUCAUUUUCACUAUCAAAGAGGUCCUAAAUCUUACCAUGUCUAGGUGAUGGCCUAUCUGUUCUGUUGUUAGUAACAUCCUCUAGUUUGGUUUCUUUACAAUUUUAAGUUGUAUAGAACUCAUUUUCAUUUUAAGUGUGACUAAUUUUAUGUUUGUUUUACAUGAUCAGGCUCAAAUGUGCUGAGAAAGAUUAUUAUAGGUAAUAUAUAAUUUUGAAGUUCUAAAUUUGGAAAAUUAAUAUCUCCAUACUUGUUUUUACGUUUAAGUAAUAGUAUGAAUUCUUUGAACACAGGCAUUGUUGCAGGUGUGGCUACGCUCAUAUUAGUUCUUGCAAUGCUUGGUUGCCUUAGAAUAAUAAAAUGCCCAUUGGCGUGCAAGACAUUGGUCUUCUGGAAGAAGGAAUCAGAGGAUGAUGAAAAUGUGGAAGCAUUUAUAAGGAACUAUGGAUCAUUGGCUCCAAAGAGAUACAAUUAUUCAGAUGUUAAGAAAAUGACCAACUCAUUCACAAGUAAAUUAGGUGAAGGAGGAUUUGGUUGCGUGUACAAAGGAAAGCUCCCUGAUGGUCGCAUGAUGGCAGUGAAACUUUUGAGUAAGUCAAAGGGUAAUGGACAAGACUUUAUUAAUGAAGUUGCAAGCAUCAGUAGAACUUCUCAUGUUAAUAUAGUCACUUUUAUGGGAUUUUGUUUUGAGAGGAGUAGAAGAGCUCUGAUUUAUGAAUUCAUGCCCAAUGGAUCUCUUGAUAAGUUCAUCUAUAAUAGAGGAUCCUCUAAUGAAAGCCUGAACUUGGAAUGGAAGACCAUGUACCAAAUUGCAGUCGGCAUUGCUCGAGGACUAGAAUACUUAUACCGAGGUUGCAACACAAGGAUUUUGCAUUUUGACAUAAAACCUCACAACAUUCUUCUAGACCAAAACUUCAUCCCAAAAAUUUCUGAUUUUGGCCUUGCUAAGCUAUGCCAGAAGACAGAAAGCAUGGUGUCAAUGACGCACGCACGGGGCACCACUGGAUACAUAGCUCCCGAGGUAUUCUGUAGAAACUUUGGAGGAGUCUCUCAUAAAUCCGAUGUCUACAGCUAUGGAAUGUUGGUUCUUGAAAUGGUUGGAGGGAGAAAGAAUAUUGAUGUGCAAGUUUUCCAACUUGGAUUUAUAAGCAGCUUCAGCCAGGCAAGGAUCUUACAGUACUUCGUAGUAUCACCAAUGAAGAGGAGGAAGAAACAGCGAGGAAGAUGGUUUUAGUGAGCCUGUGGUGCAUUCAGCCCAAUCCAUCUGACCGACCAUCGAUUGAUAAGGUGGUAGAGAUGUUGGAAGGAAGCUCUCAUCUCUUAGAGAUUCCCCCAAAUCCUUUUAUGUUUUCUACUCAAAACACACCACAGUCCACAGUGUCAACUUAGAAAGAGAUCGUUAACAUUAUUGUUAAAAAAAAAAAAAAAAGAAUAUGAUUUUUCCCUGCUGGAGAGAGAGGAGCAAUGCCCACCAUGAGAAACAAAUUCAAAUAUCUCAACUGAAGCCCAACUCCAAAGAUUAGGUCGUGCAUAUCUUUGUAACAACUUUACAAGACCUUCAUCUCAAAUCAUCUGUUGCAGAGAAUCCUAAAGAAGACACAAUGCUACAGCGAAAAGGUAACUGAGAUUUGCUAAUUACUUUUUCUCAUUAGUCUCUUUAUGGUAUCAAACCAUCUUUAACUCACAUGAGUAUUGUUCUUCCUAUGUUAAUUAUUCAAGUAUCCAUAUAUUGAGGAAAUCUCAAAAUUUCUUAUUGUCUAUCUAAAACUAUGUCAUCCAACUAUUUAUUGUGUCUAUCGGUAAAUGAAAGUUAAGAUUUAGUUGGUUUCAUCACAGGAGGAACUCCAUCACAUGUGAGUGAGUUAGAUAGAGAUUAUCAAGAUAUGUGGCAUUAUGGACAUGUACAGAUAGACUAGUUAAUGCCUGGAUCACUUCUCUUUCUGAAGAAGCUCUAAAAUCCAAUUUUGGCCUUGCUACUUGCUAUGCUGUGUUGAAGGCUUUCUCAAAUACCUACAAUCUGGAUUCUGAAGCAUACUACACUUAACUCUUACAUAAUUGAGUUCAAGUCCACACUUAACUCUUACAUAAUUGAGUUCAAGUCCACACGUAACUUAAUGCCAUUGGCAAACCAGUACAUGCCUGUUAAGAAUCAGGUUUUCUGGCUCCUGAAUGGACUUGGACAACAAUUUGAAUAUUUUUUCACAGCUAUGCUUAAGGUUCCUGUUCCAUCUUACAAUGCCUUUAUACUACAAUGCCAUGAAUCAUAUAUAACAAAUCUCAAAGUUUCUAAGCAUGUGAAUCAUGCACUUGCCUUUGUUGGUUGGUUAUCGUUCAAACUGCAAGAAUUGACAAAAGGUCAAGUUUCAAUCCAAUUCUAGGCCUUCCUCUAACCAUCAUACAUCAUAAUUUCCCGUUAACCCUAAAGCGUACAAUUCCUAGUUCCUCGACUCUACUCCUAUCUGCUAUAAUAUUUGCAAAUUAAAAAGAAAGGUCAUGACGCUUUGGAGGCUUGGCAUCAUUUUGACCAAAGUUUUUAGGAUUAUUAUUAUAAUUAUUAUUAUUUGGCAUGGAAGAUUAAGCCAUUCUUGGCCCAAAUUAAGUUCAAAAUUUUUCUGCCACACCAAAAAUUUGUCUCAAGUAAUAAAAAGUUGUUGGAACUAUAUAAGAGCUAUGCCUUGAGCAAAAGCUCCAAACUUCCUUUCUUUCCAUCCAAUAAUAAAGUAGGCAUUCCAAUUGCCAAGAUUCAUUGUGAUCUCUAGGGUCCAAAUCUCAUUUAUUAUGUUGAUGUGCAAGUCUAAUUACCUUAUGAGUUAACAAAAUAAGAAUAUUUUUAAAGCUCAAUUGAAGAAGUUGGUUCAUGUCACUAUCCUCUAAACAAGAAGUCAAAAGAAGAAAUUAUGGAAAUCAACAUUUUCAACAACCAUAUAUUUUCUUGGGAAACUUCAUUGAAAAACUAUACCUAUUUGACUAGUAAGAUGAACUGAAAAUAAUUUCAUGUCCUUCCUCUUUUGAAUGACCCCAAUUCUAUACCUAUCUGUCUCCCCCAAAAUGCAUUCCAAUUUCUUUCUACCAUGUUCUACUUUGUUGAUGAUCAUAAUAGUCCAUGUUCCUAGUGCUUGGUGUCAAAAUUAUGACCAAUAUAUCAACUGCGGCAAGACUGUUGUAGUGAGCUAAUAUGUCAAAUAUUGGUUAUCCUUUCUGGGGCGGGAGCAGGCCAACGUACUGCAGCCACCCAGGGCUUGAUCUAAAUUGUGAUGGCUACACCCCGGAGUUCAGAAUGAUGGGCGUGAGUUACCGGGUCCUUGAUAUCAAUAAUUCGUUCAAUACUCUCACAGUUGCUAGGGUGGAUUACUGGAACAGUACUUGUCCCAUUGAGUAUCUUAACACCACUCUGAAUCGCACCCUCUUCAAUUAUAACACAACAUAUCCAAACCUUUGUACUAUGGUUGCCCUGCAAGCAAUCUUUCCACUUCUAGCCAAUUUAUUUGAAGUUGCACAAGUGGUGGUAGGGUCGUUGGUUACUAUGUGACUAGGGACCUCAGCAAUAUGUACAACUGUUUUUUAUAUAUUCGUUUGAUUGAUUUCAUUAUUAUUAUUAUUAUUUUAAUUGUAUGAUUUCUAAUUUAAAAUUUUUAUUUUUGCAUGAGGCUUUGGUGGCUAUGCAUAUAUGCAAUGAUUUGGCAAUAUUGAUUUUUUUUUUUUAAUAAGGGAAGGUGAGGUUGCACUACAAGAAUGAAAAUGGAUCAAAACCAAAGUGUGUCCAUAGGGAGUGAAGAUAAAUGCUAUAGAUGCAGCCAUAUGCAAGAGUAUGACUAUAAAUUUUGACUGCAACUUAAUUUGGACCACAACAAAAGGUGCAUAGUCACGACUAAGGGGGCUGCUACUAUAAGGUGGGUUAUGGUUGGGGCCUUUGCUUGGCUGCUACCAUAAGGUGAAACAUGGAUAGGGCCUUUUUUUGGCCGCUACUAUAGGCCCUAAAGUUGAUGGUGCUUUCUCUUGGCCUCUACUAUAGGUCUUGCUAUGGAUAUGAGAACUGCUAAAACUUGGUGAGAAAAAUGAAAGAUGAAUUGAUUGAUAUCCAAUACACCUGGAGGCUAAAUUAUCAUCACAUGUUAUGAUUAAAAAAAAAAAAAAAAGGAAGUUAGAUGUAGUAAUAGAGAAAUUUUUAGAUGUUCCCAAGGAACAAAACAGUUCAGAAUUGGGUAUCAGCACUCCACACACAUCAAUGAUCAUGUACACUGUAAUAAGAUGGUCAUAUUGUUGCCCACAUCGGAAGAACAACAACUAUUUCUAAGAUUCCUUGUUUUAGUCUAAUCAAAAGCUUCUCCCACGAUGAUCAACCAGUCCUCAUUCCUUGUUGCUUCUUCAAAAGGCUUUUGCAUCUAAACCUUGCCAAAAGGCCUUGUAACAACAUUUACAAAGUAUUUUUACUUAAGCCUGCAUGUAUCAGGAUAAUAAACUAUGUACACCAUGGUUUGUAAUCAACAGAAGCCAUAAUGCAAUAAGUUAAAGAACUGACAUAGAACAAAAUUUACAAGAAUUGAUAGAAGUUCCAAAAUUUUAUAGAUAACCAGGGAAACUUUUUCAUAAAUAAGAUUAUGGGAGAAUACAAAUUAAGCAAUUAAAGGGCAUACCUAGGCUGCAAAAGAGAAGCCACUGGGCAGCCGUGUACAAGUAAGAUCACUAAGAUAUCCAUGUAACUCACAUCCAAUGUCCAUCAAAACAGGGUCCCCAUCUUUGACCUAUAUAUAUAAAUUAUUUAAUUGUUUAUAAAAAUGGAUCCUCUGUAAUAAAUGUAAUUACAGAUGAAAAAAGUGUAUCAACAUACAAUACAAAUGAACUUACCUUCUGAUCAUUUCAAGAAAUAGGCAUUCUUGAUCGUUUUGCCGCAAACUUCUGCAUUCCUGAUCAUUCUGUCACAAAGUUCUACAUUCCUGAUCCAAAGUCAACUACGUCAACAAACUAUUUAUUGGUCAUCCUGACAAUGCAGUACUCUUACUAUAAUUAAACAAACACUUCCUAGAACAAUGAAUAUAAAUCUAUUAUAAAUCUGUUAUAUACUCAUUGAAAUUCCCUGAUUUUUUCACAUAAGUUUCUUAUACACAAUAUUGAUAUCCAUGCUAGCUCAUAACCUUUCAAUAUUUAUCAUUGAAAUUCAACAGUACCUAUUUCCGGGAUGCAGUGAUUUAAGCAUUAACUGAAAAUACGUCAAUGAUACAAGUAGGAACACUCCUUUAUGACAUGCAACUGCAAGUACCCUAAGGUCAUAUUAGCCUAAGCAAGAAGUGUCAUCAAGUAUUAGACAGCUGAAAACUAAUCCAAGAAAAAAAAAUUAUAUAUAUCUUAGUCUAAUAGAUUAUAAAUUUAGAAAAAUUAUUACAUACUAUAGGGAAAGAAAAAAAUACAGCAGGGAAAAAAAAAAGGACAAAAAAAAAAAGGAGCAGAUUACAAACAAGAGCGUUAUGGAGGUGCAGGCGGAGAAAAGACCCCCUCCAGCAGGUACUACCCUCUAUUUAAAUUUUGAUGGUUAAGGACGAUUAUAACCUAGGAUAGCUAAUGGUUGGUGACAAAAUGCUGGGGGAAAACCAAAUUUUAGGGUUGACUAUAGGAAUCUUAUUUGCUAUUCUGUUUUAUGUAUCAAGGUUCAUAGUAAAUCAUAUUAAGAUGCAAAUUUGGAGAAAAACAAACACAAACUUAUACAAAAGGCACCAUAUGAAAUCAGAAAUUUACUUAAUUGCAUCAAGCAAAGAAAUGCAAUUGUGAAGAAGCAGUCUGUCCACUUCUCUCUUGGACUCAACUUCAUCUUUCACUGCUACUCUCAAAAUCCCAAUCACCAGUCCAACACAAGAAAUGAAUCAGCGACUGGCUUACAGUAGAACUCAAGUAAUUACAAUAUCAAUCUUCCAGUAUCAUCUGCACACAAUAGCCAAAAUAUUCAAUCAUAAAAUUUUGAUUCAACAAAACAUCUCUAUCAAAAUCCCAUCAACAUAGCCUAUACGUAUUAAUCUUGUUAAUAAGAAUCUUUUAAUGAAUAUUAGUUGAGUAUUAUAUUUUAAUACUUUUAAUGAAUUAAAGUUUACAAACAUUUACUUUUCAUUUGGAAGAACCCACCAAUGAAAUUUUUUUUACUAUAAAACAUUUUUCUUCCAUAGUCCAUCCAUAAAACAUUUUUCUUUUAUAGUCCAUCCAAACAAGAAAUAACUGGAAAUAUGAAACCAGCACUAACAUCGGCAGACAAUAAAAUUUUUGAAAACUUAAAUAUAAAAAGUAGUUUUUUCGGCUUAUCCUUUGAGUGUUUUAUAUAUUAUACAUAAUGUAAAAAUUUUCAAAAUAUCAUCCAUAUUUUCAAUUAUAGCUUAAAAUAAUAUUAAAAAAUAAUUAAAUUUACUUUUAAUUUGUCCUAAGAAAUAAUAUAUUUUAUAAUAAAUUUUUAAGAAACUGUUUUUCAUUGCAUGUGUUUUCUAAGUUAGAAAAAUGUUUUCAUGAAUUGUUUUAAAACAUGGCCUAAACUUUCCAUAUUUCUUUGCUUCCUAUGAAUUAAGCAUGUAUCUGCAAAUUCUGAAGAGAUGGUUAAUCACUUUUACUAGGCAAAUUGUCUUUUAGAUCCUAAAAAAUUUGGAAAAAAAUGCAACAAAAAAUAGAAGGAAAAGUAAAUUAUUUUUAUAUACUACUUCAUAUUCAUUUCAAUAAUUUUAAUCCUAUAUAUAAAGACUAAAUAAUUAAAAAAUAUUUAAUUUUUUAAUGAAUUUUAAUUAUAUUUUAUUUUGUAUAUUCUUGAUAAUUAAAAUCAAACAUAGAAAGUUAUUUUUUUUAAAAUUUUUAUUUUCUUCUCUUAACAUAACCUUAAAAGUAAGACAAGUAUUACAUGGGCUUGGACAAGAAUUUAUGGCUACGUUUAGUUCCUAGAAAACCCCAAAGAAAUGAAAAACAUACUAAUGAAAAUGAUUUUUUCAUGUUUAGUUUAACUAGGAAAAAUAUGAAAGAAAAAUUAUUUUCUCAUGCUUAGUUUAACUAGGAAAAAUAUGUAAGAAAAUACUGAAGUUGUGACAAUGCUAAACAAAGCUAAUUUGAAUAAAAAUAGUGGACACAAUUUUAUUAACAAACAAAAUUAUAUUUAUUAGAACCAUCCAACCCAACCUGUUCCAUUGUAAAGGUGGACACAAUCCACAUCAUGUUAAAUUAUAUUCCUAUGUUGCACUCUCAAGAGGAAAAAAAAAAGAAUCAAAUUUCUCUCAUCAAAUAUCGGCGUCUCUAGGAUCCCAGGGUUCACUGUCUCAACCUCAAAAUGACUAGAAGAAUCACCCCCAUCUAAACAACCGUUACAGCUCCUAUGCUGAGCUUCCUGCUAACCUUCAGACAAAGCUCUAAUUCAGCUUUGUUAGCAGAACUACUUCCAACAAGCAUAAAGAGUGAAAUAACAUUGAAUUGUACAACACUCUGAUCUGGCAUCCUGCUAUAUCAUAUUAAAUAAUUUUCAUGGAACCUCCUUGAACUUCUAGACAUAGAAGCCAGCAGGAAGCAAAAUAGAUCACUCUCUUGCAUAGACCCUUCCUCUUAAAUACUCUCUCUCACUCUCUCCCUCCCCUCUCCUCUCACUUUCUAAACCAACCUGAAUGAGGUCACACCAACCAUGUCCCUUUAGAAUUUACUUUCAUCGUCUCUCUCCAAGGCAGUGAAUGUGGUCAUCAUCAUCCUCCUUCCUCUUACAGUGUACACAGAGCUUGGAACAGAGCUUUGAAAAGCCUUCUUGUGGGUUCCAUUAGUAUUCCCCUUUCUACGCACAACUAACCAAGAGAAACUUUAGUAAGGGGCUUUAGCCUUCCAAACAGAGCUUGGAAGAAAAACUUGGGAGAGAGCAAACAACUACCACUCAACAUACCAAAUCUUCUAAACCUCUGAAGUCAAGGAGAGAUAAAAAUUCCUUGAGGAUCUGAAGAAGGGAAGCAAGUUCAUCAGCCCCCAAUUAUUGAGUUGGAAAUAAAUAUCCCAGGAAAAGAAAAGGACAUAAUUGAGAAAGAAAAUGGAAACUCGUUUGAGGGUAGAAAUUCAGGACUUCUCCACACAGACUCUGGAUCAUCUCGGACAAUGAAUCUGGUGUGGAAAUGAAACUCUUGAAAUCCUAACAGAUGGCUUCCAACAUCCCUCAUUCCCUCCUUUUUCAUUGUUAUAAGGGAUAGAACUAGAACUCCCCUGUCACAUACCGAUCCCUUGCCAGUUAAGACAGGUCUGAAGGGCUUUUUCAAGGUCUAGAGUUAGUUUACCUCAUUGCAGGAAUAACACCUCCCAGUAUUAGAAUCAAGUAAGAGAAUGCAGUAGAUUUUCACCAUAAAAUAAAAUAAAAAAACAUGUCAAAUAAAUUCCAGAUGAAAAAAAAAAAAAUUUCAAUAAUUUUUUUUCAUCUAACCAAAACAUAGAAUGGUUAAGGAAAUACCUAUUGAAGGUGAACGUAAUCUGAGCAGCAAUCAAGGCCCCAGAAAUAACUCCUGCAACAGAUUGUUAUAGAAAAUCAAAUUUCAUUUUUCACUAGAUAUUAAAAAUUUCGGGAAAGAGGUUUGGGGGAAAAGACUUAGUUCGUAAGGUUAUUCAUUACUGAUCUCCGACAUGCAAUUCUGAUCUGAGUGUGGCAAAGAGUUCGGUGAGCGAGCUGGUCGUUGAUCACCAGCAAUCUAGUUGGAGACUCAAUUCCUAGGGUUUUAUGGCUUUGGGAGCAGAGUUCAACGACCAUUACCAGCAACGAUUAUCAACAUUGAGGGCUUAGAAGAGUGAAUCAAAGAAAAAUGUUGUUCAAAGAUUCUCACUAGUGGGUUCUCGGUGGUCCAAAGUGAGGAUCGAAAUGGCUCUCAGUAGGUUCUUACCAGUCGAAAGAGGCAGUGGUUGAUAUGGUGGGUAUAUGGGUGCGGGCUCUAUUGGGCCAUAUAUGGUAGCGGUCCAUUCCUUCUCCCAGCUAUAAUACCUACUAUAGCAGCAGUCCAUUUCUUCUCUCAGCUAUAAGAGAUUUUGUGGCAGCACUUAUUCCCUCCCCCAACUAUAAUGUUGCUUUGAUAGUGGAUUUUGUUGGCCCCAACUAAAACCGCGGUGUCUCCAUUUUCUUGUAGUGUUAUGACUGAUGGUCUCCAAAAAGCCCGCGGCCGCGGCCCGCUUUAGGCCCGGCCCGGCCCAAGCCCUUCCCGAGCCCGUUUUAUGGGCGGGCCGGGCCGCGGGCCUAAAUUUAGGCCCGCUCUUAGGCCCGCCCCUUUAAAAAAAAAACUACAAAAAUAAAAAGUAUUAAAAAAAAUAUUCAUUUCAAAAUUUUAUUCAUUGAAUGUAUAAUUACAUUUAAAAAUGUGGGAAAAAUUUACAUCACUACAAAAUAAAUACAUCCCAACUAGGUUGACACCUUUUUAUUUGUUAAUCAUCUGUAUUUUUCAACCACAAAAAAUAAAAAUAAAAAUAUAAUAUACAUUUAGUCAUUAUUUUCUGGCGGUAAUGGCGAACUAUCAUGCAUCCAUGAAGAUCUUGAUAAUUUUAAAGAUUCCAUAUCGGCAAGCAUCUCUGUUUCUCGAAUGGAAUCGUACAUCCUUUUAUCUGCUAUUUCCCAAUCUUUCACACAUAUCCCUGCUUCAAUAACAUCUGGCGCUAAGUUGCAUCGUUUUUUACUAACUACUCUUCCACCUGCACUAAAAGCAGCUUCUGAUGCAACUGUACUCACAAGAACUGUUAGUACAUCACGAGUAAUUAUAGAAAGCACAGGAUAUUUGUGUUGAUGUGAUUUCCACCAUAUUAAAAUAUCAAAAUCUUCUUGAUCUUCAAAUGAAAUUAUAUCAGUAUUAAGAUAUUUAUCUAAAUCAGAUGUAUUAUUUGGAGAACUAUUUAUUGUCUUUUUUCGACUUUUCAACAUUUCUAGAGCUCCUUUAUAAAAAGAUGAGGAGUUUGUAGAUGUAGGUGGUAAUUUAAUACUAUUAAUAUUAUUACCAUAUUUUUCUUUAUAAUAGUUAUAUAAAUUAUGUAAUAAUGAAUUUAUUUCAUUUUUAAUUUCUUCAAUUUUUAUUUGGUCAUUAAAAUAAAUAAUUGUUAACCAUUCAUCCAAAGCUUCAAAUUUCAAUCUAGGGUCCACAAUUAAAGCAAUAUAAAAAAUUAAAGGUAUUUCCCCCCAAUAUUUUCUAAAUUUUUCUAUCAUUGCAAAUAUUGUAUCAUUAAAUAUUUCAAAACUUAAAUAUUUUUGAAGUACAAUAAAAAUAUUAGUUAUUUGCAUAAUAACUCGAUUUGAAGUUGGAUAAUAUACACCACAAAAAAUGUUUGUUGAAGUAUCAAAAAUUUCAAAAAGAUCUGCAAUAUGCCAAUCAUAAUCACUUAAUGCAUAAAUAUCUGCUUCACAAUCAUUGUUAAGUAAUUGUAUUUCAUAUAAUUCGACUACUUUUCUAUAUUUUGUAAUAUUUUGUAAAAGUUUAUAUGUGGAAUUCCAUCUAAUGGUCAUAUCCAAAUUUAUAUUUUUUCUUUUCAUAUUUAACAUUUUGCAACAAUCAAAAAUANUCAUGUUUUGCUUGAGAACUAUUAAUACUAUAUGCAUGCCUCUAUUUUUUCCAUGUAUUAUCAACAUUUUUUAAUCCAUCCUUAACAAUUAAAUUUAAAANNNNNNNNNNNNNNNNNNNNNNNNNNNNNNNNNNNNNNNNNNNNNNNNNNNNNNNNNNNNNNNNNNNNNNNNNNNNNNNNNNNNNNNNNNNNNNNNNNNNUAAAAAUAUUAGUUAUUUGCAUAAUAACUCGAUUUGAAGUUGGAUAAUAUACACCACAAAAAAUGUUUGUUGAAGUAUCAAAAAUUUCAAAAAGAUCUCUUAAAAGAUCUGCAAUAUGCCAAUCAUAAUCACUUAAUGCAUAAAUAUCUGCUUCACAAUCAUUGUUAAGUAAUUGUAUUUCAUAUAAUUUGACUACUUUUCUAUAUUUUGUAAUAUUUUGUAAAAGUUUAUAUGUGGAAUUCCAUCUAAUGGCCAUAUCCAAAUUUAUAUUUUUUCUUUUCAUAUUUAACAUUUUGCAACAAUCAAAAAAUAAUUCAUGUUUUGCUUGAGAACUAUUAAUACUAUAUGCAAUGCCUCUAAUUUUUUCCAAUGUAUCAUCAACAUUUUUUAAUCCAUCCUUUACAAUUAAAUUUAAAAUAUGUGCACAACAACGCACAUGAAAUAUUUUAGCAUGAUCUUCUUUUACUUGCCAAUAUCGUUUUAGUCUAUGUAUUGCUGUAUCAUUAUUAGCAGCAUUAUCUAAUGUUAUUGUCAAUAUUUUAUCACGAAUGCCUAAAUCUAUAAUUUCAUCAUUUAUUAAAGAUGCUAUAUUUUUACCACUAUGUGGAGCAUUUAUUAAUUUAAAUUAAAUUAUUCUUUUAUUUAAUUUCCAUUCAUUAUCAAUGUAGUGAGCAGUUAUACAUAAAAAACCAGUGUGAGUUAAAGAUGUCCAAAUAUCAGAUGUUAAACAAAUAUUUCCUUCAAAAAUUGCAAAAAAAAUUUUUAAAAUUUCUUUUUGUGUAUAAAAUUUUUUCAUAAUAUCUCUUUUAACUGUAUUUCCAGACCAACCUUUAAAUUGAGGAUUAAUACCUCGUUGAAUUGUUCCUACAAAAUCAUGAGUUUCCAUCAUGUUGAAAGGUUGUUCUGCUCUUAUUAUAUAAUCAAUCAUUUCUUCACGACAGUUAGAUUCAUCAUAAGAAAAUGUUUUUAAAUUUCCACUUUCAUUUUUACCUAAUUGCAUAUAAUUUCUAAUAUCUACAUUAUUUUUAGUUUUGCAAUUUUCGUGAUGUCUUUUUAAAUGACUUGUGCCUGCAUUUGAGCCACCAGUAAGAAAUUUAUUACAAAUUUUACAUUUUGCUUUGAUUUCUUUUUUAUUAUUUUCUAAAAUUAUUUCUAUUCUAUCAAAAAAAUUCCAUAUAUUUGAAGUAAAUUUUUUGUUUGAUGAUAUUUCAUCACAUGGACUAGAUGAAGAAGCACUUGUCAUAUUAUAAUUAUUGAUAAAAUAUUAUGCCAAAAAUAAUAAAGUAAUAAAUAUAAAAAAAAAUAUAACAAAAAAAUAAGGUAGUAGGGGUGAAGUAUGUUACUCAAUUAGAGAACCGAUGCAGAAAUUCCUAGCAAAUUUGAACUCUUGGAGCCACCAAUGCUUGUUUUGUACCACCAACAAUAUUGUAUAAUUUGAGGGAAAAAUAAAAGAAUUUGAAAUAUUGUAGAAUGUGAGAGAAAUAGAGAGAAUUUGAUGAAAAAAUGAAAAGGAAGAACAUGUAUUUAUAGGAAGGUUUUUUUUAAAAAAAAAAAAAAAAAAAAAAAAAUUGGCCAUGUGACCGUUGGAGGCUUAGCCCCAACGGUCACAUGACUCACAUGGGCAGCUGGCUGGAGCUCCAACGGUCACAUGACCGUUGGAGCCUUUAUUUUUUUUUAAAAAAAAUAAUAUACUUUAUUUUUAUAUAUAUAUAAUUAACUCAAUUAUUAAGCACAAAAGGAAUGUAGCUCAAUUGGUUAGAGCCUUGAUAUGAAAACAUGAGGGGAGGGGUUCGAAUCCCCCCCUCUCCCUUCCUUUCUUUAAAAGCCAUUUUGGCUUAUUUAAAAAAGCCCACGGCCCGGCCCGGCCAGCCCGCUCCCUAGCCCGCCAGCCCGCUAGCCCGCGGGCUCAUAGGCCGGGCCGCGGGCCUAACAUUUUUCCGUGGCCCGGCCUGGCCCAGCACGAGCUGGGCCGCGGGCCUCCUAUUUACGGCCCGGCCCGGCCUGGCCCGCCCGUUGGAGACCCUUAGUUAUGACAUUCAUGUCAUUAGAAAGUUCCGAUUGGAGUGAGAUUCUUGUGAAGACUGCUACCACCUUUUUUUUUUGGGAAGGAGAAGAUUCUUUUAGGGAGUCCAUAACUGCAUGUCCAGAAAAAAGAAAAAAAAAAGAGAAAAAGGGAAGAUGAUAGUGGGAUAUUAUUUUUUGGGAAAGGAUAUUCAUGCAUGAGGGAGUUUUAAGGAGAAAAGACUUUCUUUAGGAGUCCACAGGCUGCCACUUAUCAUAGGAGGAUUAGGAAGACAUCUUUGAAAGUUUAAAAAAGGCUAGGAUUCUUAAGAAAAAGAGGACUUUUAGUCUAUGAUAAGAGAGGUCCUUAUUGUCAAAUGAUCAUGUGUUUCUCUCCUACCAAAUUAUCCAAAAAAGGCAUAAAGGAGUAGCUCCCUAAAGUUUUUUCCACUUUUUUCUCGUAAAAGAGUCAUUCCAACCUAACAAAGUGUUUUUGAUGGAGGAGUGAAUCACCUUUGAGAUACAAAAAGAGAGAACAAAAGCUACCACAACUACCUCGCCUUGCUACAAUGCAGAAGAAUGUGAUAAAUUGAAUCUUCAUGAGUGUGAUGAAGAAAACAUCUAUUGGCCAAAGACCCACAUCUUUGUUGUAAUUAAUCAAGAGUCAAAGCUUUUCCCUAGGUCGCCUCGCAAGCAAAGAAGCUCAACUUAGGUGGAAUCCAAGCAUUCCACAUAAUAACAUAUGGGAACGAUUCAAAUCUCCCUUCUGCUAGGCUAGAGUAAAGUGACCCUAAUAGAGAAAGAUCCACUCUUUGCCUCUAACCAACACACCUUGUCUUCUGCUGCCUUAACUACCCCCUUAACAAGUAGUUUUGAAAAGAAGUGCUUUGCAUCCUCAAUCUCCCAGUUGUUUGGAUGCCUAGAGAAUCUAUGAGUCCACACACCUCCACCAUUAGAGUGAGACCACAAGUCCGCCAUCCAAGCCUCCUCAUGGUUCAAAGUAUCGGCCGACUCGUAUCGGCCUCGGACCUUUCUGCGUCGAGUUUGAUACCCGAUAUCAUCUUCAAUACAAACCCAACUAAGAACCAGUUAAACUCGGUUGGCUCGGUUGAGAUUUUGAGUGGACUUGAUCGAAAUUACGAGUUGAAUCAUUUAAGAUCAAAAUAUUCUCAUAUCAAACCAAAAAAAUAUUUUUUUUCCUUUUCAAAUUACACAAAAAGCAACCAAAAUUGAGAAAUCUCUAAAAAAAAAAAUGAGAGUUCUCUUCAAAAGAAAUUUUUUUUCAAGACCCAUGACGGUGAAGGAGAAGAAGAAGAAGAAGAAAGCUUUGUGUUGGUGAUGCAGUUGUGCUGACUGGCCAAUGAGAAACAUCACAUUCUUCCAUUGAUGACGAUCUUUGCAUGUUGGCGUUGCCUCUCUUUGCCCGAUCUCCGUUGUGUUUGCGGUGUUGUUUGGGUGUGCAUUGUAGAGAGGCAAAACUUCAAAUUGGGUAUCUCGUGGUGUGAAUAAGUGAUGUUUGGGAUUGUGAAUUGAAGAAAAAGGCUUAAUGUAUUGUUUUAUAUAAAAAUGAUUUAUUAUUUCAAAUGUUCAUAUAUUUGCAUCAAUUUACUUUAUAUCCCAACGGUAUUUGGAAUUGGGAAUUUGAAAAUUAUUAUUUCAUAUAUUAAAUAUGGUAUGAAUGACUUUAAUUUAGGUAAUGUACUAUUUUACAUGGUAAUGGUAUUAUAUAAGGUGUAUUAUUUUAUAUGCUAAUCUAUUGUUAAUAAUUUAUGAAAUCAUUUCAUUUAUUAUUAUGUUAAUAUAUUUUUAAGUUGAUUAGUUUCUUAAUUCAUUUAAUUAUAUUAAAAUAAUUUUUAUAAUUUUUUGAACUUCUUAAAUAUCUUAUUUUGCUUAUCAUUCGAUAUCGAACCAAGAUGCCGAUACCAAUGUGCCUCAGAACCCUUCAAGUUGAUGACCGAUACCGCGAUUUUGAACUAUGAGCCUCCUUUAAAGUAGUUAAUGCAAAUAAAGAAGGAAAAGAAAUACUUAAAGGUUCGUCGCCACACCAUUUAUCCUUCCAAAACCUUACCCUUCUCUCAUUGUCCACCGAGAAAGAAAUCCUACAAUUAACUUGUCUCAUGCAAAUUUCUUAUAACCUUCCAUAAGCCAAGAUCAUAACCCUCGUUUACUUCCUUAGAACACCAACCCCUUCAACUUCCCAAUGCUUAUUGUUACACCCCUGAAUAUCACUCCAAAUUUUUCACAAGUGUGCGGUGCUAAGGACCCUUCCUUAACCAACCUUCCUUUCCAGCUUUUAGAAAAACAGAGUAAAAGCAAAGUAACAGGGACACAAACGAUCAUAGGAAACCUAUCCCAACUUGUAUUAUUUCACUCUACAAGAAAAAAAAUUGUUUUCCCUUGAGUCAUAGUACAAUGCUUACACCUCUAAGCAUUUAGAGAACCAUAUCCCAAUCUCUCAUCUCUGUUCUCUUAAGGAUGCAGGAGCCCUUUUAAAAGACCUAGCCUGUAGUUACAUUUUGAAUUUCCAAAUUCAAAACUUGGAGCCAAUCUGGUGGUUAUGCAACUAGCCAAAACUGCCCAUAAUUGCCUUGCAUAACCACCCACCACCCAGAUAGUGGCCUAUUCGUGAACCACCCACUUGCACCAGUCAUCAGCACCUCAGCCAACUGCAAGUCAAUUGGCUGCUUGACUUGAUCACUUGCUGUCCCAGCUAGCUGCACUAGUUAGUUACCAUCUCCUCAAGCCUUUCUCACCAAGCUGCUGGAGAGUUCCCUUAAUAAGCUACUUCCUUCCCCGUAAGGUGCCUCUUGUGAUCAGGUGCCUACCAACGUGUCUUUGAUAAAGGCCUUUUGAACCAGGCAGCAUGCACCAACCAACUGACUAGGUGUCUAGUGCAUUAGUGUGCCUUCCCCACACUAAUGUGUGAGCCCAUGCCAUGUCUAGGUGCCCAUGGCUUAGGCGUGUUGCUUACUUCCAUUGUUAGGUCCAACUCCAUAGCAACGAGCCAUGGCAUUGCGCCCAUGGAUGAUCCCUCUUGGUGCACAGGGCAUUGCACCCCUGUGCUGUGUGUAGGCAUCAUGGGUGCGAAUCAGCUGCUGUCUAGUGCCCCAUUAGGCCAUAACAUUCUGCCCAUGCCUUCCUUAGUUGGCUCACCGCACAAGGUUUAGGCGUCCUCGUGCCUGCACGGGGAGAAAGUAGGCUAUACCAAGCCCCGUGCCGUUGUGGCCACGGGGUGCACACCACACAUGUUGUGGAGCCCAUGUGUGCAUGCUCGAGUCCCGUCCAUGUGUCCUAGGCAUGCCCAAGGUCGUGCCAUGGUGCCCCCUUGGUGAAGUUAAGGUUUUCCCUUGGUGUUCCCUUCUUUGAGUCACCUACCUCCCUCUUAAAGAGCAAUACAGGUCGUUUUCAUUGUUUUUGGAGGAGACAUCAAUAUGCCUGAGGAGACAUAAUGGAAUAUUAAAUAAAUAUAAAUUAAAUUCCAAAAAUAGCUCUCAACCUUCAUCUGCACCACAUAAGCCUGGUGCGCGCGUGGUGCAUAUCUAGCCUACUCACGGUGCGCACGUGGUGCACGUCUGCCUCGCUCGCGGUUCGUGUCUAGCUCGCACAUGGCCUCCUCACUUAGCCCCUGGAGUUUGAACCACCAAACCUCCAAACCUUCCUUGUUUUCUCCGUCUAGGCUCUCAUGGGUGGAAGGCCUACCUAUGAGGCAUUUUCCUCUAUAAUUAAGUCAAGUGGCUAAGGGGUUGAGAAACCCACCCCCGCUUACUAAAGUCGAUGCUCUCGUCGACUUAGUCUGCCAGUAUGCUUAGACCGCCUUCUCAAAUUGCCACAAGGUAACAUCUCUCUCCCAUGUAGCUUCUACUUCUCAAGUCCCCUUUCACUGAACCAAGAAAUCAGUUCGCCGGUUCUUUUUGCUAUGUCCCAUAGUUCUAUGAUCCAAGAUCUUCUCUAUCUCUCGAUCAAAUUGCUUCAUGACCAAGGGAGGGGCCCUCUUUGUUUGCAUCUUCUCUGUAUCCAGAUCCUCAUGGUAAGGUUUCAAAAAACUAACAUGGAAAGUUGGGUAAAGCUUGAGCCUCUCAGGCAGCUUCAGCAUGUAGGCCACCUACCCAACCCGUUUUAUCACCUUAAAUGGUCCAUCAUACUUAGGAAUUAGACUCCUCUGUCUAGUAUUGCUACUGAUUUUCUUCCAUAUUUGAGGAGUCAAUUUCAGGAGGACCUUGUCCCCAACCUGAAAUUCCAAGGGUCUGCGAUCAUGAUUUGCAUACUUCUUCAUCCGUUUAGCUGUCUUCUCUAGACUAUCCCAGGCUUUAUCAAACAUCUCCUGUCGGGAUUGAGCCAUCUUGUAUGCUAUAGAACUAUUUUCUCCUGCUUUUUGCUUAGCCACCCUCCAAAGGCACUCGUGGCUGCACCCCAAUAGCCAGCUCAAAGGGACUCAUCCCUGUUGUUGAGCUCCUCUGCAGAUUAUAGCACAACUGGGCAGUAUCCAACAAAUCCACCCAAUUUUUUUGUGUUGCUGUCACAUAGUGCAUGAGGUAUUCCUUCAGCAAGGCAUUGAUCCUCUCUGUCUGCCCAUCAGUCUGAGGGUGGUUGGCUGUAGAAAACUUCAACUCUGAACCCAAGAGUUUGAACAGCUCAACCCAAAAUCGGCCUGUGAACCGUGCAUCCCGAUCACUGACUAUGUCCCUAGGCAACCUAAAGUGCNNNNNNNNNNNNNNNNNNNNNNNNNNNNNNNNNNNNNNNNNNNNNNNNNNNNNNNNNNNNNNNNNNNNNNNNNNNNNNNNNNNNNNNNNNNNNNNNNNNNAACAACUUAGCCGCUUUUUCCUCAGGGCAAGCAUCAGAGGCAGGUAUAAACACAACAUACUUAGAGAAUCUAUCUACAACAACAAAGAUAGAUUUAAAGUCACGAACCUUUGGAAAUCCAGUGAUAAAAUCCAUGGAAAUGCUCUCCCAAGGUCUUGUUGGAAUGGGGAGGGGCUGCAGCAACCCUGUAGCCUUCUUCCUCUUGGUCUUGUCCAUCUGACAAACUGGCAGGAUUUCACAUAUGCCUAGACAUCCUCACCCAUCUUAGGCCAGUAAUAGGAUCUGACUAGUAGUGUUAGAGUCCUCUCUUCACUGGGAUGGUCUGCCCACUUCGCAUCAUGAGUUUCCCGUAGUAAUUCAUUUCUUAGGCCGCCUGCAAUAACAUACCAUCUUUCUCAUUUUGCCACAAGGAGGUCUCCCUCUAGCCAAUACCUCCUGAUCACACCCUCCUUAACUUGCUACUUUAGCCUGCCAUAUGCAGCAUCCUGCUCUGCAGCUUGCUUGAUUUUCUCAUUGAAGUUAGAGAUGACUUCUGAGAGGGUCAUGAUGUAGGUAAUCACCUUUUUCCUACUCAAGGCAUCAACCACAGUGUUAUGUCUUCCUGGUCGAUGCAGCCAUUCAAAUUGGAAGUCGGCCAGGAACUCCUACCAUCGUGCCUGUCUGGGAUUCAACUUCUUCUGAGUUUUGAAAAAGAUGUUGACCACAUUGUCAGUAACCACUGUAAAAAUGCUUCCCAAUAAGUAGUGCCUCCAUUGUUGUAGGCAGUGAACCACAACUGUUAUCUCCUUCUCAUGAGUGGAGUACCUCUGCUCAGCAUUGUUCAGCUUCCUACUUUCAAAUGCCAUAAAGUGCCCUUCUUGCACCAAAAGUCCACCCAAGGCUCUAUCUGAGGCAUCCGUUUGGACUUCAAAGGGCAAGUCCAAGUCUGGAAAACGCAUCACAGGCUUAGUGGAGAUGACUUCCUUCAAGUCUUCAAAGGCCAUCUGACACUGCAUGCUCCAAUCUCACUGGUUGUCCUUCUUCAACAGGUCAGUAAGGGGAGACACCAUCUUUGAAUACCCUUUAAUGAACCUUCUAUAUUAAUUGGCCAAGCCAAGGAAGGACCGCGACUCAGUCACUUUGCUAGGGACUGGCCACUCCAUAAUAGCCUGCACCUUGCUCUUAUCCAUCCUGAUCAAGCUUGCAUUGAUCUUAUGUCCCAGAAAUGUGAUCUCUUCUUGAACAAACUCACAUUUCUCUAGCUUUACAUAAAGCUUGUUCUCCCUCAAUCUCUGGAACACCAAUCUCAAAUGUUUCUCAUGUUCAAUUAAAGUCUUACUGUAAACCACAAUAUCAUCUAGAUACACUACCACAAAUGCAUCUAAAUAGUCAAACAAAACAUCAUUCAUCAAAUUGUAGAAUGUAGCAAGGGCUUUAGUCAAUCCAAAAGGCAUUACCAGAAACUCCUAUGAUCCAUAUCGAGUUACACAGGUGGUCUUCUCCUCAUCUACUACUGCAAUUCUCACUUGCCAGUAGCCUAAUCUUAGGUCCAACUUGGUGAAGUAUGAGACUUUUGACAAUCUGUCAAACAACUCGACAACUAAGGGGAUCGGGUACUUGUUCUUGAUGGUCACCUUGUUGAGAGCUUUAUAAUCCACACACAUGCGGAGAUAGCCAUCAUGCUUUUUUUGGAACAGCACUGGUGUACCAUAUGGGGCCCUUGAGGACUGGAUCAAGCAUGCAUCCAACAAUUCCUUCAAUUGCUUACGUAACUCCAAUAACUCUACAAGAGACAUCUUGUAAGCGGCUUGAGUCGGGGCCUUUGUUCCAGGCAGCAGUUCAAUCUUGUGGUCAAUAGGUUACCGGGGUGGCAAUUCCUUGGGGAGUUUUGUAGGCAUUACAUCUUUGAACUCCUUAAGGAUUUUGACCACUGAAUCAGGGACUUCCAUAUACUGUCCCUCCUUGAUCUCGAUCAAGGCUGCAACAUAUGUCUCCUGACCUCUCUUCAAUCCCUUCUUCAACUGGAUAGUAGACAACAUCUUAGGCUGUCCCUUACCACCAUUCUUUUCCCUCAAGGCCUUCACGAAACAAGGCUGCUUUUCUUCCAACACCAUUAGUCCACCAAGAUGUGGGAUCAAGACCGCCUUAGCCCUUAAGAGGAAAUCUACAUCGAGAAUCAAUUCAAAGUCAUCCAAGGGCACACAAAGUAGGCUGCAUGUGCCCUUCUAGUCACCAAUUUGCAUGGGAACGUUCUUGGCUACACCUUGGAUUUUUGGGUUUUGCUAUUGACUGCCUUGAUCUGAUUGGUACCCUCUUCCAACUUCAAUACCAACCUGGUUGCUUCUUUGGUGGCGACGAAGUUGUGAGUGGCACCACUGUCCACCAAGGCCUUCACCUGCACACCAUUUACAAUUGCAUGAACAUGCAUUAAGGACUUCUAGACUGGGGUCUCACCAUUAGUCACGUUCAGGAGUUGUAGUGGGUUGACUCUAGGAGGGGUCUCUGAGUCAGAUUCUUCCUUGUCAUCUGUAGUCACAAGGGUUGAAAGUUUAUCUCUUUUGGGACAGUCUUUGACUCAAUGAGGGCCAUUGCAGAUGAAGCAUCCUGCCAUUCGGGUGGUCUGCUGCACAAACUUUGUGGUCUUCUCCACUAGUUUUCCCACUGCAGCAACCUUCUUGUUCUGUUUCUUCCACUCGGACUUCUUAGAAGUCUUGCCCUCAGCCUUAGCCUUCUUGCCUCCUUCUAACUUGGGUCUCUGCAUGAUGGAGAUGACACCACCCAUCUUGUAGUCCACCAGGCAAUUUGCUGUAGCUAUGAUAGUAGGGAGAUCACGAACCCCUUGCCUUCUAAGUUCCGUCUGAGCCCACCAUUGCAAUCCAGACAUGAAGUUGAAGAACUUGUCCUUCUCUGACAUGUUCUUUAUGUCUAACAUCAAGGAAUUGAAUUCCUUGACGUAGUCCCUCACAGAUAUGGUGUGUCUGAGCCUUUUCAACUCUUCCCUGCCCACCCAAGCAGUGUUGGUGGAGAGGAACUGAUCUUUCAAUUCCUUCUUCAAAGUCUCCUAAGUGGUGAUUUGGGGCCUUUCAGACUCUGCAUCGUCUUCCAUCCUAGUCCGCCACCAUAGUUUGGCAUCACUAGUCAGAUACAUACUGGUGAUGGAUACUUUCUCGCCAUCAGGAAUGUGAGCAGCCUUGAAGAACUGCUCCAUGUCCCACAAGAAGUUCUCCAACUCCUUCGCGUUCCUGUUACCGUUGAAGCUUUUAGGCUAUGGGGCUCGGACUUUGGGAGGGGCUUCAGGGCCUGAAGAUGAUCCCUGCAACACAGCCUUCUUGAGGACUACAAUGUCCUCUCCAUAAGACUGUAGGGCUCCCUUGAAGUCAUUCAUCAAGGACUGCACCUCUGAUUUCAACCCAGUAAAUUUCUCCUCAAAGAAAUUAUCACGGGUCUCCAAUAGACUCCUCUACACUUGAAUUUCUCCCAUGGUGUGUUCUGCCCACGAAGCCACAGUGCCAUCCUCAUGUGGCCAUUCUCUCAAUGGUUCUUCCAUCCGAGUCAUCUUUUUCCGCAGUGCAUCCAUUGCACUACCACCAGUGUGGACCCGCAUUUUUCACGUGCGCCCCCACUCGAUCGGCGAGACUCGCUUUUUAUUUGUGAAAAAUUAAUUUUUAGAAAAGUCGGAGUCGCCACUUAUUUUAUUUUUAUUUUAAAGGGAAAAUAAAACAAGAAAUAAAACCCUAAAAAAAUGACUCCACAAUUUUUGGAAAAGCGUGUCUUUGAAAAACCCGAGUUUAGGUCCGGGGAUCAGAUUACUUAUUGGGAAGGUACCUCUAGGAGGUAGCACCCCUCUAAGCCCUACAAAGGUCUCUAUUGACUAAGUUAAGGGAAGUGUGGCCAUUAAUCGGUUAAUUAUAGGUACCUAAGUAGGCUAGGUGAUUUUACAUAUUGCAUGCCUAACAAGAAAACAAACCACAAGAUAGGGUCGAAAUGCGUACCUGAACGGCUUCUCAAGCGCUAUCAUGAAACAUAAGAGAUUAGUUUGGAGAUAUAUCACACAAAGUGUUUUAUCCAAGCAUAUCAAGCAUAUAUCAAAACAUCCAAGAAUCACAUCAUGUAUGGGUAUAGUCAUCAGUAACAUAUGUGUCAAUAGAAUUCUCAAAAAUAGGUGUGAAGGAGCAUACCUGGAUAGCAAGCUAAAAUGCCUCUAUGGGAAACAAGAUUGCUUAAUGAUAGGUGCAUAAUAAUCUCACGUAUCUCAAAGAGAAAGCACAAUUAAUCAAAUAUCAAACAAAAAAUAUUGAAGAAAAUAUCAUGGAUGUCGGGCCCCCACCAAAGCCCUAAUUGAUUUUGCAUGAAUUGAUUCUAUGAAUCCCAUUGUUUGGGAUUAUGAAGUUUAUUCAUGCUUGUUUUAAAACAAGAAAAUCACAAAAUCAGAAAAUCAAGAAAAUCAUUUGAAAACAAUGAAAAUGCAUAUUGAAUGGAGAAUUGGCAGCAAAGAGUUUGUUAGAACCUGGGUCUCACUACUUAAAGAAGGUCUGAGGAUGAUUCUUUAAAGUAAGGAUUGUUUGGAGGAAAACGAUUUUGAAGGCACAAUUUAAAGCAUAUAAAAUCACAAGGUGAACAAGAAAUGUACAAAAAGAGGAGGAUAGUGUGCACUAUAUUCCCUAUAAUAUGCCGCAAAAGUAUUUGCUCUUGUUCAAUCCUCUCUCCCUGCACAUUAUCUAAAUUAAUCUGAAGAGUCUUGAACGCUUGAUAGAUCUCUCUUCUUAGCUUUUCAAUUUUAUCUAACAGGAAUUCUGCUUCCACCCGUUGUUCAGGAUUUUCAGUCUCCAACUCUGAAAUCAGUUUCUCUGACAAUCUGGAUGCCUCAGUGUGUUUCUGACACUCAAUCAAUAGAGAGUAGUUCUUUCCUUCCAUGUCUUUACCGUAACGUAAACUGGAUUGUCUCUUAGCUUUGGCCGGAAAAAAAACAGAAUUCUAAACCUUCACGAUCUGAAUAGCAAGUCUGCUCACGAGAUGCAAGUCUUCAAUUUUGCUUUAGCACAAAAUUUUAAUUCUGAACAUAAGAAAGAUAUCGUUUCAGUGUUCAGUGCAUGGGUACUUGCCAGGAACUCCAUUCUUUUAUUGAAGACUAAGUCUUCACCGAAGAAUCCACAUGGCAUGCAAAGCAACUCCAUGGCUCUUCAAAUGAGGAAAACUAUAAUCUAUAGGAGUCCCUUCCUCAACGGUUUCAGGAUUUGAAUACAGUGCUGUUAUAGAUGAGGCGGCCUGCUCGCUCUCGGAAGUUGCAUCCCCACCAUACAGUUUAUCAAUUGAUUCUGCAACCUGUUGUGAGACAUCAGAUCGUGUGUGACUCAUCAAAAACUGAGAACCAAAGGGAUCAUCGGACUUUGACAAACGGUUCAAUUUUGCCUGCCCCCUGGGAAUAUGUUCAGAAUAAAUAAUAAAUAAAAGUGGAGGAAUCCGUGUUGUUUUUUUUUUUCAGCGUAGCUAACUUCAGUUGGAUAAACUUCAGAGUCACCAUAUCCGGGAGAAAGUGUUCCACCAGAACCUAAAGUCACAUCAUCGCUAUUUCCCAAGAAUUUAACAUCCCAAACACAACCAAAACAUUAUAUGCUUUGAACAUGAAUUCUUUCCUUCCAGAUUCUUGUAAAAAGCAAUCUUUACUGUCACUGACUUGAUCAGACAGCACCUGAAGACUGUACUCUUAGACUGUAUCUUUGGUCUAAACAUGGUAUCGAUGAGGUCGCUGAUGAAUACAUGUCCUGCGUUCCAGAUGGUAGAGAGUGCAGCUAAGAACCUUGAGGUGAACCAAUUCUGGAAGGUAGUGUUUUGGAGAAUGUAGUCAGAAAUAACAGCACCAAAUGGGAAACUCCGUUUGGCUAGUGUUACUGCCAUUUUUGCGCCUGCUACUGGAUUCCCUCUGCCAUCAACUGCUUGGAGUCUCACUUUUGUCUUGCGUGUCUUCUCAACGCUUUGAUCUUGAUGAGUCCUCCACUCUUCUUUAGUGAAGGGUUGUAAUGAGAUGCUAUCCACCUAUAUCUCGACUGAUGUGUCAUUGUUCUCAAAGUAGAGCUGAGGAGGGCCAGAACCCUCCACAGUGAGGCCACCUUUAAGCAUGGACUAGCACCCGGUCUCGGCAAUAAUAGCACCUGCAUAUUUCACCCCACCAUUUGUUCUGAAAGUAGCUGCCACAGAAGCACUUCUGCUGCUAAUUUGUAUCCAAGCAGAGAAGGUGUAGGGCUUGUCCUUCUUCAUGUAAAGCUUCUGUGAAACACUGUCAUUCUUUUGGCUUCUGCUAUGAGCCACAAUGAACUCGUUGCCUCCUCCUGAUACUCUUUUUUUUUCUAUCUUCGCACCUCCAGACACAGACCAUCCUUUCAACCCAUCAUUCAAAUCAGGAUUCAAUAUCAUCCCUCCACCAUACUGAGGUCUGAGAGGCUUCUCCAAACACUCCACGCUGGCUGUGUAAUCAUAUGAUAAACCCUCCACUGCAAACCCUGCAUAAAGAAGUACUGAACACAACAAUAAAAGCCGAAGCAAAUUAUGUUUCUCUUCAACCUUCAUAAUGAUAAGUUCAUGUAUGAUCAAUCCUGCAACUCAAUCGAAUCAGCAUAGAUAAAUAAAUAAAUGAAACUCAUAUGUGUAUCAAUAUGAUAACAAAAAAAGCUGGAAGACUUUCAUCUGAUUCUAGUAUUCAAUGCUUGUUCAGCGUAGUAGUAACUCCCCGAUAUUUCUGAACCAACCGAAUUCUCUAACUGGUCCUCCAUAGCUAAGAAGUGGAUUUGGCUCUAGAGACGAAAAUCAUCUAGAACAGAAUAUGAGUACCUUUGAGGGAUAAAACCCCCCCAACUUGUGAACUUGCCGCUAAUCACCGUUGACUUGGGGACCCAAGUAGGAAUUUCCAGGCGGGGAUGAUGGAAACGGCCAAGCUGAAGCAGGCGAGAACGGUGUGAGUUGUAAGGGAAGAUCCGAAACAGGUGAAGGGUUCACAUGAGGAGGUGAAAUUGGAUUAGAAACAACAAGCUUUAAUGAUAGCCCGAGCUCGGUCUUGGCCUCAUUGAUCAAAUACUGUAUCACAUUAUCAGGAUUGAAGGCCAGCCGGAUCCUCCCACGCUCACCAUGGUCUCACAAACCAUGAAGAUAACUCACUGUGUUAGAAUACUGAUCCUUCCCGAAACCUUUUUCAAUCGAUUUGGUAACUUCCUCAACAAUCUCCAUUGAUGAUAUUUGUGGCAGGCUCAUUGUUUAUAGAUGAUUGAAAGAGUAUCUGGUGGACAUACUGGGACAACAUUUAUCACUCAGUCCUUCUAAUAAGAAGGAUUCAAUGUUCUUCAUUCUGCUCAGAAUCAUACAAGAGCUUUUCACUUGAACCCUGCAAGAGGAACAAUCUAUCUUUCCCAUCCUAUUAUAUAGCUUCCACACCUUCAAAGCAUUAUCACAGCCACACUUCGUGUCUCAAUCAGUGGGUUUAAAAAGUGGGUAAAUAAAAAUAAAUAUAUAAAUAAAAUAGGGUAAAACAUAAUAGAAAGAAUGAAAAUCACUAAGAGAUUAAAUCUGCCUUUAAACACCAAUAGAAAAGCGACAAAUUGGGAACUAUAAAGAAAUCCAUGGAGCACCCAGAAUCAACAGCAACAUGUGGUCCUUGAUUGGUCGCUCUAAUCAUCUAAACAAAUAUCAAUAAUUGCAAAUGGAAUAAAAAUAGAGAGGAACAUGGAUUUUUUAAAAUGAAGAACUUAUCUUAGGAAGACGCAGGCUGGCGAAUAUCCUCUCAAGAAUCCCAGAACCAGUGAAGUCCUCCUUUCCCGUGCGUGUUGAAAAUCCCCAUCUUUCCCUCAAAAUCUGCAGUCGUAUUGAUGUCCGGAAUCCCUUGUGGCCCCCCUCCAUGGCUGUGUGAUGGUGAGCCUUAAUGAAUCAAAACUCCCUCUUCUCUUAGAUGUCCGCCAUGUCUAUCUGCCAUGCCCCCUUUUUGAUUGCCACCCUCUUUUUUUUUAUAUGGCAGCCCACUCUUGUAGAAUAUUUUACUUCCUUUUUUGUUAUACGCGUGGAUAUGGGAAGUCUACAUAUGUGCAGUUUACUUGGAGAUUUUCCAAGGAUGCAGCCCCUCUCUCAUUUGGUAAGUAAUCAGAUUCUCUUUAAUCUUCUUUCCAUAUACUCCCGGAUGUGCCUCAGCCGUGAUGUGCCCACUUUCUAUAUGCAGCCGUGUACGUCAAAGAUCUUCUCCAAUGUGUGCAUUCAAAUCUCAUGCCAAAAUAAAAUAAGAAUUAAAAGCAGUAGAGGUUAUGAAAUUGAAAAUUAAAACUAAUAAAAAAUAUAUGCAAUCAAAACAAUAUAUCUAUCAUAGCUACACACAGACAAAUUAAGACAUCAGUUUACGCAAUUAAUGACAUCAAUCUCAUGCAAUAUUCUAUAAAAUAAAUAAAUAAAACAAAUAACUAACUAAAUGUUAAUAGAAUAAGUAGAUAAAUAAAUGAAUAGGAAAUCAAAUAUAUACAAGUGUUAAAAAAAUGCAAAUCAUGUAAAUUAUGUAAGUCAUGUAGGAAUUACCGCAACGGUGACAUGGGAGGGCUAAGAUACCUAAGUGGAUCUAGUGAACCUAAAUGGGCCUAGAUGUGCCUGAAUGAGCCUAGGUGAAUCUAAGUGGGCCUAGGGUGGUGCCUAAUGGGUCAAGUGUAUCUAAAAGCUAUCCCAAAAAAAAAAAAAAAAAAAAAAGCAAGAAAAGCCUAAGUCUAAGUUAGGGCUGCCAAGGGUCACAAUAAGGGGUAAGAUAAUCCCUCAACCAAAGUCUCCGAGGUGACUCAAAAAAAGGGUAAGUAGUAUGAGUAGCAAUGGGCCACCCAGGAACUACUGUGGAACACUGAAAACGAACUUAAAGACAUGUGCUAAAGGGACAAAAUUGAGGGUCUACAACCAGCCAUCUUUGGUGAAGGCUCUAAUACUAAUUGUCACACCCCUGAAUAUCACUCCAAAUUUUUCACGAGUGUGCGGUGCUAAGGACCCUUCCUUAGCCAACCUUUCUUCCCAACUUUUAGAAAAAUAGAGUAAAAGCAAAGUAACAGGGACACAAACGAUUACAGGAAACCUUUCCCAACUUGUAUUAUUUCACUCUACAAGACAAAUUUUUUUUCCCUAAGUUAGAGUACAAUGCUACACCUCUAAGCAUUCAGAGAACCAUAUCCCAAUCUCUCAUUUCUGUUCUCUUAAAGAUGUAGGAGCCCUUUUAAAAAACCUAGCCUGCAGUUACAUUUUGAAUUUCCAAAUUCAAAACUUGGAGCCAAUCUGGUGGUUAUGCAACUGGCUAGAACCGCCCAUAACUGCCUUCCAUAACCACCCACCACCUAGAUAGUGGCAUACUCAUGAACCACCCACUUGCACUAGCCAUCAACACCUCAGCCAACUGCAAGUCAAUUGACUACUUGACUUGAUCACUUGCUGUCCCAACUAGCUGCAUUGGUUAGCUGCCAUAUCUUCAAGCCUUUCUCACCAAGCUACUGGAGAGUCCCUCUAACAAGCUGUCUUUUUCCCCGUAAGGUGCCUCUUGUGACCGAGUGCCUACCAACGUGUCUUUGAUCAAGGCCUUUUGAACCAGACAGCAUGCAUCAACUAGCUGACCAAGUGUCUAGUGCAUCAGUGUGUCUUCCCCACACUGAUGUGUGAGCCCAUGCCAUGUCUAGGUGCCCAUGGCCUAGGCGUGUUGCUUGCUUCCACUGUCAGGUCCAGCUCCAUAGCAACGAGCCAUGGCAUUGCGCCCAUGGCUGAUCCCUCUUGGUGCAUAGGGCAUUGCAUCCCUGUGUUGUGUGUAGGCAUCAUGGGUGCGAGUCAACUGCUUUCUAGUGCCCCAUCAGGCCAUGGCAUUGUGCCCAUGACUUUCUCAGCUAGCUCACCGCACAAGGUUUAGGCGCUCUUGUGCCUACGCAUGGAGGAGGUAGGUCGCACUAGGCCCCGUGCAGUUACGGCCACGGGGUGCACACCACACAUGUCGUAGAGCCCAUGUGUGCGUGCUCGAGUCCCGUCCAUGUGUCCUAGGCAUGCCUAAUGUCACAAGCUGAUCCAAAUGAGCCUCCCCAUGGCCUUAUAUAGGGUCAGGAAGCUUCUGGAGACUCCUAGAGGGGGAAGAGUGUGGAAGGUUCUAGAGAAGUCUGGAGGAAUCCACACAAUUCUACACUAUGGUGGAAGGCACAAGAGGAGUCUGGGGCUUUCUAGAGAAAUCUAGAAGACUCUUGUAUAUACUUGUAUAUAGGCUUGUACCUAGAAUGGUGUAGGACAUUCUAGAAUAGUCUUGAGAUGUAAGGAACCCUCCAAGGUUCCAGAGAGUUCCAUUGGUGCCUAUAAAUAGGUGAGGGCCUCAUUUGGCCAAGGCACCAAGCAAGUGAGCAUCCAAGCACUUGUAAAGGCUUUCUUGAGAUAAUAAAGCUUCCAUUCUUUAAGGAGUUGCCUACCAAGCUUCUUAAGCUUUUGAGUUGCAAGUGUCUUAGCCUAGCAAGCUAAGCAUUGGGGAGCAAGGCUGACUUAGCAAGAUCAAGCGUCUUGGCUUGUCUAAGUGCCGCACGAGCUUAGUGAACGACUAAGUUCGUGACAAGUGGUAUCAGAGCGCGGUUACCAGGUGGGCAUACCAAAGGAAGCAUGUCGGGCUCUAAUGUGGAGGAGACUAGCGAGCAAACCCGUGGACGGGAGAUGGAGCAUACUACACGGGGCCGAGGCAGGAAGGAUAAGUCUCGUGACGCCUUAGCCAACAUGGAGGCAAGGCUAGCCAAGGUGGAGCUAGCCAUGGCGGAUACUCGGGAAGGGGUGGACUUGGUAGAGCAAGGCAUGGAGAAGGGCUUAGAGGAUCUAAGGGAGCAGAUCCAAGACCUUCGCGAGGGCGUGCUAGGUUCACAAGUUCAGCCGGUGUCACACGAGGAGUUCAUGUCCUUCCAAGACAAGGUCAUGACCAUGUUCGCUAGUGUGGAGUCAAGGAUGGAGGCCUUGGCUGCACGCAUGGAUGCCCGAGACCAAGAGAUCCGUCAAGAGCUGGCCAUCUACAAGACUGCGGUGUUAGCACGAGUCAUGGCCACUCAUGAGGCACCAAGGGUGGAGGUACCUAAGCCACACACGUUCAGUGGCAAGAGGGAUGCAAAGGAGCUGGAUAACUUCUUGUGGCACAUGGAGCGUUACUUUGAGGCAAUUGCAUUAAUGGAUGAAGCCACUAAGGUACGCACCGCGACCCUUUACCUCACUGAUAAUGCUACUCUAUGGUGGCGUCGACGGUUUGCCGACAUAGAGAGAGGGACGUGCACCAUAGACACAUGGGAUGCCUUUAAGAGAGAAAUCAAGAGGCAAUUCUAUCCGGAAGACGUGGCUUACCUCGCAAGGAAGAGUCUAAAGCGUCUCAAGCACACGGGCUCGAUCCGUGAGUAUGUCAAAGAAUUCUCUACUCUUAUGCUUGAGAUACCUAACAUGGCUGAGGAGGAGUUGUUGUUCAACUUCAUGGACAACUUGCAAAGCUGGGCCGAGCAAGAGUUGAGGAGACGUGGCAUCCAAGACCUAGCCACGGCCAUGGCAGUAGCCGAGUCCUUAGUGGAUUAUAGAAGGGGAGACUCCUCCAAGCCCAAGCCACCAUCCAAGGGUAACCAGGCCAAAGGUGGGGGAGACAAGAGGUCGCAAGGCCAAACUUCUAAGGAAGGAUCGAGCAAGGGCCCUAGUGGCAAGGACGGCAAAGGCAAGGACAAGCGAAAGGAGUUCACGCCCAAGACCAAUUGCUUCCUGUGCGAUGGUCCGCACUGGGCACGGGACUGCCCUAAGAGGAAGGCCUUAAAUGCUAUGAUCGAAGAAAAGGAGCAAGAAGGCGAUGCUAAGAUGGGAUCGUUGCAGCUCCUAAAUGCCCUUAAGGCCAAGCCGAUGCCUAAGACACCUCAAAGCAAAGGACUGAUGUAUGUGGAGGCCCUGGUGAAUGGAAAGGCCACCAAGGCCCUGGUGGACACAGGUGCCACUCACAACUUUGUCUCGGAGGAGGAGGCAAGAAGGUUGGAGCUCCAAGCAUCCAAGGAAGGAGGAUGGCUCAAGGCAGUCAAUUCAGCAGCCAAGCCAUCACAUGGAGUAGCUCGCGGGGUGACUAUGCACAUUGGCUCGUGGGAAGGAAAGGUCGACUUCACGGUGGCACCCAUGGACGACUUCAAGAUGGUGCUAGGAAUGGACUUCCUACAGAAGGUCAAAGCCGUGCCACUACCUUUCUUACGUUCAAUGGCUAUCCUAGAGGAGGAGAAGCCAUGCAUGGUCCCUACGGUCACUGAAGGUACGCUCAAAACCCCUAUGUUAUCCGCUAUGCAAGUAAAGAAGGGGUUAAAGAGGGAAGAGGUGACCUACCUCGCCACCUUAAAGGAAGAGAAGAAUGAUGGGUCGGAAGAACCCAUGCCUAAGGAAAUUGAGGGGGUCCUUGAUGAAUUCAAGGACGUAAUGCCGCCCGAGUUGCCUAAGAGACUUCCUCCUAGGAGAGAGGAAGAUCACAAGAUUGAGUUGGAGCCGGGAGCCAAGCCCCCUGCUAUGGGGCCAUAUAGGAUGGCACCACCCGAGUUGGAGGAGCUAAGGAGACAACUCAAGGAGUUACUAGAUGCGGGGUUCAUCCAACCGUCCAAGGCUCCCUAUGGCGCGCCGGUUCUAUUUCAGAAGAAGCAUGAUGGGUCCCUACGUAUGUGCAUAGAUUACCGAGCACUCAAUAAGGUGACGGUGAAGAACAAGUAUCCCAUCCCGCUCAUUGCUGACUUGUUCGAUCAACUCGGAAGGGUAAGGUACUUCACGAAGCUGGACCUAAGGUCAGGCUACUAUCAAGUCAGGAUUGCGGAGGGAGAUGAGCCAAAGACUACAUGUGUGACCAGGUAUGGCUCAUAUGAGUUCUUAGUGAUGCCUUUCGGACUCACUAAUGCCCCAGCAACGUUCUGCACCCUCAUGAACAAGAUCUUCCACCCAUACUUGGACAAGUUCGUGGUGGUGUACUUGGAUGACAUAGUCAUCUAUAAUAACACUCUAAAGGAGCACGUAGAGCACUUGAGGAAGGUCUUUGAGAUCUUGAGGCAGAACGAGCUAUACGUAAAGAAGGAGAAGUGCUCGUUUGCGAAGGAGGAAGUGAGCUUCCUAGGGCAUCGCAUCAGAAAUGGCAAGCUGAUGAUGGAUGAUAGUAAGGUGAAGGCCAUCCAGGAAUGGGAUCCACCAACCAAGGUACCUCAACUCAGAUCUUUCCUUGGUUUAGUUAAUUAUUACCGGCGGUUCAUAAAGGGUUAUUCGGCAAGGGCUGCCCCACUCACUGAUCUUCUUAAGAAGAGUAAGGCAUGGGAAUGGGAUGAAAGGUGCCAACAAGCCUUUGAGGACCUGAAGAAGGCCGUGACUGAGGAGCCAGUGUUGGCACUACCCGACCACACCAAGGUCUUUGAGGUACACACAGAUGCCUCAGACUUCGCUAUUGGGGGAGUCCUUAUGCAAGAAAGGCACCCAAUCGCAUUUGAGAGUCGCAAGCUGAACGACACGGAAAGGCGUUACACGGUGCAGGAAAAGGAGAUGACUGCCAUCAUCCACUGCUUGCGCACUUGGAGGCACUAUCUACUAGGGUCUCACUUCAUAGUGAAGACCGACAAUGUGGCCACUAACUACUUCCAGACACAGAAGAAGCUGAGUCCUAAACAAGCUAGGUGGCAAGACUUCCUGGCCGAGUUCGACUAUACGCUGGAGUAUAAGCCAGGAAGUGCUAAUCAUGUGGCCGACGCCCUAAGUCGCAAAGCCGAGCUAGCGUCCAUGUCGAGUCAGCCCCAAGGAGAUAUAGUGGAUCUUCUAAGGGAGGGACUGCAACAUGAUCCAGUGGCUAAGAGCCUUAUCGCCCUGGCUCAUGAAGGAAAGACUAAGCGGUUUUGGGUGGAGGAUGGCCUACUCUAUACAAAGGGGAGACGACUCUACGUGCCUAAGUGGGGGAAUAUAAGGAGGAACCUGAUUAAGGAGUGCCACGACACCAAGUGGGCUGGGCACCCUGGGCAACGACGCACUAGGGCACUACUCGAGUCGGCAUACUAUUGGCCUCAGAUACGGGACGAGGUUGAGGCCUAUGUGAGGACUUGUCUUGUGUGCCAACAAGACAAGGUGGAGCAGCGACAACCUAGAGGCCUGUUAGAGCCACUACCUAUAGCAGAACGCCCAUGGGACAGCGUCACCAUGGACUUCAUCAUCGGGCUACCCAAGUCAGAGGACAAUGGGUCUAUCAUAGUGGUGGUGGACAGGUUCUCUAAAUAUGCAACCUUCAUAGCAGCCCCGACUGACUGCACGGCGGAAGAGACAGCCAGGCUAUUCCUAAAGCACGUAGUCAAGUAUUGGGGGUUGCCUAAGUUCAUCAUCAGUGAUCGCGACCCGCGCUUCACUGGGAGGUUUUGGACGAAACUCUUCAAGCUUAUGGGUUCGGAGCUUCACUUCUCCACAAGCUUUCACCCACAGACGGAUGGGCAGACUGAGAGGGUGAACGCCUUAUUGGAGCUCUACCUAAGACACUUCGUGAGUGCCAACCAGAAGGAUUGGGCUAAGUUGCUAGAUGUAGCCCAGUUCUCAUACAACCUACAAAGGAGUGAGGCGACCAACAAGAGUCCGUUUGAGCUAGCUACGGGACAGCAACCGUUAACUCCUCACACCCUAACAAUUGGCUACACGGGGAAAAGUCCAGCGGCUUUCAAGUUCGCAAAAGGGUGGCACGAGCAAGCUGAUAUAGCACGCUCAUACUUGGACAAGGCCGCUAAGAAAAUGAAGAAGUGGGCUGACAAAAAGCGACGACACACGGAGUAUAAGGUCGGAGACAUGGUGCUUGUCAAGCUCCUUCCUCAACAAUUCAAGUCCCUAAGGCCGGUGCAUAAGGGCCUUGUGAGGAGGUAUGAAGGACCCUUCCCCAUACUUGGGAAGGUCGGCAAGGUAUCCUAUAAAGUCGAGCUGCCCCCGAGGUUGAAGAUUCAUCCUGUCUUCCACGCCAGCUACUUGAAGCCCUAUCAUGAAGACAAGGAUGAUCCAAGCCGAGGGUUGUCCAAGAGGGCACCUACAGCGGUCGUGACCUCCUAUGAUAAGGAGGUAGAAAUCAUCCUCGCAGACCGGGUCAUCAGGAGACGAGGAGUACCUCCUGCUACGGAAUACUUAGUGAAAUGGAAGGGACUACCAGAAAGCGAGGCCAGCUGGGAGCCAGCAGGGGCACUAUGGCAGUUCCAGGAGCAGAUCGAGCGGUUCCGGGCAGAAGGCGCGACGAGGACGUCUGCGGCAUAGGUGGGGGAGAGUGUCACAAGCUGAUCCAAAUGAGCCUCCCCAUGGCCUUAUAUAGGGCCAGGAAGCUUCUGGAGACUCAUAGAGGGGGAAGAGUGUGGAAGGUUCUAGAGAAGUCUGGAGGAAUCCACACAAUUCUACACUAUGGUGAAAGGCACAAGAGGAGUCCGGGGCUUUCUAGAGAAAUCUAGAAGACUCUUGUAUAUACUUGUAUAUAGGCUUGUACCUAGAAUGGUGUAGGACAUUCUAGAAUAGUCUUGAGAUGUAAGGAACCCUCCAAGGUUCCAGAGAGUUCCAUUGGUGCCUAUAAAUAGGUGAGGGCCUCAUUUGGCCAAGGCACCAAGCAAGUGAGCAUCCAAGCACUUGUAAAGGCUUUCUUGAGAUAAUAAAGCUUCCAUUCUUUAAGGAGUUGCCUACCAAGCUUCUUAAGCUUUUGAGUUGCAAGUGUCUUAGCCUAGCAAGCUAAGCAUUGGGGAGCAAGGCUGACUUAGCAAGAUCAAGCGUCUUGGCUUGUCUAAGUGCCGCACGAGCUUAGUGAACGACUAAGUCCGUGACACUAAGGUCGUGACAUGGUGCUUCCUUGGUGUGGUCAAGGCUUUCCCUUGGUACUUCCCCCUUUGAGUCACCUACCCUCCCCCCCCUUCAAGAGCAAUACAGACCAUUUUCAUUGUUUCUGAAGAAGAUAUCAAUAUGCUUGAGGAGACAUAAUGAAAUAUUAAAUAAAUAUAAAUUAAAUUCCAAAAAUAGCCCUCAGCCUUCAUCUGCACCAUAUAAGCCUGAUGCGCAUGCGGUGCCCAUCUGGUGCGCGCUCAGUGCUUGUUUGGUUUGCUCAUAAUGUGCGAGCGGUGCACAUUUGGCCCACUCACGGUGCACAUCUGCCUCGCCCUUAGUGCAUGAACGGUGCACGUCUGGCUUGCGCGCAAUGCAUGUUUGGCUUACCCUCAGUACGUGCGUGGUGCACGUUUGGCUUGCUCGUGGUUCAUAUUUGGCUCACACAUGGACUCCUCACUUAGCCCUUGGAGUUUGAACCACCAAACCUCCAGGCCUUUCUUGCUUUCUCCGUCUAGGCUCUCAUGGGUGCAAGGCCUACCCAUGAGGCCCUUUCCUCCAUAGUUGAGUCAAAUGGCUAAGGGGUUGACACUUACCACUUAUAAUUUGUCAAAUGUCUAUUUCUUGAGGUUUCCUUAGUGCAGUGUUGCUGAAAUUGCACGUUUUGUUGAGGCUUACUUGGGUGCAUGCUCAUGCUUCAAGCUUGCCAAACACCAAAUAUGCAUACACGUACAUAAACAGAUGCACGCAUCAUAGAGCGGGAGACAAAGAAGAAAUGGAAAGGGGUGGGAUGGGGAAAAGGUUGGGGCUUACAUUUUGAACCUUGCGAUGCAUGUGCACACACUGAGAAACAGUACAAUGCUUAGAAAUUGGAAUGAGUAUUGAUCUAGAAAAAUAUUUAUUUUGCAAGAGCACAUUGAUGUGGUGCAGCAUAAUAUUAUGAUAUAGUUAUUUUUGCGUCAUCUACCUUUUAGCUCAUGCUGGACUGCAAAGUCAUUCAUCAUGCUCUGUGGUUCAUGAACAGGUCUUCUAACUGGAACUGUUUCAAUCCAUGGUUUAAGAUUUCAAACCCAUCACCAUUUUAGUCGGUUUAUAUUUUAGUUGAAUUGGAAAUAGAACUUCAUACCAGAUUGGAAUCCGAUGAUACUUCAUAGAAGAUAAUGUAAUUGUUUAUAAAAAUUAUAAUUUUUGAAAAGAUUUUGGAUAAUGCUUCUUAAGUAUUGAAAAUUUCAAAAGGCCUAAGAAAAUAGUGAAUGUUUUGACUUCACGUGCCGUGCAUCAGAAGUAGUUACGUUAUGAUAUUCAAAGAAUCUUAGAAAAAAAUGAGUAUGCACACAUGUAUAGAUGAUAUACAUGCUCUUUAUCUGUGUCCCAAAAUCUCUUUAUUAUUAUUUUUCAGAGGAACUCUUUAUUUUCCCAUUUUCAUUUGCCAGUUUUGCUCUUAUUUGUGUUUGUGUCUAUUGUUUUCUUUUUUCUUUUAACCUAAUGGAACACAAAUAACUAUAAUAAUAAUAAUAAUAAUAAUAAUAAUAAUAAUCAUAAUAAUAAUCAUAAUAAUAAUAAUAAUAAUAGUAAUAAUAGUAGUAUCACUCCUAGAAUCAUUUGUACCCCUAUAAAUUCUAAAUUUCUUUGGAAAAUCUGAUUUUUUGAGAUACUUGAAAUCCAUAUUGUUUGUUGCUUUAUCCACUUGGGUAAGUAAAGAAAAUUUUACGGUGCAAAGGUUGUGGGUUCAGGCUGUAUGGCAUGUUAAGAGUGAGGUAUGCUAACACACACAGAAAAUCCACUGUUGUUUCCAACUUCUGGCUAUGUAACACAUGACUUUUAUCAUACUUGUCUUCCUACCUUCAUUCUUAUUUUAUGCAGUGCAGGUUGGAUUAACACAAUUAUCAUUUGAAACUAUAAAUUAUUUUAGCAUAUAGAAUCAUAUGAUCAUGCAUUGCUACCUUGAAAUCUUUAAUUUUGCUAUCAAAAUAAAUAAAUAAAUAAAUAAAAAAGACGCUCCUUCUGGUAUGGUCGGUGUCGGAAAAAGACGUUGUCGUAAAGUUCGUCGGAAAAGUUCGCCGGCGGUGAGUGUUUUCUGAUGACGAUCUGACUGACCGGAAAGUAUUAGGAGAUGGGGAAGGUGACCGGAAUGAAACAUGGUCACCGGAAGGUUUCCCGGAGUUGAUGACACGGGAAACUGGAAAGAAUUAGGUUUUCUCCCUUGGCUCUGAUACCAUGUUGAUAGAGAGAGAGAAAGAAUAAAAACCUUAAUUCUCAUUCAUAUGAUGUCUACUUACAAUUGAGAAAUAUAUAUAUACAAGGCUAGGAGUCCAAACUACCAUACAUGUGACCUAUAUUAACAAGGAAAGAUUAUACACUAUAAAUACAUUAUAUUCAACAGUUAUAUCAAAGAUGAUAUAUAUAUAUAUAUAAAUAGUUUCUAUUUUGUGAAAGAAGAUUUUCUAUUUUAAUUGGAAGACUUUUUGGAAUAGGAAUUUUUUUUAAAUAAAUUGAUUUUAGAAACUUUUUAGUCACAAGGAAACCCAUAAUUUUUUAAAAGUUUAUUUAAAAUUGAAAUGAUUUAAAUUGGUUGAAUUGUAUUUAGAAACAAAUUUCUUUCGGAAAGAAAAUUCCUAGCUAACUUAUUAUAGGAUCAUUCAUUUUUCAAAUUCUUAAAAUUAAGAGCUUCAGAGAAGAGAAAUAAGAGAUUUCUCCUUGCACAAGGUUUCAUACUCUAUUGUAGGAUUUCUGCUUGUUCAAGAUCAAGUCCGUACAUGGAUAUCAUUCUUUGAUUUUGAAUCCGUGUCCAAACUCUCAUAUCCUAUAAUUUCUUAGGUUCUUAUUAGACGAAGAGUGUGCCUUAGAGGAGUUCGAAGGUGUGCUUUGGGAGACAUAAAGUGUACUUCAGUGGGCUUCGGAAGUCUACUUUGAUAGACUUUCAUAGGGGUUUCUGACUAAAAGGUGAACAAGGGCAUAGGUGGCAUUUUCAUGAUUUUGAAACAUGGAAGAAGUAAGGCUCGUUCAAGGUUACUUCUUAAAUUGGUAGCCUCAACACUUGAAUUGUUGGUAAAACCUUGCAAUUUUGUUUUAACUUUUAGUUGGAGAUUUAGCAAGUGAGAGCUUGUGCUUUUUCCCCUUGGUAAAAAACUUUUAAGAUUUCCGUGCAUAUACCAUACAUCCAUUCUUCUUUAUUUUUCUUGCAAUUUUUGAUCGGAUUAGUCACUACAUGCUUGGUGUAGUUGGAUGGAUGAAUUAAUUGGAAAAAUUAGAAAGAUUCUAAAUUUGGAAACAUGGGUCAUCCUCCUCUCAGUCUACUUGAGUUACCAACAUCUUUUUCAUAUGGAAUAAGCCAAACUUGAAAAAUAGAUAUUUGGAGGGUUGAGCCUGAUACAAAUGAUUUCAUACCUGUGUUCUACCUAUAAAAUAUCCAAAACCAUUGAGAGAAAAAUAUUAGGGUUUAGCAUGGAUACACCGACCUAGCCGGUUGAGGUCCCUACUUGCGACUUAAUUUCAUUUUUGAGGCAUUUAUUUCAUGAACCGAGAAUAGGAUUUUUAUCAAAACCAAAUGAAAAAGGUAUCCACUUUUUGUUUUCCAUUUUCAUUUUUUUCCCUGAUAAAAAUUUGUUCUCAUUGAUGUUAGAAUACUAGACACUAUCCACAUCAAUAAUUACUCUAAUGGAUGUUUAAAUCAAGUUUGAACCUGAUUUGUUGCAAUCCAAAUCCGAAAUACUCACACACUUUGUUCUUGCUAUUGAUUUUAUUUUUAAUACAAAAUUGUAACUAAAAAAUUAUUGUGUAAUGUUUGAUACUAUCAAUUGCAUUGUGGUUAAGUGAUUACUACCAAAAAGUGCUAUUUUGUAGACCUAGUUAUAAUGAUUUUAAGCACCUUUGAGUAGUAAUCAUAUUCAUUUAACCCAAUUAAUUCAUUAAGGUCCUUAGUAAUUGGUUUUAACCAUUUUGUGGCAAGUUUACAUGUUUUUCAUCAGCUUAUGAACCAAUUCAAGCAUGCCAAUUGAUGGAGGAGCUAUUUGGGCGAGUUAAGCAAGGAUUUUGGACAAUUAUAGGCUUGAAUUUCAAGUGGAAACACGAGCACAAGCAAUGGAGAAGAGGAAAACAGAGUGAAGAAAACAGCUGCAGUCUUCUUUCGCACUUUUGAAGCACUUCCCGAAGUCCAUUUUUUUCAUUCUAUAUACCAUUUGAAAGCUUAGGAAGUCAAGAAUCUAACGCUUCAAACCGUGUAUGAUUUGGAGCUGAAAUGAGGAAGAUAUGGCCUUCGGAAGGCAACUGCAUCAUGUCAAAUGACCAAUUUCGCAAGGUGAAUUUCACAUUGCGAAAAUUUCGCAAGGAGAUUUUCUUCAUGGUGUGAAAUUUUGCCACUUCGCACCACGAAGAAACACCUUGCGAAAAUUUCGCAAGGUGGAUUUAGGCACAUUGCGAAAUUCCUUUGAAUCCCCUGUUUUGAGACGUUGUUGAUGUUAUUCCACUACCGGUUCUCCAAGAUAUUUUGCUUGAUUUUUAGCUUUGUAAAUACCUAUUUUACCCUUGUAAUCAACCAAUGAAUAGGUUGCUUUUGUAAUAGCUCUUGUAAUUUAGCUUGUUAUUGUCUUUAAAUAGAGGUGAAGAGCCUUAGAGACGCAUCAUCUAAUCUUGUAACCUGUAACUUUAUAAGUUAUAAGAGCACUUUUGUUCAUACGCUUCUUUUCUCUUUUCUUUCUCAUUUUCUUAGUAGCCAAACAUCCUUGGGGGAUGAAAUCCCCAAGGAUGAGAGGCUAAAACCUUUUAGUUUCUUGAAGUAAUGGAUGCCAUGUGAAGCUCCCGUGUCAGGAUGGAGAUUUCCAAGCCAUGAAUGUAAGUAGUUGAGCAUCAUAAAUGUUUUCAUUCAAAGUAAAGCUUUUAAUCCCUCUGACUUGCUUUGAAUGGCCAAUACUUGAUAACCUUUUGGUCUCAGUGGAUUCUUAUUGUUAGAUCCACUGACGUUCAUUAGUUAUCUCCUACGAGCCAUUGUAUUGCAAGUCGAGGAGAUGACCUAUAUCAAUAAAAGAGCAUUUAUGAGGUUCAACUACCCUUUUUGUAAGUUUUCAAGGACUAAAACUCAGUUGUUAAACUCAUACCGGUUCGGGAAGUAAGCAUCACCUUAGUUGCUUCCCCAACUCGAGGUGAAAAGUCCCAAAAUCUCCAUUUUUACACAGUGAGUUAAGCAUGGCUAUCCAAAGCUUUGAGAAACUUCUUUUUCCAUCUUUUAACUUAUUUUCAUGUUAGUUUAGUUUACAACACCUUCAUCUUUUUAUGUUUUCAUCUUAACCUAAUUUUUAUUAAGAAAAGUUCACUCCAUCCUCCGAACUUCACCAGUUAAAGUAAAAACCCUUCCCAGUGUUCGAUCCUAGAGCCACUAUGCUAUAGUAGCUUUGCUACUUUAGUGUAAGGACCUUAGGUAUAAAUUUUGUUGAUACCCUUACAUGCCAAGCUACCAAGAGUCGGGUUAUCAUUAAGUAAAGAAGAUAUGAUUGAAAAUAACAAAUUCACAUUAAUAAUGUUUUAUAUAAAAUUUUAUUUUAUUUAUUUGUGGUAGGCCUUGCAAAGUAUUACUAUUUUACUUUUGUCAUUGAAUUAAUUAUUUUAAUUAAACUUAAUUAAUUUAAUAGUGUAAAGAUGAAGUUUGCCUAUAUUUCUCUCCUUUGUAUUUUUUUUCCCCAAGUGGGAUUUGACACUUGUUUAGUUUUUAACCUUUUUGUACAUCUUUGAAGGAUGGCACAUACUUGUAUUUAUCUUUUUAAGAUAAAUGAAGAUGCUUGUUUCUUUUCCAAAAAAAAAAAAAAAAAAAGAAAAGGAAAAAGCAGAUGGAGUUUCUCUAUCUUUUUAUUUUUUUUUAAUUUUUAAUAGUGUCAAGAAAUAAAUUUCCAAAUAAAAAUAGUUCUUUAAAUAUUUGAGUCUUUAUGUGAAUAUCGUAUUUGAAGAACGUUGAAAAGGGCUUAGGCCUCAUGCCUCUAGAGAGCGAGACACAUUUUGUCACAUUUUUUAUUCUUUUUUUCUACUUUUUCUGAUAACCAAUUGACACCUUGUGUCAUUUUUUUUACGGGUAAUAAGAAUAUAUAUAUAUACAAAAAAUAUGUGAAGUGCCUAAACCAAAGGCACAACAAAGUACACAUAAUGCAUACAUGGUCCCUUGAAAAUAUGCAAGAAGAAGAAUGAGGAGAGGAACAAAAAACAAACCCCUCUCACCCCCUCUCGUUAUUUUGAACUAAUCCAAACUACGAAACCCAUCAUGGUCAGAAGAUAAUCAUUUAUUAUUUAUAAAAGAUAGUUUAAUUGCUUGUUCUUUUUGUUUUGAAUCUUUAAAGUCUCUUUUGUUUCUUUCCAUCCAUUGUGUCUAGAACAGACACACAAAAGUGACCCUCCAAGCUUUUUUUUCCACUUCUUGCCCAUGGCGGAACCAUGUUAGGUUAAUGAAUAUCUUUAUAUUUUCGAAUGCAUCACCCAAACCACACAAAAUAGAGAGAAAAUCAGUUGCCACGGGAUACAUGCUAUAGGCAAUGGAGUAACAAAUGAUUAGCCAAUUCCUCGUCCAAUUUACACAUAUAGGAUCUGUUUGGCAUACUCCAUCCCCUUCUUCAAAGUUGAUUGAUAUCAAAAUUUUGCCCCACGAUGCCCCCCAAGCAAAAAAAGUCACCUUUCUAGAAUCCAGUGAUUCCAAACACAGUUUGUAGGAAAUGACUUACUUGCUCCUUGGACUAAUGAAAGGAGAAGGAUUUGAUGGAGAACUUGUCACCCUUGGAAUACUUCUACUCCAAACAAUCCUCCUCACUCCUAACUAAGCAAGCUUGGAGUUUUUAGAGAAAGUCCAUCACUCCUUCAAGCUUUCAAGAAAAGUGAGGGCUCUACCAACCACUUUCCCCAUACUGCUCCCCAAUAUCUGCUACCCAUGCAUCUUUGUUUGUGGCUAAAAACAAAAAGACAAAAAAGAUUCUUCGAAAUAUGAACCAUCACUCCAUCUAUCUUUCCAACGUUUGAUGCUUCUUCCAUUGCCAAUAGAGAAGCGAACUUUGCCUUGGAUUGAGUCUCAUGCUUUUCUGAUUGUUUUCCACACACCCAUCCCAUAACCAUUUCUCGCACCAUUUGAGAAUAGGUUCUCAAUAAACAUGAACAAUGUGACAUUUUCCUUGUUACUCAUCUUGACUCAACCAAGCCUUUGGUACCUGCUACUUAUGGUUACUAAUGACCACAUGAAAUCAUAGGUCAUCUCACUCUUAGUAAUGACUUUGGCAUUCAUUUUUGGCAUUAUGAAUGGAAUUUAUUGUUGCAUGGUUCGCAAUUGGUUCCUAUAAGAAGAUAACCACCUUAUUGAAAAUUUUUAGUAUAUUAAAAUGAUACCCCCAUCUCCCCCCCCGGAACCAUGUCUUUGUGAUAGUUGAAAGGCACCUCCAAUUAAGAAACACAACCAUUACAAUAAUAAAUGAGAGAAAAUUUAUUUUUGCUAAAAUUGUUUAGUAAGGGUUUUGUAUUGAAAAAGCUUUAUUAGCAACUUGGACUCCGGGGGAGUGAAUUAUCAUGAAUAAGUUUAUAUUCUAGAUCUAGUAAUUUUUUUUUCGUAGAUUUUAUGUUGAUAUCAUGCACCCUACCUCACUAAGAAAGCAAUCACCUUUGCAAGAAAAGUAAAAGAAUGGACACAUGAUACGUACGUAGAGACUUGUAAGUAUUUCUACCAAAAGGGCAAAAGCAAAUCUCCUCUAAAAGUUAAAAAUAAGAUACAAGGUGAGGCAGGAGCAUUUGAGAAUUUUGUUAAGUUCCAACCACCUUAGAGCUAUAAAAAUAGAAUUGUUUUACAAUUAGGAAUUCACUAGUUCAUAUAGAUUUGUUUUCAUGAACUGAUUAGGCUUUUGUUAGUUUUCUGUUUUAUAUAGGCUUCUAUUUUAUGUUUUCUUAUUAGAAUAAUUCAAUCAUGAUAAGUGCUGUUUUACUAUCAUACUGAGGAUUAGGAUUAACUUUAUAAAUACCUAGGACCUAGACAAUGAUGUGGUUCAACAUAUUGAAGUUGUGUCUGCUGUAACAGGGUUAGUAUUAAAUUUGUGAUGGAGGUAGCUUGUGUAUACCAAAGUGCUCCUAUCUCAUUUAAAGUUGAGGAACCACCAUUUAUUUAUCCUAAUUUAUGAGAAGAUUCUUAUAGAAAAACCUAGUAUAGUUACUUCUAGUUAAGCUUCUUAAACGGUCCUUUUUUUACGUUGUUGCUCUUUGUAGGCCAGUUUUGUUGGAGCAUUGGAAGAUUACAACUUACCAUUGCAAUCAAUUGUAUCGGUUAGUUAGAUAUAUGUGUGCUACAUGCUAAAAUACAUAUAUUUCAAGUCCUGGGCUAUCAAAUAAUGUAUCACAUACUUUAUGUGGCAAGAAUUAUUUUUUCCCUACAUAUAUUCUUAGUCCUUUUUUUAUAUGCAAUUAAGUAGUAUGCAUUGAAAGAUGCCUAACAAAAAGGGGGCGUGAGCCUAGUACAUAAGAGGUACAUGGCAUGCACCAAGGCCUUUGUCAGUCAAUUUGGAACUUUGCUCAUUUUACAUGUGUUUUGCUUAAUGACAAACUCUUCAAUGAGAGCUUGAGAUCUGGAAUCCAAGCUGGGUUGCACAGAUACAAAUUUCCUUACAUGAGAUUUAGCAAUAUUCUUAGAGCCAUAUACAGAUUCUUGUAAACAGAAUCUGAUUUUUAUUAGAAAUGUUAGGGAUGAAAUAGAACCAUUUUUUAUGUUGUUGACAGUUUUAUCUCAAUGCCUGAGUCUGGUAUAUAUAUGAUUUUUCCAGGUAUGACUAUUCUGGCUAUGGACAAUCAACUGGAAAGGUUAGAUGCUCUGCUUCUCCAUUUGUAAUUUUUCUGUGGGGGAAAAAAGGGUCUCUGCUUAUGUUGCCUUCAACACUUCUCUAUUUAAUUUAAUUAAAUAGUCACUCAGCAUUGCUUUUUAUUGCCUUUUUAUUUUUCAUUUUUACGUUUGGAGGACCUACAUUAUAUGCAUUUCUGUUUGCCUAGAAUGGAAAACUAUGAUCUCAUAAAAGUAUAACUAUAGACUUGUAUGGACUCUGACAUAUGAACAUUUAUUUGCUAUGCUCAAAGUUCUAUUCUUCUAAGUUUCAUCUUCAUCCUCCUAAAAGGCAAAAAACCUCAAAAUAUGACAACAAAAAGAUAUAUUAAGCAAAAGUCAUCAUUCUUUUUUUAUUACAGCAUUGCAGUUAGUAUUCGUAUCAUUAGAAUAACAUAUGUUACGCUCAGAUAACACCUCACUGAUAUUCCUUGGCACAAUAGUUGCACUUAAGCUUUGAUUUUCCAUGUGUACCUCUAACCACAUGAGUACUGUGCUUCCACAUAAGACCACUUAAGCUUCAAUAAUCCAUGUGUGGCAUUAACCACACAAGUGCAGAAUUUCACAUAAGAUCAUUUUCAAUUUCUUCUUUUGGUCAUCCAUUUUAGCCAUUUAAAUAUUAAUAUGCUGAUCUUUUUAAGGGAAAAAAACAAUUGAAAAACUUAAUUAUGUUAAUAAUGAUCAAAAUAGUCAGAUGUGUUCAUAAUGUAUUAAUCAUCUACUGUUGAUAUGUAUCAUUUUAUGUGAAAAUAUAUAAAUUGUACCAUAUCCUAUGUAUUGCAUUGUUUAUAUAAGUUUUGCACAACUGUGUGAUUAUUAUUAGUGAUAUGAGCAGUUCAAUGUUUCUAAGAUUUAACAUUAAAUAUCUAAACUGAAACUGGUGGCAGUGAUUGGCAUCCCUCUGAAUGACAUAUCAACUAUUUUGCCUCAUCAAUCUCACCAAGAAAAAGGGAUAUUGAAUUAUAAAGGAGCAUGAAUUUUUGUCUCUGAUACUGCUUCUCUUUAGGCUUUUUGUUCCAAGGUUUUUAAGGGGAUUCCCCCUAAUGUGUUACAACUUGAUUGGCUAGCAGUGUGUAGCUCCAAUGGGUCGGUCUAACCUAGAGAGUUUGUUUAUUUUUACAUUGUAUAUUUUUGUUUUUGUAUUCUUGUAGUUUAGAUUUUCUUUGGUGGGAGGAUUCCUCAUCUUUCUCUUGUACUUCUUUUUUCUAUCAAUAUAUCUCUUUGUCGUUUCCUAUAAUUUUUUAUUUUUUAUUUUUUAUUUUAUUUUAUUUUAUUUUUGUCUUUGAUAUUGUCGUUUGGGAUAAUCAUUUUAUUUUAUUAUUAUUAUUUUUUGUGUAAACAUUUGGAACAAUAAUCUCAUCCCUUAGAAAACUCAGUAAGAAACCUAGGGCAACAUUUACUCACUACCUUUUUGCUAUACAAUGUUGAGUCACUUUGUCUGCCUUUAUUUAUGGUUACUUGAUCUACUUGAAUGAUUCUCUCCCACAUAAUUUUAAAAGGUGCAAAAGUCUCCUACAAUUUAGGCACAAGGCACAACACAAGGUAUGGGUUUGAGUGAAGUGAAAUUGACCUAGGAUGCAUAUUGAUUUUAUAACAUAUGAUUCAAAAUCUUAUCCAAUCAAUAAAAAACUUAGGAUUCAAAAUAUUUAAAAGAAGCAUUCAAUAAAAGAGUAAUGAAAUUGAUCUAUAAAAAAAAUAAAAAGUAAUGAAAUUAUAUACAUUUCAAUACAUAAUUAGAAAUUUCAAGAAUAAAAGUGUUUAAAAAGAAAGAAUAAAGUCGACAAGGGGUGCCUCUUCAUGAAGGCGCAUGUCUGGGCAAGUGAUGCGCUAUAACUAGGGAGCGGUUGUGCUUUAAGCGUGCGUUUUAGAACUAUGCUCUCCCAUCCUCAAUUCCAAUAAGUUCAAGCAAAUUGUGAAAGACUUAUUUCUUUUUUGACAGAUAAGAAGCAAUUGUAUUGAAAAGUGCCAAAAAAGGUGCACCAAGGUACAUAUGAUGUAUACAAUGGCUGCCACAAAGAGCCCAAAAAAGGUGGGAAAACAAAAAAAAUACUCCCUCAAACCGAACCUAACCAAUCAAUGAAAUCAAAUAUGGACAUCGAUCCAUCGCCUAUAAUCAACUUGGACCAAGAAUACAAACUACAUAGAAAUAGGACUUUCAGUUUAUGAUAAGAGAGGUCCUCAUUGUCAAAUGAUCUUCUAUUUCUCUCCUACCAAAUUAUCCAAAAAAGGCGUAAAGGAGUAGCUCCCUAAACUUUUUUUCCACUUCUUCCUCGCAAAAGAGCCAUUCCAACCUAACAAGGUGUUUUUGAUGGAGGAGUGAAUCACCUAUGAGAUACCAAAAAGAGAGAACAAAAGCUACCACAACUCCCUCGCCUUGCUACAAUGCAAAAGAAUGUGAUAAAUUGAAUCUUCAUGAGUGUGAUGAAGAAAACAUAUAUUGGCCAAAGAUCAACCUCUUUGUUGUAAUUAAUCAAGAGUCAAAGCUUUUCCCUAGGUCAUCUCGCAAGCAAAGAAACUCACUUUAAGUGGAGUCCAAGCAGUCCACAUAAUAACAGAUGGGAAUGAUUCAAAUCUCCUUUCUUCUAGGCUAGAGUAAAGUGACCCUAACAAAGAAAGAUUUACUCUUUGCCUCUAACCAACACACCUUGUCUUUUACUGCCUCAACUACCCUCUUAACAAGUAGUUUUGCAAAGAAAGCUUUACAUCCUCAAUCUCCCAAUUGUUUGGAUGCCUAGAGAAUCUACGAGUCCACACACCUCCACCAUUAGAGUGAGAUCACAAGUUCGCCACCCAAGCCUCCUCAUGGUUCAAAGUAUUGGCCGACUCGUAUCUCUCUUGAACCUUUCUAUGUUGAGUCUGAUACCCGAUAUCAUCUUCAAUACAAACCCAACUAAGAACUAGUUAAACUCGGUUGACUCGGUCGAGAUUUUGAGCGGACUUGAUUGAAAUUACGAGUUGAAGGAGAAGAAGCAAUCAAAAUAUAUAUAUAUAUAUAUUUCCCUUUCAAAUCACACAAAAAGCAACCAAAAUUGAGAAAUCUCUAAAAAAAAAAAAUGAGAGUUUUCUUCAAAAGAAAAAUUUUUUCAAGACCAUGACGGUGAAGGAGAAGGAGAAGAAGAAAGCUUCAUGUCGGUGAUGUAGUUGUGCUGAUUGUCUGAUGAGAAACAUCACAUUCUUCCAUCGAUGACGAUCUUUGCAUUUUGGUGUUGCCUCUCCUUGCUCGAUCUCCGUUGUGUUUUCGGUGUUCUUUGGGUGUGCAUUGUAGAGAGGCAAAACUGCAAAUUGGGUAUCUUGUGGUGUGAAUAAGUGAUGUUUGGGAUUGGGAAUUGAAGAAAAGGGCUUAAUGUAUUGUUUUAUAUAAAAAUGAUUUAUUAUUUCGGAUGUUCAUAUAUUUGCAUCAAUUUACUUUAUAUGCCAAUGAUAUUUGGAAUUGGGAAUUUGAAAAUUAUUAUUUUAUAUAUUAAAUAUGGUAUGAAUGACUUUAAUUUAGGUAAUGUACUAUUUUACAUGGUAAUGUUAUUAUAUAAGGUGUAUUAUUUUAUAUGCUAAUUUAUUGUUAAUAAUUUAUGAAAUCAUUUCGUUUAUUAUUAUGUUAAUAUAUUUUUAAGUUGAUUAAUUUCUUAAUUCAUUUAAUUAUAUUAAAAUAAUUUUUAUAAUUUUUUGAACUUCUUAAGUAUCUUAUUUUGCUUAUCAUCCGAUAUCGAACCGAGAUGCCGAUACCAAUGUGCCUUGGAACCCUCCAAGUUGAUGACCAAUACCGUGAUUUUGAACUAUGAGUCUCCUUGGAAGUAGCUAAGGCAAAUAAAGAAGGAAAAAAAAUACUUAAGAUUCAUCGCCACGCCAUUUAUCCUUCCAAAACUUUACCCUUCUCCCAUUGCCCACCGAGAAGGAAAUCCUGCAAUUAACUUGUCUCCCACAAAUUUCUUAUAACCUUCCAUAACCCAACACCAUAACCCUCGUUUACUUCCUUAGAACACCAACCCCUUCAACUUCCCCAUGCUUACCACUUAUAAUUUGUCAAAUGCCUAUUUCUUGAGGUUUCCUUAGUGCAGUGCUGCUGAAAUUGCAUGUUCUGUUGAGGCUUACAUGGGUGCAUGCUCAUGCUUCAAGCUUGCUAGACACCAAAUAUGCAUACACGUACAUAAACAGAUGCACGCAUCAUAGAGUGGGAGAGAAAGAAGAAAUAGAAGGGGGUGGGAUGGGGAAAAGGCUGGGGCUUACAUUUUGAACCUUGUGAUGCAUGUGUACACACUGAGAAGCAGUACAAUGCUUAGAAAUUGGAAUGAGUAUUGAUCUAGAAAAAUAUUUAUUUUGCAAGAUCACAUUGAUGUGGUGCAGCACAAUAUUAUGAUAUAGUCAUUUUUGUGUCAUCUACCUUUUAAAAUAAAAAAUACAAAAAAUUUGUUUGGGGAAGGGGGUGUAUUUUUGUUUUUUGUGUUUUUUGUGUUUCCUGUAUUCUCAAAAACCACUUUUUUAAGAACAGUAAAAAGAUGUUUUCAUUGUUUUUUCACUAUUCAAAUAAUAGAUUAUUUUUCAUGUUUUCUCUUCUUUCUUUUUGUAUUUUCUUAGCUUUUUUGUGUUUCCACAAAAGUGAGCUCCACCCAACCACCACACCCUCACCUGCAAACCCUUUCUUCUUUCUUAAAUUAUUGAAAUUAAUUUAAGUUCAUUUCUCAAAAGUGAGCUCCACACAAAAGUGAGCUCUAGUCUAUGAAUUCAUGCCCAAUGGAUCUCUGGAUAAGUUCAUUUCUCAUCAAGAAUCUCCUAAUCGUGCAAACUUGAACCUGUAAUGGAAAACUAUAUUCCAAAUUGCAGUUGGCAUUGCACGAGGACUAGAGUACUUACACAGUGGUUGCACCACAAGGAUUCUACAUCUUGACAUAAAGCCUCACAACAUUCUCUUCUAGAUGAAGAUUUCUGCCCUAAAAUUUCUGAUUUUGGCCUUGCUAAACUAUGCCAGAGGAAAGAGAGUAUCAUAUCAAUGACAGGAGCAAGAGGCACUGUUGGAUACAUUGCUCCAGAAGUAUUCUGUAGAAAUUUUGGUGGAGUCUCUCAUAAAUCCGACGUCUAUAGCUACGGAAUGUUAGUUCUCGAAAUGGUGGGAGGAAGAAAGAACAACAUUGAUAUUCAAGAAUCCAAUGCCAGUGAAAUAUAUUUUCCUGACUGGAUCUAUGAGAAUCUUGAGCAAGGCAAAUGUCAACUACUUCUUCAAGUUACGACCGACGAGGAACAAGAAAUAGCAAGGAAGAUGAUUAUAGUGAGUAUGUGGUGCAUCCAGACCAAUCCGUCCAAUCGGCCAUCAAUCAGCAAGGUAGUAGAAAUGUUGGAAGGGAACCUUCAGUCCUUGGAAAUUCCACCAAAGCCUUUCCUGUUUUCUCCUAUGAUGUCAGACCAAGAUUCUUCCACAUAAUUAGUGUCAUAAUUAAGGGGAAAAACAAGGUUUGUUUGAUGGGGACAAAAAUGUGAAUUAAUGUUACUAUGUUACUGUAUUUUGUAUUCGGUCUUGAGUUUUGAAUAAUUGAUUUUAGUUGAAAAGGCAACAAGAAUGUUGAUGCUUACUGGUUUAGCUGCAAAAAUUUUCUGUGAACUAGUCCUUUUAGAGAACAUCCCUCCUGUAAAUGAUCAAUGAUCUGCCAAACGUUCAACAUCUGAAAACUAUUCAGUGAUUCAUCCUAAACCUAUUUUUAUAUUUUAAGCGUAACAUUCUAUAUAGUUUUUCAAUGAAAAACAUACAUGUUUCGAUGAGGAGGAAUACCAAGGAUAUGAUGAAACUUGUAAUCACAUAUGGUUUACACCCCUGCUAGGUGUAGAUGAGGCAAUAUUUCAUGAUUAAUUAACACUAAAAUGGCGUACUAUAUAGCCCCUCAAGAAUGUCCUAAAAAUGCCCAAGCCUUAAAUCAAACCAUGGGAGGAGAGCAUAACGAUGGUGCUACAUGCACCAAGACUAUAGCCACAUCAACUAGACUUGUUGGCAUGAUUGGUGUUGAUUAGUUAGAGAAAUAAAAAUAUGGAAUGUAUUAAAAACAAAUGUUUUUCCACUUCUAAUUCUCAUGGGGCAUAAUUUUCACCAAAGUUUCUAUCAACAAGACUUCAACACAAGUUAUUAGUACCAGAAAAAUAAUGUAGCAUCAUGGAUUACAAGAAUAUUAAUGGCUUAAAUAGUUUUAUUAGCAUCUUGUAUAAAACAUGAUUAGCAUUAUCAUUUCCCAAAUCUUUGCAAUUAAUUACAAGUGCAAAUUCUUAAUGUUGACUUAAAUGCAAUCCUCAGUACAUAUGCUAAAUGACCCAAGUAAACUUUAUUAACUAAGUAAACUUAAGGAGCAUGACAUGAUUUUUGUGUGAAAUGGUGAAGGUUUAUAAAUUUCCUGAAUUUGUAAUAUUCAAAUGCACUCAAUAUGGUAAACUAAAGGUUAGAAAUGCUCUUAUAGUUGUCAUACUAAAGAAAAACCUACUAUUUAUUCGACAACUUUCCACUAACAUCAUGUGGACAUUAGAGUUUAACAAUCUUUAUUUUGUUAAGCGUAACAAAAUAUCCUUGUAACGGCCAUAAAAGAGGUAUGCUUUAUGCCUUAGAAGAAAUAAAACAAUUAUAUCUAAAUUCUAUGAGAAGUAGCAUAACAACUUCAUGUGUGUGGCACCAAAGGAUAGGGCAUCCCAAUUCAAAGAAUUUGCAAGUUCUAAAUUAAGUCCUAAGUCACAUUCUCAUUCUUAUAUUUUAACGAUUGUUGUACUUAUAACAAUAUACAUCAUACAAGGGACUCAUCCACUAUAUAAGAGUAGUGAGUUAAAGGUAUUAAUUAAAAUUCAUAAGGUGAUUCGUCUCACAUCAAAAGUGUUAUAUUGACAUUAUGGAUCAAGGCAAGAAUAAAAUUAUUGUUUUGUUAUUUCUUAGUUUUUGAAUCUAUUAUGGUUUUUGCAUUCAACUUGAUUUUUAAAUUAAUCAAUUAUUCUAUAUAAAGUUUUAGUUUAUCAAAUUACUUCUUAUAAUUAAUUUAAUCAAUGUGACUUCCAAUGAUCCAAUUCUAAAAAUUAUCCAUUGUAAUACCAACCUUAGGAUUUUGGUUUUUGAAUUAGCAGCAAAUAGGCAUACUACCAAAGAUACCACUCUUGGCAAAGUUUUGAUGAUGGAUAAUUUCCAUGUGAAUUAUAGUAAUAUGAAAGAUGAUGAGUAUGAGUGUUCAAAAUGUAUUGCUUUUGGUAGGCUAUUUGAAUAAGACUAUGAUAAGGGUGUUAGGAAAAUGAAACCUCUUGUAUUAGUACUUACCGGGAAAAUUGCAACACUAAAAUACAAGAAGAAAAACAAAGUGAAAUAAAGAAGUGGCUCAUUAUAAUUGCUUAUAUCCACAAGAAUGGGACAUUAAAUUUAUUAAUAAACUUCAAACAUACACACUUCAAACUCUCUCAACUUUUCUAUACUCAAAACCUAAUACACCAUUUGCUUAUUUGUAUUCACUCUUUGCCUGCUUCUUUCCCUUUCUCUCUAAAUCCUAUAUAAAACCACAUAUUUCAAAAAGUCCUAUGUGUUAUCCUAAACCGAUGGUGUCUAAUCCUAGUCAAACUCAAAAAGUAAUUUAUCAAACCACAAACUCUAAAAUAUUGACUCUUAUAAAAAUAAAAAACAAAUAAUUUGAGUCAAGUAUCAAUAAUCUCCACCUUGACUCAAAUUCUUUCAACUUUGCACAAUUGAUAAGAAUAAACAUGUGUCAAGUUCAAACUUUCAUUGAACUUGACCCAAAAAGUCGUCUUUGUCUUCUUCAUUCCUUUUGCAAUUAGUCUUAUCCAUAUGCCAAUGAGUACACUUAAUUGAAAAUGAAGUCGUAAUCCUCUUAUUGCACUCUUUUACUUUGAAAACUUCUUCAACACUAGCAAAAGACUCAUGGUGUGGCUUCACCUUUAUAGUUCCACUUAAAAUUGACUUCCCCAUCAAAGUGUAUAAAUUUUUCAUCUUUUUCCCUUUCAUAACUAUCAAAAUACCUUUAUUAAUAUUAAUUAUAUUGUUUUCUUAUAGAAAAAGCAUAGCCUAAAGUAUCCAAAGCUCCCAAAGAAAUUAAAUUCCUCAUCAACUUAGGAACAUGCUUAACAUUAGUCAAUAUCCUUACAGCAUCAUCAAACAUCUUCACUUUCACGAUACAAAUCUCAAUUAUUUUAGAGCUUAAAUCAUUGUCUAUUCAAACAAUACUAGUAUCAAAUUCCUUAUAGGUGCCAAAUCACUCUUUACAUGAGUACAUAUGAAAAGAACAUCCAAAGUCUAAAAUCCAAGAGUUCGUAAAUUUUCAUCAACUAUAACAUAAAGAACAUCACAUAUCUUAUCAAACUAUUCAUUAACUAUAUUAGUAGAAUCUAGAGUCUCUUGUGAUUUAUGAUUUUUCUUUGUUUCCAAGUGUUUUGUCAAUUAUUCAUAAUAUCUUCUUAUAUAUCCCUUUUUAUAGCAAUAAUAGCACUCCAUAUCCCUCCAAAAGUUUGGUUAUGAAUGAUCAUCUCUUCUAUCAUAAUACCUACCUCACAAUUUGUUCCUACCAUAAUGUGAUUAAAAAUUCAUCACAAAAGUUUGUCCAAUAUGAGACAAACUACUUGAUUGCUUAAUAUUUUCAAUUUGUAAAAGAGUAAUUGACACCUCAUCCACCAUCAACGUCGUCUUUGAACUAAAAGUGUAGUCAUCAUUAUCUCAUACGAUUUUUAUAGGGAUGCCAAUAAAAUAAAAGUUUGAUCUUCCUCAACAAUUUUAACCACUUAUUAAACUUAUUUAUAUGAUCCCUAAAACUCAUUCCUUCAUCCAUCUUCAAUUCAAAUAAUGACUUCUUUGUAUAUAACCUAUUUAUUAGGAAUUUUGACAUAUAAAUUUUUUCUAACUUCUAUAAAUGAGAAGGAGAUUUCUAAUUUAAAAUGUUACAUUUUAUUUAGGAGUCAAACUUAAAUAAAUAGUACUUAUCGCUUUUGCUUCUAAUUCUUUUCAUUCUUCAUUUGUCAUGCUAUUUGUUUUCUUACCUUACAGCGCUUUAAGAAGUUCUUGUUGCACUAAAACAUUUUUAAUGGUACUUUUUCAAAUAAUAAAAUUAUUCUUUCUAUCAAAGGGCUUUAUAUUGUAUUUUUUAUCAAACAUCAUCUUCAAAAUAAUUUUCCAUGAUUAGCAUACCAUGACUUCGAUAACACUUGUUGGGAAAACAAAAGUUUUGAUAUCAUUUGUUAGAAAAACUGCAACAUUAUACAUGGUAGAAAAAAUAAAAUGAAAUAAAGAAUAUAAAAAAUUUACAUAAUUCAGUGUAAUUGCUUAUGUCCACAGGGAAAAGAAAAUCAUAUUUAUUAAUAAACUUCAAACAUACACACUUAAAACUUUCAUAACAUUUCUCUAUUAAAACCUAAUACACUCUUUACUCACCUUUAUCCCUUUUCUAAAUCCUAUAUAAAACCAUGUAUUUGUAGAGUUAAUCUUAUAUGUUAACCCUAAAUUAAUACUUUCUUAAUCUUACUCAAACUCAAAAGGUAAUUUAUUAAAAUAUAAAUCUAUAAAUAUUGGCUCUUCUAAAAAUAAAAAACAAAUGUGUGGACCCCGCAUUUCGGCUCGCUCAAUGCGUUUCCCACUCGAAUGGUGAGCUCGAUUUUGAUUUUGAAAAAUGAUUUAAUCGGUUAAAAAAAAUGACUUGGAGUCGCCACUUAUUUUUGUUUUACUUUUUUAACGGUAAACAAAAUAAGAAAGAAAAACCCUAAGUGUGACUCCUUGUUUUGGAAAAGGUCGGUCUACGAAAAAUCAGAUCGGGUUCGGGGGUCAGGUUACUUAUCGGGAUGGUACGAUAAAGACCGUAGCACCCCUCUAAGUCCCUAAAAUGGGUCUCUACUAAUAAAAUGAAGCAGUCAUGACAAUUAAUUAGGAGAUCAAUGAAUACCCGAAAAUAUCAUGCACAUAUGAGAAUUAGAAUAUGCAUAGACAAUAAUCAAAGUGGAAAUGGGUGCGUACCUGAUCAGCAAACGGCAACGCGCUAUCACAAAAUAGGGUUAGUGCACAAACACAGGUUGAUUAUAUACAUAUCAUGGGACAUAACAAAACAAUCAAUCAAUCAAUUAGUCAUGAAUUCACAUAUGUAGGGCCCCCACCAGAGCUCGUUUUAUAUUGCCUGAAUCAAUUCCGAUAACUCCAUUGUUCGGAAUUACAGAACUUGAUUCCUUGCUUAUUUCAAAACAUUUUAAAAACAGAGGAAGUAUGAAAAAUUGCUUGCCAGAAAUAAAAGUGGCAGCAAAGAUUUAUCAAAAAUGUGAUUUUGGAACCUAAGGAUAAUGCUCUAAGGAUGAAGAAAAAGGUGGAAUGUUGGCUGAAUAGAAUUCCGGAUGUGAGAUAUCUGGAGAAGGUGGAACGUCGACGGAUUGGAUUCCGGGCGUGAGACACCCGAGGAAGGUGGAAUGUUGGUGGAUUGGAUUCCGGAUGCAAGGCAUCCAGGUGGAAUGACAGAGGAGAGGAAUUCUGGGAGUGAGACACUCGGGUGGAACGGCGGCGGAGAGGAUUCCGGGGGGGGAGGCACCCGGAUGGAAUGACGGUGGAGAGGACUCCGGGUGUGAGACACCUGGGGAGGGUGGAACGUCGGUGGAUUGGAUUCCGGAUGCAAGGCAUCCAGGUGGAAUGACAGAGGAGAGGAAUUCCGAGAGUGAGACACCCGGGUAGAAUGGCGGCGCAAAGGGAUUCCGGGAGUGAGACACCCGGAUGAAAUGGUGGCGCAGAGGGAUUCCGGGAGUGAGACACCUGGAUGAAAUGACGGCAUAGAGGGAUUUCGGGAGUGAGACACCCGGAUGAAAUGGCGACGCAGAGGGAUUUCGGGAGUGAGACACCUGGAUAGAAUGUUGGCGGAGAAGGAUUUCCGGAUGCGGGGGAUGUCCGGGUGGAAUGGCGGUAGGAGGAAUUCUGGGAGUGAGACACCCGGAGGAAUGGCGGCGCAGAAGGAUUCCGGAUGCGAUAUGUCUGGGUGGAAUGAACAUGGUUAUGAGUAGUAUGAAGGAUAGACAUGGGCUGUAUGGAUAUGGGGGCUUGAGUGAGUAAUUUUAAUAGGUAUGUGAAAGAGUGAAGGCUGGCAUGCACUCGCGAUACUCCAUGUAAGCGAGGGAGUGAGAUGGAGAAUGAACGAGAGGAAGAUGGGUGUGGUGGAGGAUGCUUGAUUCCUGCAAGCUGGAGUGAGGAAAUGGGUAUGACGACCUAGAGAGAGAAGUGGACAGAUGAACGAUGGAGACGUAGGCAUAUUGGAUAAAACGAUGAAUAAUAAGCGAAAACGGGUAUGAGGAUGCUGAUGAGGUGAGCCUUGCUGCCAUGGCAACUACUCCAGAUUUUCUAGGAUCUCUUUCAAGCAGGGAUGAGAAAACGGAUGUGUACCAUGGACGGAUAUCAAGAAACAGGGGAAGUAGAGAAACAGAGCAUGAAAAAAGAUGAAUAAAUAAAGGAAAAUCUCAGAAAAUCCACUUCAUGAAUCAUCCAUGAAUCUUCUGAGCAGGUGGGUAAAACAUAUCAGAUGCAACCACCCUCAUGAUUCUCAAGCAUUUUAUAAACACAACAGGAGCAUAUCAAAUUAAAAGAUGGACAAAUCUACGCAAAUGCAAGCAUACAUAUCAACAAGUAGACUGGUGGCCUUCAACAUCCGCCCAAGACAACAUUAUGUUACGGAAAAUCAACGAAUAAUGAGAGACGAGGAGGAAACUGUGUACAUAGCUGCUUCCUCAAGAAAAAAGAAAACAAGUCUCGGCUCUCUCAAGGAGUUUCUCUCUGCCGGCAACUUUACUCAAGCUCCCAAAAAAAACUCUCCGAAAAACUCUCUGAAAAACUCUCUUCCCUGCUCCCUCUCUACCGUGUCUUUUUUUCGUAUCCCUUUUUCUUUUUUUUUCUCUCCUUCUGUAUCCCAGAUUUUCCUUCCCAACGAUCUCUGCUGCAGCCAACUCUUUCUGCCACCUUUUUCUACUACACUCCUUCUGCAGCCACCUUUUCUUCUGCAGCCCCCUUUUCUGUCCAAUCCUUCUACAACCUCAAAAAGCAAGGUUGAUUCCUUAUGGCCACUAAGGAUGUGACACGUGGCCCACUAGGAUAGUGACACUUGGCUAAAAAUGUGAUCUGCAAAAACAAAUAGAGAAAAGGUGACCCAUGACCAAAAUGGGGGUCUACAAAUAUGCCCCUCUUCGGUAGAGCUCACGAGUGUAAGGAAUAUGAACAUUGGAAUGAAAAGCAAGUGUGAAUAGUGAGUGCAAUGAAGUGAACUUUACUGAAGAACCAAGGAGACCCCCAUAGGGACACGUGUGAAACGUAAACUAACUCAGGCUAGCUGAUUACUACCAAAAAGUGCUAUUUUGUAGACCUAAUUAUAAUGGUUUUAAGCACCUUUGAGUAGUAAUCAUAUUCAUUUAACCCAAUUAAUUCAAUAAGCUCCUUAGUAAUUGGUUUUAACCAUUUUGUGGCAAGUUUACAUGUUUUUAUCAGCUUAUGAAUCAAUUCAAGCAUGCCAAAUGAUGGAGGAGCUACUUGGACAAGUUAUGGCAAAGCUUUUGGAAGCUCAAAUUCAUGAAGAACCAAGCUUUGGAGCUCCAUAGCCCUUUGCCAAAGUCGUUCAAAGUAUGCAAGGAAAGAACAAUGGAAAAGAGGAAAAGCAAGCAAAGUGAAGAGAAGCAAAGAGGACAGCAGCUGCAGUCUUCUUUCGCACUUUUGGAGCACUUCCCGAAGUCCAUUGUUUACAUGCUAUAUACCAUUUCAAAGCUCUGGAAGUCAAGAAUCCAACGCUUCAAACCAUGUAUGAUUUGGAGCUGAAAUGAGGAAGAUAUGGCCUUCGGAAGCCAACUGCUCCAGGUUAUGCGAAAAUUUCGCAUAACACAAGGUAUUAUGCGAAAUUCGCAUAACACCUUCAAAAUUCGCAUAACCCAUGCGUGUUGCGAAUUUUCCUCUGCUUUUGCCGACUCCACUUUAGAUAUUUUCCUUUGUAUUUUGUGAUGUAAUUUCCUUUCUUAUCCUUGUAACUAACCAAUCACAAGCUUUUGCUUUUGUAAAGACUAUAUAAGGGGUGGAAAUCACCUCUUGGAAGAUAUAGAACAUGCGUGUUACGUUUUACACCUAGUGAUAUACAGAGCUCUCUCGUCUCUCUUUUCUCUUUACUAUUCUAUUUUCUUAGUAGCCAAACAGCCUCUGAGGGCUUUUCCUUAGAGGAUGAUUGGCUAAAACUUUUAGUUUCUCAAAGUAUGGAUGUUAUGUGAUGGCUUGGAUGCAUUCCCAUGGAAAUUUCUCGCACCUGGAAGGUAAGGUAGAUGUUUUUCAUUAAUGCAAAGUUUGGUUUUUAUUCCCUUUGGACAACUUCCAACGGCCAAUACUUGAUAAGCUUUUGGAUUUCUAUCCAUUAGUUAUCUCCUACGAGCUAUUGGAAGGUGAGGUUUUCAAUUCCAAGUUUUGCAUUAAUCCGUUAGAACCAAUUUCAAUGGCCAUUGAAAGGCGAGUUUAUCACUUAGAAUGACUUUGAGUUGCCAAUAUUUGGUAAGCUUUUGGCUUUAGACCAUUAGUUAUCUCUUACGAGCCAUUUAAAGGAAGUCUAAGGUGAAUAACCAUUGAUGAAAUUCACUACCAUCUGUUUUGCCAUUUUAAAGGAUUAAAACUUGAUUUGCUAAAUCCAUACCGGUUCGGGAAGCAAGCAUCACCAUAGUUGCAACCCCAACGCGAGGAGCCUAUCCUGAGAUUUCCAAUUUGCAUAAGAGCCAAAGCAUAGCUAUCCUAUCUUUGAGAAACUUGUUUUUACACCCUUUCAUUUUAGUCUUUAAUGUUAGCUUAGAUUAGUUUAAAUCUUUCUAAAACAUUUACAUCUUCUUUUAAAGCUAACAUCCAUAAGUAAAUCACCUAUUUUCCUAAUUUGAAUAUCACUUGUGUUUGCGAAAACCCUUCCCAGUGAACGAUCAUAGAACCACUAUGCUAUAGUAGCUUGGCUACUUUAGUAAUAGUAUUUAAGGUAUAAAUUUUGUUGAUAUGCCUUUAAAGCUAAGCUACCAUGAGUCGAAUCAAAUGGCGCCGUUGCCGGGGAUGAGUCGAAUCAAAUGGCGCCGUUGCCAGGGAUCGAAUCAUGAGUCGCAUCAAAUGGCGCCGUUGCCGGGGAUCGACCAUGAGUCGAAUCAAAUGGCGCCAUUGCCGAGGAUAGUAGCUUUGCUACGCUAGUAUGAGGUCAUAGGUUUUAUAAAUGUUUUUGAUUAAAUGACCCGACUGGAGUAAGAGUCGCAUCAAAUGGCGCCGUUGCCAGGGAUGAGUCGAAACAAAAUGGCGUCGUUGCCGGGGAAGGUGCCACAAGCACAGUGAAGUAACCAUUAAGGGUAACUUGUGAUCUUCAUCACAAGUUUGGUGAGUUUUCUUAUAAUUUUUUUUAGUUUAGUUUUUAUUUAGUUAAUUUUUUUUUUAUUCUCUUUUCUUUUAUUUUUGUUUUAAUUUCAAUUUGUGCAUUCCUUGUUGGAUUCGAGACCAAGAGGGAACCCUGGUACAAGUUGAAGAAAAGAGCCUUAGUUGAAUAUCAUUUUUUUAGAAAUGGAAAUUUCCACAUGAAGAUCAAAGCUCUCAUUAUGAUCAUAAGAAGGACAAAUUUGCAUACCUAUCCAUGAGGGAUCGGAUUGAAUUAGGAAAAAGGCAAGUGCAACAAAGCCAAUGGGGUAGUAAGUAUGCUUUGAAUGAAGAUAUGAGCAUGAAGGCAAAGCUAGCAUCUAUGGCUAGAAGGAUAGAAGAGUUUGAAUUGAGGAAUGUGCAUACUGAAGCACAACCACAAGUCAUGCCAACUUCAUUUGAGUAUAUAAACCAUCCCAACCUCAACCUCAACCAUCAAUGAGUACAUCUUCAUUGGAGCAAGCCAUUUUGAAGAUAAGCAAAGUCAUGGAGGACUUUGUAGGUGAGCAACAAAAGAUCAACUCUCAUAUUAAUGAAAAGAUUGAUAAUUUGGAGAGUUUAAUGAAUGUAAGAAUGGAGGGGGUUUAUAAUGAUCUAUCACUAAGGAUAGAAAAAGUUCAAGACUCCAUUGAGAAGCUCACCAAUCUCGACAUAGCAAAGGGGAAAAGGAAGCUUCCUCCUCAACCCCACCAUAACCUUCAAGGAACCAAUGCAAAAAGAUCAAGGAAAGUGUUGAAGAUCGACACUUUGGUGGGGGAUUUCUAUGACAACUCUAUGGAGCAACCUUCCAUUGAAAAUCAUAAGGUUCAAGAUGAUAAAAGGUUACCUGAACCCUUUAAAGCAUCCACUUCUCCAAGGAAGAGAAGAGAAACGAAUUCCCUUGGACCAAAUGGGAAGGAUGCCAAUUUUGUUUGGGAUCCAAGGGGAAUUCAGCAUGAAGUGGGUGUGUGAGUGAGGAUGAGCUAAAUAGUUCAUCUUCUUUUUGGGGUACAUGCUAUCAGCUUCAUUUAAAUUCUAUGCUUUCUUUAAAUUUAUGCAUGUUUUAGUUUGAAUUCUUAGCUUUAAUUUAGUUUUAAUAUGUUUUUAAGAUGAGUUUUGAAGUGUUCAUGCAGGUAUGAUGCUUGCAAAAAUCAAAGUUGUGGUGAAAACAAGGGAAAACAGGGGAGAAAAACCAAGACUCAGCAAUUUUCGCACAACACUUCCUGUUGUGUGAAAUUUUCGCACAACACAUCCCUUGUGCGAAUUUGCUUUUGUGCCAAUUUUCAAAAAUGCAUGCUCUCUGUCCAUUCCCAAAAUCUCAGUGCGAAUUUCACAGGAAUGCGAACCUUGUGCGAACCUUGUGCGAAUUCAUUUUUGAGACAAAUUUUCAAAGCCAUGCUCUCUGUCUUGGUAUUCCACAGGAAUGCAAAAUUCACACUUCCUUUUUAAAGGUCGUGUUCUCAUCUUCAAAAGCUAAGGAUUCAAGCCACGUUUUCUUCAAAGGAAACCCAUUGCCGUCGGGUAGAGGAGCUCCAAAUUUCAAAUUUUCUUCGUGAAAAAGCUCCAAUUUCCAAGCCUAGCCACCAUGAAAAAUCCUUUUCCUACCUCAGCCAGCAUUUCCCACCCUCAAAAGCCAAAAAAUUUCACCAUUUGAACGAGCUUCAAAAAUUGCAAAAGGGCGGGUGAAUAGUGCUUGUGCGAAAUUUUCGCAUAACACCCCCCCUUGUGCGAAAUUUUUGCACAACACAUCCCUUGUGCGAAUUUUUAAACUUCCCCUGUUUUAGCCAAAAAUCUCCAAUUUUAACACCCCUGCAAGCUACAUUCAAAUGUCAUUGCAACUUAUAUCAGUAUACCAUCAUGGCAUGGACCCUUUGAGCCUUGUCCUCAACUGCUCAAAGUGGGGCCCACUCAUCAUUUUUGUAAAUAUUUAGUAUAAAUUCCUCUCUCAUUCAAUUUUUGAAUUUUGAAACAGGUGGUUCAACCUUCUCAACUCCAAGUCCACAUCACAUGAGGUACCACUUCCUUCCUCCUUAUUUUCGAUUCAAACAUUGAGGACAAUGUUCAUCUCGGUUGGGGGGAGAGAUGAGGAAGUAAGUAUUAGUUUAAAUUUUUAUCAUACUUAGUUAAAUUAGCUACUUUUUGUUUAAAUUUUAAAAUUUUUGCUUUAAACUCCAUGGAUAUUAAGGAUUAACUCUCAAAAAUUAAAUGAGAGAAGUCGAGUUUCAACUUGAUUACAUGAGUCUUAGAGUUUGUAUUAUGCUCUUCUAAAAGUUGAUGAAUUGUUGAAACUCCCAUUGCAUGCAAACUUAUCUCUUCCACCUUAAGCUAUUCGCACACACAUACAAUAGGUUCCGAUUAUAAGAUGAAAAACUAUUUCCCUCUUGACUUAGGAAAAUUUUAGACUUGGUACCUUUGACCUCAUUUAAUAGUGUUGAGACACCUUAUAAAAGGCCAAUGAGCUUUUGGAAAAAGAAAGAAAAAGAAAAAUGUUUGCUUGCCUUGAAACCCGAGCAAGGUCUAAGGGGUAUAUGGUGAAAAUCUUUAAAACCUGGUGCCCUAAGCCUUAAUUGGUUGGGAGUCACCGACCUCAAUGCUCGUUACAAGGGUGAAUAGGUGGAGUUUAACAUGUUGUAGGUGCUUGGGUAUUAAAAAUCAUUCUCAAAAGUCCGGGGUAAAAUCCGAGGAGUUAGUGGUUGAAAAAUCCUUAAAGCUCCCCUAAACCUUGAUUGGUUGGGAGUCAUCGAUGGACCCCCGUUACAUGGACAAUUUAGAAAAGAAUGCCUUUAAGCUUUGCACUCCUACAAGAAAAAAUUGUGAAAGAAAAGAGGUGCGUUCUUAGCCUAUUGGAGGUUGAUUAGUUUGCUAAGCUUUGAAAAGAACUAGGUUGAGGGGAGAGAUUAGUUUGACAUACUAUAUCCAGAAACUAAUAAAUAACACUUAGAUUUUAGUGGAAGAAUUUGAUUUGGAUCUUUUGAGAGUGGAAAUUCUUUUGAUGCUUAAACUUGCAUAAUAUCCAUUCUUUGUACUCUAUGAUCAAGUGAAUGCUUUGACAACUCUUAUUAUAGGUUGAGUUUCACAUCUUUAUUGAUCCAUGGAUAUCCAUCAUGCCACUCAUAUCAUUUUUUGGAGUGAUUUGCAUGAUACCUUUUAUGUAUAUUAUUAUAGUUUACUUAGUUUUUAUCUCCUCCAUUGCUAAGGGACUAGCAAUGAGUCGGUUGGGGGGUGUGAUUACUACCAAAAAGUGCUAUUUUGUAGACCUAAUUAUAAUGGUUUUAAGCACCUUUGAGUAGUAAUCAUAUUCAUUUAACCCAAUUAAUUCAAUAAGGUNNNNNNNNNNNNNNNNNNNNNNNNNNNNNNNNNNNNNNNNNNNNNNNNNNNNNNNNNNNNNNNNNNNNNNNNNNNNNNNNNNNNNNNNNNNNNNNNNNNNUUUGGUUUUUAUUCCCUUUGGACAACUUCCAACGGCCAAUACUUGAUAAGCUUUUGGAUUUCUAUCCAUUAGUUAUCUCCUACGAGCUAUUGGAAGGUGAGGUUUUCAAUUCCAAGUUUUGCAUUAAUCCGUUAGAACCAAUUUCAAUGGCCAUUGAAAGGCGAGUUUAUCACUUAGAAUGACUUUGAGUUGCCAAUAUUUGGUAAGCUUUUGGCUUUAGACCAUUAGUUAUCUCUUACGAGCCAUUUAAAGGAAGUCUAAGGUGAAUAACCAUUGAUGAAAUUCACUACCAUCUGUUUUGCCAUUUUAAAGGAUUAAAACUUGAUUUGCUAAAUCCAUACCGGUUCGGGAAGCAAGCAUCACCAUAGUUGCAACCCCAACGCGAGGAGCCUAUCCUGAGAUUUCCAAUUUGCAUAAGAGCCAAAGCAUAGCUAUCCUAUCUUUGAGAAACUUGUUUUUACACCCUUUCAUUUUAGUCUUUAAUGUUAGCUUAGAUUAGUUUAAAUCUUUCUAAAACAUUUACAUCUUCUUUUAAAGCUAACAUCCAUAAGAAAAUCACCUAUUUUCCUAAUUUGAAUAUCACUUGUGUUUGUGAAAACCCUUCCCAGUGAACGAUCAUAGAACCACUAUGCUAUAGUAGCUUGGCUACUUUAGUAAUAGUAUUUAAGGUAUAAAUUUUGUUGAUAUGCCUUUAAAGCUAAGCUACCAUGAGUCGCAUCACUAGCAGAUGAACACAAAGACUCUAAUCCUAGAACAAAACGAUGUCACGAAAUGCCUCUGCAGCCACACCAAGGAUCCAGGCUCCCUCUAAGAUGUCUCCAAAAGUGACUCGAAAGACCAGAUCAAACAUGAGUAAUAGUCGAACCACCCUGGAGUACGGACAAGAACACGUCUAAAGGGGACUGCCUUAUGCGGACUAUGAGAUGAAUAGGCGAUAAGCACAGGGUAGCAAGGUGAGGAGAACGAGAAUAAGCGCAAAUCCAUGAAGGGGAGAUGUGUAGUGCCAGUGAAUAUGAAUGCUAGGAGCUGUGACUCUGACUGACAAAGCUGACUCUAAGCACCAAAGUGAGAAAAUAAUAGCUCUGGAAGCCAAACCAAAAAGCUAACUCUAAAAGCCAAAUUAGAGAAAAUAAAGCUCUGGAAGCCAAACCAAAAAACUAAUUCUAAACGCUAAACUGGAAAAUAAAGCUCCGGAAGCCAAAACAAAAAACUAACUCUAAACGUUAAACUAGAAAAUAAAGCUCUGGAAGCCAAACCAAAAAACUAACUCUAAACGCUAAACUAGAAAAUAAAGCUCUAGAAGCUAAACCAAAAAACUAACUCUAAACGCUAAACUGGAAAAUAAAGCUUUGGAAGCCAAACCAAAAAACUAACUCUAAACGCUAAACUAGAAAAUAAAGCUCUGGAAGGCAAAUCGAAAAAAACUAACUCUAAACGCUAAACUAGAAAAUAAAGCUCUAAAAGCCAAACCAAAAAACUAACUCUAAACGCUAAACUGGAAAAUAAAGCUCUGGAAGCCAAACUAGAAAGCUAACUCUAAACGCUAAACUAGAAAAUAAAGCUUUGGAAGCCUAAACAAGAUGACAGUAGGUGGAUGCCCUAAACAAGCUGACAAUAGUGGCUCUGGAAGCCGAAUCAAAAGCUAACUCUAAACACUAAACUGAGAAAAUAAUGGCUCUGGAAGCCUAAACAAGAUGAUGGUAGGGGGAUGCCCUAAACAAGAUGAUAACUCAUAAAGAUCGGCAAAUGGGUCUGACAAUCAUGAAAUCAGCACGAGACAUAGCAAACCCAAAGAGAGGGGUGUAUGACCAUGGCAAACCCAAAGAGAGGGGUGUAUGACCAUGGUAGGAAAAGCGAUAAAGGGGGUAUGCCCCGGUAUGAUGACUCACAAAGAUCAAGAAAUAGAUCGAGCAGUGAGGAAGUACACAAAAGAUCUGAUGAACUCCAAGAUGGGGGUAUGCCCCAGUGUGAUGACCCAUGAGUAACUCAAUGGGGAUGCAUAGAAGACCUGACAUGUACUCCGACGAAAUGGAUGAUGCGAAACUCCAUGAGCUCGAUGACUCCAUACAAAAAUCACACAAACAUCAGAAAGUGUGAGUCUGAUGAAACGACCCAAGGAAAGUCCAUCGGGGAGCCAUGAUGAAAUGAAACAAAAUCCUCAACACGACAUGUAUCUCGUAACAGGGGACGAUCAUGCAAAAGUGAGAAUCUGCAAAUCUCGAUCGAGAGCGGAAAUAUGCCCUAGUAUGGCAUCAAACGUGUGACAAGUCGGGAAAAAUCGAAUGACGUCAAAUCAUGCCUCAAUAGAUAUGUAAUCCCGGUCGUCCGAAUCCAUAAUAGAACCGUGCCCACUGAUUCAUGCCCAGUUGGGUAUUUUAAUCAAAAAUAUUUAUAAACCUAUGACCUCAUACUAGCGUAGCAAAGCUACUAUAGUAUAGCAGCUCUAGGGUUGAACUCUGGGAUGGGUUUUCACUCUACUAGUGAUAGACUCAAGAUUAGAAACUGAAUCUGAUGAUUUCCUUUGUCAAAAACUUAAAGUUUAAAAGAAAAUAAAAUUUGUUUUGAAAAGGGUGUUUGAAACUAAACUAACAUAGAACUAGGUAAAAAUGGAAGAAAGAAAGUCUCCCGGAGCUAAAGGUUGCUAGGAUCCAGUUCGGAAUGCAAAGUGGGAAAUUCCGAAUUUUUCUCCUCGUAUUGGGGACAACAACAUAAAGGAUGGUUGUUUCCCGAACCGGUAUAGGUUUAACAAUGAAGAUUUAAUCCAUAAAAAGUCAAUAGAAAUCGUAGUCAAGUUCCAUUAAUGGCUUUAGACACUAUGGGUCUUCACCUUGAGCCACUUUCCAAUGGCUCGUACAUGAUAACUAAUGGUCUUAUGUGGAUCUAGCAAUAAGUAUCCACAGAGACCUAAAAGCUUAUCAUGUAUUGGCCAUUCAAAGUGAUUCUAAGGGAUUUAAAACAAAACUUUAGAUUUUAAAAACCAUUUAUGAACUCCAACUACCUGUAUUUAAAACACUAGAAUUUUCCACUUUUGCAUCUAGACUUUUCACUUAGCUUUCUUCACUCCAAGAAACUAAAGGUUUAGCCUCUCAUCCUCUGGGAAAACAUCCUCAGAGGUUGUUUGGCUUCCAAGAAAAAGAAAAUACAAUCAAAUUGAGAAGGUAAAGCAGAGCAAAGCUCUGUAUUUUUUCUUCCUUUGAAAAAUAUACAAAAGACAUGUCCUCCUCUCCCUGAGAACAGGCUCCCAAGAGAGAUUUAUAUAUGAAAAUUACAAAACAAAAAUAUCUUUCGGUAAUGCAUCCUUUUUCCAAACUUAAUAACUAAGGAAUCAUGUAAUUGGUGGAUUACAAGGAGAGUUUGGGGAUUUAGACAUCAAAUAUCUAAAGCAAAAUAUCUCACAAUGUUGGUCGCAAAGAUGGGAAGCUUCAAGAGAAACCCGCGGCACUGCAAGAUGGCUGCAAAACUCUCCGGGUAAGCGCUAUCCUCGGAUCCGGAUAUGUCUGCCGGAGAAAGUUGAAAUGCCUCAGAAAAUCUCCAUCCGAAUAUGAAUAUCUGGAGAGGUUGAAACACCUCCUCUCCCAUCCGGCUCCUAAAUUCCGGAUGUAAGACAUCGGAUGGAAUGUGUGGCACAGUAGAUUUCCGGAUGUCAUCCGGGUGGAAGUGGUGGCAGGCGAUUCCGGAUGUGAUACAUCCGGGUGGAGUUGCUACCCGGGUGGGUUCGCAAGUUGCAAAAUCACUUUUGCAAGUUGGGCUUUAAUUUCGCACGUUGGAGUUCCAAAUUCGCAAGAUGCGAAUUUGUCCUUCAACUGGAUGUAGUUGUCUUGAGAAGGUCAUAUCUUCCUCAUUUCAGCUCCAAUUCAUAUACCGUUUGAAGCGUUGGAUUCUUGACUUCCUGAGCUUUGAAAUGGUAUAUAGCAUGUAGAAAAUGGACUUCGAAAAGUGCUCCAAAAGUGCGAAAGAAGACUAUAGCUACUGUCAUCUAUUUUCUUCACUCUGUUUUUCCUCUCUCCGUUGUUCUUUCCUUGCAUACUUUGAACAACUUUGGCAAAGGGCUAAGGAGCUCCAAAGCUUGGUUCUUCAUGAAUUUGAGCUUCCAAAAGCUUUUCCAUGAACUAUAUACAGCUCUCCCUCAUUCUUGGAUUGCUUUGGUGUAGCUAAAAGCUAUCAAAAACACCAAAACUUAACACAAUUUGAUUAGAAACGAUUGUAAGGGCCCUUAACAUGUCAAUUGAGUUAAAAGGUAAUAAUUACUACUCAAAAGUGUUUAAAAGAGUUAGUUACAAGCUACAAAAUAGCACUUUUUGAGUAGUAAUCACCCACCAAUCCAAAAGGUGUCUCUCGGAAGGAAGCACGAUGACAUCAUGAAUGGCGAGCAGCGCGUGCCUAUUUGGAUGGCUCCCGAGAGGCUCCAUAGAGAAAUCAUCAUAGCAAUAGUAAAAAAAUCGUCGUCUCGGUGUGCACUCUGUGAGUGGGAAUGAUCAUGUAAAUCUAUGGAGAUCUGCGAAUCUCACCCAAAGCUGAAAUAUGCCCCAGUAUGGCAUCGGGUGCACGAUAGGUCAAAAGAACAAGUGACAUGAAAUCACCUAUCAUCGAGCAUGUGACCUCCGUGAAGAUCCUUAAAUCUCACCUGAAAAGGAAAUAUGCCCCAGUAUGGCAUCAAGAUGCAUAGCAGGCCUGGCUGAAUGGCCCCGAAGAGGCUCUACUGAAGGAUCGUCAUAAAAUAACGAACACGCCGUCAUCUCAGCGCAUAUCUCGCGAAUGGGGAUAAGCGUGCAAACCCGUGAGGAUCUGUAAAAUCAUAUCUGAAAUGGGAAUAUGCUCCAGUAUGGCAUCGAAUACAUGACAGAUCAGAAAAGGGCAGGUGUCAUCAGAUCACCCCUCAUCAAAUGCAUGAUCCCGGUAAUCCAAACACAACUAAAACGAAUCUAACCAUCAGAAAGGCGUCUCCCAGAAGAAGAAGCAUGACAAUAUCUAAAUGGCAACUAGAUCUCAAACACCUGUCCAAGUAGAGGCUGUCAAAGACGACAUCUGAUCCCAUGGCCUCAGGGUGGUCUUAAGACACGGGACGUAACGUAGGUCAGGGUGAUAAGGUAAUAGAAAUGAAAGGAAACUAGGCUCAAAUACCCAAUGAUCAAAACUCAUGCCCUUAUGUAUAAAAUGCAAUAUGUAUAGAAAAACUCAUGAGCCAUGGAACUGAAUGCGCCCAACGUGAACGUGACAUCAAUAACGAGGUGAUGAAGAAGAUGAUCUGAUAGCGGGAGGUGUAAGAACGAUGCACGUGAAGUGUCAAACUAGGAAUAAAAGGGUGUGGUAAGGAAAAAGAAAAAAAAAGCAAGAGGUGAGAUGAGGAUGACGAAUCAAGAGCAAAAAGGAAAAUGAUGAUGAAACAAAUAAUACAAAGGGGAGCAGUGAUCAACUCAAAUCAGACAUGGAGGGAAGUCACAUCAACAAUGAACGUAAUGAUGGAUAGGACAAUGACCCGGAGUCCCUAGGAGAAGCCACUCAUCUUGCUCUCAAAACAUAAGAUAAAAAUGAAUACAAAGAAUGAAGGGUCUCAGGAAGCUCACAUACGAACUCCCAUCAAUAAAAAUACUCGAUACAGUGACCCUCGAAUAUCAACAUACACGCCCAACAAAUGGAGAAUACUAUGCACAUACACACAUGUGCUUAUUUUUCUUCCCUUUUAUAUAUAUAUAUAUACACACACACACACACAAAUACACAUACCCUAAAAAUAGACAAAUGAACCCCAAAGAUGAUACCAAUAAUGAAUAUACACACUCCCAAAUGCUAAGGUAACAAAAACUCUCUCUGACAAGAUAACCUUCUCAAACUAAGGAUCUCUAAAUCAGUGUUUGUAUGAUAAAUAGUGGAAAUGAUGUGACUAUCCCCCUUGUAAUGAACUGAGGAGGAUCACCACUCAGGGUGGAGAGAAUAUGAAGCAAAACAAGUAGGUAAAAUAAAGAAUGAGAGACGAAAUAAACACGACUAAUGAGAUAUGAAGGAAUGCAGUAGUGUGGCGGUGGGGAAAAAUAAUGAGAGAAAGAUGCACUUGUAGGUCCAAGACUCAUGAGGCUUCCAAACAAUGCAUGCAUACACUAAAGGACCCCAAUCCCGAUGUAAAAAUGUGAGUAAGGCGAUAAGAUAGAAAGACUAUAAUGCACACGCGAGGCUCAAUGGGCUAGCAAUGGUUUAUACAUCAAAAGGGAAUAACAAGGAAUAUGGCUAAACCAAAAUGAUGGCCACCCAUCCUACGACCAUGGUCUCAAACAUAGUACCUCUUUAGCUGAUCCACAUUGGUCGGCUCUGAGAACUGGUUUCCAUCUAAAUCCAUCAGCCAUGCAACGCCCUCUAGAGUUAACUCCCUGAUGAAAUAAGGUCCGCUCCAACUGGGUCUGAACUUCCCUCUCGGAUUUCUAAUCAAUCCUUUGAUGACUCUCAAGACUAAGUCACCUACAUGCAGUGGUAUGGGCUUGACCUGCUUUUUGAAAGUGCGGGCCAUCUUCCUCUGAUAUGCGCGGAUGUGAUCUACUGCUCUCAACCUCCUCUCAUCUAGGAGAUUGAGUUGAUCAAAUCGAGUCUGAGCCCAAUCUGUCUCGGGAAUCUACUGCUCUAAGGCUACCCUCAGUGAACCCAUCUCGAUCUCGACUGGUAGCACUGCUUCCAUAUCGUACACCAAUGAGUAAGGUGUGGCUCCUGUAGAGGUACGAAAAGAAGUCCGAUAAGCCCACAAUGCAAAUGGGAGCUUCUCUGACCAAUCCCGAGAAGUCUCGACCAUCCUCCGUAAUAUCCUCUUGAUAUUCUUGUUCGUGGCCUCUACUACCCCAUUCGUCUGCGGCCUGUAUGCAGACCAUCUAUGAUGCCGGAUGCCGUAUCUAUGUACUAAGGCGUCGACCUCUGCUCUGAAAUGCACCCCUCUGUUUGAGAUCAACUCGUGAGGGACUCCGUAUCGAUAGAUGAUGUGUGACCUGAUGAAACUGGCAACUCCAGCUGAUGUCAAUCUCGCAUAUAAGGCUGCUUCCACCCACUUGGUGAAGUAAUCAAUAGCGACAAGGAUAAACUCAUAACCACUGGAAGAUUUCGGCGAAAUCUUCCCGAUGAUAUCAAUACCCCACACUGAAAAUGGCCAUGGUGAAGUCAGUGCAUACAGCUCGGAGGGCGGCACGUGAAUGAGAUCUCCGUGUAUCUGACACUCGGGACAUCUCUGAACAAACUGGCAGCAGUCCGUCUCCAUGGUCAACCAGAAGUAACUGGUCCUCAUGAUCUUACGGGCCAACGUAUGUCCUCCCAUAUGUGGUCCGCAGACUCCUGCAUGAACCUCUCUCAUCACUCGAUCGGUAGAGGCACGGUCCAAGCACAAUAGCAACAUCCCAUCAGCUGAUCGUCUAUAUAGCGUCUCACCGCAAAUCACGAAUCGGGCGGCUAACUGUCUCAAUGCUCUCCUAUCCUUGGCCGUAGUGGCCUUAGGAUACAUGUCGAGUCUCAAAAAGCGAUAUAUGUCAUGGUACCAGGGCAGACCAUCAUCUGGCUCCGCAUCAUCAAUCAAGCAACAGUAAGCGGGAGCGGAUCUCGACUCGAUCAAUAAAUGACGAACAGUGGCAUCAGCAGGAAUAUUGAUCAUGGAAGCUAGAGUAGCUAAGGCAUCAGCAAACUGGUUCUGCGCUCUAGGCAGAUGGGUAUAUCUCAAAUCAUCGAAUCUCCCGACUAGUAGCUCCAAAUACGCAUGGUAAGGCCUAAGCUUCACAUCUCUAGUCUUCCACUCGCCCUGAAUCUAUCUCAAUACCAGAUUGGAGUCACCAAACACCUCCCUCUGUCUAAUCCCGAGCUCGAGGGCUGUCUCUAAUCCCAAGAUACAAGCCUCAUACUCAACAAUGUUGUUUGUGGUAGGAUGUCGAUCCGAGAAUGCCAAACGAAUAGAUCUGGGAAUGUGAUCACCAUGAGGGGAUAUCAACAGGACGCCUAUUCCGUAUCCGGAAUGGUUGGCUGCACCAUCAAAGUACAUGCGCCAACCUGACAAACUGGUCACAACAGCGACAUUCUCGUUUGGGAAGUCAUCAUCAAUGGCUCUACCGUAAAAAACUGCUAAGGAUGCAAGGUGAUCAGUGACAACACUCCCUCUGACGGACUUCUGAGUGACAUAAUGGAUGUCAAACUCAGUCAGAAGCACCAACUAUCUCAUGAGACGACCAACCAGGGCGGGCCUGUCAAACAAAUAUCUCAGAGGAUCUAGACGGGAUAUCAAAUGCACUGAAUACUCGGUCAUGUAAUGUCUCAGUCGGCAAGUGGCCCAAACCAAUGCCAAGCAAUAACGCUCAAUCAUGACAUAUCUCGUCUCAUAGUCUAGCAUUCUCUUGCUCAGAUAGUAAAUGACUCAGUCUUUGCCCGAAUCAUCGAGCUAAGCUAACAUGCAUCCUAAAGCCACGUCUAAGACUGAUAAGUAUAGGAGUAAAGGACGGCCUGGUGUAGGAGGCACCAAGACUGGGGGUAACAACAAGUACUCUCGGAUCCUCUCGAAUGCGCGCUGACACUGAUCAUCCCAAAUAGUAGGUUGACUCUUCCUCAAGAGUCGGAAAAUGGGCUCGUAGAUGUUCGUCAAUCUGGCGAUGAAUCUGUUGAUGUAUUGAAGUCUACCCAGGAAGCCUCUGACCUCUCUCUCUAUCCUCAGUGCAGGCAUGUCAAGGAUGGCUCUGAUCUUAUCUGGAUCUACCUCUAUGCCUCUCUCACUGACCAUAUACCCCAAGAGUUUCCCAAAAGUCACUCCGAAAGUGCACUUCUUGGGGUUCAGUCUCAAUCUGAACUGUCAGAUCCUCUCAAAGAACCUCUCCAGAGCUACUAAAUGAUCUGAUCUACCUCGGGAUUUCACUAUCAUGUCGUCUACAUAAACCUCGACAUCCUGAUGCAUCAUUUCAUGGAAGAUGGUGGUCGCUGCCCUCUGAUAUGUGGCUCAUGCAUUCUUCAAUCCAAAUGGCAUGACUCUGUAGCAACAAGUACCCCACUCGGUAAUGAAGGACGUCUUCUCCAUAUCCUCUGGAGCCAUCAAGAUCUGACUGUACCCGAAAAAUCCGUCCAUAAAGGACAACAUCGAAUGACCUAUCAUGCUGUCAACUAGCAUGUCGAUGUGUGGAAGAGGAAAAUCAUCCUUAGGACUGGCCUUGUUGAGAUCUCAGAAAUCAACACAGACUCUCACUCUACCGUUCUUUUUGGGAACAGGGACGACAUUGGCCAGCCACUCCGGGUACUCGACCACUAAUAAGAAUCUUACACUGAGCUGCUUCUGAAUCUCCUCUUUUACCUGCAAGCUCCAACGAGGGUGCAAUCGUCUCAACUUCUGCUUAACCGGUCUAGCAUGGGGCAAAAGUGGCAAACAAUGUUGGACGAUAGAUGGAUAAGGCCUGGCAUGUCCUCAUAGGACCAUGCAAAAACAUCCAAGCAGGAUCUGAGCAGCUGGAUGAGGCUAUCCCUCUCAUCUGUGGAUAAAUUUGACCCGAUCCUCAACUCCCUAGGCCGAUCUGCUGUGCCAAAGUCAACAAUCUCUGCGUCCCCUACAGCAGAUGCUGCCCUCUGAUCAAUAGGGUCUGAAUCGGAAGCGGAUGACGAGUCAUCAUCUGAAUCAUGCUGUGCAAUCUCACUAUCAAUAUCAAAUAUCUGUGAUGUGGGUGAAGAGGGUGCAGACAAGAUAAUAUCACAAGACAUAGGCAAAUACUCAAAAGUGCUGAAAUCCAUAGAUGAAUGAUCGGAAACAAUGUCAGAACGGGAGACGAACCCCGACAGAACAUCAAAUGAAAGAGGUGAGUCCACAAAGUCGGACACUCCCUCAACAAGGCCAACAUGGCUAUCAAACAAAACAUCGCCAGCUAUGACGUCCUCAGUAGGCUCUGGAGCAAGGGAAGUCAGGCCCUCCUCAGCAAGCUCGAUGACGGAUACCCCAAAGAGAUCAAAUGAUGAAGCGAGCCCAGGCUAAACAGUCUCCUCGAUCUAGCUCAAGCUCAGCGUAAGCAUCUCAUCGAUGUACUCGUCGUGCGGUGCAGCUCCGUCUACUAUGUCACUGAUUUCCACAAAUGUCCCGUGAUCAUCGAUCUCAUCCGGGAAGCAAAGCGUCAUAAGGCUCGUGCGAUCCAGAGAGGAAAGAGCAAUCAACACAGAAGUCGAAGAGCCAAGGGCUCCAUCUCUCAAUCGUAACUGUUGGACAAGGCGCUAAAGCUCGGCCUCCUGGGUGGUGCUAAGUCCUCCGAUGAUCUUAUCAGAUGGUGCGCGCGGCCCCGAUGCCCUCACAAAGUAAUCUACUAGGCUCCUGGUGUACGGACACAUAGGAUAAUAGAAAGGAGUAUGAGUCAGCUUAGCCAUCACCCUCUCCUUGCGCAAUCGCGCCAUAUAGAGAUAAUCGGCCUCAGUGGGGGAUGAACCCGAGUCCGAACGGUACGUCGUGAUCAGGAAUGGUGAUGAACUCGCUCGGUCCAUGCUGACGUCGACCCAACCCCAUGCCGGGUAGAUAGGACAUGUCUCUCAUGAUAUCAAGCACUACAGUGCUACCAUGCUGGUCGAAGGACAUGGCUACAGAGUCUCGGCAGAAAUCCUUCAUCUUCAGAGUCUACACCUCGUCAAAGGUGAAUCCAGUCAGAAAAAGAUCGUCAUCAGUGUGACUAAUCUCGAGCAUAGGCUCGGCAGCAAUGAACAUGUCCCCCACAGACUGUACCACGACGACCUGACCAUAGUGAAUAAACUUCACCUUCUGAUGAAGGGAAGAAGGGAUGGCCCCGACUCUGUGGAUCCACGGUUGGCCCAGAAGCAGGUUAAAGGAUGUAGGAAUCCUCAAAACCUGAAACACGGCGAUAAAAGUGGCCGGACCGAUCAGCAGCUCAAUCUCCAAUGUACCCAUGACCUUUCUCUUAGUACUGUCAUAUGUGCGAAAGGUCUGAGUGGAGGGACAGAAAUCAGAAAGAGCGUAUCCAAGGGUGAUGGCAGUGGCAAGAGGACAUACGUUCAGGGCCGAGCCAUUGUCCAAAAGGACAGAUGGGACUCGGCGUCCUGAACAACAGAUAGAUAUGUAGAGCGGACGAGUGUGAUCUGAGCCCUCCGGUGGCAAAUCAUCGUCCGAGAAUACGAUGCAUGUGGCUCGGACGGUCGUCAUCAUAUGGAUCAACCCCUCUGGAGGAUGGUUACUACAUAGCUGGACCACAGCCUCAGGGUCCUGGAGCAUGCAAUGUCAGCGUGUUUGUUCCAGUUCUUGCAACAUUGCUUGUGGAAGAAAUUGUAAGCUUAUAUUUGGAUCAAUUAAUUGAAGGAGUGAUUGGAAAAGGAUUUGAGGUGAGAUUGAAUGUGGAUAGUAGAGCAUGUAGUGAGUGCCUGGAAUCCAAGGGAGUAUGUGGUUAUGACCUCGGUUUGAAUCAAACGACUUGCUACUGCAAAGAUCAAAUUCAAGCCUCCAAAACAUGUACUUCCCCAACAGGUGACGUCUGAACACCCCAGGAAUCUUUCCCUCCAGGUACGCAUCACAAUGUCAUGUUUUAUUUCAUACCCUUAGGCAUUAGUUAAGAUUCAUAUAUAGCACAGCACCCACACACAUGACAAAUCUACAAGGUUUAGUGAACCAAGGAAAAAUCUUGGAGUCUAUACAGAAAAAAUGGUGUCUCAAUUCUCAAACAAUCCUUCAGUUUGUAUUCAUUGUACGAAACCAAAUUAGAUGGAUACAACUCUUUAAAAGGGAGUUAAAAGAAAAUCUGGAAGACUUCCCUAAUUGGUUGGGGGAGCCCCAAUGGAAGCAGAAUUUGCACAUUCCAUGAUCAGUUUAGUACCUUUUCUACUGUUUGAAAAGUAGAUAUCCACUUUGAUUAGUUGAGCUGGCAAGUGGAUCUAUGGUCGAUCAAUUUUUACAAACAUUUUACCCAAUAGAUUAACAUAUUUAAAUAUGAAAAAGAAAUAUAUCAAUACGACACUACACUCCAUGAUAAGGGAAUCUUAUUUUGGGUACCCAUAGGGGGGCUUUUUUUUUACUUGUACGGCUAUUUUAAAAAAUAAUUCUUAAAAAAUGAUAAUUUGAAAAAUAAUUCUUAAAAUAUGGUACUUUGAAAAAUAAUUUCAAAUUUACGACACUUUUUAUCACUUUGAAAGGUAUUUCUUGAAGAGACACCUUCUAUAUUUUUCAUAUCAACCAUAAAUGUUAAAAAAAAUUGAAUUUACAUUAAAGGUAUCUCUUGCAGAGACACCUUUCAUAAUUCUAUAAAAUUGAAUAUAUGUUAAAGGUGUCUCUUCAAAAGGUAUUUUUUCAUAUUUUUUUGAUUAGUCAUACACGUUAAAAAAAAAUUGAAUUUAUACUAAAGAAAUGUCAUUUCCAAAAUACCAUAAAAUCAAAUUAAUACUAAAGGUGUCUCUAAAAGAGACAUCUUUGAUAAUUUUAUAUCAGUUACAUAGUGAAAAAAAUUGAAUUUACAUUGAAAGAGUCUAUACAAUUCCAUAAAAUUGAAUUUCUACUAAAAGUGUCUCUUGAAGGAAAACUUUUCAAUAUAAAUUUAAUUUUAUGGAAUUGUGAAAUGUGUCUUUUGAAAAUACACUUUUUGUAUAAAUUCAAUUAUUUCAAUGAAUGACUGAUGCAAGAAUUGUUGAAGGUGUCUCUUGAAGAAACACCUUUAAUAUAAAUUUAAUUUUAUAAAAUUGUAGAAAGUGUGUCUUAAGAAGACAUCUUUAGUAUAAAUUCAAUUUUUUUUAUUAUGCAACUGAUAUGAAAACUGUGAAAAAUAUCUAUUUAAAAGACAUUUUUAAUAUAAAUUCAAUUUUGUAGAAUUAUAAAAGGUGUCUUUUGAAGAGACACUUUUAAUGUAAAUUCAAAUUUUUUUAACGUGUAUUAUUGAUAUAAAAAUUGUGGAAGGUGUCUCUUGAAAAGACACCUUCAAUGUAAAUUCAAUUUUUUCGAACGUGUAUCAUUUAUAUAAAAAUGAUGUAAUUUCAAGAGACACCUUUAGAAAUGACAAAAAGUGUCGUAGAUAUAGAAAUAGUUUUCAUUGUACUGUAUUUUAAAAAAAUAAUUUUAAAUUCACUGUACAAUUAUCAAAAAUCCCCCUUAUGGGGGUCUUUUUAUUAAGUAGUGCAAGUCAUGGGAUUUCAUAAGUGGAUGUAAUUGUUAGAAAGAACCAAUAUAUUGUUAGAACAGCUAUUGUUCAUUGGGUUUGGACAUUGGAUGUUGCCCGAACUCCUUUGGUUACUACGGAUACAACUAUUAUUUACCAAGUUCGGAUACUGGAUGCUUCCCAAACUUCUCUUCUUUGGCCAUUGUUGGUGCAACUACUACUAUUUACCAAGUUCAGACACUAGAUGCUACUUGAAUUUCGAUUCUUGGGUCACUGUCGGUGCAAAUAUUGUUUGUUAAAUUCGGAUACUAGAUGCUGUCCGAACUUCUGUUCUUUGGUCACUGUUGGUGCCAUUACUUUUUGUCUAGUCUGGAUGAUGGAUGCUGCUAGAGCUUCUGAUCUUUGGUCACUAUUGAUGCAGCCACUAUUUGUCGAGUUUAGACACUAGAUGCUACUCCAACUUUUGUUCUUUAGUCAAUUUUGUAUUAGGUGAACCUUUGCUCCUUGGUGGUUUUGUUGUUGAGUGGGAUAACUUUGGUUGGGUUGAUUUGGACAUUGGGGUGUUGGCUAAACCUUGGCUCUUAUGUUGCUCCACUUGGUUGUUGAAGGAAGAUCCAGGGAACCUUAGAAGUUCCCAUUUCGACGGUGAAGUGAAAACUUCAAACAAAUAGAAGGAAUGAGAAAAUGAAGUAAAGAGAGAACCCUUUUAGAGGGGGCAGAUUGCCCCCUCUUCCUAAUUUUCUUUUUUAUCCUUUAUAUAGCAUCUUUGAAGAGGUAAAUUAAGAAUAUUGUUUAGGUCAAUCACAUAGGACAAGUGACACAUUCUGGCUGGAUGAGCAAUUCCAUAACAUAGUGAGAUGGUUGAUAGUUCCUGUAAGGGGGCACCUAUACUCAAAGUGCUAGUUUCGUUGCCCUAUCAGGAAGAGUUGGAGGUUAGUUGUGUUUACCUUAUCAUCUUUACAAGUCAAUGCACCAAGCAAUGAUGGCCAACUUCUAAUGGUCAUACCUGAUCAUGAUACCCGAUCAAGGCAUACGAUUUGCAUUCCGGAAAUUGUCUAGAAGACCAAGGUGGUUGGUAUUCUCGACUGUCCCUCUCUUUUUCCACAUAGCGCCCACAUUGACGUAGCCAUGGGAGGGAAAAUUUGUUUUGAAUAAUUUUCUUUCCUUUCACACCCCUAAUACUUUGCAUGUUUAUACAUUGGGCAUUAAGUUGCCAAGGAGCUCUUAAGCUCUUGUUUAGCUAUUAGGAUGAUUAGAGGCCUUUAGAAUUAAGUUGUCGUGACAAACCUCUUAGGCUCUUACCCGACUAUUAUGAGGCUAAUUAGCGGCCUUAUCUUUACGUGUUUGGGAGAGUUUUUUAAAGCUCCUACCUAAACUAGGCCACUUGAGGUUGUAUCUUUACUUAUCCGGGGUGUUUGAAGCUUUUAGUUAGACUAGGCCAAUUGAGGCCUUAUCUUUAUGUGUUCAAGGGGCAUUUUGAAGCUCCUACCCAAAUUAGAUCACUUGAUGCCUUAUCUUUAUGGUGCAUGGGGCAUUUUGAAGCUCCUACCCAAAUUAGAUCACUUGAUGCCUUAUCUUUAUGGUGCAUGGGGCAUUUAAAGCUCAUACCAUGAUUGAGUCACUUGAGGCCUUAUCUUCAUGUGUCUAAGGGCAUUUUGAAGGUCUUAUCCUAACUAAGCCACUUGAUGUCUUAUUUUUACAUGUCCAUGUGUGUUUGAAGCUCCUACCCGUAGUAGUGCAGGACUAGGCAACUCAUUGUCAAUGCAUCAAACGUAACUAGAUGAUAAGGUGGGUAGCAUGACUCCAUUAGGCAUACGCCAACCUAAGCUCGUGUCAACCUUUGGUUUGCUUUGUGCUAGUCAUGCUAGGUAGCAUUUUACCCCAUGGAGCCAGAUUGAGGGAUGCUAACCAUUUGGGUCUGAAGUGUCUUGUUCUCUCUUCAUGGCUUCUUAAUUAUGUGAAAUAACUCUUCUAGUUGUCUAUUGUUCUUUGCAUAUUAGGCUUUCAACUCAGCCGAUAAGACCAAUCAUUACUCCUUAGUUACUAGGGUCGAAAGAUCAUUCUUCCUCAACAUUAAGAUUAGAAUAGGUGGUCAACAUCAUGAUGCUACUUAAGGCUUUCCUAUCUAGUUUCUCAUAGAUGAUGCCAAUUAUCGAAAUAUUUAUUGUUUGCCAAGUUUGGACAUUGAAUGCUACUUGAACUUCUAUUCUUUGUUCACUAUUGAUGCAACUAUUAUUUGUUUGAGUUCAAAUACUACAUGAUAACUUAUGUUUAUCAAUCAUCUAUUAGUGUAGCUACUUUUUUUGAGUUUAGACAUUGGAUGUUGCUUGAACUUAUGUUCUUUGAUCACUUACAUAUUGUACAAACCUUUUUCUCCUAGGCGGUUUUUACUAUUGAGUACUAUGAUAACUUUGAUUAGGUUGAUUUGGACAUUAGUGUGCUUAUCGAAGCUCCACUCUAAUAUUGUUCUACUCAGUUGCUAAGGAUAACCUAUCACACAAGAAAGAUCCAAGGAGACCUCAAAAAUUCCCCACCAAUGAUCAAGUUAAACUUUAAGCAAAGAGAAUGAACAAGAAUAUGUAAGGAGAGAAUCAUUUUAAAGAGGGGAGGUGGUCCUCGUCUUCCUCAUUUUUUAGUCCACUAUAUAGUAUCUCAUAAGAGGUAGAUUAGGAAUACUACAUGGGCUUAAGAAAGGUCAUCAUAAGUCAAAAUGAAUUUCCCAUUAAGUGUUUAGAAUACUCAUUACCCCUAUAAUCCCCAAUUGUCAAAUUGGAUGGCCUCAUUGAGCUUAACAUCUCAUCUAUUUGUUCAAAAUGACUUUCCCAUUAAGUAUUUGAGAUACCCAUUGAGACCCUAUAAUCGCCAUUUGUCAAAUAAUGAGAUAUGAUGCUUUCUAGCAAAUAAGAAGGAAUCAAUUAACAAGUUACUUUGAAUUAUGAAUGCAUUAUGAGCAUAGUCAUUCCAAUGGAAGAAAGGAAAGUCCUAGAGCACCCUUUCCCUAACCUGAAUAACUACUCAAUAGAUAUUGAAUGGAAAUUAACUUGAAAAAGUAAAAUAAAAAGCAAGAAAUUGAAUGCAAAGACAUUAAAUCAAAUAUGAAAUUAUAAUGAUUGUGAAACCAAGGUUUGGUUAAUCUUGAUUUUGAUGAUAACAAAACAAGGUUUAGAACUAAUGAUCAUAUUUCAAGUGUGAUUAGGCAAGACGACUUCCAAAGUGACAAUCCAAAGACAAAUCAAGCCAAUGAGAAAUCAUGAAGAAGAAAACCACCUCAAAGAGAAGAGUUUUUUCAAGACCAAAGCUUCUUAAGAUCUCUUUGUAAGGUUGUUGGUGCACUAGGACUUUCAUGCAUUUCAUUCUUUAUUUAUGCACCAAAAUCAUCCAAGAGUAAUAAUGUUUUAAAUAUAUUUAAAAUUGGAUGAUUUCAUGUUUUCAACUAAAACCUUGUGUUAAAUAAAUUUCAAACUUGUGUUAAAAGGUUUUAAGUUGAAAAACGUUGGGUGUUGAGCCAAAAAAUGGCUCAACCGGUUCAACCAGUCGAGGAACCGGUCAACCAGUUGUGCUCGUCCAGUCGAGUACUCGUCGAGGAGGCCAAAAAGUUUUUCUCUCUCCCAAUGGCCUUCUCUUCCCGAUUGAGGUAAUUCUCUUCCCGAUCGAGGCCCGGUCGAAGACCGAUCGAGGUCCGGCUGAGACCCAACGGUCACUUGCCAAACAUUUAAUGCUAACGGCUAGUCAACCGGUCGACCCAUAGUUCGAUCGGAUGAACCCCCAAACGGCUAGUUUGGAUUUUCUCUUCUAUAAAAAGGCUCCAAUGUUCAUUGUUUCAUAAGCUUAACCUUCCCAAAUCAUUCUUGAUUAUAUUUAAGCCUUGGAAGAGUGUUUUUAAGUGCACCAUUGUUUCAUAACUUGCAUAUCUUUAGUGCACCAUUCAAUCCUAGUUUUUCUUGUAUCAUUUGAGCUUAAAGCUUAUACUAGGAUUUUGUGAGAUCAAUUAUUUGUAAACCUUGAGAGGAAGUUUCAAGAGUGGGAUAUCUCUUGAGAAUUGUAAAGGGUGCUUGGAGCCAAAAGUCCAAGAGGGUGAAUUGGAACCAUAAUCCAAUUGUAAGAAGAUUGGAAGCUUGGUUGAAGCUUCAAGCUAGUGGAACCCUCACUCGAUUAGGAGGUUGAGGAGAGUGGAUGUAGGUCGGGUUGCGUCGAACCACUAUUAACUCUUGUGUUUGCAUUCUCUCUUCCCUACUCUUUUAAUUUAUAUGCAAUUGUCUUUAUUUUGCUUAUAAUAUACUUGCAUAUAAAUUGUCUCUUACUUUGGCUUAGUUUAAAUUUGAAAAAGAGACCAUCACCCUAUUCACCCCCCCCCCCCCUCCCCCCCUCUAGGGUGAUUAUCAUAGGUUGGAUUAGCCUCAAAUUCCUAACAAUGAUCAGUGAUGUUAAAAAAAUUAAUUAUGCAUUAAAUAAAAACCAAUUCAAGAUAAAUAAAAUAAACGAAAGCAACAACAAGAAAAUAAAAAAUAAAUAAAUAACCUAAAAAUAAAAAUUUAUCCAAGAUCCCAUCUUCCUAAGGUUGACGAUAAGAACUAAGGAAGAAUGUGCAAGAACUCACCCUUAAGGCAAAAGAUUUGAACCCACUUAAUAGUUGCUCAUUUCCUCUUUUAUGUCUUUCCUAAGCAAGCCUUAAGUUACUUAUUCCUAGAGGUUUUUCCCAAACUCAAGGGCUCAAGAUUGGUUGAAAUUAGUCACCCACUUUGGCCCAACCCAUUCCUUCAUUUUAAAACAAUUAAAAUAGCUCUCAUGCAAUCACGUGAGUUUUGAUACCAAAAUGGUGGUUGUAGGUGGUGAGGCCCUUUGUGGUGCAUUGGAACUUCCCUCGUCUUUCUCUAUAUAGUUUCUUAGACAAACAAUCUCCAAAGUUUCUAGAAUUUAGUUAGAUUUAAGUUUGAAAAGUGAAGAAUUUAACAAAAUUUGUUUUACAUCAAUUGAACAUAUUUAACCCCUUUAAACACCUCAAAACAUUUUAUUGAUCAUAUAGAUACUUGAUAAUUCCUUGCAAAUUCUCUUCAUAUAUAGAAUGUUAGAGAAGGAUUUUGAGAUCUUCUUUAUUUGCGAAGUAUAAUCGUAAACAUAAAAGACUUAAAAAAAAAACAUGGGAAAAUUGAACAUAGACAUAAUUACUUAAUUGUAAGGUAAUUUUAAUAUUGAAAUUAAGUAAAAGAUGUGAUCAUCAUCCCAGUUUUUAUACGCAAUAAUCACCCCUUGUGGAGGAGUUGGAGGUCAGUUGUAGGCGCCUUGUACUUUAAUACAAGUCAAUGCACCAGACAAUUGUGACUAACUUUGACUGUUGAUGCUCAAUCAUGCUGUCCGAUCAAGGAAUAAGGUUCAAAAGUUUGGAAAUUAUCCGGGAGACGUAAGUGACCGACCCCCUCAUAGCUGCCCGAAAGAUGUAGGUGGCCGACUCCCCCACCUAUCAAGUGCAGAUUUCGGGCAUAGAGACCUUGUUAGCCGCCCUAAUCUAAUGAAAUUCUAGCAAAUACUUGUAUUUUCUUUAAAUUUAUAAAUGCCCUAAUUGUCUUGUCAAAGUCUGAUCAAUACAAUAUAUAGACUUUGGCGCCUUCUUGAACCCCGUUCAUAUUUUCUCUGGGUUAUGAUCGAACUACACAUUCAAGAGUCCUCACUACUGUUAUGUAACUAUGCCAUAGAAGACAGAUGAAUACGUGGAUUCCACUUGGCGUUAAUUUCCAAUCAUGAGCAAUAUUUUGGGCACUACACGCAAUCCCCAUAGUCAAAACUCUGAUAUUUUUUUAGCCAAAUUUACUUAGUCAAAACUCGUCACCAUCAGAAAUAAGACUUCUUUCAUCUUAAUUCAUCUCCGUCAUUCUCCUCUCAAAUAUCUCAUCAGACCCCUGUAGAGAUCCCCCCCCCCCNNNNNNNNNNNNNNNNNNNNNNNNNNNNNNNNNNNNNNNNNNNNNNNNNNNNNNNNNNNNNNNNNNNNNNNNNNNNNNNNNNNNNNNNNNNNNNNNNNNNCCCCCCCCCCCCCCCCCCCCGAUGACACGUGGCAUGCAGUGCUGUCCGGAUCAACUCUAUCCGUACCCCCCAAGAGGACAUGUGGCGCGCACAUCUAUUCGGGUUCCCCAAGGGGGGCAUAUGGCAAUCUCAAAUAUCAUACUCGGGCGAUGCUCUAUCCUAUCAGUACCUAUUGUCCGGAUCAUUGACUGUAACGAGCAAGCCUUGCUGAGUCAUCCCUGACAGCCUGCCACAGCCCACGUUCCACCGCCUGCAGAGCGAAAGAACAGGAGUGAUGGCAAGUCACCUCCCACGAUCUCUGACAGCCGCCUACAGGGUGAUGAUGACCCUGCCACCAUCUUGAGGACAUCAUGACAAGCUAAAAAGUCUUCCCACCAUUACAGAGGAGAGCAGAGCUUCUGACAUUAUAUAAAAGGGCCUUCACACAAGAAAGAAGGUAAGCCUAAGACCCUAAAAAAGCCAAUAGUUUGAUCUCUUAAGCCAUGACUAACAAAACCAUCGGAGGGUGUGUCUGGACAUCCUGUCCGAACAUCUUUUGCAGGAUCGACUGAGCCAGAACUCCUUCUUGGUUGAUAGCACGCAUCCACUUGGCAGCAGCAGGGAUCCCUGGGACAUGAGGUAUCAACAUUGGCGCCGUCUAUGGGAACUCUCUGAUUUUGUCGACAGCAAAGAUGUCUACACCUUCCAGAAGCCGCUUGUCGGUUAGGGGAGACGAAGAUUAUUUCGAAUGGCGCGAAGCCAUCGAAAGGAGACAGUUGGAGAGCGAGCGACAAAUGCAGGCUCUCUUCUAGGAAACAGUGAGACUGAGAGAAGAAAAUGUUGUGUUACGUAUCCAAGCUUCAUCGACGGGACCUUCUCGUGGUCAACGCUUAAGAGGCCAAGGAGCAAACUCAAGGCCUGACCCAGAGUCAAUAUACCCUGAGACUGUGGGGGUCAUCCCCGAGACGGGCAAUGUUAGACCACAAGAACGGCACACGCCCAUGCACCAAGCCCCCUAGGAGGAAAGCUCAGACUCUACUCGUCUCUCAUCAAAGAGACAACGCGAUAAAAGACCCCAGUUGUCGGACGCAAUGCGCACGAGGCUAGGCCCACAGGAACCUGGGAAGACAAGGCCGCCAGUAGCCAUAACCUGGGGAACGCACCCUGAUCCCCUGGUCACACCCAUGGUGCAGAACGUCAUCUCGUACCAAGCAGUACAACAAGCUGGGAGAAACCCCCCAAACGAGCCACCCACUGGCUCCAUCAGCAAAAAGCUGGAUGACACGCUCUCCACGCCUUUUUGCCCACAUAUUAUUCAUUACGACCCCCCAAGGGGAUUUCUCGUGCCUAAAUUUUCCACGUACGAUGGGUCCAACGACCCCUUCGACCAUAUCAUGCAUUAUCGACAGCUCAUGACUCUCGAUAUAGGAAACGACGCGCUGCUAUGCAAAGUAUUCCCCGCCAACCUACAAGGGCAGGCUCUCUCAUGGUUUCACCGCCUACCCCCCAACUCUGUUGAUAAUUUCAAGGACCUAUCGGAAGCUUUUGUGGGAUAAUACUUAUACUUCGCUCGGCAUAAACAGAACAUCAACACUCUGCAAAAUAUAAAAAUGCAGGAGAAUGAGUCUUUAAGAGAGUUUGUGAAGCGGUUUGGUCAGGCCAUCUUACAAGUAGAGGCUUACAGCAUGGAUGCUGUCCUUUAGAUCUUCAAAUGAAACAUUUGUCCAGGUACCCCAUUCUUCGAAUCGUUCGCUAAGAAGUCUCCUAAGACGAUGGACGACUUGUUCCGGCGCGCGAGCAAAUACUCAAUGCUGGAGGACGACGUGCGCGCAGCCACCCAGCAAAUCUUGGUUGCCGGUCAAACAUCCAGAAGUGGUGCGGAAAGAAGUUCCAAACUUCCGGACCGGCCAAGGCCGUCCGGCCGAAGGCAGGAAGAACAAAGCCGCCCAGAACGGCCAUCCCUCACACCCCUUUCCAUAUCCUACAAGAAGUUCCUCUCUAUGAUCCAAGACCUGUCCGACUUCAGGUGGCCCGGACCCCUCAGAGCAAACCCAGCCCAAAGGGAUCAUAGUAAGAAGUGUGCCUACCAUAAGGAACACGGUCACACUACGGAGACAUGCAGGAGCCUCCAUUAUUUGGUGGAAAAACUCAUACAGGCGGGACAUUUGAAGCAAUACCUCCGCUCAAACGCCAGAGUUAGAGACACUUCCCGAAAUCACAACUCAAGAACCCCUAGGAUCUCAGCCGCCCCCAAAGCCAUUAUAAACUAUAUCCAUGGAGGACCACUGGAUGAGGAGUACAACUUCAAACGAAAGAGAAUGAGGCUGUUGCAGGCAGCAUCGGUACGUGAGCGCGUCAACUCCAUACGGCCUGGGAUAGUUGGUGGGGGCCUGAUUCGACUCAUGGUAGCUUAGCUUUAAAGGCGUAUCAACAAAAUUUAUACCUUAGAUACUAUUACUAAAGUAGCCAAGCUACUAUAGCAUAGUGGUUCUAGGAUCGUUCACUGGGAAGGGUUUUCGCAAACACUAGUGAUAUUCAAAUUAGGAAAAUAAGUGAUUUUCUUAUGGAUGUUAGCUUUAAAAGAAGAUGUAAAUGUUUUAGAAAGAUUUAAACUAAUCUAAGCUAACAUUAAAGACUAAAAUGAAAGGGUGUAAAAACAAGUUUCUCAAAGAUAGGAUAGCUAUGCUCUGGCUAUUAUGCAAAUUGGAAAUCUUAGGAUAGGCUCCUCGAGUUGGGGUUGCAACUAUGGUGAUGCUUGCUUCCUGAACCGAUAUGGGUUUAGCAAAUCAAGUUUUAAUCCUUUAAAAUGGCAAAACAGAUGGUAGUGAAUUUCAUCAAUGGUUAUUCACCUUAGACUUCCUUUGAAUGGCUCGUAAGAGAUAACUUAUGGUCUAAAGCCAAAAGCUUACCAAAUAUUGGCAACUCAAAGUCAUUCCAAGUGAUAAACUCCCCUUUCAAUGGCCAUUGAAAUUGGUUCUAACAGAUUAAUGCAAAACUUGGAAUUGAAAACCUCACCUUCCAAUAGCUCGUAGGAGAUAACUAAUGGAUAGAAAUCCAAAAGCUUAUCAAGUAUUGGCCGUUGGAAGUUGUCCAAAGGAAAUAAAAACCAAACUUUGCAUUAAUGAACCUUUAAUGAAAAACGACUACCUUACCUUCCGGGUGCGAGAAAUUUCCAUGGGAUUGCAUCCAAGCCAUCACAUAACAUCCAUACUUUGAGAAACUAAAAGUUUUAGCCAAUCAUCAUCUGAGGAAAAGCCCUCAGAGGCUGUUUGGCUACUAAGAAAAUAGAAAUGGGGAAGAACAGGAGAAGAGAGAAAAACAGAGCAAGGCUCCGUCUGUAUAUAUGCGUCUUUAUAUUCAAGAGGUGAUUUCCACCCCUUAUAUAGUCUUUACAAAAGCAAAAGCUUGUGAUUGGUUAGUUACAAGGAUAAGAAAGGAAAUUACAUCACAAAAUACAAAGGAAAAUAUCUAAAGUGGAGUCGGCAAAAGCAGAACAAAAUUCGCAACACGCAUGGGUUAUGUGAAUUUUGAAGGUGUUAUGCGAAUUUCGCAUAACCUGGAGCAGUUGGUUUCCGAAGGCCAUAUCUUCCUCAUUUCAACUCCAAAUCAUGCACGGUUUGAAGCGUUGGAUUCUUGACUUCCAGAGCUUUGAAAUGGUAUAUAGCAUGUAAAAAAUGGACUUCGGGAAGUGCUCCAAAAGUGCGAAAGAAGACUACAGCUGCUGUCCUCUUUGCUUCUCUUCACUUUGCUUGCUUUUCCACUUUUCCAUUGUUCUUUCCUUGCAUACUUUGAACGACUUUGGCAAAGGGCUAUGAAGCUCCAAAGCUUGGUUCUUCAUGAAUUUGAGCUUCCAAAAGCUUUGCCAUAACUUGUCCAAGUAGCUCCUCCAUCAUUUGGCAUGCUUGAAUUGAUUCAUAAGCUGAUAAAAACAUGUAAACUUGCCACAAAAUGGUUAAAACCAAUUACUAAGGACCUUAAUGAAUUAAUUGGGUUAAAUGAAUAUGAUUACUACUCAAAGGUGCUUAAAACCAUUAUAAUUAGGUCUACAAAAUAGCACUUUUUGGUAGUAAUCAGGGCCCUCAGCCCAUAGAUGGGACAAUCGUUUUCCCCCCAAUAAACCCCACACGGAUAUUACAACCUCACCGCGACGCCCUCAUCCUAUCCCUGGGGAUGAGGGACUUCGACGUGAGACGCAUCCUAAUUGACCCGGGUAGCUCGGCCGAUCUUUUACAAGCAUCGGUAAUCAGCCACAUGGGACGCGAUCUAUCCGGCCUCGAAAACCCUGGGCGAAUCUUGUCCGGAUUCAACGGAGCAGCAACUACUUCCUAGGAAGAUAUUGUGCUGCCGGUCCAAGCAAGCUCAGUCACUCUCAACGUACAAUUUUCUGUGCUACAAGAUUUAUCACCCUUCAAUGCUAUCUUGGGGUGCACAUGGCUGCACUACAUGAAAGUCAUCCCCUCUACGUACCAUCAAAUGGUAAGCUUUCUCACUGAGGACGGGCAAAUCGACCUAUACGACAGCCAGUUAGCCGCUCGCCAAUGCUAUCAGAUAGCGCGAGAAGUAGGGACCAGCCAGGAGGAUAAACCCCUUCCUGAGCCCACCCACGCACUUGACCAAUAGCAAUUACUGAGUCCUACGGACAAAGAUCCCCCGACAGCGGAUCCCUUGCGGACGAUCCAGAUAUCGGAAGAAAGUACUCACCUCACACAUAUCAGUUCCCUUUUGACACUGGAAGAAGCCAAAAACAUCCAAGAUGCUCUCCAACAAAGCCAUGACGUUUUUGCAUGGGCGCAUUCUGAUAUGAAGGGAAUUCACCCCUCUAUCGUCUCUCAUAGGCUUAACAUCUUGCCAACAGUAAGACCCGUCCGACAGAAGAUCAAACGUUUCCACCCAGACAGGCAAAAGAUUAUCAGGGAUGAGAUUGACAAAUUGCUGGAAGCCGGAUUCAUUAGAGAUGUGGAAUAUCCUGACUGGUUGGCAAAUGUGGUAGUGGUCCCCAAAAAGGAAGGCAAGUGGUGGGUGUGCGUCAAUUACACCAACCUCAAUAAUGCAUACCCAAAAGACAGUUUCCCUCUACCGCGGAUAGACCAAAUUGUAGACUCCACCGCCGGACAAGGAAUGCUCUCCUUCUUGGAUGCCUUCUUCGGAUACCACCAAAUCCCCAUGGCCCUGGCCGACGAAGAAAAGACAGCCUUCAUAACGCCGCAUGGGCUUUAUUGCCACAAAGUUAUGCCAUUCGGACUCAAAAACGCUUGCGCCACCUAUUAGAGACUGAUGACGAAAAUCUUCAAACCUCUAGUCGGCCCCACAAUGGAAGUGUACAUCGAUGAUAUCGUGGUUAAAAGCAAAACCCAAGGGGAACAUGCCCUCCACUUGCAAGAAGUCUUCCACCUCGUAAGGAAGUAUGGCAUGAAGUUGAAUCCAUCCAAAUGCGCUUUUGGUGUAAGUGCUGACAAAUUCCUGAGAUUUAUGGUCAGCCAAAAGGGGAUAGAGGUUAGCCCAGAUCAAGUUAAGGCAGUCAUGGAAACACCACCCCCUAGGAGCAAAAAGAAAUUACAGCGCCUCACAGGCAAGUUCGUCGCGCUAGGACGCUUUAUAGCCCGUUUCACUGAUGAAUUGCGACCCUUCUUCCUAGCAAUACGAAAAGCCGACGCAAACGGGUGGACGGACGGCUGCCAAAACACUUUCGAAAAAAUCAAACACUACCUCAUGCAACCACCCAUUCUAACCAGCCCCCUCCCUAGAGAAAAAUUGUAUAUGUAUCUGGCUGUAUCAGAGUGGGCAAUCAACGCUGUUCUAUUCCGCUGCCCCUCGCACAAGGAGCAGAAACCUAUUUACUACGUCAAUAGAGCGUUGGCGGACGUAGAAAUAAGGUACUCAAAGAUGGAGCUAACGGUUUUGGCCCUUCGAAGUGCCACCUAGAAGCUCCGCCCUUACUUCCAAGCCCACCCGAUGGUCGUGCUGACCGACCAACCCCUUCGCAACAUCCUGCACAAGCCGGACCUAACCGGAAGAAUGCUUCAAUGGGCCAUAGAGUUGAGCGAGUAUGGAAUUGAAUUCCAACCCAAGUUGUCCAUGAAAGGGCGGGUAAUGGCCGACUUUGUGCUGGAAUACCCCCAAAGACCUGCCCAACACAAGGAACCAUGCGGGGAAGAGUGGUGGACUUUGCAGGUUGAUGGAGCCUCCCGGUCAUCAGGAUCCAGAGUAGGGCUCCUGCUGCAAUCCCCAACAAGAGAACAAUUGGAGCAAGCUAUCCGACUAGGAUUCCCCGCAUCUAACAAUGAAGCAGAGUAUGAGACCAUCCUAUCCGGGUUAGACCUAACCCUGGCCCUGUCUGUUUCCAGGCUCCGAUUCUACAGUGAUUCCCAACUCGUUGUAAGGCAAGUCCAGAAAGAAUACGAAGCUAAGGAUGAGCGCAUGGCGCGAUAUCUGACUAAAGUAAGAGACAUCCUACAACGGUUCACUGAGUGGAUGAUCGAAAAAAUUAAACGAACUGAAAAUGGACGUACCGACGCCCUGGCAGGCAUAGUUGCUUCCCACCCUAUCAAAGAAGCCAUAUUAUUGCCCAUACAUGUGCAAACCAACCCCUCCGUCGCAGAAGCCUCCACUUGCAAUACCAUUAAGGCAAACCAAGUAGACGGCCAAGACUGGACGGAAGUCAUAAUAAGGUAUCUUUGGAUAAGCACUUUGCCCGAAGAGCCCAAGCAGGCACAUAAGACCCGGGUACAAGCAGCCCGUUUCACCCUAAUCGGGGGGCACCUGUACAAGCGGUCCUUUAUAAGCCCCUACCUCAGGUGCCUAGACCACUCAGAAGCCCUGUAUGUGUUGGCUGAGUUACAUGAGGGGGUGUGUGGAAAUCAUUCCGGAGGUCGAUCUCUAGCGCACCGGGCUCACUCGCAAGGAUAUUAUUGGCCCACGAUGAAAAAAGAUACGGCAGCUUAUGUCAAAAGGUGUGACAAAUGCCAAAGGCAUGCCCCCAUACCGCAUGCGCCGUCGGAGACAUUAAAACCAAUUUCUGGCCUCUGGCCCUUCACGUAGUGGGGCAUGGACAUAGUAGGACCCCUACCAACCGCAGCUGCUCAGAAGAAAUUCCUACUUGUCGCCACAGAUUACUUCAGUAAAUGGGUGGAAACUGAAGUAUAUGUCAACAUCAAGGACAAAGAUGUCACCAAGUUUGUAUGGAAGAACAUCAUCUGCCGCUUUGGAAUCCCUCAAACCAUUAUAGCUGACAACGGCCCACAGUUUGAUAGCAUCACUUUCCUGAAUUUCUGUUCGGAACUCAACAUCCGGAAUUUAUACUCCACACCGCGUUAUCCUCAAAGCAUUGGACAAGCAGAGGCCACAAACAAAACCCUAAUAACUGUCUUAAAGAAGAGGCUCGAGCAAGCCAAAGGGAAGUGGGUAGAAGAGCUACCCGGCGUCCUGUGGGCUUAUCGAACCACACCCGGACGACCGACAGGAAAUACUCCCUUCGCCCUCACAUAUGGUAUGGACACAAUCAUUCCUACAGAAAUAGGGCUACCCACUAUCCGGACCGAGACAGGACGGCAGGGUGAUGCAAAUGCGGAACUAGGAAGAAAUUUGAACUGGGCGGACGAAGUAAGAGAGAGCGCAUCCAUCCGGAUGGUCGAUUAUCAACAAAGGGCAACCGCUCACUAUAACCGCAAGGCAAGACCCAGGAGCUUCAAAAGUGGAACGCUGGUCCUUAGGAAGGUCUUCGAAAACACUGCUGAGACAGGAGCAAGAAAGUUCCAAGCCAAUUGGGAAGGCCCCUACAUAGUAUCCAAGACAAGUGAAAGCGGAGCCUACCAUCUACAGAAGCUAGACGAAACCCCGCUGCUUCGUCCAUGGAAUGUAUCCAAUCUUAAGCAGUAUUAUCAAUGAAAGGAAAUGAAGAGAAAGCACUACCAGCAGAAAUGCAGAAGGAAGAAAUGCAAGUGUAGGGGGCUCGGUCUGCUAUUUAAAGAGAGACAGCCCCUCGGUAUUCCAAACGCCCAGCCGUGUCGUUAUUGAAAAGACAUGCUGCUUGGGAAUUCCCAAGGACGGCGGCUCGUCAUAAAUGCCCUUUUUCCUUUUCGCCUCCGCACCACCACGUGGCCCAAUAAGCGCAAAAAAGUAACCUAAGUUUCAAAACCAUCAUUUUUUAACCCACCCAUUUUGCCCGGGCAAAAUCGCCAAGUUAAAAGGGGGGCAUUGUAGGGACCCCCCCUCCCCCCGAUGACACGUGGCAUGCACCGCUAUCUGGAUCAACUCUAUCCGUACCCCCCAAGAGGACAUGUGGCGCGCACCUCUAUCCGAGUCCCCUAGGGGGGGCAUACGGCACUCUCAAAUAUCAUACCCAGGCGAUGCUCUAUCCUAUCCGGACCUAUUGUCCGGAUCAUUGACUGUAACGAGCAAGCCUUGCUGAGUCAUCCCCGACAACCUGCCACAGCCCACGUUCCGCCGCCUGUAGAGCGAAAGGACAGGAACGAUAACAAGUCACCUCCCACGAUCUCUGACAACCGCCUGCAGGGUGAUGAUGACCCUGCCACCACCUUGAGGAUAUCAUGACAAGCCAAAAAGUCUUCCCACCAUUAAAGAGGGGAGCAAAGCUUCUGACAUUAUAUAAAAGGGUCUUCACACAAGGAAGAAGGUAAGCCUGAGACCCUAAAAAAGCCAAUAGUCUGAUCUCUUAAGCCAUGACUAACAAAACCAUUGGAGGGUGUGUCCGGACAUCCUGUCCGGACAUCUUUUGCAGGAUCGACUGAGCUAGAACUUCUUCUUGGUUGAUAGCACGCGUCCACUUGGCAGUAGCAGGGAUCCCUGGGACACGAGGUAUCAACAACCCCUACCAAGUUUUCAUGAGUUUACUUUGUUUCAAGUUGUUUGUGUAGAUGCAUGCGUACUAGUUAAGUCAUCAUCUCUAAUUUCCAAAAAAUAGACAAAGAAAGAAAGACAAUUGGAGACAUAGCCCAUGAGUAGGUGUUGUCGUCGACUGUUAACUAGCAAGACCAAUGGGGUACGGAUGAGAGCCUAAUCAUAAUGGACUUUUGGCGGGAACAGGGAAAGGGUUCGUGGUUGAUUGCCUUGGGACAUGGUAGUUAAUAUUAAGUUCCGUGUCUUAUUGUUUCUUGUUAAAUCGUUUCAUUCUAGGAAAAUACUAAGGCUAUGUUUAGUCUUAAAGAUUUUGAGGGAAAGUGCGAGGGAAAGAAAAUACAGAAAAAAAAUGGAAAAAAAUAAAAAAUAAAAUAAAAUAAAAAAAUAAAUUCAAAAUUAAUAAAUUAUUUUUAUGUGUUUUUUCAAACUCAUUUCACUUCAUUUCCUUCGGAUUAAAUAAUUUUAAAAUAUAUAAAUUUAUAACUAAUUUUAAUUAUAUUUAAUUUUCUUUAAAAAAUUUUAUAGUGAAACCAAACAUAAGAAAAUCAUUUUCUUUUACAUUUUUUUUCUUUCCUUAAUACUUUUCGAGAACCAAACAUAACCUAAGAGUCUAUUGUUUGAAUUGGUUUUAAGAACAUUCUUUUCUUCUUUUCUUGUUUUCCCUAAAAGUAUAAAACCAUUCUUCGAGUAGAAAACAUUUUGAGAAUUUGUUCAAGAGUAGGGUAUAUUUUGAUCAUUUUCAUUUAUUUUUUUAGAAAUUAUUUUUAAAAACGAUUAUAUAAAUAAAGAGAAUAAUUAAAAAUAAAGUAUUAUAGAUAAAAAUUAUUUUUUAAGUAAAAUUUAAAAAUAUAAAACAUAGGUUAAAUAAUAUUGUAAGUUCUUAAUUCUACUUUUGUUUUAGAAACUUUAUAAACUUAUUUUAAAAUAUUGUUCUUAAAACUUGUUUUUUGAAAACUGUUUUGAAACUUCCCCCAAGGACUAUAAGUUGAUAUAUACUUAUCGAACUUCUCAUUUUUAUCAUUAAAAGAGUGUAAAAAAAAUCUAAACUGUGAAAUAAAGAUAUAAAUAAUGAAAUACAAAUAAUAAGAUCAAUAAAUGAGAUCAUAUUCAAAAUAAUAGGUAUAAAAAACUUAAAUAUACAUAUAGUAGGAUUAAAUUAGUGACACUUAUAGGUAUGUCUUUUGUUUGUUUGUUUUUAUUUUUUAUAUAGUAAAGAUAUACAUAUUUGGAAGUAUUCAUAAUUUUAAAAAAAAUAGUAAUUUAAUAUAUUUUCAAGUGUAUCAAAAUUCCAAAGUUAAUUAAAUUAUUAUUUUAUAUAAUUAAAAUAAAAAAUGUGAAACAUAGGAAAUUAGUAAGUAAAUAAUAAUUAAGGUUUAUGUUUGAUUAUUAAGAAAAUGGUAGAAAAUUUCUUAUGUUUUAUUAACUACUGAUUUAUUUAUAUGUGGUAUAUCUUUUUGGAUUUAUAGAUUUGUUAUUCAUAUGUGAAUUUAAUUAACAAAAAUAAUUUAUAAUUUUUUUUUUUUUUUGGAGAAGAAUAUUAAAUCCUAUUUUUUACUUUUUAAAAGUAAAUUUAGUUAUAUUUUGAGCAAAGAGAAAAACAAGAUUUGGGUAUUAUAGAAAUUAAAGUUAAAAAGAUGAGAAAAGAGAGAACAGACUUUUUAUUUUUUAUAUUAAGAUGAAAAUCAAUAAAUACUUAGAAGCUGGAAGAGAAAGGAACAGGCAAAGGAGGAGAAAUUGUCAUUUCCCUGACUUUUGACUUAUACAUGAAUCAUGAUAAAUUUAAUGAGUUUCCGGGACUUCAUUUAUAGGCUGUUGGGUUUGUUGACUAAGUGCCGAUUGAAAAUGAAUUAAAUAUUGGAUUUGCGUACAGGGAAAGCCACUUAGCGAUAGAUUAUUUACAUUAGACUCGGUCAGUUACAUUGCCACCCACCGGCUCCCAUUACAUUCCAACAGAAGCUUCUUUUCCUUGGAAAAGGCUUCACGACUCUCCAAAUCUUUUCAAAGAUCCACCGUUUAAUUUUAUUUUCAUGAUUGAGAAAGGAAAUUAAUUUCAUCUCAUCUCCAUCUCCAUAUCCAUAUCCUUCUGAAUCAUUCGAAAUCGCUCUCUCUUGCAAAAUGCAUCUCCAUCUUUUUCCAGUUUUCCUUAUCCUCCUGUUCAUGUUCAUGGUCCCUGUUCCGAGGGUUGUGUGCGAGGAAAAUCAACAAUUCGUCAACUGCGGCGCACAGUAUGAGUGCGGGAAUAUGAAUAUUAGUUAUCCUUUCUGGGGAGGGAGCCGCCCUCCUUACUGUGGCCAUCCAGGGUUCGAGCUGACUUGUAAUGGUGAAGCCCCGGUGUUUACAAUGAAGGAGGCGAGUUACCGAAUCCUGGAUAUCAAUAACUCAUUCCAUACUCUCACCGUUGCUAGGGCGGAUUACUGGGAUAGUUACUGCCCUCCUACAUAUGUUAACACUACUCUGAAUGAAUCCAUUUUUAGUUAUAAUGCCACCUAUACGGACGUGACCCUCUACUAUGAUUGUCCCCAACUUACUAUCGCGCCUUCCAACCAGUUCAAUUGCACCAAUAUCAUUGGUUACUAUACAACACUGGAUUUUAACCUUGGCGUAAGCAUAGGGAGUUGCGAUGUGUAUGUGACAGUUCCGAUUUUCAAGUCAGCAGCUACCGCUAUAGUGAGCGGUGGAGGUACACUGACUCUUCUUACAGAAGCUCUUAAGGGUGGUUUCGGGUUGGAGUGGAAUGCCAGUAAUAGUUUGUGUACAGAAUGUGUUGAAUCCGGUGGGCGGUGCGGCUAUACCUCCAACCAAUUCAUAUGCUAUUGUCGGAAUGGGUAUUCUCCCUCCACUUGCCAAAACAAAACAAGCCCAUCAGGUAUGUAUAGAAACAACUUCAUCAGAUAUAUAGCUUUCGUCUGACAAACAUGCAUGCCACCCAUCAUCACUUUCCUCAUUAUUGUGUUUUCUGGAGGCACCUUAGAUUUAAUUUGUUUUGGGAAGAGCCAGUUUAAGGGAGAGUAGCUUUCCUUUGGAAUUUGAGGGAAAUAUGGUUUGCUUGUUCCCGAGCCACACUGAAUCCUCAAUUUUUCCACACCCUGGAACAUCCCCAAUUAACACCACUUUUAUCAUUUUUUUUCCACCAUUCUUUUAGAUUAAUUGCAUAUUGAUUGAAGGAGGAACCUUUCUCUGAGUCUAUAUUCAAAGGUCCUGUCCCUUGAGGUUGCAGAAUAUGAAUCCUUCCAUUUUAAAAUUAGAAUUUGACAAGUCACCAUGCAACUACCCUCUUUAUUGAGUCCAGAACUGGUCAAAUGUAAAGUAAAUGGUAUUUGCUUUUAAAAUUAUUGGUAAGGAUACGAAUCACCAAAAUAAAAAAUAUAAGAAAAUUGCUUUUAAGAUAUCUUUUUUUUUUUUUCUUUUUUUUUUCCAAUUAGCUUAUUGUUUAGUUGUUUAGUUGUUGGCAUAUAUAUAUAUAUCCUGUUAGACUGGUAGAUGGGGAUAAACUAAUGCUAAUUGAUUUGCAUCUUAAAGGUUUGGGUAUUUAAGUAAUUUACCUUUGGUAUAGAAAAAUGGUUUCACAUUAUAAUAGUUUUUAAGUCGAGAAGAAAACAAAGCUCGAGUCCUUCUAUCACUUUCUUUGGUUUGUCUUCACCAUGGAUGAAGUCAAUUCACUUCCACAAUCUCCGGUAUUUUCCUUGAAAUAACCCAACUCCUGUUAUCCAUCAGCUCGUCUCACACUCUCUAUCCCCUGUUGCCCACAAUGAAUUCCUUGUUUUUCUCAUCUCCACCAUCUCUAGGCCUCUUCCUUUUAUUGGUGUUGGUUUUGUUCGAUUUUCCUGUCUUUAGGCAACCCUGCUGAAUUGCACAAAUACAAUACCUGUAGUAAAGAGUUCAACUACGGCAACAUCACAGGCGUGAGUUAUCCUUUCUGGGGAUUUGACCGGCCCUUGGGUUGUGGGCAUCUUGACCUGCAACUCAAUUGUCAUGAUGGUAUAGCAACCAUAGAGAUUAAGGGCGUUAAUUACCGUGUUUUGAGUUUCAAUAAGGAUGCUCAAACUCUAAGAAUCGCAAGACAGGACUACUUGAAGGGAAUUUGCUCGCCCCUUCUUGUUAACACUACGCUGGAUCCCAAACUCUUUGAUCAUACAGCGGCUCACCAGUAUGUCACAUUUUUCUAUGGUUGCCCCUCUCCUGCAAUAUCUGUUAUGCCUCAAAAAUUUUCUUGUUCCAUAGCUGGGAUUCCUCUGGAGGAUGGUUACUACAUAGCUGGACCACAGCCUCAGGGUCCUGGAGCAUGCAAUGUCAGCGUGUUUGUUCCAGUUCUUGUAACAUCGCUUGUGGAAGAAAUUGUAAGCUUAAAUUUGGAUCAAUUAAUUGAAGGAGUGAUUGGAAAAGGAUUUGAGGUGAGAUUGAAUGUGGAUAGUAGAGCAUGAAGUGAGAGCCUGGAAUCCAAGGGAGUAUGUGGUUAUGACCUCGGUUUGAAUCAAACGACUUGCUACUGCAAAGAUCAAAUUCAAGCCUCCAAAACAUGUACUUCCCCAACAGGUGACGUCGGAACACCCCAGGAAUCUUCCCCUCCAGGUACGCAUCAUGACUUGCAAUCCACCAGCUACGGGAGGUAGGAAUACUUCUUCUGGAGGGGUGAAGAACUGUCCUGCAAUUGCAGAACCCUCUGUGAUCAAAAUUAUAGAAGAAAUUGGAGAUCAAUUCUAAUCAACUAGUUCUUGAAUUUGAUUAGGAUCAUCCUAUCCGUUCAAUAACUAAUUAUAUGAAGAUUGACUAUGUAUUAGGUAGAGGACCAAGCAAUAAGUAACUCUAUAACCCUUGUGGGACCAGAAGAGUCCAAUGCCCUUGGUACGGGUGAUGAAACCAUUACAGACCUAGUAAAUAACUAGGCAUGAAUAGAAAAUAGAAAUCUUAUGGGAAUAAUAAGACCACGUCAAUAAAGUUUAUUUCCUUCCUAGAUUUUUUAUCUUAUUUUUGUGUGGUGAUAAUUACUCGUUGCC
rnacentral:lncRNA from 1 species